rnacentral:lncRNA from 1 species
UCCCGCGGCAGACGAGCGUUGCCUAAUUCCAAUUUCGAGCCCUAUCAUGUUAAGUUUCUCAAUCUUCUUCACUAAGUUUCUUUCUGAUUUUUGCGCCUUGCUUCAACAUUUCCACAUGGUUAUUAAACCAACACCUCAUAAUAAGAGACCAUUGUGUAUAUUUCAGGUCGGUACUCGCCAUUGCAAAAUCUGUCAACAAACAUGAGAGGAGAGGGAUGGUGACCAAUGGAGCAUCGCGCCAUCCAUCGACCAAAGUCUUUUCUAGAAUGCUUGAAAUACGUUCACACGACGAGGGUUGAGAUAUGAGCGCAUCAUGUCCAUUGCCAAAAUAUCCUCUUUCGAGCUUGAUGUAGUUAAGUUUCCUAAUUAGGCACUAUGUUUGUUCUCCGAGAGCUCUAGGAGUACGUGAUGGGGGAGAGAUUGUGGGCAAAUGUGCAUCGUGUCAGCCAUAUACCGAAGGAUACACGAGAUUUGUUUGUCAUCAGUAUGUCAUCUAUGUAUAGGGUGACAUUCUAUCUUCCGAGCUAGUAGACAUAUACAUACAUUGCUCACUGCAGGGACCCAGAUUCUUACCUCACAAAAAAAUCCAAUCCCAGCACUUCCCUUUCAUAAUAUAUUAGACCACUUAUUAGACCUAGAUACAUCCAAUGAGGACUGACAUACCCGUCUAUCAGGAGUUGCUACUAAAAUCACCUCUGUCGAGCUCCCUUGUAGUUGAGUUUCUCAAUUUUAGCACUAAGUUCCUUUUUCAUAACCUCUUCCUCUAUUGAGCAGGUGAAGGGAGAGGGGUUGUUUCCAAAUGUGCAUUGGCCAUCCCUUGAAAGAAGAACAUAUCUGAUUCGCCUAUGACAAGGCACUAGGUGCAAUUUUCUCAUGACAAGGCAAAAUCUCUCAACCAAUGCCAGCAGAGACGGAUGGUGAUAAAAUGACCAUUGAUAUUUGCAGCAUAUGGAUGCCUAGCUCAUUAAAACGAGGCACUAGGUGGAAUAUAUAUAGGUGUUCGUGUGCUCAACCAUUGAGCGUCGGAAACCUCCUCUUUUUGAGCUAUACGGAGUUAAGUUUCUGAUAUUUACCCCUAAGUUUCUUUCCCAUGAGCUCUAUGGAAGGGUGACCAAAUAUGCGCUCGCCGACUCUAUCGUGUUAAGUUUCUCAAUCUUCUUCACUAAGUUUCUUUCUGAUUUUGGCACCUAGACGGGCCGCUCAUUAAAACAAGGUAGUAUGUGGAAUAUAUGUAGGUGUUAGGUGUGCUUCACCGGCGAGCGUUGUAAACCUCCUUUUUCUGAGCCAUAUGGAAUUAAGUUUCUCAUAUUUAGCCUUAAGUUUCUCUCCCGUGAGCUCUACGGAAGGGUCACCAAAUAUGCGUUCGACGACUCCUCGUUCGAUCGAAUGGUACACGUGAUUCUCCCGUGGCAGACGAGCGUUGCCUAAUUCCAAUUUCGUGCCCUAUCAUGUUUAGUUUCUCAAACUUCUUCACUAAGUUUCUUUCUAAUUUUUGCCCCUUGCUUCAGCAUUUCCACAUGGUUAUUAAACCAACACCUCAUGAUAAGAGACCGUUGUUUAUAUUUCAGCUCGGUACUCGCUGUUGCAAAAUCUCUCAACAAACAUGAGAGGAGAGGGAUGGUGACCAAAGGAGCAUCAUGCCAUCCAUCGACCGACGUGUAUUUGAUAUUUACCUGCGAAGUAUUUUCCAGAACACAUGAAAUACAUUCACAUGACGAGGAUAUGAGGGCAUCAGGUCCAUCGCCAAAAUCGCCUCUUUCGAGCUUGAUGUAGUUAAGUUUCCUAAUUAGGCACUAAGUUUGUUCUCCGUGAGCUCUAGGAGUACGUGACGGGGGAGGGAUUGUGGUCAAAUGUGCAUCGAGUCAGCCAUAUACCGAAGGACACACGAGAUUUGUUUGUCAUCAGUACAUAGUCUAUGUAUAGGGUGACAUUCUAUCUCCUGAGCUCGUAGACAUAUACAUACGUUGCUCACUACAGGGACCCAAAUUCUUACCUCGCAAAAAAUCCAAUCCCAGCGCUUCCCUUUCAUAAUAUAUUAGACCUAUAUACAUCCAAUGAGGACUGAGAUACCCAUCUAUCGGGAGUUGCUACUAAAAUCACCUCUGUCGAGCUCCCUUGUAGUUAAGUUUCUCAAUUUUAGCACUAAGUUCCUUUUUCAUAACUUCUAUUAAGCAGGUGAUGGGAGAGGGGUGGUUUACAAAUAUGCAUUGGCCAUCGCUCGGUAGAAGAACAUAUCUGAUUCGACUAUGACGAGGCACUAGGUGCAAUUUUCUCAUGACAAGGCAAAAUCUCUCAACCAGUGCCAGCGAAGACGGAUGGUGAUCAAAUAACCAUUGAUAUUUGCAGCAUAUGGAUGCGUAGCUCAUUAAAAUGAGGCACUAGGUGGAAUAUAUAUAGGUGUUCUUGUGCGCAACUUGUGAGCGUCGGAAACCUCCUCUUCUUGAGCCAUAUGGAGUUAAGUUUCUCAAAUUUACCCCUAAGUUUCUUUCCCAUGAGCUCUACGAAAGGUUGACCAAAUAUGCACUCGCCGACUCAAUCGUGUUAAGUUUCUCAAUCUUCUUCGCUAAGUUUCUUUCUGAUUUUGGUGCCUAGACGGGCUGCUCAUUAAAACGAGGUACUAUGUGGAAUAUAUGUAGGUGUUCGGUGUGCUUCACCGGCGAGCAUUGUAAACCUCCUUUUUUUGAGCCAUAUGGAGUUAAGUUUCUCAUAUUUAGCCUUAGGUUUCUUUCCCAUGAGCUCUACGGAAGGGUCACCAAAUAUGCAUUCGACGACUCCUCGUUCGAGCGAAUGGUACAUGUGAUUCUCCCGCAGCAGACGAGCGUUGCCUAAUUCCAACUUCGAGCCCUAUCAUGUUAAGUUUCUCAAUCUUCUUCACUAAGUUUCUUUCUGAUUUUUGCGCCUUGCUUCAGUAUUUCCACAUGGUUAUUAAACCAACACCUCAUGAUAAGAGACCAUUGUGUAUAUUUCAGGUCGGUACUUGCCGUUGCAAAAUUUCUCAACAAACAUGAGAGGAGAGGGAUGGUGACCAAAGGAGCAUCGCGCCAUCCAUCGACCGAAAUAUAUUAGAUAUUCACCUGCGAAGUCUUUUCUAGAACGCACGAAAUACGUUCACACGAGGAGGGUUGAGAUAUGAGGGCAUCAAGUCCAUCACCAAAAUCGCCUCUUCCGAGCUUUAUGUAGUUAAGUUUCCUAAUUAGGCACUAAGUUUGUUCUCUGUGAGCUCUAGGAGUACGUGACAGGGGAGGGAUUGUGAGCAGAUGUUCAUCGAGUCAGCCAUAUACCAAAGGAUAGACGAGGUUUGUUUGUCUUCAGUACGUCACCUAUGUAUAGGGUGACAUUCUAUCUUCCGAGCUUGUAGACAUUGUUGGGGAACGCGGUAAUUUCAAAGAAAAUCCUACGAUCACGCAAGAUCUAUCUAGGUGAUGCGUAGCAACAAGAGGGGAGAGUGUUGUCUACGUACCCUCGUAGACCAAAAGCGGAAGCAUUUAGUUAACGUGGUUGAUGUAGUCGAACGUCUUCGCGAUCCAACAUAUCCAAGCACCGAACGUACAGCACCUCCGCGUUCAGCACACGUUCAGCUCGAUGACGUCCCUCGUACUCUUGAUCCAGUUGAGGCCGAGGGAGAGUUUCGUCAGCACGAUGGCGUGGCGAUGGUGAUGAUGAAGUUACCAGCACAAGGCUUCGCCUAAGCACUACGACGAUAUGACCGAGGUGUUUAACUAUGGAGGGGGCACCGCACACGGCUAAAAGAUCAACUUGUGUCUCUAUGGGAUGAGGGGAGGGAAGAGGUGGCCGACCCAAGGGGGGCGCUAGGUGUGGGGAAUCCUACUAGGACUCCCCAGUCCAAGUAGGAUUCCCCUCCUCUUUCCUAUUCCAAGUAGGAGAAGGAGGGAAGGAGGAAGAGGGGAAAAGGAAGGAGGGGGGCGCCGCCCCGUCCUAGUCCAAUUCGGACCAGCCCAUGUGGAGGGGGGGUGGGGGCACGGCCACCCCUUGAGGCUCUUCUCUCCUUUCCCGUAUGGCCCAUAAAGGCCCAUUACUUCCCCCACGAAUUCCCGUAGCUCUCCAGUACUCCAAAAAAUACCCGAAUCACUCGGAACCUUUCCGAUGUCCGGAUAUAGCCUUCCAAUAUAUCGAUCUUUAUGUCUCGACCAUUUCGAGACUCCUCGUCGCGUCCGUGAUCUCAUCCGGGAUUCCGAACAACUUCGGUCAUCGAAUCACAUAACUCAUAAUACAAAUCGUCAUCGAACGUUAACCGUGCGGACCCUACGGGUUCGAGAACUAUGUAGACAUGGCCGAGACACAUCUCCGGUCAAUAACCAGUAGCGGAACCUGGAUGCUCAUAUUGGCUCCUACAUAUUCUACGAAGAUCUUUAUCGGUCAAACCACAUAACAACAUAUGUUGUUCCCUUUGCAUCGGUAUGUGACUUGCCCGAGAUUCGAUCGUGCUAUCAUGAUACCUAGUUCAAUCUCGUUACCGGCAAGUCUCUUUACUCAUUUCGUAAUACUUCAUCCUGCAACAACUCAUUAGUUACAAUGCUUGCAAGGCUUAUAGUGAUGAGCAUUACCGAGAGGGCCCAGAGAUACCUCUCCGAAACACGGAGUGACAAAUCCUAAUCUCGAUCUAUGCCAACCCAACAAACACCUUCGGAGGCACCUGUAGAGCACAUUUAUAAUCACCCUUUUACGUUGUGACGUUUGGUAGCACACAAAGUGUUCCUCCGGUAUUCAGGAGUUGCAUAAUCUCAUAGUCUGAGGAAAAUGUAUAAGUCAUGAAUAGAGCAGUAGCAAUGAAACUGUAACGAUCAUAAUGCUAAGCUAACGGAUGGUCAUGUCCAUCACAUCAUUCUCCUAAUGAUGUGAUCCCUUUCAUCAAAUGACAACACAUGUCUAUGGUUAGGAAACAUAACCAUCUUUGAUUAACGAGGUAGUCUAACAGAGGCAUACUAGGGACACUAUAUAUUGUCUAUGUAUUCACACAUGUACUAAGUUUCCAGUUACUACAAUUCUAGCAUAAAUAAUAAACAUUUAUCAUGAUAUAAGGAAAUAAAUAAUUGCCUCUACGGCAUAUUUCCUUCAGUCUCCCACUUGCAGUAGAGUCAAUAAUCUAGUUCACAUCGCCAUAUGAUUUAACAUCAAUAGUUCACAUCUGUAUGUGAUUAACACCUAUAGUUCACAUCGCCAUGUGACCAACAACCAAAGGGUUUACUAGAGUCAAUAAUCUAGUUCACAUUCCUAUGUGAUUAACACCCAAAGAUUACUAAGGUGUGAUCAUGUUUUGCUUAUGAGAGAAGUUUAGUCAACGGGUCUGUCACAUUCAGAGCCGUAUGUAUGUUGCAAAUAUUCUAUGUCUACAAUGCUUUGUAUGGAGCUACUCUAGCUAAUUGCUCCCACUUUCAAUAUGUAUCCAGAUUGAGACUUAGAGUCAUCUGGAUCGGUGUAAAAGCUUGCAUCGACGUAACAAUUUACGACGAACUCUUUAUCACCCCCAUCACUGAGAAACAUUUCCUAAGUCCUCACUAAGGAUAAUUUUGACCGCUGUCCAGUGAUCUACUCUUAGAUCACUAUUGUACCCCCUUGCCAAACUCAUGGCAAGGUACACAAUAGGUCUGGUACACAGCACAACAUACUUUAUAGAACCUAUGACUGUGGCAUAGGGAAUGCCUUUCAUUCUCUUUCUAUUUUCUGUCGUGGUCGGGCUUUGAGUCUUACUCAACUUUACACCUUGUAAUACAGACAAGAACUCCUUCUUUGACUGAUCCAUUUUGAACUCUUCAAAAACUUGUGAAGGUAUUUACUCAUCGAAAUAUCUUAUUAAGCGUCUUGAUCUAUCUCUAUAGAUCUUGAUGCCCAAUAUGUAAGCAGCUUCACCGAGGUCUUUUAUUGAAAAACACUUAUUUAAGUAUCCCUCUAUGUUAUCCAGAAUUCUAUAUCAUUUCCAAUCAACAAUAUGUCAUCCACAUAUAAUAUUAGAAAUGCUACAUAGCUCCCAUUCACUUUCUUGUAAAUACAUGCUUCUCCAAAAGUUUGUAUAAAACCAUAUUCUUUGAUCAUAGUAUCAAAGUGUUUAUUCCAACUCCAAGAGACUUGCACCAGUCCAUAAAUGGAUCACUGGAGCUUGCACACUUUGUUAGCACCCUUUGGAUUGACAAAACCUUCUGGUUGCAUCAUAUACAACUCUUCUUCCAGAAAUCCAUUCAAGAAUGUAGUUUUGACCUCCAUCUGCCAAAUUUCAUAAUCAUAAAAUGAAGCAAUUGCUAACAUGAUUUGGACAGACUUUAAGCAUCGCCACGGGUGAGAAAGUCUCAUCGUAGUCAACUCUUGAACUUGUCGGAAACCUUUUUGCGACAAGUCGAGCUUUAUAGAUAGUAACACUACUAUCAACAUUUGUCUUCCUCUUGAAGAUCCAUUUAUUCUUAAUGGCUUGCCGAUCACCGGGCAAGUCCACCAAAGUCCACACUUUGUCCUCAUACAUGGAUCCCAUCUCAGAUUUCAUGGCCACAAGCCAUUUCGCGGAAUUUGGGCUCGUCAUCUCUUCCUCAUAGUUUGUAGGUUUGUCAUGGUCUAGUAACAUGACUUAUAGAAUAGGAUUAUCAUACCACUCUCGUGCGGAUCGUACUCUGGUUGACCUACGAGGUUCGGUAGUAACUUGAUCUGAAGUUUCAUGAUCUUCAUCAUUAGCUUCCUCACUAAUUGGUGUAGGAAUCACUGGACCUGAUUUCUGUAAUGAACAACUUUCCAAUUCAGGAGAAGGUACAAUUACCUCAUCAAGUUCUACUUUCCUCCCACUCACUUCUUUCGAGAGAAACUCCUUCUCUAGAAAGGAUCCAUUUUAGCAAUAAAGAUUUUGCCUUCAAAUCUGUGAUAGAAGGUGUACCCAACAGUUUCCUUUGGGUAUCAUAUGAAGACGCACUUCUCUGAUUUGUGUUCGAGCUUAUUAGGUUGAAGCUUUUUCACAUAAGCAUCACAGCCCCAAACUUUAAGAAAUUACAACUUUGGUUUCUUGCCAAACCAUAGUUCAUAAGGCGUCGUCUCAAUGGAUUUCGAUGGUGCCCUGUUUAAUGUGAAUGCAGCUAUCUCUAAUGCAUAACCCCAGAAUGACAGUGGUAAAUCGGUAAGAGACAUCAUAGAUCGCACCAUAUCCAAUAAAGUGCGGUUACGACGUUCGGACACACCAUUAUGUUGUGGUGUUCCAGGUGGCGUGAGCUAUGAAACUAUUCCACAUUGUUUUAAAUGAAGCCCAAACUCGUAACUCAAAUAUUCUCCUCCACGAUCAGAUUGUAGAAACUUUAUUUUCUUGUUACAAUGAUUCUCCACUUCACUCUGAAAUUCUUUGAACUUUUCAAAUGUUCCAGACUUGUGUUUCAUUAAGUAGAUAUAACCAUAUCCGCUCAAAUAAUAUGUGAAGGCAAGAAAAUAACGAUACCCGCCACGAGCCUCAACACUCAUUGGACCGCAUACAUCGGUAUGUAUUAUUUCCAAUAAGUCAGUAGCUCGCUCCAUUGUUCUGUAGAAUGGAGUUUUAGUCAUCUUGCCCAUGUGGCACAGUUUGCAAGCACCAAGUGAUUCAUAAUCAAGUGAUUCCAAAAGUCCAUCAUCAUGGAGUUUCUUCAUGCGUGUUACACCGAUAUGACCCAAACGGUUGUGCCACAAAUAAGUUGCACUAUCUUUAUCACUUUGCAUCUUUUGGCUUCAAUACUAUGAAUAUGUGUAUUACCACGAUGGAAAUUCAAUAAACCAUCAACAUUUGGUGUAUGACCAUAGAAGGUUUUAUUCAUGUAAACAGAAUAACAAUUAUUCACUGUCUUAAAUGAAUAACUGUAUUGCAAUUAACAUGAUCUAAUCAUAUUCAUGCUCAAGGCAAACACCAAAUAACAUUUAUUUAAGUUCAACCCAAAUCCCGAAAGUAUAGGGAGUGCUCGAUGAUGAUCAUAUCAAUCUUGGAAGCACUUCCAACACACAUCGUCACUUCAUCCUCAACUAGUCUCUAUUUAUUCUGCAACUCCUGUUUCGAGUUACUAAUCUUAGCAAUUGAACAACUAUCAAAUACCCAGGGAUUACUACGAGCACUAGUAAGGUACACAUCAAUAAUAUGUAUAUCAAAUAUACCUUUGUUCACUUUGCCAUCCUUCUUAUCCGCCAAAUAUUUGGGUCAGUUCCACUUCCAGUGACCAUUUCCUUUGUAGUAGAAGCACUCAGUUUCAGGCUUAGGUCCAGCUUUGGGCUUCUUCACGGGAGUGACAACUUGCUUGCCAUUCUACUUGAAGUUCCUUUUUCCCUUUACCCUUUUCUUCAAACUAGUGGUCUUGUCAAUCAUCAACACUUGAUGCUCUUUCCUGAUUUCUACCUUCAUCAAUUUCAGCAUCACGAAGAGCUCGGGAAUCGUUUUCGUCAUCCCUUGCAUACUAUAGUUCAUCACGAAGUUCCACUAACUUGGUGAUGUUGACUAGAGAACUUUGUCAAUCACUAUCUUAUCUGGAAGAUUAACUCCCACUUGAUUCAAGCGAUUGUAGUACCCAGACAUUCUGAGUACAUGCUCACUAGUUGAGCAAUUCUCCUCCAUCUUUCGGGUCAAGUACUUGUCGAAGGCCUCGUACCUCUCGACACGGGCAUGAGUUGAAAAUACCAAUUUCAUCUCUUGGAAUAUCUCAUACGCUCUGUGGCGUUCAAAACGUUUUUGAAGUCCCGAUUAUAAGCCGUAAAGCAUGGUGCACUAAACUAUCAAGUAGUCAUCAUACUGAUCUAGCCAAACGUUCAUAACGUCUGCGUCUGCUCCUGCAAUAGGUCUGUCACCUAGCGGUGCAUCACUGACAUAAUUCUUCUAUGCAACAAUGAGGAUAAACCUCAGAUCACGGACCUAGUCCGCAUCAUUGCUACUAUCAUCUUUCAACUUAGUUUUCUCUAGGAACACAUAAAAAAAUAGGGAAGCUAUAGCGCGAGCUAUUGAUCUACAACAAAAUUUGCAAAAUACUAUCAGGACUAAGUUCAUUAUAAAUUAAAGUUCAAUUAAUCAUAUUACUUAAGAACUCCCACUUAGAUAGACAUUCCUCUAGUCAUCUAAAUGAUCACGUGAUCCAAAUCAACUAAACCAUGUCCGAUCAUCACGUGAGAUGGAGUAGUUUUGAAUGGUGAACAACACUAUGUUGAUCAUAUCUACUGUGUGAUUCACGCUCGACCUUUCGGUCUCCAGUGUUUCGAGGCCAUAUCUGCAUAUGCUAGGCUCGUCAAGUUUAACCCGAGUAUUCCGCGUGUGCAGAAAUGGCUUGCACGCGUGGUAUGUGAACGUAGAGCUUAUCACACACGAUCAUCACGUGGUGUCUCGGCAUGAAGAACUGUCGCAACGAUGCAUACUCAGGGAGAACACUUAUGUAACAUCCGAAAUUUUUCAAUUUGGAAUGUUAUACAUAGAUCAUCUUUGCAUAUCAUAUUUUAUUGCAUUCUUGAUCCUAGAAAUUCUAACCAACUCAAGGACCCACGGAGAGAGUUGGGUUCAUUAUUUUCAUAUUUGAGUUUUCUCAAAUUUUGAAAAUGAGGAUCAUUUGGUUUUAAUUAAUUUUCUCUCCUAAAUAUUUCAAAUAUCAAAAUAAAUGAGAGGAGAUAAUAUGACUUCUCCAAAAUAAAAGAAAUAUUGGAGGAAAUAUUAAAAUCAAAUUUUAGUUCUUUUUGGAGUUUUAUUGCUAUUUUAUUUGUAGUAGAAAAAUAUGCAUAAUUUUCAAAAAAUGCAUUUUAGGGCAAGAAAAUGUUCACUUUGUUCUAUUUUAAUUAGACGGUGAAAAUUUGUUUUGGCAUUUUUAGUUUUUUAUUUUAUUUAUUAGGAUUUUUUUUCUGUUUGGCGGAACUAUUUAAAAAAAAUAAAAAAUCCGUUCGGACCGACCGGGCCGAAGCCCAGCCACCACAAGCCGCUGCCCCGACCCCGAGCGGGAGUCCUGCGCCGCGCCCCCGCCUGCCGUGGCCGAGCCGGCCUCGCCCCGCUGCCUUGCCCCCUCCCCCAAGCCACCUUGCCCCCCUCCAUAAAUACCACCGCCGCUGACACCCACCACCACCCCAAGCCACGCCGCCAGCCCCGCCGCCUGCGCGCACGCCGCCGCCGUCGCUGCUACCGCCUAGCGCCGUCGCCGCCACUUCUCACUGCUGUGCCGCCGCUGCCUAGUCCCGCCGGAGCCUCGCCGAAAGUAUACGCCGCCGCCGCCAUCGUUCGGUUUAUUUUAAAACCGUCCGUUUUAAAAAAAACCUAGUUUCGUUUUUUUAGUUUAGAUCGGUUCGGUUUUCCGGUUUAGUUAUUUAGCGGAUGUUCGUCCGUACGUUCAUUUUAACGAACAGUGUUCACCCAUUAGCCGCAGACAGCGAACGUUCAUUCGUUAGGCUGUUCGUCAGUUUUCUUUUUCCAGGGUUUUUCCGCGGUUAUUUUCGAUCGCGAUAUCAGCACUGUUCUUUGUUUUAGUUUAUCUUUUUGCUCGUUUGUUGGAAUCAGGCGAUUCAAGCGCCUAGAUCUUCGUUUCAAAGCCCUCUUUCCGCUUAACCAACUUGAACAAGAUUUUGGUACUGUAAUAUUUGACUUUAGUCCAGAUUAGUAAUCGGAUCUUGUUUCUGUCGCAGUUAGAGUUUGGUUGCUUCAUUUGAGUUGAUUCUUUUUGCAAACCGGAGUUCUUAAGUUGAACUUUCUGGCUAGAUCUUAUUUUAUUUGAGUUUUACCCGUGAUUUUAGUUGAGUGCUUAUGUAUGUUAUUGUUUGUUUACGAUAGAGUACCCGGAGUGCGAAGCGUGCUACCACGAGUCUCUAGGGUUUUCAGAUCAUCAGCAAGGCAAGUAACACUUUGAUCAUAUAUCUUUACUACCCAGUUUUAUUGCAUUAGAUCAACCCUCAAACAUUGCAUAAUUAGGAUCUGAAUAACAUGUGGGUAUUGGGAAGUAGAUGAUGAGGUAGAACCUAUUGUCCUGUUUAUUAUCAAACCUUUGGGAGUUACAUCUGCGAUGCUUAUAUUGCUAUGCUAUGCUCGUAGAUGUGGUUUGGUUGAGUGUAUCCAUGACAGAUGUGAGUAUUGCUAAUUAAUGGUUAACUUAAGGUGGCUACUUAAAUACACAUCUGGGUGGAUUGCUUGUGGGCACCUGGAGAAUCCAGUGUUGUCCUAGGAUAUCCCAGGGUUCCGUGUGAUCAUCCUAAGGUCCGCCACCCAGGCUCAAAGGGAUCAUAAGAUUAUUCAUGCUAGAAACUUCCGUGUGCAGCCACAAGCUAUUAUGGGCUCUAGCAUAGUUGAUUAAGUUGCAUGACCUCUUUCAGUGGUGGGCUAGUAGAUGUAGGGGAAAGUAGGUGUAACUGUCCAUCCAGGGUAAAGAGUUAUUGUUCCUGAAAGACUGUGUCUCGGUCAUCCGUUUCUCAAACACCAUGUCGUGCGAGAAAUCCAACGGAGGAGAUCGAGUCUUGUGGGGAAAAGUGCGCAAACCUCUGCAGAGUGUACAAACUAAUCAUGGUUAGCCGUGUCCCCGGUUAUGGACAUCUUGAAUAUCUGGUUCUUGGAUUAUCAUGUUGAUCUCAUCACUCUAAAUUAAAUAAUUUGGUUGGGUUUAAUGAUGAUGCUUAAUUGGGAUUGAGUUGGUGGAACCUUCUCAAUGUUUAACAACCACCAUGAUAGUUAAAUAAAAUUUACUCCUUUGUUGUAGGGAAAAAUUGGCUUUAUGCAAAACCGUAACCAUAGAGCUUUCCACCAGCCAAACUGCAUGUAGUGAUAGCAUUUAUUCUGUUCAUUACUCUAUGUGUUACAUUGCCAGCAUAUUCCAUGUGCUGACCCGUUUCGGGCUGCAACGUUUCAUGUUGCAGACUUUUCAGACGACGAGUAAGGUGCCAUAGGUCGUUAUCUUUCACUCAGCUAUGCCGUCGGAGUUGAUGGAAUCACUGUAUCUUCCAAGCCUUCCGCUGUUAUAGUUUUUAGAUGGCGUUAAGCCAUAUUAUUGUAAUAAGUUCUCUUUGAGACAUUCGAUAUAAUAAGUGUGUGAUUGCUACUCUGUUAUAAAUCCUCGAGUACUCUGUGUGUCAGCAUUACCGAUCCAGGGAUGACACUGAUGCACAGAUAUCAGACUGUUUGAGGUCUGGUUGCUACAACUUAUACCUUGAAAUUUUAGUAAGGGAUCAUCUUAUAAUGCUACCGCCAAAGUAAGCAAAAUAAGAAUAUAAAAGAUAAACAUCACAUGCAAUCAAAAUAUGUGACAUGAUAUGGCCAUCAUCAUCUUGUGCCUUUGAUCUCCAUCUCCAAAAUACCAUCAUGAUCUCCAUCGUCACCGGCAUGACACCAUGAUCUCCAUCAUCUUGAUCUUUAUCAACGUGUCAUCACAUGGUCGUCUCGCCAACUAUUGCUUUUGCAACUAUUGUUAUCGCAUAGCGAUAAAGUAAAGCAAUUACAUGGCGCUUGCAUCUUAUGCAAUAAAGAGACAACCAUAAGGCUCAUGCUAGUCGCCGAUAACUUUAACAAAACGUGAUCAUCUCAUACAACACAUCAUGUCUUGACCAUAUCACAUCACAACUUGCCCUGCAAAAGCAAGUUAGAUGUCCUGUAAUUUAUUGUUGCAAGUUUUACGUGGUUGCUACGGGCUUCUAGCAAGAACUGUUCUUACCUACACAUCAAAACAACAACGAUUUUUCGUCAAGUGUGUUGUUUUAAACUUCAACAAGGACUGGGCGUAGUCAAACUCGAUUCAACUAAUGUUGGAGAAACAGACACCCGCUAGCCACCUGUGUGCGAAGCACGUCGGUAGAACCAGUCUCAUGAACGCGGUCAUGUAAUGUCGGUCCGGGCCGCUUCAUCCAACAAUACCGCCGAAUCAAAGUAUGACAUGCUGGUAAGCAGUAUGACUAUUAUCGCCCACAACUCUUUGUGUUCUACUCGUGCAUAUAACAUCUACGCAUAAACCUGGCUCGGAUGCCACUGUUGGCAAAGCAGUAAUUUCAAAAAAAUUCCUACAAUCACGCAAGAUCUAUCUAGGUGAUGCAUAGCAACAAGAGGGGAGAGUAUUGUCUACGUACCCUCGUAGACCGAAAGCGGAAGCGUUUAGUUAACACGGUUUAUGUAGUCGAACGUCUUCGCGAUCCAACCAAUCCAAGCACCGAAUGUACGGCACCUCCACGUUCAGCACACGUUCAGCUCGAUGACGUCCCUCGUGCUCUUGAUCCAGUUGAGGCCGAGGGAGAGUUUUGUCAGCAUGACGGCGUGGCGACGGUGAUGAUGAAGUUACCGGCGCAGGGCUCCGCCUAAGCACUACGAUGAUAUGACCGAGGUAUGUAACUAUGGAGGGGGGCACCGAACACGGCUAAAAGAUCAACUUGUGUCUCUAUGGGGUGCCCCUUGGCCACGUAUAUAAAGGUGGGUAGGGAAGAGGUGGCCAGCCCAAGAGGGGCGCCAGGUGUGGGGAAUCGUACUAGGACUCCCCAGUCCAGGUAGGGUUCCCCUCCUCUUUCCUAUUCCUAGUAGGAGAAGGAGGGAAGGAGGAAGAGGGGAGAAGGAAGGAGGGGGGCGACGCCCCAUCCUAGUACAAUUUGGACCAGCCCAUGGGGGGGGGGCACCUCUUGAGGCCCUUCUCUCCUUUCCCGUAUGGCCCAUUAAGGCCCAUUACUUCCCCCGGCGAAUUCCCGUAACUCUCCGGUACUCCAAAAAUACCCGAAUCACUCGGAACCUUUCCGAUGUCCGAAUAUAGCCUUCCAAUAUAUCGAUCUUUGCGUCUCGACCAUUUCGAAACUCCCCGUCAUGUCUGUGAUCUCAUCCGGGACUCCGAACAAACUUCAGUCAUCAAAUCACAUAACUCAUAAUACAAAUCGUCAUCGAACAUUAAGCGUGCGGACCCUACGUGUUCGAGAACUAUGUAGACAUGACCGAGACACAUCUCCGGUCAAUAACCAAUAGCGGAACCUGGAUGCUCAUAUUGGCUCCUACAUAUUCUACGAAGAUCUUCAUCGGUCAAACUGCAUAACAACAUACGUUGUUCCCUUUGUCAUCGGUAUGUCACUUGCCCGAGAUUCGAUCGUCGGUAUCAUCACACCUAGUUCAAUCUCAUUACCGGCAAGUCUCUAUGCUCAUUCUGUAAUACUUCAUCCCGCAACUAACUCAUUAGUUUCAAUGCUUGCAAGGCUUAUAGUGAUGAGCAUUACCGAGAGGGCCCGGAGAUACCUCUUCGAAACAUGGAGUGACAAAUCCUAAUCUCGAUCUAUACCAACCCAACAAACACCUUCGGAGGCACCUGUAGAGCACCUUCAUAAUCACCCUUUUACGUUCUGACGUUUGGUAGCACACAAAGUGUUCCUCCGGUAUUCGGGAGUUGCAUAAUCUCAUAGUCUCAGGAACAUGUAUAAGUCAUGAAGAGAGCAGUAGCGAUGAAACUAUAACGAUCAUAAUGCUAAGCUAACGGAUGGGUCAUGUCCAUCACAUCAUUCUCCUAAUGAUGUGAUCCCGUUCAUCAAAUGACAACACAUGUCUAUGGUUGGGAAACAUAACCAUCUUUGAUUAACGAGCUAGUCUAGUAGAGGCAUACGAGGGACACUAUGUAGUGUCUAUGUAUUCACACAUUUACUAAGUUUCUGGUUAAUACAAUUCUAGCAUGAAUAAUAAACAUUUAUCAUGAUAUAAGUAAGGAAAUAAUAACUUUAUUAUUGCCUCUAGGGCAUAUUUCCUUCAGACAUAGCAUAUUUCCUUUAGACAUAUACAUACGUUGCUCACUGCAGGGACCCAGAUUCUUACCUCACGAAAAAAUCCAAUCCCAGCACUUCCCUUUCAUAAUAUAUUAGACCACUUAUUAGGCCUAGAUACAUCUAGUGAGGACUGAGAUACCCGUCUAUCAGGGUUGCUACUAAAAUCACCUCUGUCGAGCUCCCUUGUAGUUAAGUUUCUCAAUUUUAGCACUAAGUUCCUUUUCAUAACCCCUUCCUCUAUUGAGCAGGUGAUGGGAGAGGGGUGGUUUCCAAAUGUGCAUUGGCCAUCCCUUGAUAGAGGAACAUAUCCGAUUCGCCUAUGAGAAGGCACUAGGUGCAAUUUUCUCAUGACAAGGCAAAAUCUCUCAACCAGUGACAGCGGAGACAGAUGGUGAUCAAAUGACCAUUGAUAUUUGUAGCAUAUGGAUGCGUAGCAAAUUAAAAAUCACCUCUUUCGAGCUUGAUGUAGUUAAGUUUCCUACUUAGGCACUAAGUUUGUUCUCCGUGAGCUCUAGGAGUACGUGACGGGGGAGGGAUUGUGGGCAAAUGUGCAUCGAGUGUCGGUGUGAAAACCGGCGGAUCUCAGGUAGGGGGUCCCGAACUGUGCGUCUAAGGCUAAUGGUAACAGGAGGCGGGGGACACGAUGUUUACCCAGGUUUGGGCCCUCUCUAUGGAGGUAAUACCCAACUUCCUGCUAGAUUGAUCUUGAUGAUAUGAGUAUUACAAGAGUUGAUCUAGCACGAGGUCGAUGAGGCCAACCCUAGAAGCUAGCCUAUGAUGAUGAUUGUUUAUCUUGGUCCUACGGACUAAACCCUCCGGUUUAUAUAGACACCGGAGGGGGCUAGGGUUACCCGGAGUCAGUUAUAGAGAAGUAAAUCUACAUAUCCGAAUCGCCAAGCUUGCCUUCCACACAAAUGAGAGUCCCAUCCGGACACGGGACGAAGUCUUCUAUCUUGUAUCUUCAUAGUCCAAUAGUCCGGCCAAAGUAUAUAGUCCGGCUGUCCGAGGACCCCUUAAUCCAGGACUCCCUUAGUAGCCCCUGAACCAGGCUUCAAAUACAAUUGAGUCCGGCGCGCAGAUUGUCUUCGGCAUUGCAAGGCGGGUUUCUUCUCCGAAUACUCCAAAGUAGAUCUUGAACACAAGAAUCGUGUUCGGCUCUGCAAAAACAAAUUCCACAUACCACCUUAGAGAGCAUACUAUUUCACGGAUCUAAUCUGCUGACAGUUUAUUCAUAGAAUGACAUCACACCAUGGCCCGGUUAUUAUUCAAACCGUUUUAUCAGCCUACCCCAACACGAUUUACGAGGCGCUUUCAUUGGCACGUCUUGUCGAAGCAGAGAUCGUGUCCCCUUAUGACGGGAUACUCAUUAAUACGGGCAUGGGUAACCCAACCGAGCUAUUAGCACGGCGGUUGGGAAAUAAGCGAGUUUUAAGGCAUGUGGGGAGGCGCAUGAUCUGCCUUUAUAAAGGGAUAAGGAUUCCCCUUUCUCACCCACGCCUUCUUCUUCCUCUGCUCAUCCAUCCUCGAGCUCCAACGCCCAAGCUUUCGCCUUCUCCGCAAGAACACUCCAAACAUGUCCAACGCGGGAGGCAAGUGGAUGGCUUCCUCCGUCAAGAAGGAAGAUAUCAAGAAUCUUCGGGAGGCCGGAUAUUUGUCCAAGGACAUCGUGCAUCGGCUUCCGGCCAAGGGGCAGGUCAUCCCUACCCCGGAGCCCCAGGAAAGGGUGGUAUUCCUCUCCCAUUUCGUCCGCGGGCUGGGAUUCCCCCUACACCCGUUCGUCCGCGGACUUAUGUUCUAUUACGGGUUGGAUUUCCAUGAUUUGUCCCCCAACUCCAUCCUCAACAUCUCAGCAUUUGUUGUCGUGUGCGAGUCCUUUCUCCACAUCCCACCUCACUUCGGCCUAUGGCUGAAGACUUUCAAUGUGAAACCAAAAGUGGUGAGCGGCCAACAAGCGGAGUGCGGAGGCGCCAUGGUGGGUAAGAUGCCAAAGGUCACCUGGCUCAAAGGCUCUUUUGUGGAGACCGUAAAGGGGUGGCAAUCGGGGUGGUUCUACAUCACCGAGCCGCGCGACACUAACUGGGCAGCGACCCCCGAAUUCCGAUCCGGCGUUCCCAUGCGGCUCACCUCCUUGACGGAGAAGGGCCUAUCCUGGGGCUUAGCGGAAGAACUGACCGAACUCCAGACAUGUGUCCAAAAUAUGGUGAGCAAGAAAAUCAAGAUCGUCAAUGUGAUCCAAGUCAUGCUCUUCCGCCGGUCCGUGCCAGAGACGGGCUUACAAUUUAUGGGAGUUUGACCCGGCCACACACCAGAUGUUGAAAGAGCUCUUCGACUCGACACACGAACACAUCUAGAAGGUGCUGUUCUAGGCCGGCGAGACACCACCGCCCACGACCGAAGACCGCGGGCUCAGCGCAAAACACCAAGCUAAUCCGGUGAGUCAUCAUAUUCGCGAGACAUGCCCUUUUACUAACAUGCCUGCGGGAGGAACCUAAGCCCCUAUACCAAUCUUUCAGGAUUGGGUAGUAGUGGCGGAGAGGAUCGACUGUCCGGCCCCGCAACCUAAAGAUCUAGAAUCACCUCUCUUGACGAGGAUGCUGUUUCCGGCACCCUAUGAGGUGCCGGAGAAGAAGGCCAAGAAGGCGGCAACGGGGACCAGAGAUGGUCUCUGUCGCAAGGGUGCCUUGGACACGACGUCCGAGGACACCGAGACAAACUCCACCACCGAAGAAGAGGAGGAGGAAAUCCAUCCCCCACCUACUAGGGGGAGGAAGAGGAAGGUCUCCACGCAAGGGAAGGCCGAAACAUCCAAGAAGGGAAAGACUUCCCUUCCGGACUACUCCGCCGCAACUUCCAACAGCAGCGAGGAGUGGGACCCCAGGGUCAAGCCCCUGGCCAAAUCGUAAGUAUCCGGACAUACUAGUAUGCCAGAUCUAUUCGUUUCAUUGCGUCUUACCGUACUAGUUAUGCUACUGCAGCCCGGCCAAUUCCAACAUCGAGAUAUCCUCUUCUUCGGAGGGAUCGUUGGACUCGGCGGGGAAGAACAGCGAGUCUCUACCGACGGCUUCCUCCCCCAAGGGUGUGGACAACACCGAGGUGUUGUCUCAAGGAUGCCGGGCCAAGGGGAGACCACUCCGGAGACGCCGGUGGGUGAGACUCCGGUGACCGAACAUGUGGGGGCAAGGCCCCUGCGGACACCGAGUUUGGGGGCCGCAGCCAGUUUGGCCCCAAGCCGAACUCAGCUCCGGAAAACCAAAAGGUUAUGGAUUCGAGAAAGAGGGCCGCCCCCAGCAAGCGGAGCGAGCCAUCUGUACCAGUGACUUCCGUCCGUCCGGAGGCACCAGACAGGUUGCUGGAAGCGCUUCGCGGCGCAUCCAUUGAUGAAGAACAUCGUACUCUGAUGAGUAUGGUGAUUAAGAAGGUUCAGUCCGCCAAAAACGGAGUGAUAGAAGCCUGCGCCAGCCUUCUAACAGGCUUUGAGGUAAGCACUAAAAUUGUGGAAAAUUUUCACAGCAAAGACAGUAGCCCCUGAUGCUCUGUUAGGUGUUCGGAAAGAAAAGCCGAAUAGAGGAUCCAAUAAUAAUCGCAGGAGUCUAACAGAAAUGUCUUAUGUGAAAUAAGCAGGCGUCGCUACUUGCCGCUGCCGCUCGUACUGCCGAGGUCUCCGGGCUGAAGCAGAGCUUGGCGCGGACCGAGGAAGAACUCGUCCUUCUGAAGGGGCAGUUGGAGGAGAGCCAAUGUAUAUAGUACCCUGCGUGUAAAUUUUAUGAGCAGUAGCUGGUUUGCGCUAAUGAAAGCGUUGUGAACUUUUUGUAGGGGCCACGACCGAGGUGGCGACCCUGAAGAAGGCGUUAGCCGAGGCCGAAGACAAAGUGGCCAAGGAAUGUGCCACAUGUGAGAAGGAUGAGGCCCGGGUCGGUGAGGUGCAGCAAGAGCUCCAGGAUGCCGUCAAGAAGUACGAAUCCUUGGAGCGUGACUCGAAGACUAAAGAGUCCGAGCUUGCCAAGGCCCUCCAGAGUGCACAAGACGCCAGAGCCGAGCCCAGAAAGCCCUCCAGGAAAUCGAGGAGGCCCAAAAGAUUGCGACGGGUAAGGCUUUUCUUAUGCAAAGCAAGCAUGUGAAGGAAACAUUCUUUUUACUUACCCGAAUUCGGAGUUCUCCAGGAGCAUUUGCGGAUUUGACACGCAGUAUAUUAGAUGCCACGGAGUUCUACCGAGCCGAAGAAGGGAGUUCGAUGGAGAAGUUGUUCUGGUCCCAGUACCUUGGGUCAGAGCAUCCGAGGCUCUUAAGCGACCAGCUGAAACAGUUAAUUAGUCGAACGGCACAAGGCGGCCGAACUGGCCAUGAAGGACCUUAUAGUCCGGAUGUGGCCGGUCGAGCCCCUGCCUACCAGUUACUUCGGACUUGUUAAGGGGCUUGUGAGUGCCUGCCCAUGACUUGACGUCAAAAAGCGGUUGGUGUGUAUUGAGGGUGCGCGGAUGGCGUUUGCCUAUGCGAAGGUGCAUUGGGCAAAGAUGAAUGCCAAGGCGCUGAUGACCGAGGGGCCGCUAGAGGGCAAGGAGCACCGUCGUCCCGAGAUGUAUACAGAUGGAGUCCUCGAGGGAGCCCGCAUUGUGGCGGAGCGAUGUGCGAAGGAUGUAAUCUUUGAAUGAAUACAUUCAUUUUAUCCUAUCUUGUAAUAUAAAACAAGUUCGCUAUGCAAUAUGUGUUGCAUGUUUAUUUAAAAUUGUCUCUCCUAUGCGGCCGUUUAUGAAAUUUUGAGACUUGGCCAGUCGUUGGCUUCUGCCCCCUCAUAGCUAGUAUAGGGGUGUUCGGGAUAAAUCCAAACAAUCUUUACCCCAGUUUUGGGUCCUUUAUGGAGGUGUUCGGCGCAACGAACCAGGCAAUCGGACUAUACGGCUUUAUCACUCUCACUUAGCUAGAGAGCUCUAUAACUUUAAAUUUUGGCGAAGCCCCUAGUAUUCGGAAGGCCGAACUUGGGGCGCUAUACACGCCUAAAUCGGGCGAUAACCGAUUCAUCGCUUGAAGCGGGAUAAAAUCUUUAGGGAUUUUGAGACCUCUCGAACAGCGACCAGCUCUCGCUACAUCAUGACAGUCAGUUCUCGGCUUUCUCUACCGAGGUGCUCGUUCGGAAGAACCGGGACACAAUCGCAGUAGUUCUCCCUGUGCCGCCUUAGCCGAUAUAGCGGAACGUAAGGUGGCAAAACAUGGGAGCCGGGCAAACCCAACAUUUGACCAAAGAGAUGAUUCGGAGCCAAUGCAUAUAAUGCUAUAAGUUCGGGGUGCCGAGCUAUACUAUAAAGUGUUCGGACUUUCUUGCCGUGUUAUGGGUGCGUUGAAGCCCCUGGCGAUUUAAAGCGUACCAGAAUGUACGAAUGCAGUAAGUAUAAAGACAGGGAAAAGGAGGAAUAAAAAGAAAAACACAUCAAGUUUGAUUUCCAUUGUCAUUUGAAUGAUACGUCAAGGCGUAUUUGUACCAUACGUGCGAGAAGCGAGCAAGGCUAUUUAACAUGCCGUUUACCAAGAGCAGGCUGUGUGCGGAUAUGUAAACAGGAAUAACGAUCAUUAACAAAGACCACCUGGGGGUUCCUUCAUACGUCAAAGCCCUUGGCUUCUCUUGGUGUAUUCUUCCGCGAUGGGUUCGAUGAUCACGUUUAUCAAAAACGAAGCCUCGAGAAGAGGAGACCUCAAAAGGAGAAGAAGAAAACAAGGUAAAGGUGUGCGGAUCCUGGGGCGGUUGAGCCGUAUUAUGGACCGCCAUCUAGCUGUGCCUCCGUUGAUGCCCAUGGUAUCUUAAGUGCGUAGUUAUGUACGCGCGGCACAAAUUGCGCCGCUUGACUAGGACUAGAACGGAGGCCGAAUUGCUAGGUGCGCUCUGGGCGAGCCGGAUGGUUCUGUUGCAGAGCAGUUCGGACUCGUUUAAGAUUGUCCGGAGGCUUUAUUGCUGAAUUGAGGUUCUGCCUAGAAAGGCCGCUCUGUGCUUCUGCUGCCAGUGCCACGGUGUGCUCCUCCGUGCGGAGGGAGUGCUCCGUAUUUCUAUUGACUGUUAUGACACCGCGGGGUCCGUGCAUCUUGAGCUUGAGAUAGGCAUAGUGUGGCACCGCCUUGAAUCGAGCAAAUGUGGUUCGUCCAAGCAGUGCGUGGUAACCACUUCGAAACGGGACGAUGUCAAAGAUUAACUCCUCGCUUCGGAAGUUAUCCGGGGAUCCUAAUACCACUUCCAGCGUGAUUGAGCCUGUCCAACGGGCCUCUACACCAGGUAUGACACCUUUGAAGGUGGUGUUGGUAGGUUUGAUCCUUGAGGGAUCAAUACCCAUUUUACGCACUGUAUCCUGAUAAAGCAGGUUCAGGCUGCUGCCACUGUCCAUGAGGACUCUUGUGAGGUGGAAUCCGUCGGUUAUAGGGUCAAAGACCAGUGUGGCUGAACCGCCAUGACGAAUACUGGUCGGAUGGUCUCUGUGAUCAAAGGUGAUCGGACAGGAAGACCAUGGGUUGAUUUUUGGGGCGACUGGCUCCAUCGCGUACACGUCCCUUAGUGCACCCUUCCAUUCCCGCUUGGGGAUAUGGGUGGCGUAUAUCAUAUUCACCGUUUUAACUUGGGGAGGAAAUUUCUUCUGUCCCCCUGUGUUCGGUGGCCGGGGCUCCUCGUCGUCAUCGCUAUGCAGCCCCUUUGUAUUUUCGGCAUUUAACUUGCCGGCCUGUUUGAACACCUAGCACUCUCUGUUGGUGUGGUUGGCUGGUUUAUCGGGGGUGCCAUGGAUUUGACAUGGACGAUCUAGGAUACGGUCCAACCUGGACGGACCCAGAUUGUUUCUUUUGAAUGGCUUCUUCCGCUGACCGGACUUGGAGACACUGAAUCCGGCACUGACGGCCGUGUCUUCGGUGUUAUCGCCAUUACUUUGAAGCUUGAAUUUGCUGCAUCGGGGUUUGCCUAUGCUGUCUCGGGUAUAUGAGGCGCCAGGCUUUCCCGACGCACCGCUACUACGGGCUAACCAGCUAUCCUCGUCCGCACAAAAGCGGGUCAUGAGUGUUGUGAGGGCUGCCAUGGAUUUCGGCUUCUCUUGGCCAAGGUGUCGGGCUAGCCACUCGUCGCGGAUGUUAUGUUUAAAGGCCGCUAGGGCUUCGGCAUCCGGACAGUGACAAUCUGGUUCUUUUUAGUUAAAAAUCGAGUCCAGAAUUUCCUAGCUGACUCUCCGGGCUGUUGGGUUAUAUGACUUAAGUCAUCAGCGUCCGGUGGUCGUACAUAGGUUCCCUGGAAGUUGUUAAGAAAUGCGUCUUCCAUGUUCUCCCAACUGCCAAUGGAGUUUUCGAGCAGACUAUUCAACUAGUGCCGAGCUGGUCCAUUGAGUUUUAGUGGGAGGUACUUGAUGGCGUGGAGAUCAUCACUGCGGGCCAUAUGAAUGUGGAGAAGGAAGUCCUCAAUCCACACCAUGGGAUCUGUUGUCCCAUCGUAUGAUUUGAUGUUUACGGGUUUAAACACUUCAGGGAACUCAUGUUCCAUUACUUCAUCCGUGAAGCAUAGGGGGUGUGCAACGCCUCUGUGCCGAGCCACUUCGUGACACAGUUCGGAUGUAGCUGGUCUGUUGUAUUCGGCUUGGGUGGAUUUGUAUGUAGUGUAUCCGGCGUGACAGUCAUCGUCGCGUGUUGAGGCACACCCCCAUGAUGCGUAGAUCGAUCUUGGCUGUCCUGCUUUAUUUUCCAGUUCGUCUCGCAGGUCAUGCGUGUAGCCCCGGGCCUUGGUGUUUUUAUUUGUUCGGCGACGUGGUGCAGGGUGGUGUUCGAGCUGAUACGUCACUUUAUCUCGGCCACGGGGUGGCCGGUCAGCCGCAUCCUGUGUUAGCGCCUCGUCCUCAAAUUGAGGUGACAACUUCCGCCUCGGGUAGCUUUUUUUUGGGCGUUCGAGUCCAUAUUCCUCGGUUGCCAGGACUUCAGUCCAUCUAUCAGCUAGCAGAUCUUGAUCAGCUUGAAGCUGUUGCUGCUUCUUAUUUAGGCUUUUUGCAGUGGCUAUAAGCCGUCGCUUGAAGCUUUCCUGCUCGGCGGGAUCCUCAGGCACGGUUAAUUCGUCAUAGCCGAGGCUCACCUCAUCCUUUGAGGGGGGCAUGUAGUUGUCCUCCUCCGAUUUUCAUUAGUGGCCUGUUCAUUAGGGCUGGCUUGCCCGACCCCUUGUCCGGCCUGUUCUUAUCCAGGCUGGGUGGGGUUGUCUUCAUUGUCUUCGGCAUCGUCCCAAUUGCUAUUGUCUCAGGUGCCGGUAUCACUAUUUUUGCUAUGGCAUGGUUUAGAGUGGCGCCGCUGACGUCGGUGCUUCGGCUUCUUUUCGAGAGGUUUGUCCUCACAUGUAUCCUUUUUUUCCUCGCCAUUAUCUUCUUUGGGGGUAUCCACCAUGUAAAUGUCAUAUGACGAGGUGGCUAUCCAGCGCCCUGUGGGCGGUGGUUCCUCUUCUUCUCCCGCAUCGUCGUCCAUACUGUCGAUGUCUUCGGAGCCGAAGUCUGGCAUGUCGGUCAAGUCAUCGACAGUGGCUACCAAGUGGGUGGUGGGUGGGCAGCGAAAUUCUUUGUCGUCGGCUUCCCACUCAAGCCGGACAUAGUUCGGCGGAGAGUGCUCUGACAAGGAGAGGGACUUCAAUGAAAUUAACACGUCGCCCAAGGGCGAGUGUUGAAAGAUGUCCGCGGAGGUAAACUACAAGAUCGGUGCCCAGUCCGUUUUGAUGGGCGCGGACACACGCGGUUCGGAACCCGUAUCCGGAGACGAGUCCGGGGGCCCGAAGACACAGGUGAGGGAUUGUGACACCCAAUUUUUUUUUUGGUUUUAUCAAAAUCUUUUCUUUGAUUUGAGGAGGGUAUUUAAAUUUUCUUCUAAAGAACCCUCCCUCUCAAAAACUUUCUUUUAUGACAAGUGUUUUGUUUGGAUUCACCCAAGACUUGAUUUUCUGGUCUUGGAGGUUUUACCCAUCAUAUGUGGAUUCAAAACCAAAUGCUUUUCACUUGGGAGAUUUCUUUUGAAAAAUCUUUUAAAAUAGCCUUAUGGCAUUUGGAGUGAUCUUCUCCCCCUUUUCUAAAUCUCUUCUUGCCAUGACAUGAGUGGAAAUCCCCCCAUAAGCCUUUCCCCAUCUUUGGAUCAUGAUAUACUUCAAAUCCAGCAGUUUGAACCUCCCCAUAUUCUUCCUUCCAUUUAUUUCUCAUCAAAAAUAAUUUCUGCCCUCUACUCUAGCUCUUGGAGAUUUACAAAGGAGCUACCCUUUCUACUUUGAGUUUUGCCUCCAAACUAAUUUCACUAGCUAGUCCUUAGAGCCCUCAACCAAGAUCCAUGAAGAUCCACUGGUCUCCAGUUCAAAUAUUUCAAAUUGUGCUUGCUGCAAGUUUGGACCAUGUUUGCCAAAUUUGAUGAAAUUCAAUUGUUUUCUCGUCCUAAAAAUCUGAGAAAAUUCAGGCAGCCUCUGGGUGCAUUGAGAGGUCACCUCACCAAGUCCCAGCUCCAGAAAAAAAAUUCUUCGUGCCAAAUCAUUUCGUCGAACACCUGAUGGACACUGUUGCUGUCAAUGUUCAGAGUUCAGUUAAACAGUUUUAGUAACCACUGUCGUUUUCUUCAGAGCUCGUUCUCGAUCUCGCCAGUACCACGGUGGCGCCUUGCUCCCUGUUCCCUCCUUCUUAUCCCUGCGCCGCACGAUCGUCUGGAGGCUAGCGGGCGUCGGCGACGAGCAGGCGGAGGUGCGCCACCCCGUGAGCAACGGCAGCAGCGGCUUUGCGGCUGCCAGAGAGAGGCGCAGCAUGGACGGCGCCGUCCAGCGCCGCCCAAGCCACCAGAGGCCGCCGCGUGGCCCUCCACUCACCCGUGCACGCUGCCAUCCUUCGUCAUGAACUGCUAGGCGCCGAGCGCGCUCUCUCCCGCCGCCGUGCUCGUACGGCCGCCCCGUCGAGGAUCGGCGCAUUACGCCUAGCCCGACCGAAGUUUAUCAGGGGAACGGCACCAGUAAUCCUCCCUGAUGGUGCCUAGCCGCAUAAACCCCCUGCCCAACCCCUGCCUCGCUGUAAUCGCUCGCCGGAGAUAUCCCGUUCACGGCCACCCCUCAGAUCGCCUAUAAAAGGAGGCCCCGAGCUCGAACUCGAACCCACACCACCUCUGCACACCACCAAUACCACACCAAGCCACUAGAAGAGCCCCGAGGGAACCUUCUUCCCCAACUCCGGCCGCCUCGACCCGCCACGGGACUCAGCUCGAUUCACUCCCGUGCGUGCACCUCUCCCCCUCAGCUCUUGCCAGCAGCCUUCUAGUGCAUCCACUCUUCUGACCCGCGCUUCAAUUUGGAGUUUUGCAGCACCCACCGGAGUUCUCCACCAUCGCCCGAACCACCGUCCGCCGGAGAAAGUGUCGCCGCCGACGUGGUGCUCUCCGUCGGCCAAGUCCACCACCCACCGACGCGGAAGAACACACUGAACCUCUUGGUACCCUCCGAUCUCUCUGCCUCGCCGUGGUUCAACGCCAGCGACCGCCGCAGCCUUCGGGCGCCGGUGAGCUCCAUUGGAGUUUUAAACCUGACGGGUGGACCCCCCGUCAGCCUCUCUUCUUUCCCCCCCUCGAACCGUUCUCUGUUGGUGCCUUCGGGCAAAUGCGCUUUCUCUUUGGGCUGGCACCUUUUAUUCCGAACCGUUUUCUGCUUUCUCAAACAAGUCCCUGGUUCUUUUCUGUUUGAUCACAGAUCAGUCCCUGGACUAAAACCCUUAUAACUUUUUAAUAAAAGGUGAUUUUUGUUUGAUUCUUUUUCUGACAGUCUUGUAUUUUUGUCUAGUUUUUUAUAGUAUUUAUUUGGAAAAUUUUUGGAACAAUUUUUAUGCACGCGACGAUUUUCACGUUAGUGAACGGUUUCGAUAUACCGUAGGUUCCGGAGGAGGUGACGGAGCCGCGAACUUCGCCGAGCUAGACUCCGACUUCUCCGAACCAGGCAAGCAUGUUUGAACCUUUGAUAUGAUAGGUGUUUUGCAUGUUUGCUUGAAUGGUUUUUGCAUGUCAUAUGAGCAUCGGUGAGUAUUACGUUGCAUGAAAGGCAACUAUCCUUGUGUUCCGAAGUUACUGUGAUCUUCGAUGAAAGAUGACCUGAUCAUGUGGUGACAUGAAAGGUAGUGAGGUGGUAUUGUUGUAGCAUGCCAGCCUUACGUCAUCCGUUAAACUCCGACGUUAACGUGGACUGAGUCACGUUACCGUUCCUUCCCUUUCGUGCUGCCACAUGUUUUCUGCAAAGAAUACGGUUUAGUAAGUUGUUAACCUCUUUCCUUGUACACACCAAAUAGAGGGGCCAGGAUGAGGGUUCCAUGGCCCUGGAUUAAAGCCAGUCAUCCGGUCAGGGGGCAUGGGUGUUUCUGGUUGGGACCGAGAGGGGGGCACCCCUUAGAGCGCGCGUAUAUAAAUUUGAUCCCAUGCUACGCGAGGUUGUAGCCUCCCCGUCUCAACGUUUUUCUUGAACGUUGCCGAGGGUGAUUCCUGGCAUCGGAAUGUUGAAUGGGUGUCUUCUGGUUCAAUGUGUUUCUCCUAAAACACCGUAAACGGAACUAGUCCAUUGUGACUACUGAAAUCCGUUGGCUGUGGUUAAAUAGUACAAACUCUGCAGAGUCAAAUCCUUCCGAGUCAUCGUGUCCAUGGUCCAAGACCGUGACCAACUUAUCCAUAUCCAUGUCAGUUCCUAUCUCGCUUUGAGUGGUAAAUCCCCGGUGAACAAGUCUGAGUGGUAAACCCGGUUGAAUUAUUAUUCCUGUGGAUGGACUAAUCUUUUAUUUACCUCAUACCUGAAUGUUCCCUUGAAAUGAUUUAAAUUCAUGAGCUGCUGAAAUAUCUAGUUAUGUAAUAUAAGCCCUUUAUGCGAUGUCGCUCAGACGUCCGACUGUGGCAUUCUUGUCAUUUACUAUUGAUAUAAGCCCUUUAUGUGAUGUCGCUUAGACGUCCGACUGUGGCAUUCUUGUCAUUUACUUUUGAUAUAAGCCCUUUAUGUGAUGUCGCUCAGACGUCCGACUGUGGCAUUCUUGUCAUUUACUUUUGAUAUAAGCCCUUUAUGUGAUGUCGCUCAGACGUCCGACUGUGGCACUCUUGUCAUUUACUUUUGAUAUAAGCCCUUUAUGUGAUGUCGCUCAGACGUCCGACUGUGGCACUCUUGUCAUUUACAUUUGAUAUAAGCCCUUUAUGUGAUGUCGCUCAGAUGUCCGACUGUGGCACACACUGUCAUUUAUUUUCCACUAUAAGCCCUUUAUGAGGUGUCACCUUGACGCCCGACUGCGGCAUUGUUAUUUCACUUGUACCCUUCCGAGGAGUCAUUCAGACACUCGAUUGGCCUUCAGCAUUACGUUGGGAUUUCGGGAGGACUACCGCCCGACUUUUUUUUUAAUUCCCAUGCAUAGCUAUUUUAUUAUCUGAGUGCGCUUGUUAAUCUGUUCAUAUGCAUCAUGUUUACAUUUGUUAUAUCUUAUGUCCGAACUGUCUUGCGAGUACUUUCAUAGUACUCACCUGGCUUGUUGAUUUGGCCAGAUGUUGACGAAGGCGAUCUCAUGGAUGAAGAGUUUGAUAGUGAGUCCGACGCCUAGAGGAGUCCCAGUUAGUCCCGUGCGAUCCUGGAUAUUGGUCACUUGUAUUAUAUUCGCUUCCGCCACCCACAAUAAGUAUCCUCGAGCCUCACUCUGACGCUCGAAGAGUUGUUAGUUUCAGGAGUCAUGUCACCCACUUCACUGUGAUUUAUCCACCACCGCUUUUAUCGUGAGUUAGUAGUUAUGCCACCCUAUCCGCCUUUAUGUAUUAUUGGCGUGCUUGUAAUAAAUUGUUGAGCAGUCUCCGCUCAACCUUGUAUUAUAUCUAGUACUCCUGGUUUUUCUUCUGUGAUCAAAAUAUUGUCUACCAGUGAGAAGGAAUUCUUCUUUACUGGUCCCUAAAAGGGAUCGGUCUCUCAAUAAAUAUUUUUAUUGGAAAAUCGGUCGUGACAAGCUUGGUAUCAGAGCCAGGCUGACUGUAGGAAGCCACUAGGUGCCAUCGCUAAUCGGUUAUUAGCGUUUUUAGUGCUUUUUCAGCAUUUUGCAAAUGUAGCUAUUUUCUGUUGGUCAUCAUAAAUUUAUGAUUUGACUAUUCGGAAUUUGUGCCUACUUUUGUAAAUGGCUGGCUACGACUGAGCAGUCCUUCUCCGUGCGAAAUCAAAUAUUUUCUUGGAAAAUCUUGAGGUCUUUUAAAUUUUUUGUCUUUGCAUGAUUUUCCUUGUGCCACACAGUUCUUGUCAUGAUUUUUGCAAAAUAAUACCCCAGAGUGGAAAAUGUCUCGUCCUUGGACCCGUUCCAUGCCAAAUCCAACCGAAGAAGUUUAUGGAACACAGACCAGCAACAACUUCACUCAGGGACAGUCUAGUCAACAGGACAGCAAGGCAGCCUUAUCUCAAGUAUGCCGCCUCUUCGAACAAAGCCAGCAACAGCACCAAGAGAUGAUGAAUCACGUCAUCAAUAUGGGAAAUCACCGUGAGCCAUACCAACCACACUCCAAGUUGUAUGAACUGCAGAAGACACGCCCUCCAACGUUUGCUCACACUGAUAGGCCGCUUGAAGCCGAUGAUUGGCUUCGUGACAUCGAAAGAAAGUUGAUUAUUGCUCAAUGUUCUGAUCAUGAGAAGGUGCUUUAUGCACCUCACUACCUCACUGGAGCAGCUGCCGCAUGGUGGGAGAACUUCCUACACAUGCAUCCCAGUGAACAUAACAUCACCUGGGAAGAGUUUAAGGAAGGCUUUCGUGGGGCACACAACCCCAGGAGCAUUAUAAAAAUCAAGAAAAGAGAAUUUGAUUACCUCAAGCAAAGAGGCAUGUCAGUGACAGAAUACAACGGUCAGUUUACCCAGCUAUCUAGUUAUGCCCACGAUGAACAUAUGACUGAGAACAAAAGGAUGGAAAAAUUUCUGGACGGCCUAGCGCCAGCAUUAAGAUGCCAACUGGUCGUACACACUCUCCCAGAUUUCAGAACUCUAGUUGACAAGGCCAUUACGUUGGAGAAUGAGCGCCACAGUCUGGAGGAUAUCCGUAAGCGGAAAAGGGACAAGACAACUCUUGCUCGCAAUAACCGAAGCAAGACUGAUGUUCAGAGGAAUGAAACGAGAAAAUCCAUGACUACUGCUAUAAGGCCAACUAGACAGUUUCAUUCAAGGGACAAGGACUUUACGUACUAUCCAGGGGUCACUUGCUAUGCUUGUGGUGAAGAAGGGCACUAUGCCAAACAGUGCCCAAAACCAAGGAACUCGGCCCCCAAGCCGAACAAUGGUGGGAACAAUCCAGCCCCCAAGCGCAACAAUUUCAAUCCCAACAACAAUCACAGGAAGGGUCACCUGAACCAUGUGACCAGGGAAGAAGCACAGAAUGCCCCAGACAUCGUACUCGGUACGUUCCCUGUCAACACAGUACCUGCCACGGUUUUGUUUGAUUCUGGAGCUUCUCACUCGUUCAUUUCGAAGAGUUUUGUCUUGCAACAUGGUUUUCCGAUACUCCCCUUGGAAAAAUCUAUGAUCAUCAAGUCCCCCGGAAAUAAGCAGAUCACUCAGAGUUACUGCCAAGGAGUGAUUAUUGAAUUCGAAGGACUAAAGUUUCAAGCUAAUCUCAUCGUGUAGGAAAAUAAGGGACUGGAUGUCAUCCUAGGGAUGGACUGGUUGACCGCCAACAAAGGAUUUAUUGACUGUUUCAAUCGGACUGUGAUCCUCACUCACCAUCACGGCAAGACAAUAAAGGUUAUAGCUCAAGAGAGACCACGGUCACGGCAGCCAAAGUUGAACAAAGUGGAUAUUUCAGAACUGAGAAAGGUUCCAGUGGUGUGCGAGUUUCCAGACGUAUUUCCUGAAGAACUACCAGGCAUGCCACCAGACCGAGAGAUAGAGUUCAGCAUUGAACUAGCACCUGGCACCACUCCCAUCUAUAAGAAACCUUAUAGAAUGGCACCCUCAGAGUUGGUAGAAUUGAAGAAGCAAAUAAAGGAAUUACUGGACAAAGGAUUUAUUCGAGCCAGCUCCUCACCUUGGGGUUCGCCAGUAUUAUUCCCCAAGAAAAAGGAUGGGACACUGAGACUGUGCAUAGACUAUCGAGCUCUCAAUAUGGUUGCCAUCAAAAACAAAUAUCCGAUGCCACGGAUAAAUGAUUUGUUUGACCAGCUCGCACAACCCAAGGUGUUCUCAAAAAUUGAUUUAAGAUCGGGAUAUCAUCAAUUGAAAGUACGGACAAAAGAUAUCCCUAAGACAACAUUCACCUCCAGAAACGGAUUAUAUGAGUUCACAGUAAUGCCUUUUGGACUGACAAACGCCCCCGCAUAUUUCGUCCACCUCAUGGACAAAGUGUUUAUGAAAUUCAUGGACAAAUUUGUAGUGGUGUUCAUUGACGAUAUUCUGGUAUACUCAAGAACACCAGAAGAACAUGCCGAACAUCUCAAAAUUGUUUUGGGAGAAUUAAGGAAACAUCAAUUGUACGCCAAAUUUAGCAAGUGUGAAUUUUGGCUAAGACAAGUUUGUUUUCUAGGCCAUAUAUUAACCCAAGAAGGCAUGGCCCUAGACCCAGAAAAGGUCAAAGCCAUACUUGACUGGAAACCACCAGCCAACGUGACCGAUGAACGGAGUUUCCUUGGAAUGGCUGGAUAUUACCGGACGUUUAUUGAAGGAUUCUCCACUGUGGCAAAACCAAUGACACAGUUGCUCAAGAAGGACAAGAAAUUUGUAUGGACGGAAGCAUGCGAGAAAAGCUUCCAAGAACUCAAGAAGAAACUAACAACGACACCAGUUUUGACCGUGCCAGACAUACACAAGAGUUUUGAAGUGUAUUGUGACGCAUCCCGGAAGGGCCUCGGAUGUGUACUGAUGCAGGAUGGCAAAGUUGUCGCGUAUGCUUCCAGGCAACUACGAAAGCAUGAGGAAAAUUAUCCAACUCAUGACUUGGAGCUAGCAGCGGUCAUCCAUGCACUCAAGGAGUGGAGGCACUUUCUAUUGGGAAAUCGUUGUGAAAUAUAUACGGACCAUAAGAGCCUUAAAUAUAUUUUCACACAACCAGAGCUAAAUUUACGCCAACGACACUGGUUGGAAUUGGUCAAGGACUAUGAUGUCGGCAUUCACUACCAUCCAGGGAAAGCAAAAUGUAGUGGCAGAUGCUCUUAGUCGGAACCCCAGCCCGGGCAACGACAGUCCACAGAACUUGAGACCUGAGUUUCAGCAGGAGUUCGCUAGACUCAACAUGGUGUUAGUCUCUGAGGGCACCGUAUCAAAUCUGGAGAUACAACCCACCCUAAUGGAACAAAUUAAGAAGGCUCGGCAUGGGCAUCCUAGCAUCGAAGGUAUAAAGAGGAAGAUGAGCCUUGGCAAGGCUUCAGAGUUCGUCACAGACAAUGAAGGAAUAUUAUGGUACGGGGACAGACUUUGCGUACCAAACAUUGAGGAACUCAAGCAACAAAUCCUAACCGAAAUCCGCACCGCUCCAUACUCGAUCCACCCUAGAGGAACCAAAAUGUACAAAGACAUUCAGGAAAGAUUUUGGUGGCAUGGUAUAAAAAGGGAUAGAGCCGCAUUCAUUGCUUGUUGCGAUUCAUGUCAGCGCAUUAAAGCCGAGCAUCAAAAGCCAGCAGGGCUGCUACAGCCAAACAGGAUACCUGAGUGGAAAUGGGAUGAAAUUGGAAUGGACUUCAUCGUCGGACUACCUCGAUCUCAACGCGGAAAUGAUGCCAUAUGGGUCAUCACAGAUAGGCUAACCAAGGUAGCACAUUUCAUUCCCGUGAAGACGACCUACUCCACUCAAAGGCUAGCCAAGCUUUAUCUCUCCCGUAUAGUUUGUUUGCAUGGAGUCCCAAAAACCAUAAUAUCCGACCGAGGCACUCAAUUUGUCUCUAAAUUUUGGAAUCACCUACAACAAGCUCUGGGCACGCAACUAGCUUUCAGUACAGCGUACCACCCUCAGACUGAUGGACAAACGGAACGCGUGAACCAAAUCCUAGAGGACAUGCUGAGAGCCUGUGUGCUCACCUAUGGAUCAAGUUGGGAAGAAAGUCUGCCGUAUGCCGAGUUUGCUUACAACAAUAGUUACCAAGCCAGUCUGCAAAUGGCACCUUUGGAAGCACUGUACAGACGGAGAUGUCGUACCCCACUAAAUUGGUCAGAAACAGGUGACAGUCGUAUCUUCGGCCCAGACAUGCUCAAGGAAGCCGAGGAGAAGGUUAAACAGAUCAGGGACAGACUCAAGACAACUCAAAGCCGACAGAAGAGCUAUUACGAUCAAAAACAUCAUGAGGUCAGCUUUGAACCCGGUGAUUACGUUUACCUCCGAGUGUCUCCUAUGAGGGGCCUGCAACGGUUCAAAAUUAAGGGGAAGCUAGCCCCGAGAUUUAUUGGACCCUUCUGUAUAGUUGCACGAAGAGGCACAGUAGCCUACCAGCUAGACCUACCCAAAGAGCUGUCAGACGUCCACGACGUGUUUCACGUCUCACAGUUGAGGAAAUGUGUGAGUAACCCGGAAAAGCAUGUAUCUCAUGAAAGCAUUGAUGUGCAACCAGAUCUCACCUACAGAGAACGGCCAGUAAAGAUAUUGGAAGAGUCUGAAAGGAGGACCCGUCAGAAAACGAUAAAAAUUUUCAAGGUUCAGUGGAGCAAUCACACCGAGGAUGAAGCUACAUGGGAAAGAGAAGAUUUUCUUCAGGCAGAGUACCCACAUCUAUUUGAGGAUCAGCUGAAAUCUCGAGGACGAGAUUUUUCCUAAGGGGGUAGGUGUUGUGACAUCCAAAUAUUUUUUUGGUUUUAUCAAAAUCUUUUCUUUGAUUUGAGGCGGGUAUUUAAAUUUUCUUCUAAAGAACCCUCCCUCUCAAAAACUUUAUUUUAUGACAAGUGUUUUGUUUGGAUUCACCCAAGACUUGGUUUUUUGGUCUUGGAGGUUUUACCCAUCAUAUGUGGACUCAAAACCAAAUGCUUUUCACUUGGGAGAUUUCUUUUGAAAAAUCUUUUAAAAUAGCCCUAUGGCAUUUGGAGUGAUCUUCUCCCCCUUUUCUAAAUCUCUUCUUGCCAUGACAUGAGUGGAAAUCCCCCCCAUAAGCCUUUCCCCAUCUUUGGAUCAUGAUAUACUUCAAAUCCAGCAGUUUGAACCUCCCCAUAUUCUUCCUUCCAUUUAUUUCUCAUCAAAAAUAAUUUCUGCCCUCUACUCUAGCUCUUGGAGAUUUACAAAGGAGCUACCCUUUCUACUUUGAGUUUUGCCUCCAAACCAAUUUCACUAGCUAGUCCUUAGAGCCCUCAACCAAGAUCCAUGAAGAUCCACUGGUCUCCAGUUCAAAUACUUCAAAUUGUGCUUGCUGCAAGUUUGGACCAUGUUUGCCAAAUUUGAUUAAAUUCAAUUGUUUUCUCGUCCUAAAAAUCUGAGAAAAUUCAGGCAGCCUCUGGGUGCAUUGAGAGGUCACCUCACCAAGUCCCAGCUCCAGAAAAAAAUUUCUUCGUGCCAAAUCAUUUCGUCGAACACCUGAUGGACACUGUUGCUGUCAAUGUUCAGAGUUCAGUUAAACAGUUUCAGUAACCACUAUCGUUUUCUUCAGAGCUCGUUCUCGAUCUCGCCAGUACCACGGUGGCGCCUUGCUCCCUGUUCCCUCCUUCUUAUCCCUGCACCGCACGAUCGUCUGGAGGCUAGCGGGCGUUGGCGACGAGCAGGCGGAGGUGCGCCACCCCGUGAGCGACGGCAGUAGCGGCUUUGCGGCUGCCAGAGAGAGGUGCAGCAUGGACGGCGCCGUCCAGCACCGCCCAAGCCACCGGAGGCCGCCGCGUGGCCCUCCACUCACCCGUGCACGCUGCCAUCCUUCGUCGUGAACUGCUAGGCGCGGAGCACGCUCUCUGCCGCCGCCGUGCCCGUACGGCCACCCCGUCGAGGAUCGGCGCAUUACGCCUAGCCCGACCGAAGUUUAGCAGGGGAACGGCACCAGUGAUCCUCCCUGAUGGUGCCUAGCCGCAUAAACCCCCUGCCCAACCCCUGCCUCGCCGUAAUCGCUCUCCGGGGAUAUCCCGUUCAUGGCCACCCCUCGGAUCGCCUAUAAAAGGAGGCCCCGAGCUCGAACUCGAACCCACACCACCUCUACACACCACUAAUACCACGCCAAGCCACUGGAAGAGCCCCGAGGGAGCCUUCUUCCCCAACUCCGGCCGCCUCGACCCGCCACGGGACCCAGCUCGAUUCACUCUCGUGCGUGCACCUCUCCCCCUCAGCUCUUGCCAGUAGCCUUCUAGUGCAUCCACUCUGCUGACCCGCGCUUCAAUUUGGAGUUUUGCAGCACCCACCGGAGUUCUCCACCAUCGCCCGAACCACCGUCCGCCGGAGAAAGUGUCGCCGCCGACGUGGUGCUCUCCGUCGGCCAAGUCCACCACCCACCGACGCGGAAGAACACACUGAACCUCUUGGUACCCUCCGAUCUCUCUGCCUCGCCGUGGUUCAACGCCAGCGACCGCCGCAGCCUUCAGGCACCGGUGAGCUCCAUUGGAGUUUUAAACCUGAUGGGUGGACCCCCCGUCAGCCUCUCUUCUUCCCCCCCUCGAACCGUUUUCUGUUGGCGCCUUCGGGCAAAUGCGCUUUCUCUUUGGGCUGGCGCCUUUUAUUCCGAACCGUUUUCUGCUUUCUCAAACAAGUCCCUGGUUCUUUUCUGUUUCAUCACAGAUCAGUCCCUGGACUAAAACCCUUAUAACUUUUUAAUAAAAGUUGAUUUUUGAUUGAUUCUUUUUCUGUCAGUCUUGUAUUUUUGUCUAGUUUUUUAUAGUAUUUGUUUGGAAAAAAUUUGGAACAAUUUUUAUGCACGCGACGAUUUUCACGUUAGUGUACGGUUUUGAUAUACCGUAGGUUCCGGAGGAGGUGACGGAGCCGCGAACUGCGCCGAGCUAGACUCCGACUUCUCCGAACCAGGCAAGCAUGUUUGAACCUUUGAUAUGAUAGGUGUUUUGCAUGUUUGCUUGAAUGGUUUGUGCAUGUCAUAUGAGCAUCGGUGAGUAUUACGUUGCAUGCAAGGCAACUAUCCGUGUGUUCCGAAGUUAUUGUGAUCUUCGAUGAAAGAUGACCUGAUCAUGUGGUGACAUGAAAGGUAGUGAGGUGGUAUUGUUGUAGCAUGCCAGCCUUACGUCAACCGUUAAACUCCGACGUUAACAUGGACUGAGUCACGUUACCAUUCCUUCCCUUUCGUGCUGCCACAUGUUUUCUGCAAAGAAUACGGUUUAGUAAGUUGUUAACCUCUUUCCUUGUACACACCAAAUAGAGGGGCCGGGAUGAGGGUUCCAUGGCCCUGGAUUAAAGCCAGUCAUCCGGUCAGGGGGCAUGGGUGUUUCCGGUUGGGACCGAGAGGGGGGCACCCCUUAGAGCGCGCAUAUAUAAAUUUGAUCCCAUGCUACGCGAGUUUGUAGCCUCCCCGUCUCAAAGUUUUUCUUGAACGUUGCCGAGGGUGAUUCCUGGCUUCAGAAUGUUGAAUGGGUGUGUACUGGUUAGAUGUGUUUCUCCUAAAACACCAUAAACGGAACUAGUCCCUUGUGACUACUGAAAUCCGUUGGCUGUGGUUAAAUAGUACAAACUCUGCAGAGUCAAAUCCUUCCGAGUCAUCGUGUCCAUGGUCCAAGACCGUGACCAACUUAUCCAUAUCCAUGUCAGUUCCUAUCUCGCUUUGAGUGGUAAAUCCCCGGUGAACAAGUCUGAGUGGUAAACCCGGUUGAAUUAUUAUUCCUGUGGACGGACUAAUCUUUUAUUUACCUCAUACCUGAAUGUUCCCUUGAAAUGAUUUAAAUUCAUGAGCUGCUGAAAUAUCUAGUUAUGUAAUAUAAGCCCUUUAUGCGAUGUCGCUCAGACGUCCGACUGUGGCAUUCUUGUCAUUUACUAUUGAUAUAAGCCCUUUAUGUGAUGUCGCUUAGACGUCCGACUGUGGCAUUCUUGUCAUUUACUUUUGAUAUAAGCCCUUUAUGUGAUGUCGCUCAGACGUCCGACUAUGGCAUUCUUGUCAUUUACUUUUGAUAUAAGCCCUUUAUGUGAUGUCGCUCAGACGUUCGACUGUGGCACUCUUGUCAUUUACUUUUGAUAUAAGCCCUUUAUGUGAUGUCUCUCAGACGUCCGACUGUGGCACACACUGUCAUUUAUUUUCCACUAUAAGCCCUUUAUGAGGUGUCGCCUUGACGCCCGACUGCGGCAUUGUUAUUUCACUUGUACCCUUCCGAGGAGUCAUUCAGACACUCGAUUGGCCUUCAGCAUUACGUUGGGAUUUCGGGAGGACUACCGCCCGACUUUCUUUUUUCUAAUUCCCAUGCAUAGCUAUUUUAUUAUCUGAGUGCGCUUGUUAAUCUGUUCAUAUGCAUCAUGUUUACAUUUGUUAUAUCUUAUGUCCGAACUGUCUUGCGAGUACUUUCAUAGUACUCACCUGGCUUGUUGAUUUGGCUAGAUGUUGAUGAAGGCGAUCUCAUGGAUGAAGAGUUUGAUAGUGAGUCCGAUGCCUAGAGGAGUCCCAGUCAGUCCUGUGCGAUCCUGGAUAUUGGUCACUUGUAUUAUAUUCGCUUCCGCCACCCACAAUAAGUAUCCUCGAGCCUCACUCCGACGCUCGAAGAGUUGUUAGUUUCAGGAGUCAUGUCACCCACUUCACUGUGAUUUAUCCACCACCGCUUUUAUCGUGAGUUAGUAGUUAUGCCACCCUAUCCGCCUUUAUGUAUUAUUGGCGUGCUUGUAAUAAAUUGUUGAGCAGUCUCCGCUCAACCUUGUAUUAUAUCUAGUACUCCCGGUUUUUCUUCUGUGAUCAAGAUAUUGUCUACCAGUGAGAAGAAAUUCUUCUUUACUGGUCCGUAAAAGGGAUCGGUCUCUCAAUAAAUAUUUUUAUUGGAAAAUCAGUCGUGACAGGGAUUCCUGGAUUAGGGGGUCCUCAGACAGCCGGACUAUAUACUUUGGCCGGACCGUUGGACUAUGAAGAUACAAGAUAGAAGACUUCGUCCCGUGUCCGGAUGGGACUCUCCUUUGCGUGGAAGGAAAGCUUGGGAUUCGGAUAUGUAGAUUUCCUUCUCUAUAACCGACUCUGUGUAACCCUAGCCCCCUCCGGUAUCUAUAUAAAUCGGAGGGUUUAGUCCGUAGGACCAAGAACAACAAUCGUAAUCAUAGGCUAGGUUCUAGGUUUAGCCUCCUCUAUCUCGUGGUAGACCAACUCUUGUAAUACUCAUAUCAUCAAGAUUAAUCUAGAAGGAAGUAGGGUAUAAUUACCUCCAUAGAGAGGGCCAGAACCUGGGUAAACAUCGUGUCCCCCGCCUCCUGUUACCAUUAACCUUAGACGCAUAGUUCGGGACACCCUACCCGAGAUCUGCCGGUUUUGACACCGACAUUGGUGCUUUCAUUGAGAGUUCCACUGUGUCGUCACCAUAAGGUUUGAUGGCUCCUUCAAUCGUCUACAGUGAUGCGAUCCAGGGUGAGGUUUUCCUCCCCGGACAAAUCUUCAUAUUCGGCGGCUUCGCACUGCGGGCCAACUCGCUUGGCCAUCUGGAGCAGAUCGAUAACUACGCUCCUGGGCAUCAGGUCAGGUUUGGAAACCUGAAUUACACUACCGAGAUCCGCGGAGACUUGAUCUUUGACGGAUUUGAGCCCAUGACAGGUGCUCCCUAAGGCCGCGAUGAGCAUGACUUAGAUCCGCCAUCAGGCGGCGAUCAGGAGAUCACACAUGCGGCUGCCCCGUCUCUAAAUCCGGAGUAGAUCGUGUCGUCCGUGGAUGGGGGGCUGCACCCCACCACGGAGGCCUCAUACUCUACGGCGUUAGAGCCGAACACAGAUUCAGCCUCUAUCGAGGCCUGGGUCGUCGGGCCCACGGACUCGUCUCCGGAUACGGGUUUCGGACCGUGUGUGUCCACGCCCGUCAAAAUUGACUGGGUACCGAUCUUGGAGUUUACCUCCGCGAACAUCUUUCAACACUCACCCUUGGGCGACGUGUUAAGUUCAUUGAAGUCCCUCUCCUUGUCAGAGGACUCUCCGCCGAACUAUGUCCGGCUUGAGUGGGAAGCGGACAACAAAGAAUUUCGCUUCCCACCCACCACCCACUUGGUAGCCUCUGUCGACGACUUGACCGACAUGCUAGACUUCGACUCCGAAGACAUCGAUGGUAUGGACGAUGAUGCGGGAGAAGAAGAGGAACCACCGCCCACAGGGCGAUGGACAGCCACCUCGUCAUAUGACAUUUACAUGGUGGAUACCCCCAAAGAAGAUAAUGGCGAGGAAAAAAAGGAUACAUGUGAGGAUAAACCUCUUGAGAAGCAGCCAAAGCGCCGACGUCAGUGGCUCCACUCUAAACAACGCCAUGGUAAAAAUAGCAAUACAGGUACAGGAGAUAAUACCCCGGACAACGGUGAAAACAAUGAAGUCCCCGAAGACCCAGCCAUGAAGCAGGAAGAGCAGGGGGACGGCAAACACAGUCCGGGGCCACUGUCUGACCAGAGCGAUGCCAAAGACGCCACUUAUCAACCUGUCUCCGCAGAAUAGGACAAUUCAGAUGACGAUACAUUCAACAUCCCUGAUACACAAGUGGAGCGAGAACGACUCCAACAGAGACUCAUCGCCACUGCUAGGAGUUUGAAUAAGCAGAAGCAAAGGCUUAAAGCUGCACAGGAUAUGCUCGAUGACUAAUGGAACAAAGUGCUCGACACUAAGGGAAGAUACGGCGGUAAUCGCCAAACAAAGAGCUAUCCCAAACGUAAACUGCUUCCCGAAUUCGACGACGAGGCUAUAGCGCCCAUACCGCUGAAUAACCGUACAGACGACUAACAGGACCGACCACCUCGUGGCCGAGACAGAGCAACUAAUAACGCCGCACACAAAUCCGCACCCCAGCACCAUAAAGAAAGGGAAGUAACAACCCAGAACAAGCAACACGAUUUACGUGAAGACUUGGAUAGAAGGGCUGGCAUAACAAGGUCCAUCUACGGAUCUCGAGACCACCAAAACAAAUAUACCAGCCGCUCUCUGCUACGUCUUGAGCUUGCAUUGGUUUUCCUUGAAGAGGAAAGGAUGAUGCAGCACAGUAGCAUAAGUAUUUCCCUCAGUUUUUGAGAACCAAGGUAUCAAUCCAGUAGGAGGCUCCUGACAACUCCCACGCACCUACACAAACAAACAAAGAACUCGCAACCAACGCAAUAAAGGGGUUGUCAAUCCCUUCACAGCCACUUGCGAAAGUGAGAUCUGAUAGAGAUAAUAUGAUAAGAUAAAUAUAGUUUUGGUAUUUUAUGAUAUAGAUUGGAAAAGUAAAGAUGCAAAUAAAAGUAGAUUGAAAGCGUAUAUGAUAAAAGAUAGACCCGGGGGCCAAAGGUUUCACUAGUGGCUUCUCUCAAGAUAGCAUAAGUAGUAGGGUGGGUGAACAUAUUACUGUCGAGCAAUUGAUAGAAAAGCGAAUAAUUAUGAGAUUAUCUAGGCAUGAUCAUGUAUAUAGGCAUCACGUCCGUGACAAGUAGACCGACUCCUGCCUGCAUCUACUACUAUUACUCCACACAUCGACCGCUAUCCAGCAUGCAUCUAGAGUAUUAAGUUCAUAAGAACAGAGUAACGCUUUAAGAAAGAUGACAUGAUGUAGAGGGAUAAACUCAUGCAAUAUGAUAUAAACCCCAUCUUUUUAUCCUCGAUGGCAACAAUACAAUACGUGCCUUGCUGCCCCUGCUUUCACUGGGAAAGGACACCGCAAGAUUGAACCCAAAGCUAAGAACUUCUCCCAUGGCAAGAAAGAUCAAUCUAGUAGGCCAAACCAAACCGAUAAUUCGAAGAGACUUGCAAAGAUAACCCAAUCAUACAUAAAAGAAUUCAAAGGAGAUUCAAAUAUUUCUCAUAGAUAAACUUGAUCAUAAACCCACAAUUCAUCGGAUCUCGACAAACACACCGAAAAAACAGUUUCAUCGAAUAGAUCUCCAAGAAGAGGAAGGAGAACAUGGUAUUGAGAUUCGAAGAGAGAGAAGAAGCCAUCUAGCUAAUAACUAUGGACACAAAGGUCUGUGGUAAAAUACUCACAACUCAUCGGAGAGGCCUUGGAGUUGAUGUAGAGGCCCUCCGUGGUGGAUUCCCCCUCCGGCAGAGCGCCGGCGACGGCUCCAAGAUGGGAUCUCAUGGAUACAGAAGGUUACGGUGGUGGAAAUAGUUUUUUGGUGGCUCCCCUGAUGGUUUCGGGGUACAUGGGUAUAUAUAGGAGGAAGAAGUACGUCGGUGGAUGCCCGAGGGGCCCACGAGAUAGGGGGCGCGCCCAGUAGGGGGGGCGCCCUCCACCCUCAUGGCUUCCUCGAUUGCUUCUUGACUUGCACUCCAAGUCCUCUGGAUCACGUUUGUUCCAAAAAUCACGCUCCCGAACGUUUCAUUCUGUUUGGACUCCGUUUGAUAUUCCUUUUCUUCGAAACACUUAAAUAGGCAAAAAAACAGCAAUACGGGCUCGGCCUCCGGUUAGUAGGUUAGUCCCAAAAAUGAUAUAAAAGUGUAAAGUAAAGCCCAUAAACAUCCAAAACAGGUAAUAUAAUAGCAUGGAACAAUCAAAAAUUAUAGAUACGUUGGAGACGUAUCACUCUCCAGUUCGGAACCAACAUCAAACACUACAACCAUCGGACUCACUCCACGGCAUAACUAAAUACAGGGGCGCGGCGCACCCCCUGUGCUCCACCGAUGAGGUGCUGGAUCAUGAAUUUCCGGCAGGGUUUAAACACGUAAACAUCGAGGCAUACGAUGGAACGACAGACCCUGUGGUCUAGAUAGAGGACUUUAUUCUUCACAUCCAUAAGGCAUGCGGAGAUGAUCUCCACGCCAUCAAAUACUUACCCCUCAAGCUCAAGGGACCAGCUCGGCACUUGCUGAAAAGCCUCCCCGAAAAUUCUAUAGGAAGCUGGGAGGAGCUCGAGGACGCUUUCAGGGCAAAAUUUCAAGGGACCUAUGUCCGACCUCGGGACGCAGACGAUCUAAGUCAUAUAACCCAACAACCCGGAGAGUCCGCCCGUAAACUUUGGAACAUAUUUCUGACCAAGAAAAACCAAAUCGUCGACUGUCCGGAUGUCGAAGCCUUAGCAGCUUUCAAACAAAGUAUCCGGAUUGAAUGGCUUGCCAGACAUCUUGGCCAAGAAAAGCCCAGGACAAUGGCAGCCCUAACCACCCUCAUGACCCGCUUUUGCGCAGGCGAGGAUAGCUGGUUGGCCCGUAGCAGCACCAGCGACCCAGGCAUAUCCGAAACCAGGGAUGGCAACGGAAAACCACGACGCAAUAAAAACAAACGUCGAAACAAUGAAGACAGCCUAGAAAAUACGGCGGUAAACGCCGGAUUCAGGGGCUCCAAACCCGGUCAACAGAAAAAGACAUUCAAAGGCAGCCGAGAAGGUCUAUCCAUCUUAGACAAAAUUCUUGACAGGCCCUGCCAGAUUCAUGGCACCCUGGAUAAGCCAGCUAACCACACCAACAGAGAAUGUUGGGUCUUUAAACAGGCCGGCAAGCUCAACGCCGAACACAGGGGGAAGGGGUCGCUAAGUUUAGACGAGGAUGAAUCUCGCCAGCCGAACACAAGUGGACAGAAAAAAUCCCCACCAGAGGUUAAAACAGUGAACAUGAUUUACGUCACUCAUAUCCCAAAAAGGGAGCGCAAACACGCACUCCGAGACGUAUAUGCUAUAGAGCCCAUCAUCCCCAAAUUCAACCCAUGGCCGGCCUGUCCAAUCACCUUUGAUCGCAGGGAUCAUCCGACUAGUAUCCGUCACGAGGGCUCGGCCACCUUAGUGCUCGACCCGAUAAUCGACGGAUACCACCUCACCCGAGUCCUCAUGGACGGCGGCAGUAGUCUCAAUCUGAUAUAUCAGGACACUGUCCGCAAGAUGGGGAUAGACCCGUCCAGAAUUAAGCAAAGCAGCACUACCUUGAAAGGAGUGAUGCCAGGCGCAGAGUCCCGCAGCAGUGGCUCCCUGACAUUGGACGUUGUAUUCGGUUCUCCCGAUAACUUUCGAAGCGAAGAACUACUCUUCGAUAUUGCUCCAUUCCAUGGCGGCUACCAUGCGUUACUGGGAAGAACGGCAUUCGCCCGCUUCAAUGCAGUCCCACAUUACGCUUAUCUUAAACUUAAGAUGCCCGGCCCACGUGGCGUCAUCACAAUCAGUGGAAACACGAAGCGUUCCCUUUGAACGGACGAAUACGUCAUGGCUCUAGCAGCCGAAUCAUGGAGUGACCUCUGCAAAACGAGCAACUCAUCGGUUCUCGAAACCGCGCACACCUAGGUGUAGCAGCUCAGAUAAACCUGAGCUAGAUUAGAGGCUAUACCCCCACAAGAAGACCAUACACGUCUCCCUGUAAAACAGGGCUUCAAAACUCCCUGUGUGGUGCGUGGGGCCGCACGUAUAUAAAAGGUCCAUAGUUCGGCUUGACCCUAUUCGGACUCAAAAAUUAUAUCUUCAUGGUUCUUCAAAACAAACCAAUCCUACUUACGCUCACAGCAUAUCCGGUCACCUAAUUCUUUCUUUGUUUCAGUUAACCAUCACUCUUUACCCUCAAGGACACAGGCGCAACGGAGAUAAAGGCGCAGACGUGCUGCAGAGCCCCGUUCUAAGGUUUCUUUCUAGAUUAAGCCCCUGCGUAAACCUUUUUUACCAUCUUUUGUUGUCUUCAUAUACUCCUGGCUCUUAAAAUGACCCACAAGGAUGUCGGCAUUAUCGUCACGUCGAAUAGACCUGUACCUUGAAAUCCAGGGUUUCUACCAAGGGCUGUCAUUCAGCUCGGUAUAUUUGUAAAGACUGAAUACCUUCGGGAGUGUUUGGCGUCGCGAGUUUGGCCUUAUAUGCAUCAGCUCCGAAUCAUGUCUUUGGUCAAAUGUUGGGUUUGCCCGGCUCCCGCGUUUUGCUACCUUACGUUCCGCACCAUCGGCUAAGGAAGCAUUCGGUGAACUACUGCGAUUGUGCCCUGGUUCAUCCGGACGAGCACCUCAGUAGAGAAAGCCGAAAACUGACUGUCAUGAUACAGCGAGAGACUGGUCAACCACUCCAUGACUCAAUGGAAUCCUCGAUAUUCCUCCGCAUUAACGAAGGACAGUUUCCCGGUCACAUAUGUCAACGCACCGUUUUCGGAUAAAAACACGGACAUACCAGGGGCUAUGUAGUAGCCCCAUCAUCAAACUCCGAUGGCUAAGUGAAAGUGUUAAAGCUUUAUAGUCUGAUUGCCUUGUUCGCCACACUAUCACCUCCUCAAAUGGACCAAGACGUUGGAUCAAAUGUGACUACGUGCUUUUUUCCAAACACCCACGCGUUAUUUGCAAAGGGGUUGAAGCCGACGACUGCAAUCUUUCAAGUUAUAUACAUAUAUACAUAAACAACCGCACAGGAGGCACUAAAAAACUUUACGGGCAAAAGUAUAAAUAUAGCCUUUAUUAUAAAAUGCAUUGUCUUUACAAAUUCAGACACAUAUCAUUCGAACAUGAUUGUCUUCGAGCACUAAGCCUCUAUCAGGCGGGCACCUUCUAAGACCUCUUCAAAAUAGUGCUCCGGCAGGUCUUGGCCUCCAGUGGGACCCUGUGUUGCAACACCGGUGGCCUCCAUCCCCGCCCAGUACAUUUUAACGCGGGCGAGGGACAUCCGAGCGCCCUCUAUGCAUGUCGACCGCUUGAUAGUGGCGAUAUGCGGCACAGCACGAAUAAAUCGUUUCACAAAACCAAAAUAACUACUCGGGCUUGGUUCCCCCGGCCAUAAGCAGUCCAUGACAGCCUUCAUGGCAAGUCUGGAUAACCUAUGGAGCUCGGCCCAUUCGGGCGCUUUGGCAUGCUGAACUGUGACCAGAACAGUCUUUCCACUUCAUGAUCUUCUCGGUCCUAGAAGAACUGCGUCGCAUCAGCAGCACUCUUCGACAAGUCCAAAUACGCGUCGUGAGAACUCCACAAUUGAUCAAGAGAGCCAUACUUCGGAUCACCGAACUUAGUUCGCAAUAAAAAGGGCUUCCCAGCCGCGAUCUCGCCGGCUUGCCGGAGCUCCUCCCGAGCUGCUCUGAUCUCAGAUCGAGUCUCUUUUUCCGUCUGCAAGGCCUUUUCAGGUCCUUCGUUUUUUCCUGGCUCUCCUUCUGGAGCAGCUCAUAACGGUUAGCAUCAUCCUUCAGCUCAAGAGCCAUAUUGGCUAUUUUUUCCUCACUUCGGUGAUGAGCAGCUUGUUCGGCUUUCAAUUCACUAGCUGCCUUUUCGGCAGCCGUGUCGCUUACUCAGGCUUGCUCCUUAGCACGCGCAAGCUUAGCCCGAAGAGUCUCCACGGCAGCCGCACCAUCUGUAGUCAAAAGCAUAUGGUAAGUCUCAGCGUCAUACUGUUAUACAUACUUGCUGACCGCCCAGAAGACACACCUUGCGCCUCGUCAAGAUGCUUAUGCACGAGCAUGAUGUCCUCAUCCGCCGCAUCAAGUUGCCGCAUUAAUUCGGCAAAUUCAGCAGCCCGCGCACUGGUCGGGGCUGCUGCUGCCUGUGUACAAAAUUGGAAGAAUCCUUUCCUGAGGUUAUUGAUAUUAUUUUUGAUCCUCUGAUUGCUCCAUUCGGAUAGCAACCAGAGUAUCAGGGGCUACUAUCUACACACAGUGCACCUUGCGUUCUGCAAUACAAAAAUAACAAGAAUUGCCAUAUUACGUACCUGGAAGCCUCUUAACGGGCUCAUAAAGGCUUCAUCAAGCCCGCUUUUCGCGGACAAAAUCCUUAUAAUCACUGUACCCAUUAAGGUAUGAUGUUCCUCUGAAACAGGUGCUUGCCGCAGAAGACCCACCAAUGUAUCCGGCUGUGCGUCGGACGGUCUGGGGUCCGAACUCCACGCACCUCGAGCGGCCGAAUAUUCACCUUCUGGCCCCGUCCUACUUUGGGGAUCGGGAGAGAUCCUCCGAGACGACGCUUCGGGGUCGCCCUCCUUGUGGGGCGGAGGAGUAUGAGGAGGCGUCUCGCUCUCCAUCAUCUCCGGAAGAAGGUCCCCCGAGGACAAAGAUUGCAGUGCAAGGCUAUAGGCCGGGCUACCAAACAUAUGUUUCAGACGUUACUAUCAUAAAUGGGAGAAGAACGGGGUAUGCUUACAAAGCACCUUUGUUCACUUACGUCUUGGCUAGCGGCCGGUCCCCUUGAGGGCGCUGUUCGGCGACGUCGCUCCCCGAGACGGGACCCCCUGACAGGGAUUUCUUCCCUUGCUUGGAGGCCUCCGCCUUCAGGUCUUCGGGGGCGGCCCUUUUCUUCCCACGGGGGGAGGGAAUAUUUGAUUCUCCUCCCCGAUUACUCUCCAACACGGGAGUUCCAAUUUCUCCGGAUACAGUACGUAAUGUACCACCUGCACUACUAGGAAAAGGCCUACUAGUGGCGCACCAGUUUUGCCUACUAAUGGCGCACUACUGGUGCGCCACUAGUACCACGCCACUAGUAUUUUUUACUAAUGUCGCACCAAUGGUGCGCCAUUAGUAUCUGGUAUACUAAUGGCGGACCACUGCUGCGCCAUUAGUAUAGGCCACGGUGCGCCAUUAGAAUAGGCCACUGGUGCGCCAUUAGUAUAGGCCACGGUGCGCCAUUAGUAUUUUUGAAUUUUGAAGGCGGGAAAAUAGUAGUGGUGCACCGUCUAACCCCCACCGUGCGCCAUUGCUAUUUUUGAAUUUUGAAUUUGGAUCUGGAUCGCGAUUUUUUUGCCCAUUUUUUGCUCGUUUUUUUGCACGAUAUUAUUUCAAAUUUUGUUCCCGUUUUUGGAUCGUGUACGUUCUUUUGCCGUGUUCUUUUGCCGGAGAGGAGGAGGAGGUCGCCGGAGAGGAGUUCACCGGAGCAUCGGAGAGGAGGAAGGAGAAACCAUGAGGGGAUGGGAGGAGAGGAGGGAGGAGGAGCUCACCGGUGAUGAGGGAGGAGGAGCUCACCGGAGAUGAGGGAGGAGGAGCUCACCGGAGAGGAGGGAGGAGAAACCGUGAGGGGAGGGGAGGGGAGGAGAGGNNNNNNNNNNNNNNNNNNNNNNNNNNNNNNNNNNNNNNNNNNNNNNNNNNNNNNNNNNNNNNNNNNNNNNNNNNNNNNNNNNNNNNNNNNNNNNNNNNNNNNNNNNNNNNNNNNNNNNNNNNNNNNNNNNNNNNNNNNNNNNNNNNNNNNNNNNNNNNNNNNNNNNNNNNNNNNNNNNNNNNNNNNNNNNNNNNNNNNNNNNNNNNNNNNNNNNNNNNNNNNNNNNNNNNNNNNNNNNNNNNNNNNNNNNNNNNNNNNNNNNNNNNNNNNNNNNNNNNNNNNNNNNNNNNNNNNNNNNNNNNNNNNNNNNNNNNNNNNNNNNNNNNNNNNNNNNNNNNNNNNNNNNNNNNNNNNNNNNNNNNNNNNNNNNNNNNNNNNNNNNNNNNNNNNNNNNNNNNNNNNNNNNNNNNNNNNNNNNNNNNNNNNNAGGAGGUCGCCGGAGAGGAGGAGGAGGUCGCCGGACAGGAGGAGCAGGAGGUCGCCGGAGAGGAGGAGGGUAGUAUGGUGGAGGAGAGAAGGGAAGAUGGAGUGGAGGAGAGGAGGAGAUGGAGUGGAGGAGAGGUGGACUAGAGGAGAAGAAUGAAGAGGUAAGGAGGAGAGGACACGCCCAGCCAUAUAUACGGCAUAGUAAUGGCGCACCGUGGGUAGGUGCGCCAUUACUAUUUUUUUGAUUUCUUUUGAAUUUUGAAGGCGGGAAGAUACUAAUGGCGCACCAUGGGCAAGUGCGCCAUUAGUAACUUUUUUUUAUUUUUUUUAUUUAUUUUGAAUUUUGAAGGCGGGAAGAUAGUAAUGGCGCACCAUGGGCAGGUGCGCCAUUAGUAUGUUUGAAUUUUUUUGCCUCUCCAGAUCUUAAAAGCCCCGUAUCUUUUUUUCUGUUAGGUUUUUGAGGAUUUUGAAAAUGUUUAACAAGGUUCCCUGGUUAAAUUCUGAUGUAACUUUUCGAGUAGAUGAUUUUUCAUAUAAAAAACUUUUUCAUCCGAGUUCGUAUGCAAAAGUUAUGCCCAUUUUUACAAAUUCUCGAGAGAUUUUGCAAAAAUGUCGAAAAUUCAUGUUUGUAAAUUUUGCUAACAACUAGACCACAUAUCACAUGGGAAUCUUAUUUUCUUUUAUAUUUUUGACAUUUCUAUGAUUUUCUUUUAUUUUUUUGAAACUGAAAAGGCGGUCUAGGGGGGUGUGAAUUCGGGGGAAUGUUUGGGCCAAAUUACUAAUGGCGCACCGUGGGAGUGGUGCGCCAUUACUUGUUGAACUAGUAAUGGCGUACCAUCCCAUGGUGCGCCAUUAGUAGUUUUGAAAAAAUUAAAAAAAAAUUUACUAAUGGCGCACCGUGGAUGUGGUGCGCCAUUAGUAUUUGCACACUAAUGGCACACCAACACAUGGUGCGCCAUUAGUAUUUAGUAAUGGCGCACCACAUGUACAGUGCGCCAUUAGUGUCCAUAUUGGCUAUAGCUGUUUUUGUAGUAGUGCUGUGUGGAGGCCAUGUUUGACCUCCCCGCUCCCUCCUUCUCUUCCACCGAUGGCACUUGAUGUGCUGCACGAGCCAGCAUCCUGGUUAACACCGGAUCCGCUGAGUCUUCGGGAAGAGGCGCCGAACACCUGAUCCUCUCUGUCUUCCGUAUCCAAUCCCGGCCAAGGACAAUUUUUUUCAGGAUAAUGUUAUGAUGAAUACAAUGGCAACGUGUUCGGUUACGGGUUGCUUACCGGGGUAUCUGGAUGGUUGCAGUCAAGGCAUGCGUCUUCCGUGGUAUCCGGACACUUUAUUCGUGAUCCGAAGAAUUAUUUAUACAUCCCUUCGAGCGUCAUGCCGAAGAAGUGCUGAACGGUUCGCGGUCCUUCCGGAUUGAACUCCCACAUACGGAGAGGUCGUCGUUGGCAUGGCAGGACCCGUCGAACUAGCAUUACCUGAAUUACCUUUACAAGACCGAUAUCCUUCUCGAUAAGAUCUCGGAUAUGGCUUUGCAACGUUCGUACAUCAUCAGCCGACCCCCAGUCCAGCCCCUUGUUGACCCAUGACGCAAGCUGUGGUGGAGGGCCGGAGCGGAAGGCAGGAGCAGCCGCACACUUUUUUCCUCGGGCAGCUAUGAUGUAAAACCAGUCCCGUUGCCACAGGUCGGAAACCUCUGGGAAGGAACCCUUUGGCCAUAAAGCAUUGGCGCAUUUGCUUAUUCUAGCCCCUCCGCACUCCGCGUGUUUCCCGUUGAUCAUCUUCGAUGUUACAUUAAAGGUUUUUAGCCAUAAGCCAAAGUGCGGAACAAUGCGGAGGAAGGCCUCGCACACGAUGAUGAAGGAUGAGAUGUGAAGGAAGGAAUUCGGAGCUAGAUCAUGAAAAUCUAGCCCGUAAUAAAACAUGAGCCCUCUAACGAAGGGAUGAAGACUGAGGCCUAGCCCUCGGAGGAAGUGAGAGAUGAACACAAUGCUCUCGUCGGACUUGGGAGUAGGUAUGACCUGACCUUGAGCAGGAAGCCUGUGGGGAAUUUCCGCAGUCAAGUACCUCGCCCCGCUAAGCUUCUUGAUAUCCUCCUAUGUGAUGGAGGAGGCCAUCCACCGGCCUUGAAGGCUGGAUCCGGACAUGGUCAGAAGCUUGGAGCAUUUUCCCUGGAACCUUGGGUGUUGGAACUCAAGGUAGGAGAAGGAGAGGAUUAAGCGUAAAGGGAAAAGACAGGCCUUGAUCUCUUUAUAAAGAGGAUGAAUAUCAAAUGUCCCCGCCUGGCCUUUUCGGAACUUACCUAUUCUCAAGGAAUCCUAUCCAUGGAACGGUUGGGUUACCCAGUCCUGUAUUGAUGAGAAUCCCGUAAUAAGGGGACAUGAUCUCUGAUUCGACAAGACGGGCCAAUAAACUGCCUCGUGAAAUGUGUCGUGGCAGGCUGAUAAAAAAGUUUGGAUAAAAACUGGGCCGUGUUAAACUGUCAGCAGAUUAGAUCCAUGAAAUAUUAUACUCUCUACGGUGGUAUGUGGAAAUUGUUUUUGCAGAGCCGGACACGAUUCUUGUGUUCAAGAUCUACUUUGGAGUAUUCGGAUAAGGAACCCGCCUUGCAAUGCCGAAGACAAUCUGCGCGCCGGACUCAAUCGUCAUUGAAGCCUGGUUCUGGGGCUACUGAGGGAGUCCUGGAUUAGGGGGUCCUCGGACAGCCGGACUAGAUACUUUGGUCGGACUGUUGGACUAUGAAGAUACAAGAUAGAAGACUUCGUCCCGUGUCCGGAUGGGACUCUCCUUUGCAUGGAAGGCAAGCUUGGCAUUCAGAUAUGUAGAUUUCCUUCUCUGUAGCUGACUCUGUGUAACCCUAGCCGCCUCCGGUGUCUAUAUAAACCGGAGAGUUUAGUCCGUAGGACCAAGGACAACAAUCAUAAUCAUAGGCUAGCUUCUAGGGUUAGCCUCCUCGAUCUCGUGGUAGAUCAACCCUUUUAAUACUCAUAUCAUCAAGAUCAAUCUAACAGGAAGUAGGGUAUUACCUCCAUAGAGAGGGCCUGAACCUGGGUAAACAUCGUGUCCCCCGCCUCCUAUUACCAUUAACCUUAGACGCAUGGUUUGGGACCCCCUACCCGUGAUCCGCCGGUUUUGACACCGACAACAGGCCUCGAUGGAGGCUGAAUCUGUGUUCGGCUCCAACACCGUAGAGUAUGAGGCCUCCGUGGUGGGGUCCAGCCCCCCGUCCACGGAUGGAACGAUCUGCUCCGGAUUUAGAGGCGGGGCAGCCGCAGGUGUGAUCUCCUGACCACCAUCUGAUGGCAGAUCUAAGUCAUGCUCAUCGCGGCCGUUGGGCGCACUUGUCAUGGGCUUGAAUCCGUCAAAGAUCAAGUCUCCGCGGAUGUCAGUCGGGUAAUCAGGUUUCCAAACCUGACCUGAUGGCCAGGGGCGUAGCUAUCGAUCUGCUGCAGAUGGCCAAGCGAGUUGGCCCGCAGUGCGAAGCCGCCGAAUACGAAGAUUUGUCCGGAGAGGAAAACCUAACCCUGGAUCGCGUCGCUGUAGACGAUUGAAGGAGCCAUCAAGCCUUAUGGUGACGACACAGUGGAACUCUGAAUGAAAGCACCAAUGUCGGUGUCAAAACCGGCGGAUCUCAGGUAGGGGUCCCGAACUGUGCGUCUAAGGCUGAUGGUAACAGGAGGCGGGGGACACGAUGUUUACCCAGGUUCGGGCCCUCUCUAUGGAGGUAAUAAUACCCUAGUUCCUGCUAUAUUGAUCAUGAUGAUAUGAGUAUUACAAGAGUUGAUCUACCACGAGAUCGAUGAGGCUAACCCUAGAAGCUAGCCUAUGAUUAUUAUUGUCGCUCUUGAUCCUACGUACUAAAUCCUCCGGUUUAUAUAGACACUGGAGGGGGCUAGGGUUACCCAGAGUCAGUUACAGAGAAGGAAAUCUACAUAUCUGAAUCGCCAAGCUUGCCUUCCACGCAAAGGAGAGUCCCAUCCGGACACGGGACGAAGUCUUCUAUCUUGUAUCUUCAUAGUCCAACAGUCCGGCCAAAGUAUAUAGUCCGGCUGUCCGAGGACACCUUAAUCUAGGACUCCCUCAUCGAGUUAGCCAUAUGCCGAAGGAUACACGAGAUUUGUUUGUCAUCAGUACAUUGUCUAUGUAUAGGGUGACAUUCUAUCUUCCGAGCUCGUAGACAUAUACAUACGUUGCUCACUGUAGGGACCCAGAUUCUUACCUCACAAAAAAAUCCAAUCCCAGCACUUCCCUUUCAUAAUAUACUAGACCACUUAUUAGAUCUAGAUACAUCCAAUCAGGAAUGAGAUACCCGUCUAUCGGGAGUUGCUACUAAGAUCACCUCUGUCGAGCUCCCUUGUAGUUAAGUUUCUCAAUUUUAGCACCAAGUUCCUUUUUCGUAACCUCUAUUGAGCAAGUGAUGGGAUAGGGGUGGUUUCCAAAUGUGCAUUGGCCAUCCCUCGAUAGAAGAACAUAUCUGAUUCGCCUAUGACAAGGCACUAGGUGCAGUUUUCUCAUGACAAGGCAAAAUAUCUCAACCAGUGCCAGCGGAGACGGAUGGUGAUCAAAUGACCAUUGAUAUUUGCAUCAUAUGGACGUGUAGCUCAUUAAAUUGAGGCACUACGUGGAACAUAUAUAUGUGUUCGUGUGCGCAACCGGUGAGCGUCGGAAUACUCCUCUUUUUGAGCCAUAUGGGGUUAAGUUUCUCAUAUUUACUCCUAAUUUUCUUUCGCGUGAGCUCUACAGAAGGGUGACCAAAUAUGCGCUCGCCGACUCUAUUGUUUUAAGUUUCUCAAUCUUCUUCACUAAGUUUCUUUAUGAUUUUGGCGCAUAGACGGGCUGCUCAUUAAAAUGAGGCAUUAGGUGGAAUAUAUAUUGGUGUUCGGUGUGUUUCACCGGCGAGCGUUGUAAACCUCCUUUUUCUGACCCAUAUGGAGUUAAGUUUCUCAUAUUUAGCCUUAAGUUUCUUUCCCGUGAGCUCUACGGAAGGGUCAUCAAAUAUGUGUUCGACGACUGCUCGUUCAACAAAAUGGUACACGUGAUUCUCCCGCGGAAGACGAGCGUUGCCUAAUUCCAAUUUCGAGCCCUAUCAUGUUAAGUUUCUCAACCUUCUUCACUUAGUUUAUUUCCGAUUUUUGUGCCUUGCUUCACCAUUUCCACAUGGUUAUUAAACCAACACCUCAUGAUAAGAUACCAUUCUAUGUAUUUCUGGUCGGUACUCGCCAUUGCAAAAUCUCUCAACAAAUAUGAGAGGAUAGGGAUGGUAAACAAAGUAGCAUCGCGCCAUCCAUCGACCGAAGUAUAUUUUAUAUUCACCUGCGAAGUCUUUUCAAGAAUGCUUGAAAUACGUUCACACGACGAGGGUUGAGAUAUGAGGGCAUCAGGUCCAUUGCCAAAAUCGCCUCUUUCAAGCUUUGAUGUAGUUAAGUUUCCUAAUUAGGCACUAAGUUUGUUUUUCGUGAGCUCUGGAGUACGUGACGGGGGAGGGAUUGUGGGAAAAUGUGCAUCGAGUCAGCCAUAUAUCGAAGGAUACAUGAGAUUUGUUUGUCAUCGGUACGUCAUCUAUGUAUAUGGUGACAUUCUAUCUUCCGAGCUCGUAGACAUAUACAUACGUUGCUCACCGCAGGGACCCAGAUUCUUACCUCACAAAAAAAUCCAAUCCCAGCACUUCCCUUUCAUAAUAUAUUAGACCACUUAUUAGACCGAGAUACAUCCAGUGAGGACUAAGAUACCCGUCUAUUGGGAGUUGCUAUUAAAAUCACCUCUGUCGAGGUCCCUUGUAGUUAAGUUUCUCAAUUUUAGCACUAAGUUCCUUUUUCAGAACUUCUAUAGCACAGGUGAUGGGAGAAGGGUUGUUUCGAAAUGUGCAUUGGCCAUCCCUCGAUAGAAGAGCAUAUCUGAUUUGCUUAUGACAAGGAACGAUGUGCAAUUUUAUCAUGACAAGGCAAAAUCUUUCAACCAGUGCCAGCGGAGACGGAUGGUGAUCAAAUGACCAUUGAUAUUUGCAGCAUAUGGAUGCGUAGCUCAUUAAAAUGAGGCACUAGGUGGAAUAUAUACAGGUAUUCGUGUGUGCCACCGGUGAGCUUCAGAAUACUCUUUAUGAGCCAUAUGGAGUUAAGUUUCUCAAGUUUACCCUAAGUUUCUUUCCCGUGAGCUCUACAGAUCGGGUGACCAAAUAUGCGCUCGCCGACUCCAUCGUGUUAAGUUUCUCAAUCUUCUUCACUAAGUUUCUUUCUGAUUUUGGCGCCUAGACGGGAUGCUCAUUAAAAUGAGACACUAGGGGGAAUAUAUAUAGGUGUUCGGUGUGCGUCACCAGCGAGCGUUGUAAACCACCUUUUUUGAGCCAUAUGGAGUUAAGUUUAUCAUAUUUAGCCUUAAGUUUCUUUCCCGUGAGCUCUACGGAAGGGUCACCAAAUAUACGUUCGACGACUCCUCGUUCGACCGAAUGGUACACGUGAUUCUCCCGCGGCAGACGAGCAUUGCCUAAUUCCAAUUUCGAGCCCUAUGAUGUUAAGUGCUAAAUCUUCUUCACUAAGUAUCUUUCUGAUUUUUGCGCCUUGCUUCAGAAUUUCCUCAUGGUUAUUAAACCAACACCUCAUGAUAAGAGACCAUUGUGUAUAUUUUAGGUCGGUACUCGCCAUUGCAAAAUCUCUCAGUAAACAUGAGAGGAGAGGGAUGGUGAACAAAGGAGCAUCUUGCCGUCCAUCGAUCGAAGUAUAUUUGAUAUUCACCUGCGAAGUCUUUUCUAGAACGCAUGAAAUACGUUCACACGACGAGGGUUGAGAUAUGUGGCCAUCAGGUCCAUUGCCAAAAUUGCCUUUUUCGAGCUUGAUGUAGUUAAGUUUCCUAAUUAGAUAAUAAGUUUGUUCUCCGUGAGCUCUAGGAGUACCUGACAGGGGAGGGAUUGUGGGCAAAUGUGCAUCGAGUCAGCCAUAUACCGAAGGAUACACGAGAUUUGUUUGUCAUCAGUACGUUGUCUAUGUAUAGGGUGACAUACUAUGUUCCGAGCUCAUAGACAUAUACAUACGUUGCUCACUGCAGGGACCCAAAUUCUUACCUCAUGAAAAAAUCCAAUCCCAGCAAUUCCCUUUCAUAAUAUAUUAGACCACUUAUUAGACCUAGAUACAUCCAAUGAGGACUGCCAUACCCGUCUAUCGGGAGUUUGUACUAAAAUCACCUUUGUCGAACUCCCUUGUAGUUAUGUUUCUCAAUGUUAGCAUUAAGUUCCUUUUUCAUAACCUCUUGCUCUAUUGAGUAGGUGAUGGGAGAGGGGUGGUUUCCAAAUGUGCGUUGGACAUCCCUCGAUAGAAGAACAUAUCUGAUCCGCCUAUGACAGGGCACCAGGUGCAAUUUUCUCAUGACAAGGCAAAAUCUCUCAAUCAGUGCUAGCGGAGAUGGAUGGUGAUCAAAUGACCAUCGAUAUUUGCAGCAUAUAGAUGCGUAGCUCAUUAAAAUCACCUCUUUCGAGCUUGAUGUAGUUAAGUUUCCUAAUUAGGCACUAAGUUUGUUCUUCGUGAGCUCUAGGCUUAUGAGACGGUGGAGGGAUUGUGUGCAAAUGUGCAUCGAGUCAGCCAUAUACCAAAGGAUACACGAGAUUUUUUUGUCAUCGGUACGUCGUCUAUGUAUAUGGUGACAUUCUAUCUUCCGAUGGUCACUGCAGGUACCAGAUUCUUACCUCACAAAAAAAUCCAAUCCCAACACUUCCCUUUCAUAAUAUAUUAGACCACUUAUUAGACCUAGAUACAUCCAAUGAGGGCUGAGAUACCCGUCUAUCGGGAGUUGCUACUAAAAUCACCUCUGUCGACCUCCCUUGUAGUUAAGUUUCUCAAUUUCAGCACUAAAUUCCUUUUACAUAACCUUUAUUGAGCAGGUGAUGGGAGAGGGGUGGUUUCCAUGCGCAUUGGCCAUCCCUCGAUAGAAGAACAUAUCUGAUUCGCCUAUGACAAGGCACUAGGUGCAAUUUUCUCAUGAGAAGGCAAAAUCUCUCAACCAGCGCCAGUGGAGACGGAUGGUGAUCAAAUGACCAUUGAUAUUUGCAGCAUAUGGAUGUGUAGUUCAUUAAAAUCACCUCUUUCGAGCUCGUAGACAUAUACAGACGUUGCUCACUGUAGGGACCCAGAUUCUUAGCUGACAAAAAAAUCCAAUCCCAGCACUUCCCUUUCAUAAUAUACUAGACCACUUAUUAGACCUAGAUACAUCCAAUCAGGACUGAGAUACCCGUCUAUCGGGAGUUGCUACUAAAAUCACCUCUGUCAAGCUCCCUUGUAGUUCAGUUUCUUAAUUUUAGCACCCAGUUCCUUUUUCAUAAACUCUACUGAGCAAGUGCUGGGAUAGGGGUGGUUUCCAAAUGUGCAUUGACCAUCCCUCGGUAGAAUAAUAUAUCUGAUGCGCCUAUGACAAGGCACGAGGCGCAAUUUUAUCAUGACAAGGCAAAAUCUCUCAACCAGUGCCAGCGGAGACGGAUGGUGAUCAAAUGACCAUUGAUAUUUGCAGCAUAUGGAUGCUUAGCUCAUUAAAACAAGGCACUAGGUGGAAUAUAUAUAGGUGUUUGUGUGCGCAACCGAUGAGCGUCGGAAUACUCCUCUUUAUGAGCCAUAUGGAGUUAAGUUUCUCAAAUUUACCCCUAAGUUUCUUUCCAGUGAGCUCUACGGAAGGGUGACCAAAUAUGCGCUCGCCGACUCUAUCGUGUUAAGUUUCUCAAUCUUCUUCACUAAGUUUCUUUCUGAUUUUGGCGCCUAGACGGGCUACUCAUUAAAAUGAGACACUGGGGGGAAUAUAUAUAGGUGUUCGGUGUGCGUCACCUUCGAGCAUUGUAAACCUCCUUUUUUGAGCCAUAUGGAGUUAAGUUUCUCAUAUUUAGCCUUAAGUUUCUUUCCCAUGAGCUCUACGGAAGGGUCACCAAAUAUACGUUCGACGACUCCUCGUUCGACCUAAUGGUACACGUGAUUCUCCCGCGGCAGACGAGCAUUGCCUAAUUCCAAUUUCGAGCCCUAUCAUGUUAAGUUUGUCAAUCUUCUUUACUAAGUAUCUUUCUGAUUUUUGCGCCUUGCUUCAGAAUUUCCACAUGGUUAUUAAACCAACACCUCAUGAUAAGAGACCAUUGUGUAUAUUUCAGGUCGGUACUCGCCGUUGCAAAAUCUCUCAACAAACAUGAGAGGAGAGAGAUGGUGAACAAAGGAGCAUCGCGCCAUCCAUCGAUCGAAGUAUAUUUGAUAUUCACCUGCGAAGUCUUUUCUAGAAUGCAUGAAAUACGUUCACACGACGAGGGUUGAGAUAUGAGGGCAUCAGGUCCAUCGCCAAAAUCGCCUCUUUCGAGCUUGAUGUUGUUAAGUUUCCUAAUUAGGCACUAAGUUUGUUCUCCGUGAGCUCUAGGCGUACGUGACAGAGGAGGGAUUGUGGGAAAAUGUGCAUCGAGUCAGCCAUAUACCGAAGGAUACACGAGAUUUGUUUGUCAUCAGUACGUCGUUUAUAUAUAGGGUGACAUUCUAUCUUCCGAGCUCGUAGACAUAUACAUAAGUUGCUCACUGCAGGGACCUAGAUUCUUCCCUCACGAAAAAAAUCCAAUCCCAGCACUUCCCUUUCAUAAUAUAUUAGACCACUUAUUAGACCAAGAUACAUCCAAUGAGGACUGACAUACCCGUCUAUCGGGAGUUGCUACUAAAAUCACCUUUGUCGAAAUCCCUUGUAGUUAUGUUUCUCAAUGUUAGCACUAAGUUCCUUUUUCAUAACCUCUUCCUCUAUUGAGCAGGCGAUGGGAGAGGGGUGGUUUCCAAAUGUGCGUUGGCCAUCCCUCGAUAGAAGAACAUAUCUGAUCCGCCUAUGACAAGGCACUAGUUACAGUUUUCUCAUGACAAGCCAAAAUCUCUCAAUCAGUGCCAGCGGAGACGGAUGGUGAUGAAAUGACCAUUGAUAUUUGCAGCAUAUGGAUGCAUAGCUCAUUAAUAUCACCUCUUUCGAGCUUGAUGUAGUUAAGUUUCCUAAUCAGGCACUAAGUUUGUUCUCCGUGAGCUCUAGGAGUACGUGGCGGGGGAGGGAUUGUGGGCAAAUGUGCAUCGAGUCAGCCAUAUACCGAAGGAUACACGAGAUUUGUUUGUCAUCAGUACGUCAUCUAUGUAUAUGGUUACAUUCCAUCUUCCGAGCUCGUAGACAUAUACAUACGUUGCUCACUGCAGGGACCCAGAUAUUUACCUCACGAAAAAAAUCCAAUCCCAGCACUUCCCUUUCAUAAUAUAUUAGACCACUUAUUAGACCUAGAUACAUCCAAUGAGGACUGACAUACCCCUCUAUCGGGAGUUGCUACUAAAAUCACCUUUGUCGAACUCCCUUGUAGUUAUGUUUCUCAAUGUUAGCACUAAGUUCCUUUUUCAUAACCUCUUCCUCUAUUGAGCAGGUGAUGGGAGAGGGGUGGUUUCCAAAUGUGCGUUGGCCAUCCCUCGAUAGAAGAACAUAUUUGAUCCUCCUAUGACAAGGCACUAGGUGCAAUUUUAUCAUGACAAGGCAAAAUCUCUCAACCAGUGCCAGCAGAGACGGAUGGUGAUUAAAUGACCAUUGAUAUUUGCAGCAUAUGGAUGCGUAGCUCAUUAAAAUCACCUCUUUCGAGCUUGAUGUAGUCAAGUUUCCUAAUUAGGCACUAAGUUUGUUCUGCGUGAGCUCUAGGAGUACGUGCCGGGGGAGGGAUAGUGGGCAAAUGUGCAUCGAGUCAGCCAUAUACCGAAGGAUACACGAGAUUUGUUUGUCAUCAGUACGUCGUCUAUGUAUAGGGUGACAUUCUAUCUUCUGAGCUCAUAGACAUAUACAUACGUUGCUCACUGCAGGGACCCAGAUUCUUACAUCACAAAAAAUCCGAUCCCAGCUCUUCCCUUUCAUAAUAUAUUAGACCACUUAUUAGACCUACAUACAUCCAAUGAGGACUGAGAUGCCUGUCUAUCGGGAGUUGCUACUAAAAUCACCACGGUCGAGCUCCCGUGUAGUUAAGUUUCUCAAUUUUAACACUAAGUUCCUUUUUCAUAACCUCUAUUGAGCAGGUGAUGGGAGAGGGGUGGUUUCCAAAUGUGCAUCGGCCAUCCCUCAAUUGAAGAACAUAUCUAAUUCGCCUAUGACCAGGCACUAGGUGCAAUUUUCUCAUGACAAGGCGAAAUCUCUCAACCAGUGCAAGCGGAGACGGAUGGUGAUCAAAUGACCAUUGGUAUUUGCAGCAUAUGGAUGCGUAGCUCAUUAAAACGAGGCACUAGGUGCAAUAUAUAUAGGUGUUCGUGUGCGCCAACAGUGAGCAUCGGAAACCUCCUCUUUUUGAGCCAUAUGGAGUGAAGUUUCUCAUAUUUACACCUAAGUUUCUUUCCCAUGAGCUCUACGGAAGGGUGACCAAAUAUGCACUCGCCGACUCUAUUGUGUUAAGUUUAUCAAUCUUCUUCACUAAGUUUCUUUCUGAUUUUGGCGCCUAGACGGGCUGCUCAUUAAAAUGAGGCACUAAGGGGAAUAUAUAGGUGUUUGGUGUGCGUCACCGGCGAGCAUUGUAAACCUCCUUUUUUGAGCCAUAUGGAGUUAAGUUUCUCAUAUUUAGCAUUAAGUUUCUUUCCCAUGAGCUCUACGGAAGGGUCACCAAAUAUGCGUUCGACGACUCCUCGUUCGACUGAAUGGUACACGUGAUUCUCCCGCGGUAGACGAGCAUUGCCUAAUUCCAAUUUCGAGCCCUAUCUUGUUAAGUUUCUCAAUCUUCUUCACUAAGUUUCUUUCUGAAUUUUGCGCCUUGCUUCAGCAUUUCCACAUGGUUAUUAAACCAACACCUCAUGAUAAGAGACCAUUGUGUAUAUUUUAGGUCGGUACUCGCCGUUGCAAAAUCUCUCAACAAACAUGAGAGGAGAGGGAUGGUGAACAAAGGAGCAUCGCGCCAUCCAUCGACCGAAGUAUAUUUGAUAUUCACCUGCGAAGUCUUUUCUGGAACGUAUGAAAUACGUUCAUAUGAUGAGGGUUGAGAUAUGAGGGCAUCAGGUCCAUCGCCAAAAUCGCCUCUUUCGAGCUUGAUGUAGUUAAGUUUCCUAAUUAGGCACUAAGUUUGUUCUCCGUGAGCUCUAGGAGUUCGUGACGGGGGAGGGAUUGUUUGAAAAUGUGCGUCGAGUCAGCCAUAUACCGAAGGAUACACGAGAUUUUUUUGUCAUCAGUACGUUGUCUAUGUAUAGGGUGACAUUCUAUCUUCCAAGCUCGUAGACAUAUACAUACGUUGCUCACUACACGGACCCAGAUUCUUACCUCACAAAAAAUCCAAUCCCAGCACUUCCCUUUCAUAAUAUAUUAGACCACUUAUUAGACCUAGAUACAUCCAAUGAGGACUGAGAUACCCGUCCAUCGGGAGUUGCUACUAAAAUCACCUCAGUCGAGCUCCCUUGUAGCUAAGUUUCUCAAUUUUAACACUAAGUUCCUUUUUCAUAACCUCUAUUGAGCAGCUGAUGGGAGAGGUGUGGUUUCCAAAUGUGCAUUGGCCAUCCCUCGAUAGAAGAACAUAUCUAAUUCGCCUAUGACAAGGCACUAGGUCCAAUUUUCUCAUGAUAAGGCAAAAUCUCUCAACCAGUGCAAGCGGAGACGGAUGGUGAUCAAAUGACCAUUGCUAUUUGUAGCAUAUGGAUGCGUAGCUCAUUAAAACGAGGCACUAGGUGGAAUAUAUAUAGGUUUUCGUGUGCGCAACGGGUGAGCGUUGGAAACCUCCUCUUUUUGAGGCAUAUGGAGUUAAGUUUCUCAUAUUUACCCGUAAGUUUCUUUCCCGUGAGCUCUACGGAAGGGUGUCCAAAUAUGCGCUCGCCGACUCUAUCGUGUUAAGUUUCUCAAUCUUCUUCACAAAAUUUCUUUUUGAUUUUGGCGCCUAGACGGGCUGCUCUUUAAAAUGAGGCACUAACUGGAAUAUGUAUAGGUGUUUGGUGUGCGUCACCGGCUAGCGUUGUAAACCUCCUUUUUCUGAGCCAUAUGGAGUUAAGUUUAAGUGCAAAUGGGUCAAUCUAUCAGGAGGCGGGGUACAAGUAGACCCGCAGUACGGAAUGACAACAGUGGAUCUGAAAAAUCUUGGGUACAGUGACGAACCGUUUGUCCUAGCCAAUGAUGUGGCACAGGUUAUCUAUGUGAAGGACAUGUCUACCAAACCGAGAAAAAGAAAAGAUAAGGAAGCGAAUACAUCAUACGAUGAGCCAAAGCGCCACAUAGUUCUUUAAGGAAAAAGGGACAUCGUGUGAGUGGAGGGCAAGACAGACAUGUCUGAAGAUUAUGAAAAGUUUCAUGAAAUUCCUCCCUUCAAAGUCAAGGCUGACCCAAGCAUCCUGAUAAACGAUGAAGAUUAUCCAUGGUUACGGUGCAAUAAGCAAAUGACACAAGCGAAGAAAAAGUGAAGACUUUCUCCCGCAACUAUUAUGAUGAUACCAUGCCAACUUUGUAACAGACGAGUAUGAUACCAUUCUCCGUUUUGUACAUGCACAUGCUAUGUGGGUGAAAUUAUGAUACCAUGCCAACUUUCAACCUUUUCAGAGUUCAUUUGAAAUGCUUUAAUGUCUUAUGGUUCGGCCCUCGUAAUACCAUUAAUCCCGGUUCGCUCCUUGUCAACUAUGCUCUCACCAAGAACACUCAAGAGGGCAGCCACGUGGGCCAUUGGUCCCGGUUCGUCUCGACCUUUUGGUCCCGGUUCCACGCACGAACCGGGACCAAUGCGCCUCGCCCCUGGCCCAUGACCAUUAGUCCCGGUUUGUGCCACAAACCGGGACUAAAGGGUUGGUUCUCGUUGCGGUCAGAGUUUAGUCCCACCUCGCCAACCGAAGGGCGCUCACACCAGUUUAUAAGCCCCUCCCUCUCUCCCUUGUUGAGCUCCUCUCAAAGUGAAAAUAGAUGCCCUUAUACAGAGAAUUUGACCUAAAUUCAUACUGAAUUUCUUUGAAAUUCAUAGAAAUUUAUUAUGAAUUUAGGUUGAAUUUUCUCUAUAGGCGCAUCUAUACUCAUUUUUUUAGUAAAGUUAAUCACAAACUUGUGAUUCACACAAAUUUCAAAGAAUUCAAAUUUUAACUAUUCAAAAUUGAAAACUAAUGGCACUAACAGAAAGUUUAUAAUUUUUGUAAAACUAAUGGCACUAACAGAAAGUUUAUAAUUUUGCUGACCUAAAAGCAAAAAUAAUUAAAAAAUAAAGCAAAAAACAAAAGAAAAUAAAUAAUGCAAAAAACAAAACAAAAAAACUGGAAAAAAAACUUUUAAUUUUAAACACAGUAAUAUUAAACACAGUAAUUUUAACUAUUCAAAUUUGAAAACUAAUGGCACUAACAGAAAGUUUAUAAUUUUUGUGACCUAAAAGAAAAAUAAUUAAAAAAUAAACUUUAAUAAAAUAAAUAAAAAUAGCAACAAUAAGUAUUUUGUUGUAAGUAGAAACAAAAUAAAAUAAAUAAAGCAAUAAAGAAAACAAAAAAAAAAUUUAGUUGUUAUAUAUAUAUAUAUAUGCUAUUUGUUUAGAUGUUUUUAGAUGUUCUUAUAUGUUGUUUUCACAUGUUUUUAGUUGUUCAUAAAAGAAAUUUAGAUGUAGGUAUGUAUGUGUGAGGGAUCAUAUAUGUAUUUUUUAGAUGUUCUUAUAUGCUGUUUUCAGAUGUUUUUUGUAUGUGUGUAUGUAUGAGGGAUCAUAUAUGUAUUUUUUAGAUGUAUUUUUUGUAUGUAUGUAUGUAUGAGGGAUCAUACAUGUAUUUUUUCAGAAUUUUCUAUCGUGCAUAGACCGAGAAGGAGAAAGGAAAAUAAGAAGAGGAAGAAAGGAGAAGAAGAGGAGAGGAAGAAGAGGAGAAAUAAAUAAGAAGAGGAAAAAAGAAGAAAAAGAAGAGGAGAAGAAGAAAGGAAUAGAGGAAAAGAAGAAAAAAUAGAAAAUAUUCUAUUUUUUCUUCUUCUCCUCUAUUCCUUUCUUCUUCUCCUCUUUUUUUCUUCUUUUUUUCUUCGAUCUUCUCCUCUAUUCCUUUCUUCUUCUCCUCUUUUUAUUUCUUCUUCAUUUUCUUAUGUUUUAUCGGGUCUGUCGUCAUCGAUAUACCCCUCCCGAUAACUUCAACACGAGGGGGGGGGUCGAUAUACCCCCUCCCCGAUAAUAUUACUUUCCAAUGUACGUAUGUCAUCAUUGUCGAUAUAACCCCCUCCCGAUAAGGGUCGAUAUACCCCCUCCCCGAUAACAUUAUUUUCCCGUGUAUGUAUGUCGUCGUUGUCGAUAUUACCCCCUCUCGACUGUGAUAACUUAUACCAAAACUCUCGAGGACACCCAAACCCUAGAAAAAACGAUGUCGGUCUCCUACCCCCUCCCGCCGCGCCCCUACCCGACAAACUCUCUCGAGGCCACCCCCUCUCGCUCGACCAAAACGCUCGAGGACACCCAAGUCCUAGAAAAAAAAUGAUGUCGGUCUCCUACCCCUCCCGCCGCGCCACCUACCCUUGAAGUGUUGCCGAGGCCACCCCAAACCCGGAAUAAGCUCGGUCUACGUUUGCCACUAAUAUAUCCACCUGCUGUCAUGUUUGUGUAAUAAUUGCCAUGUUGUAAUAUUUGCAGAAACAAUGGAGCACAUACGAGACGAGGAAGCAGAAGAGGUCUUGGGGGACAUAAUCUUAGCCGGAGGUGAUAUCUUGUCGUAUCUUAACGACAAUGAUGGUCUGGAAGAACAGGGUGAAGAAGCAGGCUACGAUGAUCGAAGAAUGGAGGAGGAAAGACAUGAUUAUGAUGGCUCCGGUGUCCCAAUGACGGUGCAAGAAGGAGACCGUGAUGACGGCUCCGGUGACCGAACCGAGUCCGGCCAGGUAUAUAUAUUAGUUAAGCCUGUGCUGACUAGCUAAUUGAUGCAUUCAUUGUUUUGGUAUAUGUACACAUAUUAAUUAACUCUCGUCUUUCUUCUUUCAGUACUAGGAAAAGGCCUACUAGUGGCGCACCAGUUUUGCCUACUAAUGGCGCACUACUGGUGCGCCACUAGUACCACGCCACUAGUAUUUUUUACUAAUGGCGCACCACUAGUGCGCCAUUAGUAUCUGGUAUACUAAUGGCACACCGGGCAGUGCGCCAUUAGUAUAGGCCAUGGUGCGCUAUUAGUAUGCCUCCCAGGGGGCCAUAUUUACCCAUGUGCCUAGCAAUACUAAUGGCGCACCGCGGGGUGAUGCGCCAUUAGUAUCCUUUGGCAUACUAAAGGCGCACUGCGGUGUGAUGCGCCAAUAGUAUCCUUUGGCAUACUAAUGGCGCACUGCGGUGUGACGCGCCAUUAGUAUCCUUUGGCAUACUAAUGGCGCACGUUGGGGUGAUGCGCCAUUAGUAUGUAUAUUAGGGAUUAUUUUUUUUCUUUUCUAAUUUUUGCACAGAUUACAAAAUAUAUUAUUGGACAGAAUAUAAGCAGCACCACACAGCAAUAGCAGAUUCAUCGAAUAUAAUAUAAGAUUAGUCUCCGAAUACAAUUCAUCAUAUUAGUCUCCGAAUUCAAAAGACCGAACAAAGAUAGAACAUUACAAGUCUCGAGACCGCGAGUAGCCAGUUUGUCUUCACAUUACAAGUCGAUAUCGAUCAUCUAAACUACCAUCACAUAGAAGAGAUCUGCGGUCAUCACGAUGAGCAUCAUCGCGAUGAAACUGGUCUUCAUCCGGUUCCUCCAACGCUCCCUCCUCUGUCCCGCUAGAUAGCACGCGUAUCUAGAUUCCGCCUUCACCGUAGUGGUGUACCCUUUGUAACUAUUACCGCUGAAACGGUGAACCGGUCUCCGACACUCCUCCCAGUCGUCGUAGACUCCGGGAACCUUACCCUUGUACAUGACAUACAACGGCAUCUCUAUGCACUAGCCAAACAACAGACAAUACAUAAGCAAUAUAUAAUUAUGCAACAAAAGGAUCGGAAGAGAAAAUCAAGACAUUAAUAGCACGAUUCAUGGUCCUACUAAUAAAUAGCAUCGAUUACAUCUAAGUUGAACGACUGUCCAAACUAAAGAGACAUACAAGUUCAUUAAAGUUUAAUUACAACAUGAGCUAAUCAAUGUUUCAGAACUACACAUAGCAUCACUACUUUCGACUCGACUCAUGGGACCGGAGCGUGGAUGAAGCUGCCAUCUGUCGUGAUGGUCAUGAAGUCGCGGGCAUUGUCAGCCUGCAUUUGUAGCGUUGUGUCUAUCUCACUGUUGGACGGUUGAAAUUUGAGGUAGAACUGCCCCGAGGUACGAAGGACAUCUUGAUGGAUGAUUUCUGCAAACUCCGACUGGAUGCGAAAGAAUUCUCGUCGGAUGUCCGCGUCCUGGAUUGCCGCCAAGCUUGCGGCCCAAUCUUUGAGAUUAUUUGGUAGCAGAAGGUGAUUAUGGUCCCGUACGAUCGCCCGCAUGUAAUGGAGGGCGUAGUAGGCAUCCUUCUGACCGCCAAGCGGCUGCUUGACGCAGGGGAACGUCGUAUUGUGGGUGAACACGUGCCUGCCGUACCUACGAGAUGGCCUUUUAAAGGUGCCUCCAAAUGCGGCGUAUCCGGGGAGAGCAUCAUCAAGAACUUUCUUGAUAUUUGUGUAGUCUAUCUUGGAGUCACGGUCCGGGUCGAAAUACGUGGCCAUGGAAUAUUUCGGGCUUAAGAGGAUGAGUGUGCAAUGUGUGUCACUGCACAUAACACAGAAUGUUAGAAAAAAAAGAACGAUCGAAAUCUAAGAAAUCAUAUGUUACGGGGCGGUUAGGAGAUGACUUACUUGGGAAAGUAAGGCACGAGGAAGUUAUCCUUAUCUGGGUUUGCCAGAAUGACGCCUUCGAGGUGUGAACUCGCGACUUGCCGGUCCCCAGCGCUGCCCAAGAUCUUGGCACGCAUGUAGAAGGGGUCGACUAUCACAAUGUCCGGGGUCUUGUCUCUUAUGAUCCACAUCUCCAUACUCAGCGAAAACGGCCGAACGAAGGUGUAGUGCAGCGGAUGAAGGUUAAGCAUAGCAAAGAUGUCAUCAAACCGCAUGACGAUCGUACCCCCGACGACGCUAUCCACAAAGCCCUUGCCCUCUGGCACCUUGGCCACGAAAACCGGGUAUGCCACAUCAUUCUCUCUGAGACGCCGCUUCUCCAAAGAAAGAACACUGUCAUGGAGACUCCGCAUAGCACCGGUUGCAGCAUUGAGCAUAUUUGUCGGUAGCAUCGGCCUACCCGCCACAUGCACCCUCCUCGAGAUAUCCUUAGGUGAAGGUGGCCCGUCCUGAGCACGGAUCGUACUCGGUGCCGGCUGGCUCGCACUGGCGCCCAUGUUAGUCUUUCGUUUUCGUCCCUUCUUCCUUAUCUGCUGUAAUGGGAUCGAGUUCUGCUCACAGACCGCCUUCUUGAGCGUGUUGGGGCUGAUAAUAUUUGGCACCUCAGCUAUCUGAGGCUCGGUGAAGGCGGCAGCUGGAGGCGUCUCCUGAGAACUGAACGCCAGACGACGCCUGUUGCAGUUGGGUUUCUCCGCCGUACCAGCUAGAUCGCGGUCGCCUUUUUCAGGGUUGGGUUCUUGAGAAGGAGGCCCGUAGAACUCGUCACCGUACCCAUGUUCGGCAAAGUACUUAUCGACGUUGGAAAAUGUACCGCCGUCGUUGUCGUCGUCGUCCGGAUCCUGUGCCAUAUGCAUGUCCGGAUCCUGUGCCAUAGGGAUGUCCGGCCUGUCCGGUAGCGUUGCGGCGUUCUUGCCAUGGCUUGUCGCUGGCACGACUCGCGGUCUUGUCUGUGGGGUGGUGUCCCCCGCCCCCAAACGAAUCUGGCUCUUCGGCCAAAGCAGGGGCCAGCUUACAUAGGCGUUGAGGGUCAUCACAUCAUCUUCGUCGGCCCAGCGGGUCGGAUCGGAGGUAACAACUCGUCGCAGCCUGGCAGCACCCGAACCAGUUCAACCCUAUACAAGGUGGGUGGCAUCGGAUUACCGUGGAACACGCGGUUGCCCGGUUGAACGAUUCUGCCCUUGGCGACAUCGACCAACUCGCCGCCCACGAAGUGCAGGAGAGUGCAAGGAACAUCGGUGGCACCCUGCGAAAACAUGUAGGGCGUCAGGGAUGCCCAGUCAAAGGCAAGGAGAUGAAGUCAUCGGCCGAGAGGCUUAGUUACCGUGAUGCCGUCGAGCUCGGCUAAUGUGGAGGCACCGCCAAUGGCGGGCGUGCCCGUGCAACUGACGGAGGGCCCGCUUGCUGGUGAGGUGCCAGCCGGCGUACACCAGGGUGCAUUAAGCUCCAAUGCCCGUGCCGGCACCGGAGACACGAAUACCGCCUCCGCCGGAGACACCAAUGGCGCCGCCUGCGCGUUGUGCGAGUUGCUGGCCGUGAAGCUGGGAACCGGGGGAGGCCCCUAUUGGCCGCCCGCAAUCCACGUCGUCAGCCCCUGAAUCAAGGUAGGCACAAUGGCGGUGAGCGUCGUUCCCAGUUGUUGUUGCACUUGCUCUUGGACAAUCUCCGGAAUCCGCUCCACUCGUGCCUUGAGUUCUUGGACCUCGCGCGACUGGCUUUCCGAGCUGGUCAUUUUCUCCUUUCGCGCACCAGCGGUAUAGUAUGACGACCAUUUUGUGGACAAGCCAUUGCCGGCCACACGACCAGCUGACGACGGCUUACUGAGCUUAUCCUUGUUUUUCAUUACGUUCAACGCCCUAUUUAAAGGGGUGUCAAAAGGGGCGCUCUGAGACGACCCCGCGCUACUGCUUUCAGCCUCCUGCGGAAGGAAUGUGAACCAUUUAGAAAUUUGGCUUCAUUAAUUAGAAUGCAACCAUAUGGAGCUAAUUACGCGGGGGUGUAUUCCUUACCAGAACAAGCUCAAGCGCCCUGGUCUUCGGAUCCGUGGUAAGCUCCUUUUAUACCGGGCCCUGACAAAGUUCCUGGUCUGCUUGUCAUGUAAUUUCUCGAAGCGGGGCGGUAGGCCUUGCUCGGCACGCUCCGCGUCCUCCUUGUCCCAUAUAGGCUCCGCCACUCUGUAACCGCCGGGACCGAGUUGGUGGACCCCUAAGUUCAACUCCCACAUUUCUUUCCCCCACUGACUUGAUUCGGAGGUUGCGCUGCUCUCGUACUUGAUCUUGAACACCUUGUAGUCAUCUUCGCUCAUCAAAGGAUAUUUCGCCUUGAUCUUCUCAUAACUAUCACCUUUUUCAAUCAUUGCCUUCACCGUGCUUCUCCAUGUAGACAGGGUCGUGCUCAUCCUCGUGAGGGCGGCGCUGUUCACUUUAUUCCCUGAGAGGCAUGUGUUUGCAAACUCAGCGGGGAACUUGUAUCGUUCGUGCAGCUUCGUGAAGAGGAGGCUGCGCAAAUUCCCUCGGUCCUUAUGCCUUAGGUUCUCGGUUUUGAUCGAGACGGUGCUCCGGAGAAUGCACCCGAGCUGAACCGAGUACCCCUUGACUACAUGUUUGGGCGCCGUUGGAUGCCCGUCGGAGUUCACUUCAGUAAAUUCCUCCUUGACGGUGCCGAGCAUGUUCGGGCGCCAGUCCUUUCGUUGCCUCUUCGGUUGGCUGCCAUCUGUGCAUGCGCCACCAUCAUCAGUGGUGGCAUCCUCGGCGGCACCAUCAGUGGUGUCAUCCCCGACACCACUAGGGGUUGUGUAGUUAGGAUCGGUGUCUUCCGCGGCGGCGUCCUCAUAGCGGUGAGGCUCUUCCUCCAUCUCCUGGGACAGCUCCCAGAAUUGCUUGCCGCCCGAACCGCUGGCCUCAUCGUUGUGGGCCAUGUUUCAUUCCAAAUAGGAAAAAAGUUUGGUCAAAAAGUUGGUCAUUGUCAAGGAACAAGAUCAUGGUCUCAUCAUUUAGGGUUUGUCGACACCGAGGCAUCAUAAAAGCUAAGCUUUUAUCAUUUAGGGUUUGUCGACGCUGAGGCACCCUAAAAGCCUAAGCGUACAUCAUUUAGGUUCUCAUCGACACCGAGGCACCCUAAAAGCCAAGGUUUUAUCAUAUAGGGUUUGUCGACGCCGAGGCACCCUAAAUGCUAAGUUAAGUUUUCAUCAUUUAGGGUUUAUCGAUGCCGAGGCACCCUAGGUUGACUGAUAUAUAUGGGUAUCUUCUAAUAAUAUACCCUACUUAAUUAAGGACAAACACCAAGAGACAGUAAACAUAUCACACUUCUAUAUGUAUAACACAAGAGGCAGUUGAUCCUACUUAAUUAAGUACUAAGAUACCCCGGCCCAUGCAUUAGUCGCAACUACCACAUAUGUCCUAUUUUUAGCAAAGUCAUGCUAAAAUUCACGGAAAAUUUCAGCAUGACCUUUGCUGAAAAUAGGACAUAUGGAGUACCCGAAUUUGCCGGAACGGAAGUUAAUCGACAUUCCGGCAAACUCAAGGGCCUCUCGGGGUACCUGCAAAAUCAUUAUCCCUGCAUAAUGAAGUCGCCAAUGGGUCAUUUCAGAAGAUCACAAGUAGCAUCAUCACAAGUACAACAUCAUCUAUAGCUUUAUAUUAACAAAGCCUCAGCACAUAUACAAAAGACCACUUAUGCCAACAGUAUGGUUUAUAUCAGAUUCAGAGUUAGAAACAGGAAAAACUGGUGCUUCAAAGCCUACUGGACACAAUUUACAUCUAUCAGUACAGGAUGUCCUGACUAAUUUCAAGUGUUCACAGGUGAACUUGUACCAUGGAUGAGCCUAGUGCUUCAUUAGUCACCAUGUGCAUGAAAUGUAUCGUGUAUCAAACCAUCAAUUAACUGCUGAAAAACAAAAACCUUCAGGACAGAGUGAAAAUAGUUACCGAACUCAAUGACUAAAGAUAUGUAAAAUGUAUGACACAGAAAAUAAAGAAAUCAUGUUGAUGAAUAGUAUUGUGUCAAGUUCAGUUUGAAAAUUCAGUUACUGCUUGAGUGAUUUGACACCAAAAAUUACUCCCAAAAAUUACAAUGACUGUAUAUUGGCUGCAUAUGCUUGUUUUGAUUGUAACUUGGUGAAGUAGUCACUACUGUACUACUAGUGUGCAGCGAUUGGGGAGAAGAGCUCAUCGAUUAGAUUGUAACUUCGUGCACUUGCAUUCAGUCACCACCACCAAAUCCUAGUGCAGCUGUGGUUCUAAAAUCCUAGUGCACUUGCACUUGGUGCACUUGGAGAACAUGAACGGGCAUUCUGAAACAUAAUUGCUCUAGUGCAGCUGUGGUUCCAAUUGAGGUGUGCCGUAUGGUCUUAUACAUAAGCCAAACAAACUAAUUAGGGUUCAACAGCAAGCAGUUGCACAACUGCAUCACUCCCUGUCUCCCUCCCUUCAGAUACAGCGGCUCAAAAGUCAAGUGAACUGAAGAUUAAUCUAACAAGCCUGACAGUAGCUAACUGUACCUAACUGUACCUAACUGAUGCUAGCUGUACCUAACUGAAUUUUUUGACAGUAGCUAACUGUAUUUAGUAAUUUUUCUGUAACAGUCUUGCCCCUAUUUGAAGGACAAGCAAAUAGAUACAUAAAAUCCACUAGUAUUGCCUCUAAAAAAGCCUAACUGGAUUUGUCUGUAACUGUACCUAGCUGAAUUUUUCUGUACCUAACUGAACUGUAAGGAGUUAGCUAAACUUCACUAGUAUUGCCUCUAAAAAAGCCUAAAGUCCACUAUUAUCUACUUUAGGCACAAUCAUACACAAUUCUGACUGUACUGUAACAAUUGUACUCUAUCAAAAUGUUGAAAUUUUGACAUUCGGAGGGUCACCUGCGUGGUGGUGCCCUGCACAGCGGUCGUUGAGCUCGCGCGGUGUGGUGAGCUCACCGGAGAUGGACGGGCCCUGCACAGCGGUCGAGACUCAGAGCAGAGGUUGAGGGCAAGAGGAAGAAGAAGAAGGAAGUGGAGGGGAGGGGCUCACCUGUAGUCGAGGGCGUACAUGGCGCCGGCCGGCUGCAGUGGNNNNNNNNNNNNNNNNNNNNNNNNNNNNNNNNNNNNNNNNNNNNNNNNNNNNNNNNNNNNNNNNNNNNNNNNNNNNNNNNNNNNNNNNNNNNNNNNNNNNNNNNNNNNNNNNNNNNNNNNNNNNNNNNNNNNNNNNNNNNNNACCAAUCUUGGCACCAGACCAAGAACCCUAGAAAUUAUCCAGAGAACCAGACCAAGAACAGUACUACAAAUUAAUGAACCAAAGAGAAUAGAAAUUAAGAGGACAAGCGGGGGGUGAAGAAGAGGGGGAGGAGCGGGGCCUGACCAGUCCAGCGUCGGGGGAGAAUCACGCCGGCGACGGGGUCGUUGCGGUCGCCACUCCUUGUCGCCGCCGAGCUCACGCCGCUGGGUGAAGAAGAGGAAGAUGGCGGAGGUCCUCCUGGGCAGGCCGCGCGGUGUUGGACGGCGAGCACGAGGUUGACGCAGGUGGGGCCNNNNNNNNNNNNNNNNNNNNNNNNNNNNNNNNNNNNNNNNNNNNNNNNNNNNNNNNNNNNNNNNNNNNNNNNNNNNNNNNNNNNNNNNNNNNNNNNNNNNNNNNNNNNNNNNNNNNNNNNNNNNNNNNNNNNNNNNNNNNNNNNNNNNNNNNNNNNNNNNNNNNNNNNNNNNNNNNNNNNNNNNNNNNNNNNNNNNNNNNNNNNNNNNNNNNNNNNNNNNNNNNNNNNNNNNNNNNNNNNNNNNNNNNNNNNNNNNNNNNNNNNNNNNNNNNNNNNNNNNNNNNNNNNNNNNNNNNNNNNNNNNNNNNNNNNNNNNNNNNNNNNNNNNNNNNNNNNNNNNNNNNNNNNNNNNNNNNNNNNNNNNNNNNNNNNNNNNNNNNNNNNNNNNNNNNNNNNNNNNNNNNNNNNNNNNNNNNNNNNNNNNNNNNNNNNNNNNNNNNNNNNNNNNNNNNNNNNNNNNNNNNNNNNNNNNNNNNNNNNNNNNNNNNNNNNNNAAUUUUAGUUGCAUUCAUUUGUGACGGUGGAGCGGGCCGGGAGGGUGCGGGGGGUCGGCGGCGGCGGUGGAGCGGGGGAGGGUGCGGGGGGUCGGCGACGGCGACUACGGCCGGUGGAGUGGGGUAGAGGGUGCGGGGGGUGCUCGGCGGCGAGGGGGACCGGAUCUGGCGAGGUGGGAUAGCGAUCGAGAUGGAGGGGGAUCGAGAUCGAGUGUCCAUGAAAUUUAAAAAUGUUCAUGAGUUCAAAAAGUGCCCAUGAAAUACAAUCGAGAAAUGAAGGCUACAAUUUAAAUACAAUCGAUCUUAGCUAGCUAUCUGUUCAAAAUCUUCUUGCCCUUGUUUUUCGUAAAUGGAGUUCUUCUCUUGAACGGACGUCCUUUAGGUAGGGUGGUCCUGCUUCUUCUUGUGGUGUAUGCUGAUACAUCAUCGUCGUCGUCAUGUUCCAUCUUCGGGUCGCCGUACUUGUCGAAGUCUUGCUCAUUGGCAACUCCAUCCAUUCCGAUGAUCUUCCUUUUGCCUCUCCUCACGACAACACGACUCGGCUUUGACGGGUCGGUAAUGAAGAAGCAUUGGUCCACUUGGGAAGCCAGUACCCAUGGCUAAUUUUUCGCGGUGACGUUCGCGCCUGCGGUCUUGGAUUUGGCUUCGGGUAUAACCAUGGUGGUGAAAUACCGGUCUUCUUUUAUGACGCUCUUGGACCAUCUUACACGGAACAUCGGGACCUUCUCUCUAGCGUAGCUCAGCUCCCAGAUCUCCUCGAUCCUUCCGUAGUAUCUGUCCUUGUCGUUACCGGUGUAGGAUUCCAUCGUUACCCCGGAGUUCUGAUAACCAUCGCUCUUCAUGUCCUUGUCCUCGGUGUAGAAUGUGUAGCCGUUGAUAUCGUACGCCUCAUACGUCAUCAGGUUGUGCUCGGCGCCCUGUGACAAGGCGAAUAUGAGUUGUUCUUCCGCGGAAGAAUCCUCAUGUAAAGGGUACGACAGAAGCUUCUGCUUGAACCACCGCGUGAAACAUGAGUUGUGCUCUUUGAUUAUAUCUCCGUCCGUCCUCUGUUGGCCUCGGUCAUUGUACGUCUUCUCGAUAAACGUUUUGUGCUCUACCACCCAAGGAUCGACCACGUCUAUGUGUUGUAGCGCGACUAGGUUUGCUCUUUCAAAGUCGGCGAGUCGACCAUCGAAGUCGACAUGCAUUUCGCGGCGACCCUCACGGUGACCCCAUCCAGCGAGCCUGCCGAGGUGCCUGUUGAUGGGCAGACCAACGGGGUUCUCGAUGCCUAGAUAAUUCGUGCAGUAGGAGAUGCACUCUUCGGUCAGAAAGCCCCUGGCUAUGCUUCCCUCUGGACGUGACAUGUCGCGAACGUAUCCUUUGAUGACACCAUUCAUCCUUUCGAACGGCAUCAUGCUAUGCAGGAACGUCGGCCCGAGUUGGAUGAUAUCCUCCACGAUAUGGACCAGCAGAUGCACCAUAACGUUGAAGAAUGCGGGCGGGAAGUACAUCUCAAGCUCGCAUAGUAUCACCACGAUCUCUUCCUGUAGCCUUCUGAGUUGCCUCACGCCAACUGACUUCCGAGAGAUGACGUCGAAAAAGUUGCAUAGGCCAAAUAGCGUUUCACGGACGUGCGCGUCCAUGAUCCCACGGAUUGCAACUGGAAGUAUCUGCGUCAUCAGCACGUGACAGUCGUGAGACUUCAUCCCGCUGAACAUCUUCUUCGCUGAGUCUAGCUAUCUGCUUAUCUUCCCCGCGUAACCGUAAGGAAGUUUUACUCCUAUGAGGCAGGAGAAAAACUGAUCAAUCUCCUCCUGACUUAGAGUGAAGCACGCGGGAGGGAAGUCAUUUCCGGUCUUCUUGGCCUUUUUGCCUUUGCGACGACUUUCCGUGUCCUGCUUCGCCUCAUCAUCAUUAGCGUGAAGCUCCUCCCUGAUGCCCAUUGAUUUCAAGUUUGCCCUUGCUUUCGGCCCAUCUUUGGUCCUCUCUGGCAUGUUGAGCAGGGUACCAAGCAGACUCUCGCACACGUUCUUCGUGAUAUGCAUGACAUCAAGGCUGUGAGGCACACAGUGGAUCUUCCACUACGGCAAGUCCCAGAAAACAGACCUCGUUUUCCAUACCUUCUGCAGUGGCUCUGGCACCUUUCGCUUCUUUCCCGGCAGUGGGCAAUCUUUCCAAUUUUUCAACAGCUCGUCUAGUUCCUCGCCGCUCCUCGUACGCGGGCGUCUUCGGGGUUCGGUUUCACCAUCGAACAGAUCCUUGCGUUCACGGGUCAUCGUCGCGAAGCCACCUUCGAUGUCCCAUGAACACGGUUUUUAAAGACCCGGGAUCUCUAUCUAGCUGGCGAUACGUUGUGUCAUCCAUGCACCUGGCGCAUCCAGAAAAUCCGUGGACCACCUGCCCCGCGAGAUAUCCGAAACCGAGAUAGUCGUGCACCGUCGUGAGCAGUGCGGCUCUCAUAGGGAAAUAUUCUUUCUCUGCGGCGUCCCACGUAUUGGCUGGCGUUUUCCACAGCGUGUCAAGCUCCUCUUUCAGCAGCCCCAGAUACAGAUUGAUGUCAUUCCCUGGUUGUUUCGGCCCUUCAAUUAGCAUACUCAUGUGAAUGUACUUCCUCUUCAUGCACAACCAGGGGGGAAGGUUGUACAUCCACACAAACACAGUACAGGUGCUAUGUGUGCUUCUCUGGCUGCCAAACGGAUUGACUCCAUCGGUGCUCGUGCCCAGCACGAUGUUCCUUGGAUCGUUCCCAAAUUCUGUGUGUUCGAAGUUCAACGCUUGCCACUGGCUCCCUGAAGGAAAUAUGCCCUAGAGGCAAUAAUAAAGUAUUAUUUAUUUCCUUAUAUCAUGAUAAAUGAUUAUUAUUCAUGCUAGAAUUGUAUUAACCGGAAACAUAAUACAUGUGUGAAUACAUAGACAAACAGAGUGUCACUAGUAUGCCUCUACUUGAGUAGCUCGUUAAUCAAAGAUGGUUAUGUUUCCUAGCCAUAGACAUGAGUUGUCAUUUGAUUAACGGGAUCACCUCAUUAGGAGAAUGACGUGAUUGACUUGACCCAUUCCGUUAGCUUAGCUCCCGAUCGUUUAGUAUGUUGCUAUUGCUUUCUUCAUGACUUAUACAUGUUCCUAUGACUAUGAGAUUAUGCAACUCCCGUUUACCGGAGGAACACUUGUGUGCUACCAAACGUCACAACGUAAAUGGGUGAUUAUAAAGGUGCUCUACAGGUGUCUCCAAAGGUACUUGUUGGGUUGGCGUAUUUCGAGAUUAGGAUUUGUCACUCCGAUUGUCGGAGAGGUAUCUCUGGGCCCACUCAGUAAUGCACAUCACUAUAAGCCUUGCAAGCAAUGUGACUAAUGAGUUAGUUCCGGGAUGAUGUAUUACGGAACAAGUAAAGAGACUUGCCGGUAACUAGAUUGAACUAGGUAUCGAGAUACCGACGAUCGAAUCUCGGGGAAGUAACAUACCGAUGACAAAGGGAACAACGUAUGUUGUUAUGCGGUCUGACCGAUAAAGAUCUUCGUAGAAUAUGUAGGAACCAAUAUGAGCAUCCAGGUUCUGCUAUUGGUUAUUGACCGGAGAGGUGUCUCGGUCAUGUCUACAUAGUUCUCGAACCCGUAGGGUCCGCACGCUUAAAGUUACGAUGAUAGUUAUAUUAUGAGUUUAUAAGUUUUGAUGUACCGAAGGUUGUUCGGAGUCCCGGAUGUGAUCACGGACAUGAUGAGGAGUCUCGAAAUGGUCGAGACAUAAAGAUUGAUAUAAUGGACGACUAUAUUCGGACACCGGAAGUGUUCCGGAGAAGUUUCGGAUUAAACCGGAGUGCCGGAGGGUUACCGGAACCCCCCGGGGAAGUAUUGGGCCUUAGCGGGCCUUGAGGGGAGAGAGAGGGCAGCAGCCAGGAAGAGGCGCGCCCCCUCCUAGGAGGAAUCCUAGUUGGACUAGGAGAGGGGGGCGCAGCCCCCUUUCCCUCUCCCUCUCCCUCUCUUUCCUUCCCCCCCUCUCUUCCUAGUUGGACUAGGAAAGGGGAGUCCUCCUCCUAGUAGGACUAGGACUCCCCUUUCCUACUCCUCCUCCUAGUAGGAGUAGGACUCCCCCCUCUCCUUGGCGCGCCUAGGGCAGCCGGCCUCCCCCUUGCUCCUUUAUAUACGGGGGCAGGGGACACUUCUAAACACACUUGAUAUACGAUAUUUUAGCCGUGUGCGGUGCCCCCUCCACCAUAUUACACCUCGAUAAUACCGUUGCGGAGCUUAGGCGAAGCCCUGCGUCGGUGGAACAUCAUCAUCGUCACCACGUCGUCGUGCUGACGAAACUCUCCCUCAACACUCGGCUUGAUCGGAGUUCGAGGGACGUCAUCGAGCUGAACGUGUGUAGAACUCAGAGGUGCCGUGCGUUCGGUACUUGAUCGGUCGGAUCGUGAAGACGUACGACUACAUCAACCGCGUUGUGAUAACGCUUCCGUUGUCGGUCUAUGAGGGUACGUGGACAACACUCUCCCCUCUCAUUGCUAUGCAUCACCAUGAUCUUGCGUGUGCGUAGGAAAUUUUUGGAAAUUACUACGUUCCCCAACAGUAGCAUCCGAGCCUGGUUUUAUGCGUUGAUGCUAUGCACGAGUAGAACACAAGUGAGUUGUGGGCGAUAUAAGUCAUAAUGCUUACCAGCAUGUCAUACUUUGGUUCAGCGGUAUUGUGAGAUGAAGCGGCCCGGACCGACAUUACGCGUACGCUUACGCGAGACUGGUUUCACCGUUCGGAGCACUCGUUGCUUAAAGGUGACUGGCGGGUGUCUCUCUCUCUCACUCUAGUUGAACCGAGUGUGGCUACGCCCGGUCCUUGCGAAGGUUAAAACAGCACCAACUUGACAAACUAUCGUUGUGGUUUUGAUGCGUAGGUAAGAACGGUUCUUGCUAAGCCCGUAGCAGCGACGUAAAACUUGCAACAACAAAGUAGAGGACGUCUAACUUGUUUUUGCAGGGCAUGUUGUGAUGUGAUAUGGUCAAGACAUGAUGUGAUAUAAUUUGUUGUAUGAGAUGAUCAUUUUUGUAACCGAGUUAUCGGCAACUGGCAGGAGCCAUAUGGUUGUCGCUUUAUUGUAUGAGAUGCAAUCACCAUGUAAUAGUUUUACUUUAUCACUAAGCGGUAGCGAUAGUCGUAAAAGCAAUUAGUUGGCGAGACGACAACGAUACUACGAUGGAGAUCAAGGUGUCGCGCCGGUGACGAUGGUGAUCAUGACGGUGCUUCGGAGAUGGAGAUCACAAGCACGGUGCUUCGGAGAUGGAGAUCACAAGCACAAGAUGAUGAUGGCCAUAUCAUAUCACUUAUAUUGAUUGCAUGUGAUGUUAAUCCUUUAUGCAUCUUAUCUUGCUUUGAUUGACGGUAGCAUUAUAAGAUGAUCUCUCACUAAAAUUUCAAGAUAAUGUGUUCUCCCUGAGUAUGCACCGUUGCGAAAGUUCUUCGUGCUGAGACACCACGUGUUAAUCGGGUGUGAUAGGCUCUACGUUCAAAUACAACGGGUGCAAAACAGUUGCACAUGCAGAAUACUCAGGUUAAACUUGACGAGGCUAGCAUAUACAGAUAUGGCCUCGGAACACAGAGACCGAAAGGUCGAGCGUGAAUCAUAUAGUAGAUAUGAUCAACAUAGUGAUGUUCACCAUUGAAACUACUCCAUCUCACGUGUUAAUCGGACAUGGUUUAGUUGAUUUGGAUCACGUAAUCACUAACAUGAUUAGAGGGAUGUCUAUCUAAGUGGGAGUUCUUAAGUAAUAUGAUUAAUUGAACUUAGUACCUGAUAGUAUCUUGCUUGUCUAUGCUAAUUGUAGGUAAAUGGCCCGUGAUGUUGUUCCGUUGAAUUUUAAUGCGUUCCUUGAGAAAGCUAAGUUGAAAGAAUGAUGGUAGCAAUUACAUGGACUGGGUCCGUAACUUGAGGAUUAUCCUCAUUGCUGCACAGAAGAAUUACGUCCUAGAAGCACCGCUAGGUGCCAGGCCUCCUGCAAGAGCGACGCCAGAAGUUAUGAACGUCUGGCAGAGCAAAGCUGAUGACUACUCAAUAGUUCAGUGUGCCAUGCUUUACGGCUUAGAACCGGGUCUUCAACGACGUUUUGAACGUCAUGGAGCAUAUGAGAUGUUCCAGGAGUUGAAGUUAAUAUUUCAAGCAAAUGCCCGAAUUGAGAGAUAUGAAGUCUCCAAUAAGUUCUAUAGCUGCAAGAUGGAAGAUAAUAGUUCUGUCAGUGAGCAUAUACUCAGAAUGUCUGGGUAUAAUAAUCACUUGAUUCAACUGGGAGUUCAACUUCCGGAUGAUUGCGUCAUUAACAGAAGUCUUCAAUCACUGCCACCAAGCUACAAGAGCUUCGUGACGAACUAUAACAUGCAAGGGAUGGAUAAGACAAUUCCCGAGCUCUUCAUAAUGCUAAAGGCAGCGGAGGUAGAAAUCAAAAAGGAGCAUCAAGUGUUGAUGGUCAGUAAAACCACUAGUUUCAAGAAAAAGGGCAAAGGGAAGAAGAAAGGGAACUUCAAGAAGAACAGCAAGAAAGUUGCUGUUCAGGAGAAGAAAUCCAAGUCUGGACCUAAGCCUGAAACUGAGUGCUUCUACUAUAAGCAGACUGGUCACUGGAAGCGGAAAUGCCCCAAGUAUUGGGCGGAUAAGAAGGAUCGCAAGGUUAACAAAGGUAUAUGUGAUAUACAUGUUAUUGAUGUGUACCUUACUAAUACUCGCAGUAGCACCUGGGUAUUUGAUACUGGUUCUGUUGCUAAUAUUUGCAACUCGAAACAGGGGCUACGGAUUAAGCGAAGAUUGGCUAAGGACGAGGUGACGAUGCGCGUGGGAAAUGGUUCCAAAGUCGAUGUGAUCGCCGUCGGCACGCUACCUCUACAUCUACCUUCGGGAUUAGUUUUAGACCUAAAUAAUUGUUAUUUGGUGCCAGCGUUGAGCAUGAACAUUAUAUCUGGAUCUUGUUUAAUGAGAGACGGUUAUUCAUUUAAAUCAGAGAAUAAUGGUUGUUCUAUUUAUAUGAAUAAUAUCUUUUAUGGUCAUGCACCCUUGAAGAAUGGUCUAUUUUUAAUGAAUCUCGAUAGUAGUGAUACACAUAUUCAUAAUGUCGAAGCCAAAAGAUGCAGAGUUAAUAAUGACAGUGCAACUUAUUUGUGGCACUGCCGUUUGGGUCAUAUCGGUGUAAAGCGCAUGAAGAAACUCCAUACUGAUGGAAUUUUGGAAUCACUUGAUUUUGAAUCACUUGGUACUUGCGAACCGUGCCUCAUGGGCAAGAUGACCAAAACACCGUUCUCCGGAACUAUGGAGAGAGCAACAGAUUUGUUGGAAAUCAUACAUACAGAUGUAUGUGGUCCGAUGAAUAUUGAGGCUCGUGGCGGAUAACGUUAUUUUCUCACCUUCACAAAUGAUUUGAGCUGAUAUGGGUAUAUCAACUUAAUGAAACAUAUGUCUGAAACAUUUGAAAAGUUCAAAGAAUUUCAGAGUGAAGUUGAAAAUCAUCGUAACAAGAAAAUAAAAUUCCUACGAUCUGAUCGUGGAGGAGAAUAUUUGAGUUACGAGUUUGGCCUACAUUUAAAACAAUGCGGAAUAGUUUCGCAACUCACGCCACCCGGAACACCACAGCGUAAUGGUGUGUCCGAACGUCGUAAUCGUACUUUAUUAGAUAUGGUACGAUCUAUGAUGUCUCUUACUGAUUUACCGCUAUCAUUUUGGGGUUAUGCUCUAGAGACGGUUGCAUUCACUCUAAAUAGGACACCAUCAAAAUCCGUUGAGACGACGCCUUAUGAACUAUGGUUUGGCAAGAAACCAAAGUUGUCGUAUCUUAAAGUUUGGGGUUGCGAUGCUUAUGUGAAGAAACUUCAACCUAAUAAGCUCGAACCAAAAUCGGAGAAAUGUGUCUUCAUAGGAUACCCAAAAGAGACUGCUGGGUACACCUUCUAUCACAGAUCCGAAGGCAAGAUAUUCGUUGCUAGGAAUGGAUCCUUUCUAGAGAAGGAGUUUCUCUCGAAAGAUGUGAGUGGGAGGAAAGUAGAACUUGAUGAGGUAACUGUACCUGCUCCCUUAUUGGAGAUCAUCGCAGAAAUCAGUUUCUGCGACACCUACACCAAUUAGUGAGGAAGUUAAUGAUAAUGAUCAUGAAACUUCAGAUCAAGUUAUUACUGAACCUCGUAGGUCAACUAGAUCAAGAUCCGCACCAGAGUGGUACGGUAAUCCUGUUCUAGGGGUUAUGUUACUAGACCAUGACGAACCUACGAACUAUGAAGAAGCGAUGGUGAGCCCAGAUUCCACAAAAUGGCUUGAAGCCAUGAAAUCCGAGAUGGGAUCCAUGUAUGAGAACAAAGUAUGGACUUUGGUUGACUUGCCCGAUGGUCGGCAAGCCAUUGAAAAUAAAUGGAUCUUCAAGAAGAAGACUGACGCUGAUGGUAAUGUUACUAUCUAUAAAGCUCGACUUGUUGCGAAAGGUUUUCGACAAGUUCAAGGGAUUGACUACGAUGAGACCUUCUCACCCGUAGGGAUGCUUAAGUCUGUCCGAAUCAUGUUAGCUAUUGCUGCAUUUUAUGAUUAUGAAAUUUGGCAAAUGGAUGUCAAAACUGCAUUCCUGAAUGGAUUUCUGGAAGAAGAGUUGUAUAUGAUGCAACCGGAAGGUUUUGUCGAUCCAAAGGGAGCUAACAAAGUGUGCAAGCUCCAGCGAUCCAUUUAUGGACUGGUGCAAGCCUCUCGGAGUUGGAAUAAACGCUUUGAUAGUGUGAUCAAAGCAUUUGGUUUUAUACAGACUUUUGGAGAUGCCUGUAUUUACAAGAAAGUGAGUGGGAGCUCGAUAGCAUUUCUGAUAUUAUAUGUGGAUGACAUAUUGCUGAUUGGAAAUGAUAUAGAAAUUCUGGAUAGCAUAAAGGGAUACUUGAAUAAGACGUCGGUGAAGCUGCAUAUAUAUUAGGCAUUAAGAUCUAUAGAGAUAGAUCAAGACGCUUAAUUGGACUUUCACAAAGCACAUACCUUGACAAAGUUUUGAAGAAGUUCAAAAUGGAUCAAGCAAAAAAGGGUUCUUGCCUGUACUACAAGGUGUGAGAUUGAGUAAGACUCAAUGCCCGACCACUUCAGAAGAUAGAGAGAAUAUGAAAGAUGGUCCCUAUGCUUCAGCCAUAGGCUCUAUCAUGUAUGCAAUGCUGUGUACCAGACCUGAUGUGUGCCUUGCUAUAAGUUUAGCAGGGAAGUACCAAAGUAAUCCAGGAGUGGAUCACUGGACAGCGGUCAAGAACAUCCUGAAAUACCUGAAAAGGACUAAGGAUAUGUUUCUCGUUUAUGGAGGUGACAAAGAGCUCAUCGUAAGUGGUUACGUUGAUGCAAGCUUUGACACUGAUCCGGACGAUUCUAAAUCGCAAACCGGAUACGUAUUUACAUUGAACGGUGGAGCUGUCAGUUGGUGCAGUUCUAAGCAAAGUGUCGUGGCGGGAUCUACGUGUGAAGCAGAGUACAUAGCUGCUUCGGAAGCAGCAAAUGAAGGAGUCUGGAUGAAGGAGUUCAUAUCCGAUCUAGGUGUCAUACCUAGUGCAUCGGGACCAAUGAAAAUCUUUUGUGACAAUACUGGUGCAAUUGCCUUAGCAAAGGAAUCCAGAUUUCACAAGAGAACCAAGCACAUCAAAAGACGCUUCAAUUCCAUCCGGGAUUUAGUCCAGGUGGGAGACAUAGAAAUUUGCAAGAUACAUACCGAUCUGAAUGUUGCAGACCCGUUGACUAAGCCUCUUCCACGAGCAAAACAUGAUCAGCACCAAGACUCCAUGGGUGUGAGAAUCAUUACUGUGUAAUCUAGAUUAUUGACUCUAGUGCAAGUGGGAGACUGAAGGAAAUAUGCCCUAGAGGCAAUAAUAAAGUAUUAUUUAUUUCCCUAUAUCAUGAUAAAUGUUUAUUAUUCAUGCUAGAAUUGUAUUAACCGGAAACAUAAUACAUGUGUGAAUACAUAGACAAACAGAGUGUCACUAGUAUGCCUCUACUUGACUAGCUCGUUAAUCAAAGAUGGUUAUGUUUCCUAGCCAUAGAUAUGAGUUGUCAUUUGAUUAACGGCAUCACCUCAUUAGGAGAAUGACGUGAUUGACUUGACCCAUUUCGUUAGCUUAGCACCCGAUCGUUUAUUAUGUUGCUAUUGCUUUCUUCAUGACUUAUACAUGUUCCUAUGACUAUGAGAUUAUGCAACUCCCGUUUACCGGAGGAACACUUUGUGUGCUACCAAACGUCACAACGUAAAUGGGUGAUUAUAAAGGUGCUCUACAGGUGUCUCCAAAGGUACUUGUUGGGUUGGCGUAUUUCGAGAUUAGGAUUUGUCACUCCAAUUGUCGGAGAGGUAUCUCUGGGCCCACUCAGUAAUGCACAUCACUAUAAGCCUUGCAAGCAUUGUGACUAAUGAGUUAGUUGCGGGAUGAUGUAUUACGGAACGAGUAAAGAGACUUGCCGGUAACGAGAUUGAACUAGGUAUCGAGAUACCGACGAUCGAAUCUCGGGCAAGUAACAUACCGAUGACAAAGGGAACAACGUAUGUUGUUAUGCGGUCUGACCGAUAAACAUCUUCGUAGAAUAUGUAGGAACCAAUAUGAGCAUCCAGGUUCCGCAAUUUGUUAUUGACCAGAGAGGUGUCUCGGUCAUGUCUACAUAGUUCUCGAACCCGUAGGGUCCGAACGCUUAAAGUUACGAUGACAGUUAUAUUAUGAGUUUAUAUGUUUUGAUGUAUCGAAGGUUGUUCGGAUUCCCAGAUGUGAUCACGGACAUGACGAGGAGUCUCUAAAUGGUCGAUACAUAAAGAUUGAUAUAUUGGACGACUAUAUUCGGACACCGGAAGUGUUCCGGAGAAGUUUCGGAUUAAACCGGAGUGUCGGAGGGUUACCGGAACCCCCCGGGGAAGUAUUGGGCCUUAGUGGGCCUUGAGGGGAGAGAGAGGGCAGCAGCCAGGAGGUGGCGCGCCCCCUCCCAGGAGGAAUCCUAGUUGGACUAGGAGAGGGGGGCGCGGCCCCCUUUCCCUCCCAGGAGGAAUCCUAGUUGGACUAGGAAAGGGGAGUCCUACUCCUACUAGGAGGAGGACUCCCCCCUCUCCUUGGCGCGCCUAGGGCAGCCGGCCUCCCCCUUGCUCCUUUAUAUACGGGGGCAGGGGGCACCUCUAAACACACUUGAUAUACGAUAUUUUAGCCGUGUGCGGUGCCCCCUUCCACCAUAUUACACCUCGAUAAUACCGUUGCGGAGCUUAGGCGAAGCCCUGCGUCGGUGGAACAUCAUCAUCGUCACCACACCGUCGUGCUGACGAAACUCUCCCUCAACACUCGGCUGGAUCGGAGUUCGAGGGACGUCAUCGAGCUAAACGUGUGUAGAACUCAGAGGUGCCGUGUGUUCGGUACUUGAUCAGUCGGAUCGUGAAGACGUACGACUACAUCAACCGCGUUGUGAUAACGCUCCCGCUGUCGGUCUACGAGGGUACGUGGACAACACUCUCCCCUCUCGUUGCUAUGCAUCACCAUGAUCUUGCGUGUGCGUAGGAAUUUUUUUGAAAUUACUACGUUCCCCAACACUCCCAUCCUUAGGGUGACUCAGCAUCUUGUCUUUUUUAUUUAUCUCCGGAUCAUUUGCGUCAUCUUCUCGCUUCUUCUCCUCCCUAUCCGCGUGCCAACGCAGGAGCUUUGCUACCUUAGGGUCCGCGAAAUACCGCUGCAGACGAGGAGUGAUCGGAAAGUACCACACCACUUUUCGAGGAGCUUUCUUCCUCUUCUUGUAUCGAGUGACGCCGCACACUGGACAUAUGGUAGACUCCGCGUGCUCGUCCCAAUAAAUGAUGCAAUUGUUCAUGCACACAUGGUAUUUCACGUGCGGUAAAUCCAGAGGACACACGAUUUUCUUCGCCUCCUCGAAACUGGUCGGGCACUUGUUCCCCUUGGGAAGACGUUCGUGCCAGAAUGACAUGUUCUCGUCGAAGCAUGCGUCCGUCAUUUUGUGUUUUACCUUCAUCUCCAGAGCCAUGAGCGUUACUUUCAGGCGGGUAUCCUCGGGCCUGCAUCCUUCAUACAAUGGAGUAACCGCAUCUAUCUCCAGUUGAUCCAGCUUGGCUUUCUCUCGGGCGGCAACUCUUGCGUUAUCCGUCUCCUUGAGAAGCAGCUCUUGAAUAUGAGGGUCCUGCACCCAGCCCAUCGAUGGUCCAUUGUCGUCUGCUCCGCCAGCAUCUUCAUCUUCAUGAUCAUGCCCUUUUUCUGCUCCCGCAUCUUCCUCAUCAUCAUGUCCGGCAUCUUCUACAUGAUGACUAUGUACAGCAUCACCGUCGUGAUCAUGUCCUGGAGAUUCUUCGUCUUCUCGCCCGCCCGAGCCGCGGUGGUUGUCUUGCUGCCCAUCCUCAUUUCUUGCCCGACCCCCAUGGACGAUUUCAUAGUCAUCUUCAUCACCUUGCCACCGAUAGCCAUCCAUGAAACCACGCAAGAGCAGGUGGUCCCGCACCUGCCCGGAAUCCGGGUCCGCAAUAAGGCUCUUCAGCUUGCAUCUUCGACACGGACAUCUUAUCUCCGUCUCGUUCUUUUCAAGCAUCUUGGCCUUCGCGGAGCUCAAAAACCUAUUCACGAUGCCUUCGGUCAUCGUGGGGACCAUGGUCGCCUGCGGGGUAGAGCAAAACGAUAUUUUAGAACCAAGAAAAAAUUUGGCAUGACUUUCCCUAAAAAUAGGACCAAAAAGAAUGCAUAGUGCCAAAAUUCUCGCCGAAACGGAAAUGAAUCAACAUUUCGGCAAAAUAUUGGCAACUAUCGCAUUUCAAAUACCGGUACCUGCAAACACAAACAUAUAUGCAACACCACAAACAUAUGCAACACCACUAACAUACAUAGAUCUAGCUAGGCCAUAAAAAGUGCAUGUGCACGUUGUUCGAGAGGGAGAACAACAUAAAGAUAGCUUCCCCCUUACUUACCUAUCAAAAAAAGGUAAUUCAACCACUUAAUUUGGAUGAAUUUAUGGUGCAAAUGAGGUGAGGAGGAGGAGGCAGCCGAGACAAGCUUGGAGGAGGAGGUGGAGAGAAUGAAGUGGGGAAAGUGAGUGGGUAGGUGUGGCUGUCCAAAAUAUCUAGCUCGUCCCAGGUUACUAAUGGCGCACCACCACCUAAUGCGCCAUUAGUAACCCUGGUUACUAAUGGCGCACCUGCUGGUGGUGCGCCAUUAGUAGUUUUGCAAAAAAAAGGCACUAAUGGCGCGCCAGGGAACAGUGCGCCAUUACUAGUUUAAACUAGUAAUGGCGCACUGUUCUCUGGUGCGCCAUUAGUAGUUUUGCAAAAAAAUAAAAAAUAAAAAAAGUAUAGUAGUGGUGCACUAUGUGGCUGGUGCGCCAUUACUAGUUAGAACUAGUAAUGGCGCACUGUGCCCUGGGGCGCCAUUAGUAUGUUUGGAAAAAAAAUUGUUACUAAUGGCGCACCGUGUGUGUGGUGCGCCAUUAGUGUCUUUCACACUAAUGGCGCACCAGCACAUGGUGCGCCACUGCUAUAUAGCAAUGGCGCACCACAUAUAGCAAUGGCGCACCACAUGUCUGAUGCGCCAUUAGUGGCCAUUCCAUCUAUAGCCCUUUUCCUAGUAGUGUUUUUUCUAGCCCUCCGGAUCGAGCACAACUUCGGUAAACAGACGAGGCCCGAAGAAAAAGUUGCGCUCGGAUGAAAGGUUUGAGAUCACAGAAAUCGCGCGCGACGGCCAACCGAUUGAACCCAUCCGGACAAAGGAAGCAUUUGCUGCUCCGUGCGGGGUUCUUGUUAGGGACAAGAUCCCGAUCAGCAUCCACCAAGGUAUAAGCCUAAGAACGAAGACCCUGAGGUGUCUUAUGUCAAUGAUAUGCAGAAAGAUGAUCUUUGGACUAAGCUGAAGGCAAAUUUCACCCUACCGCCAGAGGAGGAUCCGGAGAAGCCAGUUAAAGAGCAAUUAAUCAAGUCUCAUGCUCUUAAGAAGAUGGCAGACCUAUUCAGGAGGUGGAAAAAUGAGCUGAAAAGGUUUGUCGACAAAGAAGAGACACCAGAAUUCAUCGGCAAAUAUGAGAAGAUCAGAGAUCACUUGCUCGCAUUUGUGGCCCACAAGACAUCGGAAAAGAGUAAGAAGAUGUCGGCGACAAACAAGCAAAAUGCUGCGAAGAAGAAGCUUAACCAUCGCACAGGGUCAGGUGGCUACCUCAAAGCCCGGCCUCAGUGGGCCAAGGCUGAGAAUGAUCUGCUUAAGAAAGGGAUCGAACCAAAGACAAUGAACUGGCCAGACCGUUGCCGGACUUGGUUCUUUGGGGUUGGUGGAACCUUGGACCCUGUAUCAGGGAAGUGCCUUUGGAUGGACGAGCAAAUGAAAAUACCAGUCAAGAGGCUUCAGGACUAUAUCGAUGUAGCGCAGGAAGGGACGUUCGUUCCAAACAGAGAGAACGACGAGCUCACAAUGGCCCUCGGGAAUCCUGAGCACCAUGGACGGACACAAGGCACGCCAGGCUCCGUUCCGUGGAAGGCUGGGUUUCCGGAUGCAGGUGGUUACAAAUGCCAGGAGAGGAGGAAGAAAGUGCAGCAGACCAAACUGCAGGCGCUGCACGCAAGGGUACAAGCGAUAGAUGAACGAGAAGCAAAUCGCAGCAAACGAACUGCCGAAGCUUCCCCCGAAGCUACCCCACCAUCUCAGCGGAGAAGCAGCGUGGCUUCCACCGAGCUGCUUCAGCCGGAGCAUGUCUUGACGGCUCCUGCUAGCUACCCCGUGGAUGCUAUCACGGAGUCUCAAAAUUGCCACCUUAUGACGCAAUGGCAGAACUUAAAAGUCAAGGCGGUUGUCGUCACUGUUCGACGUUCUGAACCCGGCACAACUUUUCACUGUCGUCCGAUUCCAAAAGGAUAUGCUAGGGUGACCGUGGACGAAAUAACGGAGGGAUUUGAGGACCUCCAGCUUGACCACCCUACCGGUGAAGGGGAGACUCGGCUGGGUUCUGCUUUGAAGACUGCACCUCCGAACUGGACGCCUCCGCCUCCUCCUCCUCCUCCGGCGAGUCAGGGCACUCCGCCUCCUCCACCGCCUCCUCCUUCGGCGAGUGACGAUCAGGGCACUCAGCCUCCUUCUCCAGCGUGUGGUAGCACUCCGCCUCCUUCUCCGCCCGCGCCGGCACGCCCGAGCAACCAGCAGCCACCUCCUUCUCCACCUCGCCAGCAAGGGCGGAAGAGACCCGCCGCCGCCCCGGCUGCUCCGGCGCAUCGUAGUCCUUCUCCUCCGCCUUAUAAGCAAGCACGAAAGAAGACAGCCGCAGCCGCUACGUCUGCUCCGGCGUCUAGCAGUACAGCCAGAGGCGGGAGGCAAUACAGAUACGGUCCACCUCUCAAGCCUCUAGAGAAGUUACCGUAUGAGAGGAACAAGGAGGAAAACGCGAAGAUCGUGCGGACCGAAGUGAAGGACUUCUUUGAAGGGUUGAAUGCAAAGAGACAUCCACCUCCGGAGGAGAAGGUAGAUCCGGUGAAAGCAAAGCGCACUAUCGAUGCCCUGAGGAAACCACAAAAGUCUCCGCCAAAAACCAACUAUGAGCGCAUUACUGAAAAGGCAUAUCUCGAAGCGGAGCGGUCGGGAAGUACUAUCAGUGAUCAAAGGUUAAAAGAACGAGCAGCUGGGAAAAAAUUGCCCAGCUCGGCGAACAAGCAAAGCAAUCAUACCCCCUGCUCAAUGUGUCUAGCGACAUUGUCGCUAAUGCUCCGGGGAUGGUGCCCGGUUAUAGCAAUCUUGGAGAUUACCUACCCGACGAUGUACAUUUCGAUUUCUUGGAGGUGGAUGAACACAGAUACGAGUACGGGAAGCCUCUCGUCAAAGAUGAAAAAUCUCUAACAACGAUGAUGCGAAGAUUCCAUAAUUGGUACAUGAAAACCUGCAGAGAGUCUGGGGGGACGAAUACUUUGUAUCUGAGAAUUAAAGAGGAGCACGACGGCGUUGGAACUGAUCUGUUACUUGUUCCAUUUGAGGAGUUCUUCGAGUUCUUCAAUCAAAAGGCCCUCGAUAAAUUAACGGUCUUUUGCUACUGUCUGUAAGUACUAUUUCUGUCAUUAAGUCUCUAUAUAUAGCUUAGCUCUUUCAUUGCAUGUAUUUAUAAUUAAUUAUCCUCACUAUAUUAUGCAGAUUGAAGAUCGUCGAGUGCAGAAAAGCAGAAAUGUAUGAUAUUGGGUUCAUUAACACAAAUAUCAUAGAUGAAUUUCUGGUUACAAAGGACGCCGAAGAGGCCGAGGCCUACUUGCUACAAUCGUUGAUCAAAAAUCAAAACAAAGAUUUAAUACUCUUUCCUUACAACUUCGAGUGAGUGUUACUGUCGUGUGCAUAUUCGGUUUCCCUUAUUACUCGAGCGAGGUUAUAGUUAUGUAAUUGAUGAGUUAUGCAUGCGUGCGCAGCUUCCACAAUGUUCUUCUGGAGAUUAAGCUUGAGCGUGGACUAGUAACCUUCUUAGACUCGAGACGAAAAGAUCCCAAAACCUAUGCGGACAUGACUAAAAUGCUCAACAAGUAAUUUCACUCGAUCAUUAUCGCACCAUAUCGGCAACUUUUUGUUCGUUUCCUGAUAUCUCAAGUAAUAAUAAUUAUUUCCUUUGUCUUGCAGGGUCUGGAAAAAGUUCACCACAGAAGCUCCGGGACUGCCGAAAGAGCUGCGAUAUACAUACCCGAAAGUAAGUACUACUAGCUAGCUAGUUGCGCGCAUCUCCCGUUGAUUCUAUAGCUAUACUUUCAUCAAUGCCAUUUAUAAUGCUUCAUUAUCAGUUUGAUUGACCUCUAUUUCUCGUAAAGUGCUUCUGGUAGGAACAAGGGAAUGAUUACUGUGGAUACUACGUGUGCGAGUUCAUCUACAACGCGACUUUGAAAAAUAAGCGGGGCUACUCUAAAAGACAAUAUGAAGUGCGUAAGCAAUAAUAUUCACAAUUUCAUUUUAUUACACCAUCAUUUCUGUUGAGUUUCAUUCAUAUAUAUGUAUUAACCCCCUUCUUCAAAUUAGACGUGGCAGAUGCGGAAUGAACUCCUACCACAAGAUCACAUGAAAACAAUUCAAGAGGAAUUGGCGGGAUUCUUUCUUGACCACGUCAUCAAUAAAGCCGGAAAAUACCAUGUGGAAGUUGAUUUCAAAUGCUAGGGGAUUGUAAGAGAUCUUACAUAUUGUAUAUGUAUGUAGCCAGUAGCGUCGGAUAGAUAAUACGAAAACUUGUUGUUCGACCAUUCUCUCGGAGAAGGAGAGGUUGAUUGAUCACUUCUCUCGGUAUGCAUGACGAACUUCUGUACUUAAUGGUUUCCUUCAUUUUCUUACUAGCUAGCGUGUCGAGGGCCUCUCUAUGUAUAGUACGUAGCGUCGACCAAGCACGGACAUAAGAGAGGACACUUCUCUCUAUUAAUUAGCAAGCUAACACAAUAUAUGAAACGCCUAAAUUAACCCCCCAAAACCCCCAACCCCCCAACCUUUCAAAAAAACAAAAACCCCAGCCCCUAAAAUGCUGACGCGUGGAUGUCUUUUGGUCCCGGUUGGUGCCACCAACCGGGACCAAAGGCCCUCUUGCCUGGGCUCGGCGCACCGGCCACGUGAAGGCCCAUCAGUCCCGGUUCGUGUAAGAACCGGGACUAAUGGGCUAGGGCAUUAGUAACGACCCUUUAGUCCCGGUUCAAAAACCGGGACAAAAGGCCCUUACCAACCGGGACGAAUGGGGGUUUUUCUACUAGUGAAGGGUCACCAAAUAUGCGUUCGACGACUCCUUGUUCGAUCGAAUGGUACACGUGAUUCUCCCGCGGCAGACGAGCGUUGCCUAAUUCCAAUUUCGAACCCUAUCAUGUUAAGUUUCUCAAUCUUCUUCACUAAGUUUCUUUCCGAUUUUAGCGCCUUGCUUCAGCAUUUCCACAUGGUUAUUAAACCAACACCUCAUGAUAAGAAACCAUUGUGUAUAUUUCAGGUCGGUACUCGCCGAUGCAAAAUCUCUCAAAAAACAUGAGAGGAGAGGGAUGGUGACCAAAGGAACAUCGCGCCAUCCAUUGACCGAAGUAUAUUUGAUAUUCACCUGCGAAGUCUUUUCUAGAACGCAUGAAAUACAUUCACACAAUGAGGGUUGAGAUAUGAGGGCAUCAGGUCCAUUGCCAAAAUCGCCUCUUUCGAGCUUGAUGUAGUUAAGUUUCCUAAUUAGGCACUAAGUUUGUUCUCCGUGAGCUCUAGGAGUACAUGAUGGGGGAGGGAUUGUGUGCAAAUGUGCAUCGAGUCAGCCAUAUACCGAACAAUACACGAGUUUUUUUUGUCAUCAGUACGACAUCUACGUAUAGGGUGACAUUCUAUCUUCUGAGCUCGUAGACAUAUACAUACAUUGCUCACUACAGGGACCCAGAUUCGUACCUCACAAAAAGAUCCAAUCCCAGCACUUCCCUUUCACAAUAUAUUAGACCACUUAUUAGACCUAGAUACAUCCAAUGAGGAAUGAGAUACCCGUCUAUCGGGAGUUGCUACUAAUAUCACCUCUGUCGAGCUCCCAUGUAGUUAAGUUUCUCGAUUUUAACACUAAGUUCCUUUUUCAUAACCUCUAUUGAGGAGGUGAUGGGAGAGGGGUGGUUUCCAAAUGUGCAUUGGCCAUCCCUCGAUAGAAGAACAUAUCUGAUUCGCCUAUGAAAAGGCACUAGGUGCAAUUUUACCAUGAUAAGGCAAAAUCUCUCAACCAGUGCCAGCAGAGAUGGAUGGUGAUCAAAUGACCAUUGAUAUUUGCAGCAUAUGGAUGUGUAGCUCAUUAAAAUGAGGCACUAGGUUGAAUAUAUAUAGAUGUGCGUACCCAGUGAGCGUCGGAAACCUCCUCUUUUUCAGCCAUAUGGAGUUAAGUUUCUCAUAUUUUCCCCCAAGUUUCGUUCCCGUGAGCUCUAUGGAAGGGUGACGAAAUAUGCGUUCGCCGACUCUAUCGUGUUAAGUUUCUCAAUCUUACUCACUAAGUUUCUCUCUGAUUUUUGCGCCUAGGCAGGAUGCUCAUUUAAAUGAGGCACUAGGUGGAAUAUAUAUAGGUGUUCGGUGUGCGUCACCGGCGAGCAUUGUAAACCUCCUUUUUCUAGGGAGUUAAGUUUCUCAUAUUUAGCCUUAAUUUCUUUCUCGUGAGUUCUACGGAAGGGUCACCAAAUUUGCGUUGGAUGACUCCUCGUUCGACCGAACGGUACACGUGAUUCUCCCGCGGCAGACGAGCGCUGCCUAAUUCCAAUUUCGAGCCCUAUCAUGUUAAGUUUCUUAAUCUUCUUCACUAAGUUUCUUUCUGAUUUUUGCGCCCUUCAGCAUUUCCACAUGGUUAUUAAACCAACACCUCAUGAUAAGAGACCAUUGUUUAUAUUUCAGGUCCUUGUAAAAUCUCUCAACAAACAUGAGAGGAAUUCUUACCUCACGAAAAAACCCAAUCCCAACACUUCCCUUUCAUAAUAUAUUAGACCAUUUAUUAGACAUAGAUACACGAUAGAAGAACAUAUCUGAUUCGCCUAUGACAAGGCACUAGGUCCAAUUUUCUCAAGACAAGGCAAAAUCUCUCAACUAGUGCCAGCGGAGAUGGAUGGUGAUCAAAUGACCAUUGAUAUUUGCAGCAUAUGGAACCGUAGCUCAUUAAAACGAGGCACUAGGUGGAAUAUAUAUAGGUGUGCGUAACUGGUGAGCGUCGGAAACCUCCUCUUUUUGAGCCAUUGGAGUUAAGUUUCUCAUAUUUACCCCGAAGUUUCUUUCCCGUGAGCUCUACGGAAGGGUGACCAAAUAUGUGUUCGCCGACUCUAUCAUGCUAAGUUUCUAAAUCUUCUUCACUAAGAUUCUUUCUUAUUUUUGCGCCUAGACAGGCUGCUCAUUUAAAUGAGGCACUAGGUGGAAUAUAUAUAGGUGUUCGGUGUGCGUCACCCGCGAGCGUUGUAAACCUCCUUUUUUUGAGCCACAUGGAGUUAAGUUUCUCAUAUUUAGCCUUAAGUUUCCUUCCCGUGAGCUGUACGGAAGGGUCACAAAUUAUGCAUUCGAUGUCUCCUCGUUCGAUCGAAUGGUACACGUGAUUCUCCUGCGGCAGACGAGCGUUGCCUAAUUCCAAUUUCGAGCCCUAUCAUGUUAAGUUUAUCAAUCUUCUUCACUAAGUUUGUUUCUGAUUUUUGCGAAUUCCUUCAGCAUUGCCACAUGGUUAUUAAACCAACACCUCAUGAUAAGAGACCAUUAUGUAUAUUUCAGGUCGGUACUCAUCGUUGCAAAAUCUCUCAACAAAAAUGACCAUUGAUAUUUGCAACAUAUGGAUACGUAGCUCAUUAAAACGAGGCACUAGGUGCAAUAUAUAUAGGUGUGCAUACCCAGUAAGCGUCGGAAACCUCCUCUUUUUGAGCCAUAUGGAGUUAAGUUUCUCAUAUUUUCCCCUAAGUUUCUUUCCCGUGAGCUCUAUGGAAGGGUGACGAAAUAUGCGUUCGCCGACUCUAUCGUGUUAAGUUUCUCAAUCUUACUCACUAAGUUUCUCUCUGAUUUUUGCGCCUAGGCAGGAUGCUCAUUUAAAUGAGGCACUAGGUGGAAAUAUAUAGGUGUUCGGUGUGCGUCACCGGCGAGCAUUGUAAACCUCCUUUUUCUGAGACAUAUGGAGUUAAGUUUCUCAUAUUUAGCCUUAAUUUCUUUCUCGUGAGCUCUACGGAAGGGUCACCAAAUUUGCGUUGGAUGACUCCUCGUUCGACCGAACGGUACACGUGAUUCUCCCGCGGCAGACGAGCGCUGCCUAAUUCCAAUUUCGAGCCCUAUCAUGUUAAGUUUCUUAAUCUUCUUCACUAAGUUUCUUUCUGAUUUUUGCGCCCUUCAGCAUUUCCACAUGGUUAUUAAACCAACACCUCAUGAUAGAGACCAUUGUUUAUAUUUUAGAUCCUUGCAAAAUCUCUCAACAAACAUGAGAGGAAUUCUUACCUCACGAAAAAACCCAAUCCCAACACUUCCCUUUCAUAAUAUAUUAGACCAUUUAUUAGACAUAGAUACACGAUAGAAGAACAUAUCUGAUUCGCCUAUGACAAGGCACUAGGUCCAAUUUUCUCAAGACAAGGCAAAAUCUCUCAACUAGUGCCAGCGGAGAUGGAUGGUGAUCAAAUGACCAUUGAUAUUUGCAGCAUAUGGAACCGUAGCUCAUUAAAACGAGGCACUAGGUGGAAUAUAUAUAUGGGUGUGCGUAACUGGUGAGCGUCGGAAACCUCCUCUUUUUGAGCCAUUGGAGUUAAGUUUCUCAUAUUUACCCCGAAGUUUCUUUCCCGUGAGCUCUACGGAAGGGUGACCAAAUAUGUGUUCGCCGACUCUAUCAUGCUAAGUUUCUAAAUCUUCUUCACUAAGAUUCUUUCUGAUUUUUGCGCCUAGACAGGCUGCUCAUUUAAAUGAGGCACUAGGUGGAAUAUAUAUAGGUGUUCGGUGUGCGUCACCCGCGAGCGUUGUAAACCUCCUUUUUUUGAGCCAUAUGGAGUUAAGUUUCUCAUAUUUAGCCUUAAGUUUCCUUCCCGUGAGCUGUACGGAAGGGUCACAAAUUAUGCAUUCGAUGUCUCCUCGUUCGAUCGAAUGGUACACGUGAUUCUCCUGCGGCAGACGAGCGUUGCCUAAUUCCAAUUUCGAGCCCUAUCAUGUUAAGUUUAUCAAUCUUCUUCACUAAGUUUGUUUCUGAUUUUUGCGAAUUCCUUCAGCAUUUCCACAUGGUUAUUAAACCAACACCUCAUGAUAAGAGACCAUUAUGUAUAUUUCAGGUCGGUACUCAUCGUUGCAAAAUCUCUCAACAAAAAUGACCAUUGAUAUUUGCAACAUAUGGAUACGUAGCUCAUUAAAACGAGGCACUAGGUGCAAUAUAUAUAGGUGUGCGUACCCAGUGAGCGUCGGAAACCUCCUCUUUUUGAGCCAUAUGGAGUUAAGUUUCUCAUAUUUUCCCCUAAGUUUCUUUCCCGUGAGCCCUAUGGAAGGGUGACGAAAUAUGCGUUCGCCGACUCUAUCGUGUUAAGUUUCUCAAUCUUACUCACUAAGUUUCUGUCUGAUUUUUGCGCCUAGGCAGGAUGCUCAUUUAAAUGAGGCACUAGGUGGAAUAUAUAUAGGUGUUCGGUGUGCGUCACCGGCGAGCAUUGUAAACCUCCUUUUUCUGAGACAUAUGGAGUUAAGUUUCUCAUAUUUAUCCUUAAUUUCUUUCUCGUGAGCUCUACGGAAGGGUCACCAAAUUUGCGUUGGAUGACUCCUCGUUCGACCGAACGGUACACGUGAUUCUCCCGCAGCAGACGAGCGCUGCCUAAUUCCAAUUUCGAGCCCUAUCAUGUUAAGUUUCUUAAUCUUCUUCACUAAGUUUCUUUCUGAUUUUUGCGCCCUUCAGCAUUUCCACAUGGUUAUUAAACCAACACCUCAUGAUAAGAGACCAUUGUUUAUAUUUCAGGUCCUUGCAAAAUCUCUCAACAAACAUGAGAGGAAUUCUUACCUCACGAAAAAAUCCAAUCCCAACACUUCCCCUUCAUAAUAUAUUAGACCAUUUAUUAGACAUAGAUACACGAUGGAAGAACAUAUCUGAUUCGCCUAUGACAAGGCACUAGGUCCAAUUUUCUCAUGACAAGGCAAAAUCUCUCAACCAGUGCCAGCAGAGACGGAUGGUGAUCAAAUGACCAUUGAUAUUUGCAGCAUAUGGAUGCGUAGCUCAUUAAAAGGAGGCACUAGGUGGAAUAUAUAUGGGUGUGCGUUACAGGUGAGCAUCGGAAACCUCCUCUUUUUGAGCCAUAUGGAGUUAAGUUUCUCAUAUUUACCCCUAAGUUUCAUUCCCGUGAGCUCUACGGAAGGGUGACCAAAUAUGUGUUCGCCGACUCUAUCAUGUUAAGUUUCUCAAUCUUCUUCACUAAGUUUCUUUCUGAUAUUUGCGCCUAGACAGGCUGGUCAUUUAAAUGAGGCACUAGGUGGAAUAUAUAUAGGUGUUCGGUGUGCGUCACCAGCGGGCAUUGUAAACCUCCUUUUUCUGAGCCAUAUGGAGUUAAGUUUCUCAUAUUUAGCCUUAAGUUUCUUUCCCGUGAGCUCUAUGGAAGGGUCACCAAUUAUGAGUUCGACGUCUCCUUGUUCGAUCGAAUGGUACACGUGAUUCUCCCACGGCAGACGAGCGUUGCCUAAUUCCAAUUUUGAGCCCUAUCAUGUUAAGUUUAUCAAUCUUCUUCACUAAGUUUCUUUGUAAUUUUUAUGAAUUCCUUCAGCAUUUCUACAUGGUUAUUAAACCAACACCUCAUGAUAAUAGACCAUUAUGUAUAUUUCAGGUCGGUACUCGUCGUUGCAAAAUCUGUCAACAAAAAUGAACAUUGAUAUUUGCAACAUAUGGAUGCGUAGCUUAUUAAAACGAGGCACUAGGUGGAAUAUAUAUAGGUGUGCGUUACCGGUGAGCGUCAGAAACCUCCUCUUUUUGAGCCAUAUGGAGUUAAGUUUCUCAUAUUUACCCCCAAGUUUCUUUCCCGUGAGCUCGACGGAAGGGUGACGAAAUAUGCGUUCGCCGACUCUAUCAUGUUAAGUUUCUCAAUCUUACUGACUAAGUUUCUGUCUGAUUUUUGCGCCUAGGCAGGCUGUUCAUUUAAAUGAGGCACUAGGUGGAAUAUAUAUAGGUGUUCAGUGUACGUCGGCGACUAGCGUUGUAAACCUCCUUCUUCUGAGCCGUAUGGAGUUAAGUUUCUCAUAUUUAGCCUUAAUUUAUUUCCGGUGAGCUCUACGGAAGGGUCACCAAAUUUGCGUUGGACGACUCCUUGUUCGACCAAACGGUACACGUGAUUCUCCCGCGGCAGACGAGCAUUGCCUAAUUCCUAUUUUGAGCCCUAUCAUGUUAAGUUUCUUAAUCUUCUUCACUAAGUUUGUUUCUGAUUUUUGCGCCCUUCAGCAUUUCCACAUGGUUAUUAAACCAACACCUCAUGAUAAGAGACCAUUGUUUAUAUUUCAGGUCCUUGCAAAAUCUCUCAACAAACAUGAGAGGAAUUCUUACCUCACGAAAAUAUCUAAUCACAGCACUUCCCUUUCAUAAUAUAUUAGACCAUUUACUAGACAUAGAUACAUGAUAGAAGAACAUAUCUGAUACGCCUAUGACAAGGCACUAGGUGCAAUUUUCUCAAGACAAGGAAAAAUCUCUCAACCAGUGCCAGCGGAGACGGAUGGUGAUCAAAUGGCGAUUGAUAUUUGCAGCAUAUGGAUGUGUAGCUCAUUAAAACCAGGCACUAGGUGGAAUAUAUAUAUGUGUCCAUAACAGGUGAACGUCGGAAACCUCCUCUUUUUGAGCCAUAUGGACUUAAGUUUCUCAUAUUUACCCCUAUGUUUCUCACCCGUGAGCUCUACGGAAGGGUGACCAAAUAUGUGUUCGCCGACUCUAUCAUGUUAAGUUUCUCAAUCUUCUUCACUAAGUUUCUUUCUUAUUUUUGCGCCUAGAUAGGCUGCUCAUUUAAAUGAGGCACUAGGUGAAUAUAUAUAGGUUUUCGGUGUGCCUCCCCGGCGAGCUUUGUAAACCUCCUUUUUAUGAGCCAUAUGGAGUGAAGUUUCUCAUAUUUAGCCUUAAGUUUCUUUCCGGUGAGCUCUACGGAAGGGUCACCAAUUAUGCGUUCGACGUCUCCUCGUUUGAUCGAACGGUACAUGUGAUUCUCCCGCGGCAAACGAGCGUUGUCUAUUUCCAAUUUCGAGCCCUAUCAUGUUAAGUUUAUCAAUCUUCAUCACUAAGUUUCUUUCUUAUUUUUGCGCCUUCCUUCAGCAUUUCCACAAGGUUAUUAAACAAACACCUCAUGAUAAGAGACCAUUAUGUAUACUUCAGGUCGGUACUCGUCGUUGCAAAAUCUCACAACAAAAAUGACCAUUGAUAUUUGCAACAUAUGGAUGCGUAGCUCAUUAAAACGAAGCACUAGGUGGAAUAUAUAUAGGUGUGCGUAACUGGUGAGCGUCGGAAACCUCCUCUUUUUGAGCCAUAUGCAGUUAAGUUUCUUAUAUUUACCCUUAAGUUUGUUUCCCGUGAGCACUACGGAAGGGUAACCAAAUAUGUGUUCGCCGACUGUAUCAUGUUAAGUUUCUCAAUCUUCUUCACUAAGUUUUAUUCUGAUUUUUGCGCCUAGACAGGCUGCUCAUUUUAAAGAGGCACUAGGUGGAACAUAUAUAGGUGUUCGGUGUGCGUCACCGGCGAGCGUUGUAAACCACCUUUUUCUGAGCCAUAUGGAGUUAAGUUUCUCAUAUUUAGCCUUAAGUUUCUUUCCUGUGAGGUCUAUGGAAGGGUCACCAAUUAUGCGUUCGACGUCUCCUCGUUCGAUCGAACGGUACACGUGAUUCUCCCGCGGCAGACAAGCGUUGCCUAAUUCCAAUUUUGAGCCCUAUCAUGUUAAGUUUAUCAAUCAUCUUCACUAAGUUUCUUUCUGAUUUUUGCGCCUUCCUUCAGCAUUUCCACAUGGUUAUUAAACCAACACCUCAUGAUAAGAGACCAUUAUGUAUAUUUCAGGUCGGUACUCGUCGUUGCGUAAUCUCUGAACAAAAAUUAACAUUGAUAUUUGCAACAUAUGGAUGCGUAGCUCAUUAAAACGAGGCACUAGGUGGAAUAUAUAUAGGUUUACAUAACCGGUGAGCGUCGGAAACCUCCUCUUUUUGAGCCAUAUGGAGUUAAGUUUCUCAUAUUUACCCUCAAGUUUCUUUCCCGUGAGCUCUAUGGAAGGGUGAAGAAAUAUGUGUUCGCCGACUCUAUCGUGUUAAGUUUCUCAAUCUUACUGACUAAGUUUCUGUCUGAUUUUUGCGCCUAGGCAGGCUGCUCAUAUAAAUGAGGCACUAGGUGGAAUAUAUAUAGGUGUUCGGUGUACGUCGGCGGCUAGCGUUGUAAACCUCCUUUUUCUGAGCCGUAUGGAGUUAAGUUUCUCAUAUUUAGCCUUAAUUUCUUUCCCGUGAGCUCUACGGAAGGGUCACCGAAUUUGCGUUGGACGACUCCUUGUUCGACCAAACGGUAGACGUGAUUCUCCCGCGGCAGACGAGCGUUGCCCAAUUCUAAUUUUGAGCCCUAUCAUGUUAAGUUUCUUAAUCUUCUUCACUAAGUUUGUUUCUGAUUUUUGCGCCCUUCAGCAUUUCCACUUGGUUAUUAAACCAACACCUCAUGAUAAGAGAUCAUUGUUUAUAUUUCAGGUCCUUGCAAAAUCUCUCAACAAACAUGAGAGGAAUUCUUACCUCACGAAAAAAUCCAAUCCCAGCACUUCCCUUUCAUAAUAUAUUAGACCAUUUACUAGACAUAGAUACACGAUAGAAGAACAUAUCUGAUACGCCUAUGACAAGGCACUAGGUGCAAUUUUCUCAAGACAAGGCAAAAUCUCUCAACCAGUGCUAGCGGAGACGGAUGGUGAUCAAAUGGCGAUUGAUAUUUGCAGCAUAUGGAUGUGUAGCUCAUUAAAACUAGGCACUAGGUGGAAUAUAUAUAGGUGUGCAUAACAGGUGAGCGUCGGAAACCUCCUCUUUUUGAGCCAUAUGGACUUAAGUUUCUCAUAUUUACCCCUAAGUUUCUCACCCGUGAGCUCUACGGAAGGGUGACCAAAUAUGUGUUCGUCGACUCUAAUAUGUUAAGUUUCUCAAUCUUCUUCACUAAGUUUCUUUCUUAUUUUUGCGCCUAGACAGGCUGCUCAUUUAAAUGAGGCACUAGGUGGAAUAUAUAUAGGUGUUCGGUGUGCGUCCCCGGCGAGCGUUGUAAACCUCCUUUUUAUGAGCCAUAUGGAGUUAAGUUUCUCAUAUUUAGCCUUAAGUUUCUUUCCGGUGAGCUCUACGGAAAGGUCACCAAUUAUGCGUUCGACGUCUCCUCAUUUAAUCGAACGGUACAUGUGAUUCUCCCGCGGCAAACGAGCGUUGUCUAUUUCCAAUUUCGAGCCCUAUCAUUUUAAGUUUAUCAAUCUUCAUCACUAAGUUUCAUUCUUAAUUUUGCGCCUUCCUUCAGCAUUUCCACAAGGUUAUUAAACAAACACCUCAUGAUAAGAGACCAUUAUGUAUACUUCAGGUCGGUACUCAUCAUUGCAAAAUCUCUCAACAAAAAUGACCAUUGAUAUUUGCAACAUAUGGAUCCGUAGCUCAUUAAAACGAAGCACUAGGUGGAAUAUAUAUAGGUGUGCGUAACUGGUGAGCGUCGGAAACCUCCUCUUUUUGAGCCAUAUGGAGCUAAGUUUCUUAUAUUUACCCCUAUGUUUGUUUCCCGUGAGCUCUACGGAGGGUAACCAAAUAUGUGUUCGCCGACUGUAUCAUGUUAAGUUUCUCAAUCUUCUUCACUAUGUUUCAUUUUGAUUUUUGCGCCUAGACAGGCUGCUCAUUUUAAAGAGGCACUAGGUGGAACAUAUAUAGGUGUUUGGUGUGCGUCACCGGCGAGCUUUGUAAACCUCCUUUUUCUGAGCCAUAUGGAGUUAAGUUUCUCAUAUUUAGCCUUAAGUUUCUUUCCCGUGAGCUCUAUGGAAGGGUCACCAAUUAUGCGUUCGACGUCUCCUCGUUCGAUCGAACGGUACACGUGAUUCUCCCGCGGCAGAGGAGCGUUGCCUAAUUCCAAUUUUGAGCCCUAUCAUGUUAAGUUUAUCAAUCUUCUUCACUAAGUUUUUUCUGAUUUUUGCGCCUUCCUUCAGCAUUUCCACAUGGUUAUUAAACCAACACCUCAUGAUAAGAGACCAUUAUGUAUAUUUCAGGUCGGUACUCGUCGUUGCAAAAUCUCUCAACAAAAAUGAACAUUGAUAUUUGCAACAUAUGGAUGCGUAGCUCAUUAAAACGAGGCACUAGGUGGAAUAUAUAUAGGUUUGCAUAACCGGUGAGCGUCGGAAACCUCCUCUUUUUGAGCCAUAUGGAGUUAAGUUUCUCAUAUUUACCCCCAAGUUUCUUUCCCGUGAGCUCUACGGAAGGGUGACGAAAUAUGCGUUCGCCGACUCUAUCGUGUUAAGUUUCUAAAUCUUACUGACUAAGUUUCUGUCUGAUUUUUGCGCCUAGGCAGGCUGCUCAUAUAAUUGAGGCACUAGGUCGAAUAUAUAUAUAUAGGUGUUCGGUGUACGUCGGCGGCUAGCGUUGUAAACCUCCUUUUUCUGAUCCAUAUGGAGUUAAGUUUCUCAUAUUUAGCCUUAAUUUCUUUCCCGUGAGCUCUACGGAAGGGUCACCAAAUUUGCGUUGGACGACUCCUUGUUCGACCAAACGGUACACGUGAUUCUCCCGCGGCAGACGAGCGUUGCCUAAUUCCAAUUUUGAGCCCCAUCAUGUUAAGUUUCUUAAUCUUCUUCACUAAGUUUGUUUCUGAUUUUUGCGCCCUUCAGCAUUUCCACGUGGUUAUUAAACCAACACCUCAUGAUAAGAGACCAUUGUUUAUAUUACAGGUCCUUGCAAAAUCUCUGAACAAACAUGAGAGGAAUUCUUACCUCACGAAAAAAUCCAAUCCCAGCACUUCCCUUUCAUAAUAUAUUAGACCAUUUACUAGACAUAGAUACACGAUAGAAGAACAUAUCUGAUACGCCUAUGACAAGGCACUAGGUGCAAUUUUCUCAAGACAAGGCAAAAUCUCUCAACCAGUGCUAGCGUAGACGGAUGGUGAUCAAAUGGCGAUUGAUAUUUGCAGCAUAUGGAUGUGUAGCUCAUUAAAACUAGGCACUAGGUGGAAUAUAUAUAGGUGUGCAUAACAGGUGAGCGUCGGAAACCUCCUCUUUUUGAGCCAUAUGGACUUAAGUUUCUCAUAUUUACCCCUAAGUUUCUCACCCGUGAGCUCUACGGAAGGGUGACCAAAUAUGUGUGCGUCGACUCUAUCAUGUUAAGUUUCUCAAUCUUCUUCACUAAGUUUCUUUCUUAUUUUUGCGCCUAGACAGGCUGCACAUUUAAAUGAGGCACUAGGUGGAAAAUAUGUAGGUGUUCAGUGUGCGUCCCUGGCGAGCGUUGUAAACCUCCUUUUUCUGAGCCAUAUAGAGUUAAGUUUCUCAUAUUUAGCCUUAAGUUUCUUUCCGGUGAGCUCUAUGGAAGGGUCACCAAUUAUGCGUUCGACGUCUCGUUGUUUGAUCGAACGGUACGCGUGAUUUUCCCGCGGCAAACGAGCGUUGUCUAAUUCCAAUUUCGAGCCAUAUCAUGUUAAGUUUAUCAAUCUUCUUCAGUAAGUUUCUUUCUUAUUUUUGUGCCUUCCUUCAGCAUUUCCACGAGGUUAUUAAACAAACACCUCAUGAUAAGAGACCAUUAUGUAUACUUGAGGUCGGUACUCGUCAUUGUAAAAUCUCUCAACAAAAAUGACCAUUGAUAUUUGCAACAUAUGGAUGCGUAGCUCAUUAAAACGAAGCACUAGGUGGAAUAUAUAUAGGUGUGCGUAACUGGUGAGCGUCGGAAACCUCCUCUUUUUGAGCCAUAUGGAGUUAAGUUUCUUAUAUUUACCCCUAAGUUUGUUUCCCAUGAGCUCUACGGAAGGGUAACCAAAUAUGUGUUCGCCGACUGUAUCAUGUUAUGUUUCUCAAUCUUCUUCACUAAGUUUCAUUCUGAUUUUUGCGCCAAGACAGGCUGCUCAUUUUAAAGAGGCACUAGGUGGAACAUAUAUAGGUUUACGGUGUGCGUCACCGGCGAGCGUUGUAAACCUCCUUUUUCUGAGCCAUAUGGAGUUAAGUUUCUCAUAUUUAGCCUUAAGUUUCUUUCCCGUGAGCUCUAUCGAAGAGUCACAAAUUAUGUGUUCGAUGUCUCCUCGUUCGAUCGAACGGUACACGUGAUUCUCCCGCGGCAGACGAGCGUUGCCUAAUUCCAAUUUUGAGCCCUAUCAUGUUAAGUUUAUCAAUCUUCUUCACUAAGUUUCUUUCUGAUUUUUGCGCCUUCCUUCAGCAUUUCCACGUGGUUAUUAAACCAACACGUCAUGAUAAGAGACCAUUAUGUAUAUUUCAGGUCAGUACUCGUCGUUGCAAAAUCACUCAACAAAAAUGAACAUUGAUAUUUGCAACAUAUGGAUGCGUAGCUCAUUAAAACAAGGCACUAGGUGGAAUAUAUAUAGGUUUGCAUAACCGGUGAGCGUCAGCAACCUCCUCUUUUUGAGCCAUAUGGAGUUAAGUUUCUCAUAUUUAGCCCUAAGUUUAUUUCCCGUGAGCUCUAUGGAAGGGUGACGAAAUAUGCGUUCGCCGACUCUAUCGUGUUAAGUUUCUCAAUGUUACUGACUAAGUUUCUGUCUAAUUUUUGCGCCUAGGCAGGCUGCUCAUUUAAAUGAAUCACUACUUGGAAUAUAUAUAGGUGUUCGGUGUAUGUCGGCGGCGAGCGUUGUAAACCUCCUUUUUCUGAGCCAUAUGGAGUUAAGUUUCUCAUAUUUAGCCUUGUUCGACGAUAUGUAAGAGACCACUGUUUAUAUUUCAGGUCCUUGCAAAAUCUCUCCACAAACAUGAGAGGAAUUCUUACUUGAUUAAAAAAUCCAAUCCCAGCACUUCCCUUUCAUAAUAUAUUAGACCAUUUACUAGACAUAGAUACACGAUAGAAGAACAUAUCUGAUACGCCAAUGACAAGGCACUAGGUGCAAUUUUCUCAAAACAAGGCAAAAUCUCGCAACCAGUGCGAGCGGAGACGGAUUGUGAUCAAAUGGCGAUUGAUAUUUGCAGCAUAUGGAUGCGUAGCUCAUUAAAACCAGGCACUAGGUGGAAUAUAUAUAGGUGUGCAUAACAGGUGAGCGUCGGAAACCUCCUCUUUUUGAGCCGUAUGGACUUAAGUUGCUCAUAUUUACCCCUAAGUUUCUCACCCGUGAGCUCUACGGAAGAUUGACCAAAUAUGUGUUCGCCGACUCUAUCAUGUUAAGUUUCUUAAUCUUCUUCACUAAGUUUCUUUCUUAUUUUUGCGCCUAGACAGGCUGCUCAUUUAAAUGAGGCACUAGGUGGAAUAUAUAUAGGUGUUCGGUGUGCAUCCCCGGGGAGCGUUAUAAACCUCCUUUUUCUGAGCCAUAUGGAGUUAAGUUUCUCAUAUUUAGCCUUAAGUUUCUUUCCGGUGAGCUCUACGGAAGGGUCACCACGUAUGCGUUCGACGUCUCCUCGUUUAUUCGAACGGUACACGUGAUUCUCCCGCGGCAAACGAGCGUUGUCUAAUUCCAAUUCCGAGCCCUAUCAUGUUAAGUUUAUCAAUUUUCUUCACUAAGUUUCUUUCUUAUUUUUGCGCCUUCCUUCAGCAUUUCCACAAGGUUAUUAAACAAACACCUCAUGAUAAGAGACCAUUAUGUAUACUUCAGGUCGGUACUCGUCGUUGCAAAAUCUCUCAACAAAAAUGACCAUUGAUAUUUGCAACAUAUGGAUGCGUAGCUCAUUAAAACAAAGCACUAGGUGGAAUAUAUAUAGGUGUGCGUAACUGGUGAGCAUCGGAAAGCUCCUCUUAUUGAGCCAUAUGGAGUUAAAUUUCUUAUAUUUACCCCUAAGUUUGUUUCCCGUGAGCUCUACUGAAGGGUACCCAAAUAUGUGUUCGCCGACUGUAUCAUUUUAAGUUUCUCAAUCUUCUGCACUAAGUUUCAUUCUGAUUUUGGCGCCUAGACAGGCUGCUCAUUUUAAAGAGGCACUAGGUGGAACAUAUAUAGUUGUUCGGUGUGCGUCACCGGCGAGCGUUGUAAACCUCCUUUUUCUGAGCCAUAUGGAUUUAAGUUUCUCAUAUUUAGCCUUAAGUUUCUUUCCCGUGAGCUCUAUGGAAGGGUCACAAAUUAUGCGUUCGACGUCUCCUCGUUCGAUCGAACGGUACACGUGAUUCUCCCGCGGCAGACAAGCGUUGCCUAAUUCCAAUUUUGAGCCCUAUCAUGUUAAGUUUAUCAAUCUUUUUACACUAAGUUUCUUUCUGAUUUUUGCGCCUUCCUUCAGCAUUUCCACGUGGUUAUUAAACCAACACCUCAUGAGAAGAGACCAUUAUGUAUAUUUCACGUCAGUACUCGUCGUUGAAAAAUCACUCAAUAAAAAUGAACAUUGAUAUUUGCAACAUAUGGAUGCAUAGCUCAUUAAAACAAGGCACUAGGUGGAAUAUAUAUAGGUUUGCAGAACCGGUGAGCGUCAGAAACCUCCUCUUUUUGAGCCAUAUGGAGUUAAGUUUCUCAUAUUUAGCCCUAUGUUUCUUUCCCGUGAGCUCUAUGGAAGGGUGACGAAAUAUGUGUUCGCCGACUCUAUCGUGUUAAGUUUCUCAAUAUUACUGACUAAGUUUCUGUCUGAUUUUUGCGCCUAGGCAGGCUGCUCAUUUAAAUGAGGCACUAGGUGGAAUAUAUAUAGGUGUUCGGUGUACGUCGGCGGCGAGCGUUGUAAACCUCCUUUUUCUAAGCCAUAUGGAGUUAAGUUUCUCAUAUUUAGCCUUAAUUUCUUUCCCGUGAGCUCUACGGAAGGGUCACCAAAUUUGCGUUGGACGACUCCUUGUUCGACCAAACGGUACACGUGAUUCUCCCGCGGCAGACGAGCGUUGCCUAAUUCCAAUUUUGAGCCCUAUCAUGUUAAGUUUCUUAAUCUUCUUCACUAAGUUUGUUUCUGAUUUUUGCUCCCUUCAGCAUUUCCACAUGGUUAUUAAACCAACACCUCAUGAUAAGAGACCAUUGUUUAUAUUUGAGGUCCUUGCAAAAUCUCUCCACAAACAUGAGAGGAAUUCUUACUUGACGAAAAAAUCCAAUCCCAGCACUUCCCUUUCAUAAUAUAUUAGACCAUUUACUAGACAUAGAUACACGAUAGAAGAACAUAUCUGAUACGCCUAUGACAAGGCACUAGGUGCAAUUUUCUCAAAACAAGGCAAAAUCUCGCAACCAGUGCGAGCGGAGACGGAUUGUGAUCAAAUGGCGAUUGAUAUUUGCAGCAUAUGGAUGCGUAGCUCAUUAAAACCAGGCACUAGGUGGAAUAUAUAUAGGUGUGCAUAACAGGUGAGCGUCGGAAACCUCCUCUUUUUGAGCCGUAUGGACUUAAGUUGCUCAUAUUUACCCCUAAGUUUCUCACCCGUGAGCUCUACGGAAGAUUGACCAAAUAUGUGUUCGCCGACUCUAUCAUGUUAAGUUUCUUAAUCUUCUUCACUAAGUUUCUUUCUUAUUUUUGCGCCUAGACAGGCUGCUCAUUUAAAUGAGGCACUAGGUGGAAUAUAUAUAGGUGUUCGGUGUGCAUCCCCGGGGAGCGUUAUAAACCUCCUUUUUCUGAGCCAUAUGGAGUUAAGUUUCUCAUAUUUAGCCUUAAGUUUCUUUCCGGUGAGCUCUACGGAAGGGUCACCACGUAUGCGUUCGACGUCUCCUCGUUUAUUCGAACGGUACACGUGAUUCUCCCGCGGCAAACGAGCGUUGUCUAAUUCCAAUUCCGAGCCCUAUCAUGUUAAGUUUAUCAAUUUUCUUCACUAAGUUUCUUUCUUAUUUUUGCGCCUUCCUUCAGCAUUUCCACAAGGUUAUUAAACAAACACCUCAUGAUAAGAGACCAUUAUGUAUACUUCAGGUCGGUACUCGUCGUUGCAAAAUCUCUCAACAAAAAUGACCAUUGAUAUUUGCAACAUAUGGAUGCGUAGCUCAUUAAAACAAAGCACUAGGUGGAAUAUAUAUAGGUGUGCGUAACUGGUGAGCAUCGGAAAGCUCCUCUUAUUGAGCCAUAUGGAGUUAAAUUUCUUAUAUUUACCCCUAAGUUUGUUUCCCGUGAGCUCUACUGAAGGGUACCCAAAUAUGUGUUCGCCGACUGUAUCAUUUUAAGUUUCUCAAUCUUCUGCACUAAGUUUCAUUCUGAUUUUGGCGCCUAGACAGGCUGCUCAUUUUAAAGAGGCACUAGGUGGAACAUAUAUAGUUGUUCGGUGUGCGUCACCGGCGAGCGUUGUAAACCUCCUUUUUCUGAGCCAUAUGGAUUUAAGUUUCUCAUAUUUAGCCUUAAGUUUCUUUCCCGUGAGCUCUAUGGAAGGGUCACAAAUUAUGCGUUCGACGUCUCCUCGUUCGAUCGAACGGUACACNNNNNNNNNNNNNNNNNNNNNNNNNNNNNNNNNNNNNNNNNNNNNNNNNNNNNNNNNNNNNNNNNNNNNNNNNNNNNNNNNNNNNNNNNNNNNNNNNNNNNNNNNNNNNNNNNNNNNNNNNNNNNNNNNNNNNNNNNNNNNNNNNNNNNNNNNNNNNNNNNNNNNNNNNNNNNNNNNNNNNNNNNNNNNNNNNNNNNNNNNNNNNNNNNNNNNNNNNNNNNNNNNNNNNNNNNNNNNNNNNNNNNNNNNNNNNNNNNNNNNNNNNNNNNNNNNNNNNNNNNNNNNNNNNNNNNNNNNNNNNNNNNNNNNNNNNNNNNNNNNNNNNNNNNNNNNNNNNNNNNNNNNNNNNNNNNNNNNNNNNNNNNNNNNNNNNNNNNNNNNNNNNNNNNNNNNNNNNNNNNNNNNNNNNNNNNNNNNNNNNNNNNNNNNNNNNNNNNNNNNNNNNNNNNNNNNNNNNNNNNNNNNNNNNNNNNNNNNNNNNNNNNNNNNNNNNNNNNNNNNNNNNNNNNNNNNNNNNNNNNNNNNNNNNNNNNNNNNNNNNNNNNNNNNNNNNNNNNNNNNNNNNNNNNNNNNNNNNNNNNNNNNNNNNNNNNNNNNNNNNNNNNNNNNNNNNNNNNNNNNNNNNNNNNNNNNNNNNNNNNNNNNNNNNNNNNNNNNNNNNNNNNNNNNNNNNNNNNNNNNNNNNNNNNNNNNNNNNNNNNNNNNNNNNNNNNNNNNNNNNNNNNNNNNNNNNNNNNNNNNNNNNNNNNNNNNNNNNNNNNNNNNNNNNNNNNNNNNNNNNNNNNNNNNNNNNNNNNNNNNNNNNNNNNNNNNNNNNNNNNNNNNNNNNNNNNNNNNNNNNNNNNNNNNNNNNNNNNNNNNNNNNNNNNNNNNNNNNNNNNNNNNNNNNNNNNNNNNNNNNNNNNNNNNNNNNNNNNNNNNNNNNNNNNNNNNNNNNNNNNNNNNNNNNNNNNNNNNNNNNNNNNNNNNNNNNNNNNNNNNNNNNNNNNNNNNNNNNNNNNNNNNNNNNNNNNNNNNNNNNNNNNNNNNNNNNNNNNNNNNNNNNNNNNNNNNNNNNNNNNNNNNNNNNNNNNNNNNNNNNNNNNNNNNNNNNNNNNNNNNNNNNNNNNNNNNNNNNNNNNNNNNNNNNNNNNNNNNNNNNNNNNNNNNNNNNNNNNNNNNNNNNNNNNNNNNNNNNNNNNNNNNNNNNNNNNNNNNNNNNNNNNNNNNNNNNNNNNNNNNNNNNNNNNNNNNNNNNNNNNNNNNNNNNNNNNNNNNNNNNNNNNNNNNNNNNNNNNNNNNNNNNNNNNNNNNNNNNNNNNNNNNNNNNNNNNNNNNNNNNNNNNNNNNNNNNNNNNNNNNNNNNNNNNNNNNNNNNNNNNNNNNNNNNNNNNNNNNNNNNNNNNNNNNNNNNNNNNNNNNNNNNNNNNNNNNNNNNNNNNNNNNNNNNNNNNNNNNNNNNNNNNNNNNNNNNNNNNNNNNNNNNNNNNNNNNNNNNNNNNNNNNNNNNNNNNNNNNNNNNNNNNNNNNNNNNNNNNNNNNNNNNNNNNNNNNNNNNNNNNNNNNNNNNNNNNNNNNNNNNNNNNNNNNNNNNNNNNNNNNNNNNNNNNNNNNNNNNNNNNNNNNNNNNNNNNNNNNNNNNNNNNNNNNNNNNNNNNNNNNNNNNNNNNNNNNNNNNNNNNNNNNNNNNNNNNNNNNNNNNNNNNNNNNNNNNNNNNNNNNNNNNNNNNNNNNNNNNNNNNNNNNNNNNNNNNNNNNNNNNNNNNNNNNNNNNNNNNNNNNNNNNNNNNNNNNNNNNNNNNNNNNNNNNNNNNNNNNNNNNNNNNNNNNNNNNNNNNNNNNNNNNNNNNNNNNNNNNNNNNNNNNNNNNNNNNNNNNNNNNNNNNNNNNNNNNNNNNNNNNNNNNNNNNNNNNNNNNNNNNNNNNNNNNNNNNNNNNNNNNNNNNNNNNNNNNNNNNNNNNNNNNNNNNNNNNNNNNNNNNNNNNNNNNNNNNNNNNNNNNNNNNNNNNNNNNNNNNNNNNNNNNNNNNNNNNNNNNNNNNNNNNNNNNNNNNNNNNNNNNNNNNNNNNNNNNNNNNNNNNNNNNNNNNNNNNNNNNNNNNNNNNNNNNNNNNNNNNNNNNNNNNNNNNNNNNNNNNNNNNNNNNNNNNNNNNNNNNNNNNNNNNNNNNNNNNNNNNNNNNNNNNNNNNNNNNNNNNNNNNNNNNNNNNNNNNNNNNNNNNNNNNNNNNNNNNNNNNNNNNNNNNNNNNNNNNNNNNNNNNNNNNNNNNNNNNNNNNNNNNNNNNNNNNNNNNNNNNNNNNNNNNNNNNNNNNNNNNNNNNNNNNNNNNNNNNNNNNNNNNNNNNNNNNNNNNNNNNNNNNNNNNNNNNNNNNNNNNNNNNNNNNNNNNNNNNNNNNNNNNNNNNNNNNNNNNNNNNNNNNNNNNNNNNNNNNNNNNNNNNNNNNNNNNNNNNNNNNNNNNNNNNNNNNNNNNNNNNNNNNNNNNNNNNNNNNNNNNNNNNNNNNNNNNNNNNNNNNNNNNNNNNNNNNNNNNNNNNNNNNNNNNNNNNNNNNNNNNNNNNNNNNNNNNNNNNNNNNNNNNNNNNNNNNNNNNNNNNNNNNNNNNNNNNNNNNNNNNNNNNNNNNNNNNNNNNNNNNNNNNNNNNNNNNNNNNNNNNNNNNNNNNNNNNNNNNNNNNNNNNNNNNNNNNNNNNNNNNNNNNNNNNNNNNNNNNNNNNNNNNNNNNNNNNNNNNNNNNNNNNNNNNNNNNNNNNNNNNNNNNNNNNNNNNNNNNNNNNNNNNNNNNNNNNNNNNNNNNNNNNNNNNNNNNNNNNNNNNNNNNNNNNNNNNNNNNNNNNNNNNNNNNNNNNNNNNNNNNNNNNNNNNNNNNNNNNNNNNNNNNNNNNNNNNNNNNNNNNNNNNNNNNNNNNNNNNNNNNNNNNNNNNNNNNNNNNNNNNNNNNNNNNNNNNNNNNNNNNNNNNNNNNNNNNNNNNNNNNNNNNNNNNNNNNNNNNNNNNNNNNNNNNNNNNNNNNNNNNNNNNNNNNNNNNNNNNNNNNNNNNNNNNNNNNNNNNNNNNNNNNNNNNNNNNNNNNNNNNNNNNNNNNNNNNNNNNNNNNNNNNNNNNNNNNNNNNNNNNNNNNNNNNNNNNNNNNNNNNNNNNNNNNNNNNNNNNNNNNNNNNNNNNNNNNNNNNNNNNNNNNNNNNNNNNNNNNNNNNNNNNNNNNNNNNNNNNNNNNNNNNNNNNNNNNNNNNNNNNNNNNNNNNNNNNNNNNNNNNNNNNNNNNNNNNNNNNNNNNNNNNNNNNNNNNNNNNNNNNNNNNNNNNNNNNNNNNNNNNNNNNNNNNNNNNNNNNNNNNNNNNNNNNNNNNNNNNNNNNNNNNNNNNNNNNNNNNNNNNNNNNNNNNNNNNNNNNNNNNNNNNNNNNNNNNNNNNNNNNNNNNCUCAUAUUUACCCCUAAGUUUCUCACCCGUGAGCUCUACGGAAGAUUGACCAAAUAUGUGUUCGCCGACUCUAUCAUGUUAAGUUUCUUAAUCUUCUUCACUAAGUUUCUUUCUUAUUUUUGCGCCUAGACAGGCUGCUCAUUUAAAUGAGGCACUAGGUGGAAUAUAUAUAGGUGUUCGGUGUGCAUCCCCGGGGAGCGUUAUAAACCUCCUUUUUCUGAGCCAUAUGGAGUUAAGUUUCUCAUAUUUAGCCUUAAGUUUCUUUCCGGUGAGCUCUACGGAAGGGUCACCACGUAUGCGUUCGACGUCUCCUCGUUUAUUCGAACGGUACACGUGAUUCUCCCGCGGCAAACGAGCGUUGUCUAAUUCCAAUUCCGAGCCCUAUCAUGUUAAGUUUAUCAAUUUUCUUCACUAAGUUUCUUUCUUAUUUUUGCGCCUUCCUUCAGCAUUUCCACAAGGUUAUUAAACAAACACCUCAUGAUAAGAGACCAUUAUGUAUACUUCAGGUCGGUACUCGUCGUUGCAAAAUCUCUCAACAAAAAUGACCAUUGAUAUUUGCAACAUAUGGAUGCGUAGCUCAUUAAAACAAAGCACUAGGUGGAAUAUAUAUAGGUGUGCGUAACUGGUGAGCAUCGGAAAGCUCCUCUUUUUGAGCCAUAUGGAGUUAAAUUUCUUAUAUUUACCCCUAAGUUUGUUUCCCGUGAGCUCUACUGAAGGGUACCCAAAUAUGUGUUCGCCGACUGUAUCAUUUUAAGUUUCUCAAUCUUCUGCACUAAGUUUCAUUCUGAUUUUGGCGCCUAGACAGGCUGCUCAUUUUAAAGAGGCACUAGGUGGAACAUAUAUAGGUGUUCGGUGUGCGUCACCGGCGAGCGUUGUAAACCUCCUUUUUCUGAGCCAUAUGGAAUUAAGUUUCUCAUAUUUAGCCUUAAGUUUCUUUCCCGUGAGCUCUAUGGAAGGGUCACAAAUUAUGCGUUCGACGUCUCCUCGUUCGAUCGAACGGUACACGUGAUUCUCCCGCGGCAGACAAGCGUUGCCUAAUUCCAAUUUUGAGCCCUAUCAUGUUAAGUUUAUCAAUCUUUUUACACUAAGUUUCUUUCUGAUUUUUGCGCCUUCCUUCAGCAUUUCCACGUGGCUAUUAAACCAACACCUCAUGAUAAGAGACCAUUAUGUAUAUUUCACGUCAGUACUCGUCGUUGCAAAAUCACUCAACAAAAAUGAACAUUGAUAUUUGCAACAUAUGGAUGCGUAGCUCAUUAAAACAAGGCACUAGGUGGAAUAUAUAUAGGUUUGCAGAACCGGUGAGCGUCAGAAACCUCCUCUUUUUGAGCCAUAUGGAGUUAAGUUUCUCAUAUUUAGCCCUAUGUUUCUUUCCCGUGAGCUCUAUGGAAGGGUGACGAAAUAUGUGUUCGCCGACUCUAUCGUGUUAAGUUUCUCAAUAUUACUGACUAAGUUUCUGUCUGAUUUUUGCGCCUAGGCAGGCUGCUCAUUUAAAUGAGGCACUAGGUGGAAUAUAUAUAGGUGUUCGGUGUACGUCGGCGGCGAGCGUUGUAAACCUCCUUUUUCUGAGCCAUAUGGAGUUAAGUUUCUCAUAUUUAGCCUUAAUUUCUUUCCCGUGAGCUCUACGGAAGGGUCACCAAAUUUGCGUUGGACGACUCCUUGUUCGACCAAACGGUACACGUGAUUCUCCCGCGGCAGACGAGCGUUGCCUAAUUCCAAUUUUGAGCCCUAUCAUGUUAAGUUUCUUAAUCUUCUUCACUAAGUUUGUUUCUGAUUUUUGCUCCCUUCAGCAUUUCCACAUGGUUAUUAAACCAACACCUCAUGAUAAGAGACCAUUGUUUAUAUUUGAGGUCCUUGCAAAAUCUCUCCACAAACAUGAGAGGAAUUCUUACUUGACGAAAAAAUCCAAUCCCAGCACUUCCCUUUCAUAAUAUAUUAGACCAUUUACUAGACAUAGAUACACGAUAGAAGAACAUAUCUGAUACGCCUAUGACAAGGCACUAGGUGCAAUUUUCUCAAAACAAGGCAAAAUCUCCCAACCAGUGCGAGCGGAGACGGAUUGUGAUCAAAUGGCGAUUGAUAUUUGCAGCAUAUGGAUGUGUAGCUCAUUAAAACCAGGCUCUAGGUGGAAUAUAUAUAGGUGUGCAUAAGAGGUGAGCGUCGGAAACCUCCUCUUUUUGAGCGUAUGGACUUAAGUUUCUCAUAUUUACCCCUAAGUUUCUCACCCGUGAGCUCUACGGAAGAUUGACCAAAUAUGUGUUCGCCGACUCUAUCAUGUUAAGUUUCUCAAUCUUCUUCACUAAGUUUCUUUCUUAUUUUUGCGCCUAGACAGGCUGCUCAUUUAAAUGAGGCACUAGGUGGAAUAUAUAUAGGUGUUCGGUGUGCAUCCCCGGGGAGCGUUAUAAACCUCCUUUUUCUGAGCCAUAUGGAGUUAAGUUUCUCAUAUUUAGCCUUAAGUUUCUUUCCGGUGAGCUCUACGGAAGGGUCACCACGUAUGCGUUCGACGUCUCCUCGUUUAUUCGAACGGUACACGUGAUUCUCCCGCGGCAAACGAGCGUUGUCUAAUUCCAAUUCCGAGCCCUAUCAUGUUAAGUUUAUCAAUUUUCUUCACUAAGUUUCUUUCUUAUUUUUGCGCCUUCCUUCAGCAUUUCCACAAGGUUAUUAAACAAACACCUCAUGAUAAGAGACCAUUAUGUAUACUUCAGGUCGGUACUCGUCGUUGCAAAAUCUCUCAACAAAAAUGACCAUUGAUAUUUGCAACAUAUGGAUGCGUAGCUCAUUAAAACAAAGCACUAGGUGGAAUAUAUAUAGGUGUGCGUAACUGGUGAGCAUCGGAAAGCUCCUCUUAUUGAGCCAUAUGGAGUUAAAUUUCUUAUAUUUACCCCUAAGUUUGUUUCCCGUGAGCUCUACUGAAGGGUACCCAAAUAUGUGUUCGCCGACUGUAUCAUUUUAAGUUUCUCAAUCUUCUGCACUAAGUUUCAUUCUGAUUUUGGCGCCUAGACAGGCUGCUCAUUUUAAAGAGGCACUAGGUGGAACAUAUAUAGUUGUUCGGUGUGCGUCACCGGCGAGCGUUGUAAACCUCCUUUUUCUGAGCCAUAUGGAUUUAAGUUUCUCAUAUUUAGCCUUAAGUUUCUUUCCCGUGAGCUCUAUGGAAGGGUCACAAAUUAUGCGUUCGACGUCUCCUCGUUCGAUCGAACGGUACACGUGAUUCUCCCGCGGCAGACAAGCGUUGCCUAAUUCCAAUUUUGAGCCCUAUUAUGUUAAGUUUAUCAAUCUUUUUACACUAAGUUUCUUUCUGAUUUUUGCGCCUUCCUUCAGCAUUUCCACGUGGUUAUUAAACCAACACCUCAUGAUAAGAGACCAUUAUGUAUAUUUCACGUCAGUACUCGUCGUUGAAAAAUCACUCAAUAAAAAUGAACAUUGAUAUUUGCAACAUAUGGAUGCGUAGCUCAUUAAAACAAGGCACUAGGUGGAAUAUAUAUAGGUUUGCAGAACCGGUGAGCGUCAGAAACCUCCUCUUUUUGAGCCAUAUGGAGUUAAGUUUCUCAUAUUUAGCCCUAUGUUUCUUUCCCGUGAGCUCUAUGGAAGGGUGACGAAAUAUGUGUUCGCCGACUCUAUCGUGUUAAGUUUCUCAAUAUUACUGACUAAGUUUCUGUCUGAUUUUUGCGCCUAGGCAGGCUGCUCAUUUAAAUGAGGCACUAGGUGGAAUAUAUAUAGGUGUUCGGUGUACGUCGGCGGCGAGCGUUGUAAACCUCCUUUUUCUAAGCCAUAUGGAGUUAAGUUUCUCAUAUUUAGCCUUAAUUUCUUUCCCGUGAGCUCUACGGAAGGGUCACCAAAUUUGCGUUGGACGACUCCUUGUUCGACCAAACGGUACACGUGAUUCUCCCGCGGCAGACGAGCGUUGCCUAAUUCCAAUUUUGAGCCCUAUCAUGUUAAGUUUCUUAAUCUUCUUCACUAAGUUUGUUUCUGAUUUUUGCUCCCUUCAGCAUUUCCACAUGGUUAUUAAACCAACACCUCAUGAUAAGAGACCAUUGUUUAUAUUUGAGGUCCUUGCAAAAUCUCUCCACAAACAUGAGAGGAAUUCUUACUUGACGAAAAAAUCCAAUCCCAGCACUUCCCUUUCAUAAUAUAUUAGACCAUUUACUAGACAUAGAUACACGAUAGAAGAACAUAUCUGAUACGCCUAUGACAAGGCACUAGGUGCAAUUUUCUCAAAACAAGGCAAAAUCUCGCAACCAGUGCGAGCGGAGACGGAUUGUGAUCAAAUGGCGAUUGAUAUUUGCAGCAUAUGGAUGUGUAGCUCAUUAAAACCAGGCACUAGGUGGAAUAUAUAUAGGUGUGCAUAACAGGUGAGCGUCGGAAACCUCCUCUUUUUGAGCCGUAUGGACUUAAGUUGCUCAUAUUUACCCCUAAGUUGCUCAUUAAAACAAAGCACUAGGUGGAAUAUAUAUAGGUGUGCGUAACUGGUGAGCAUCGGAAAGCUCCUCUUAUUGAGCCAUAUGGAGUUAAAUUUCUUAUAUUUACCCCUAAGUUUGUUUCCCGUGAGCUCUACUGAAGGGUACCCAAAUAUGUGUUCGCCGACUGUAUCAUUUUAAGUUUCUCAAUCUUCUGCACUAAGUUUCAUUCUGAUUUUGGCGCCUAGACAGGCUGCUCAUUUUAAAGAGGCACUAGGUGGAACAUAUAUAGUUGUUCGGUGUGCGUCACCGGCGAGCGUUGUAAACCUCCUUUUUCUGAGCCAUAUGGAUUUAAGUUUCUCAUAUUUAGCCUUAAGUUUCUUUCCCGUGAGCUCUAUGGAAGGGUCACAAAUUAUGCGUUCGACGUCUCCUCGUUCGAUCGAACGGUACACGUGAUUCUCCCGUGGCAGACAAGCGUUGCCUAAUUCCAAUUUUGAGCCCAAUCAUGUUAAGUUUAUCAAUCUUUUUACACUAAGUUUCUUUCUGAUUUUUGCGCCUUCCUUCAGCAUUUCCACGUGGUUAUUAAACCAACACCUCAUGAUAAGAGACCAUUAUGUAUAUUUCACAUCAGUACUCGUCGUUGCAAAAUCACUCAACAAAAAUGAACAUUGAUAUUUGCAACAUAUGGAUGCGUAGCUCAUUAAAACAAGGCACUAGGUGGAAUAUAUAUAGGUUUGCAGAACCGGUGAGCGUCAGAAACCUCCUCUUUUUGAGCCAUAUGGAGUUAAGUUUCUCAUAUUUAGCCCUAUGUUUCUUUCCCGUGAGCUCUAUGGAAGGGUGACGAAAUAUGUGUUCGCCGACUCUAUCGUGUUAAGUUUCUCAAUAUUACUGACUAAGUUUCUGUCUGAUUUUUGCGCCUAGGCAGGCUGCUCAUUUAAAUGAGGCACUAGGUGGAAUAUAUAUAGGUGUUCGGUGUACGUCGGCGGCGAGCGUUGUAAACCUCCUUUUUCUGAGCCAUAUGGAGUUAAGUUUCUCAUAUUUAGCCUUAAUUUCUUUCCCGUGAGCUCUACGGAAGGGUCACCAAAUUUGCGUUGGACGACUCCUUGUUCAACCAAACGGUACACGUGAUUCUCCCGCGGCAGACGAGCGUUGCCUAAUUCCAAUUUUGAGCCCUAUCAUGUUAAGUUUCUUAAUCUUCUUCACUAAGUUUGUUUCUGAUUUUUGCUCCCUUCAGCAUUUCCACAUGGUUAUUAAACCAACACCUCAUGAUAAGAGACCAUUCUUUAUAUUUGAGGUCCUUGCAAAAUCUCUCCACAAACAUGAGAGGAAUUCUUACUUGACGAAAAAAUCCAAUCCCAGCACUUCCCUUUCAUAAUAUAUUAGACCAUUUACUAGACAUAGAUACACGAUAGAAGAACAUAUCUGAUACGCCUAUGACAAGGCACUAGGUGCAAUUUUCUCAAAACAAGGCAAAAUCUCGCAACCAGUGCGAGCGGAGACGGAUUGUGAUCAAAUGGCGAUUGAUAUUUGCAGCAUAUGGAUGUGUAGCUCAUUAAAACCAGGCUCUAGGUGGAAUAUAUAUAGGUGUGCAUAACAGGUGAGCGUCGGAAACCUCCUCUUUUUGAGCGUAUGGACUUAAGUUUCUCAUAUUUACCCCUAAGUUUCUCACCCGUGAGCUCUACGGAAGAUUGACCAAAUAUGUGUUCGCCGACUCUAUCAUGUUAAGUUUCUCAAUCUUCUUCACUAAGUUUCUUUCUUAUUUUUGCGCCUAGGCAGGCUGCUCAUUUAAAUGAGGCACUAGGUGGAAUAUAUAUAGGUGUUCGGUGUGCAUCCCCGGCGAGCGUUAUAAACCUCCUUUUUCUGAGCCAUAUGGAGUUAAGUUUCUCAUAUUUAGCCUUAAGGUUCUUUCCGGUGAGCUCUACGGAAGGGUCACCACGUAUGCGUUCGACGUCUCCUCGUUUAUUCGAACGGUACACGUGAUUCUCCCGCGGCAAACGAGCGUUGUCUAAUUCCAAUUCCGAGCCCUAUCAUGUUAAGUUUAUCAAUUUUCUUCACUAAGUUUCUUUCUUAUUUUUGCGUCUUCCUUCAGCAUUUCCACAAGGUUGUUAAACAAACACCUCAUGAUAAGAGACCAUUAUGUAUACUUCAGGUCGGUACUCGUCGUUGCAAAAUCUCUCAACAAAAAUGACCAUUGAUAUUUGCAACAUAUGGAUGCGUAGCUCAUUAAAACAAAGCACUAGGUGGAAUAUAUAUAGGUGUGCGUAACUGGUGAGCAUCGGAAAGCUCCUCUUAUUGAGCCAUAUGGAGUUAAAUUUCUUAUAUUUACCCCUAAGUUUGUUUCCCGUGAGCUCUACUGAAGGGUACCCAAAUAUGUGUUCGCCGACUGUAUCAUUUUAAGUUUCUCAAUCUUCUGCACUAAGUUUCAUUCUGAUUUUGGCGCCUAGACAGGCUGCUCAUUUUAAAGAGGCACUAGGUGGAACAUAUAUAGUUGUUCGGUGUGCGUCACCGGCGAGCGUUGUAAACCUCCUUUUUCUGAGCCAUAUGGAUUUAAGUUUCUCAUAUUUAGCCUUAAGUUUCUUUCCCGUGAGCUCUAUGGAAGGGUCACAAAUUAUGCGUUCGACGUCUCCUCGUUCGAUCGAACGGUACACAUGAUUCUCCCGCGGCAGACAAGCGUUGCCUAAUUCCAAUUUUGAGCCCUAUCAUGUUAAGUUUAUCAAUCUUUUUACACUAAGUUUCUUUCUGAUUUUUGCGCCUUCCUUCAGCAUUUCCACGUGGUUAUUAAACCAACACCUCAUGAUAAGAGACCAUUAUGUAUAUUUCACGUCAGUACUCGUCGUUGCAAAAUCACUCAACAAAAAUGAACAUUGAUAUUUGCAACAUAUGGAUGCGUAGCUCAUUAAAACAAGGCACUAGGUGGAAUAUAUAUAGGUUUGCAGAACCGGUGAGCGUCAGAAACCUCCUCUUUUUGAGCCAUAUGGAGUUAAGUUUCUCAUAUUUAGCCCUAUGUUUCUUUCCCGUGAGCUCUAUGGAAGGGUGACGAAAUAUGUGUUCGCCGACUCUAUCGUGUUAAGUUUCUCAAUAUUACUGACUAAGUUUCUGUCUGAUUUUUGCGCCUAGGCAGGCUGCUCAUUUAAAUGAGGCACUAGGUGGAAUAUAUAUAGGUGUUCGGUGUACGUCGGCGGCGAGCGUUGUAAACCUCCUUUUUCUGAGCCAUAUGGAGUUAAGUUUCUCAUAUUUAGCCUUAAUUUCUUUCCCGUGAGCUCUACGGAAGGGUCACCAAAUUUGCGUUGGACGACUCCUUGUUCGACCAAACGGUACACGUGAUUCUCCCGCGGCAGACGAGCGUUGCCUAAUUCCAAUUUUGAGCCCUAUCAUGUUAAGUUUCUUAAUCUUCUUCACUAAGUUUGUUUCUGAUUUUUGCUCCCUUCAGCAUUUCCACAUGGUUAUUAAACCAACACCUCAUGAUAAGAGACCAUUGUUUAUAUUUCAGGUCCUUGCAAAAUCUCUCCACAAACAUGAGAGGAAUUCUUACCUGACGAAAAAAUCCAAUCCCAGCACUUCCCUUUCAUAAUAUAUUAGACCAUUUACUAGACAUAGAUACACGAUAGAAGAACAUAUCUGAUACGCCUAUGACAAGGCACUAGGUGCAAUUUUCUCAAAACGAGGCAAAAUCUCGCAACCAGUGCGAGCGGAGACGGAUUGUGAUCAAAUGGCAAUUGAUAUUUGCAGCAUAUGGAUGUGUAGCUCAUUAAAACCAGGCACUAGGUGGAAUAUAUAUAGGUGUGCAUAACAGGUGAGCGUCGGAAACGUCCUCUUUUUGAGCCAUAUGGACUUAAGUUUCUCAUAUUUACCCCUAAGUUUCUCACCCGUGAGCUCUACGGAAGGGUGACCAAAUAUGUGUUCGCCGACUCUAUCAUGUUAAGUUUCUCAAUCUUCUUCACUAAGUUUCUUUCUUAUUUUUGCACCUAGACAGGCUGCUCAUUUAAAUGAGGCACUAGGUGGAAUAUAUAUAGGUGUUCAGUGUGCAUCCCCUGCGAGCGUUAUAAACCUACUUUUUUUGAGCCAUAUGGAGUUAAGUUUCUCAUAUUUAGCCUUAAGUUUCUUUCGGUGAGCUCUACGGUAGGGUUACCACUUAUGCGUUCGACGUCUCCUCGUUUAUUCGAACGGUACACGUGAUUCCCCCGCGGCAAACGAGCAUUGCCUAAUUCCAAUUUUGAGCCCUAUCAUGUUAAGUUUAUCAAUUUUCUUCACUAAGUUUCUUUCUUAUUUUUGUGCCUUCCUUCAGCAUUUCCACAAGGUUAUUAAACAAACACCUCAUGAUAAGAGACCAUUAUGUAUACUUCAGGUCGGUACUCGUCGUUGCAAAAUCUCUCAACAAAAAUGACCAUUGAUAUUUGCAACAUAUGGAUGUGUAGCUCAUUAAAACGAAGCACUAGGUGGAAUAUAUAUAGGUAUGCGUAACUGGUGAGCAUCGGAAAGCUCCUCUUUUUGAGCCAUAUGGAGUUAAAUUUCUUAUAUUUACCCCUAAGUUUGUUUCCCGUGAGCUCUACUAAAGGGUAACCAAAUAUGUGUUCGCCGACUUUAUCAUUUUAAGUUUCUCAAUCUUCUUCACUAAGUUUCAUUCUGAUUUUCGCGCCUAGACAGGCUGCUCAUUUUAAAGAGGCACUAGGUGGAACAUAUAUAGGUGUUCGGUGUGCGUCACCGGCGAGCGUUGUAAACCUCCUUUUUCUGAGCCAUAUGGAGUUAAGUUUCUCAUAUUUAGCCUUAAGUUUCUUUCCCGUGAGCUCUAUGGAAUGGUCACAAAUUAUGCGUUCGACAUCUCCUCGUUCGAUCGAACGGUACACGUGAUUCUUCCGCGGCAGACGAGCGUUGCCUAAUUCCAAUUUUGAGCCCUAUCAUGUUAAGUUUAUCAAUCUUCUUCACUAAGUUUCUUUCUGAUUUUUGCGCCUUCCUUCAGCAUUUCCACGUGGUUAUUAAACCAACACCUCAUGAUAAGAGACCAUCAUGUAUACUUCAGGUCGGUACUCGUCGUUGCAAAAUCUCUCAACAAAAAUGACCAUUGAUAUUUGCAACAUAUGGAUGCGUAGCUCAUUAAAACGAAGCACUAGGUGGAAUAUAUAUAGGUAUGCGUAACUGGUGAGCAUCGGAAAGCUCCUCUUUUUGAGCCAUAUGGAGUUAAAUUUCUUAUAUUUACCCCUAAGUUUGUUUCCCGUGAGCUCUCCUGAAGGGUAACCAAAUAUGUGUUCGCCGACUGUAUCAUUUUAAGUUUCUCAAUCCUCUUCACUAAGUUUCAUUCUGAUUUUUGCGCCUAGACAUGCUGCUCAUUUUAAAGAGGCACUAGGUGGAACAUAUAUAGGUGUUUGGUGUGCGUCACCGGCGAGCGUUGUAAACCUCCUUUUUCUGAGCCAUAUGGAGUUAAGUUUCUCAUAUUUAGCCUUAAGUUUCUUUCCCGUGAGCUCUAUGGAAGGGUCACAAAUUAUGCGUUCGACGUCUCCUCGUUCGAUCGAACGGUACACGUGAUUCUCCCGCGGCAGACGAGCGUUGCCUAAUUCCAAUUUUGAGCCCUAUCAUGUUAAGUUUAUCAAUCUUCUUCACUAAGUUUCUUUCUGAUUUUUGCGCCUUCCUUCAGCAUUUCCACGUGGUUAUUAAACCAACACCUCAUGAUAAGAGACCAUUAUGUAUAUUUCAGGUCAGUACUCGUCGUUGCAAAAUCACUCAACAAAAAUGAACAUUGAUAUUUGCAACAUAUGGAUGGGUAGCUCAUUAAAACAAGGCACUAGGUGGAAUAUACAUAGGUUUGCAUAACCGGUGAGCGUCAGAAACCUCCUCUUUUUGAGCCAUAUGGAGUUACGUUUCUCAUAUUUAGCCCUAAGUUUCUUUCCCGUGAGCUCUAUGGAAGGGUGACGAAAUAUGCGUUCGCCGACUCUAUCAUGUUAAGUUUCUCAAUCUUCUUCACUAAGUUUCUUUCUUAUUUUUGCGCCUAGACAGGCUGCUCAUUUAAAUGAGGCACUAGGUGGAAUAUAUAUAGGUGUUCGGUGUGCAUCCCCGGCGAGCGUUAUAAACCUCCUUUUUCUGAGCCAUAUGGAGUUAAGUUUCUCAUAUUUAGCCUUAAGUUUCUUUCCGGUGAGCUCUACGGAAGGGUCACCACUUAUGCGUUCGACGUCUCCUCGUUUAUUCGAACGGUACACGUGAUUCUCCCGCAGCAAACGAGCGUCGUCUAAUUCCAAUUCCGAGCCCUAUCAUGUUAAGUUUAUCAAUUUUCUUCACUAAGUUUCUUUCUUAUUUUUGCGCCUUCCUUCAGCAUUUCCACAAGGUUAUUAAACAAACACCUCAUGAUAAGAGACCAUUAUGUAUACGUCAGGUCGGUACUCGUCGUUGCAAAAUCUCUCAACAAAAAUGACCAUUGAUAUUUGCAACAUAUGGAUGCGUAGCUCAUUAAAACGAAGCACUAGGCGGAAUAUAUAUAGGUGUGCGUAACUGGUGAGCAUCGGAAAGCUCCUCUUUUUGAGCCAUAUGGAGUUAAAUUUCUUAUAUUUACCCCUAAGUUUGUUUCCCGUGAGCUCUACUGAAGGGUAACCAAAUAUGUGUUCGCCGACUGUAUCAUUUUAAGUUUCUCAAUCUUCUUCACUAAGUAUCAUUCUGAUUUAUGCGCCUAGACAGGCUGCUCAUUUUAAAGAGGCACUAGGUGGAACAUAUAUAGGUGUUCGGUGUGCGUCACCGGCGAGCGUUGUAAACCUCCUUUUUCGGAGCCAUAUGGAGUUAAGUUUCUCAUAUUUAGCCUUAAGUUUCUUUCCCGUGAGCUCUAUGGAAGGGUCACAAAUUAUGCGUUCGACGUCUCCUCGUUCGAUCGAACGGGACACGUGAUUCUCCAGCGGCAGACGAGCGUUGCCUAAUUCCAAUUUUGAGCCCUAUCAUGUUAAGUUUAUCAAUCUUCUUCACUAAGUUUCUUUCUGAUUUUUGCGCCUUCCUUCAGCAUUUCCACGUGGUUAUUAAACCAACACCUCAUGAUAAGAGACCAUUAUGUAUAUUUCAGGUCGGCGCAACAUAUUUAUGCGUAGCUCAUUAAAACGAGGCACUAGGUGGAAUAUAUAUAGGUUUGCAUAACCGGUGAGCGUCGGAAACCUCCUUUUUGAGCCAUAUGGAGUUAAGUUUCUCAUAUUUACCCCUAAGUUUCUUUCCCGUGAGCUCUAUGGAAGGGUCACCAAAUUUGCGUUGGACGACUCCUCGUUCGACCGAACGGUUCACGUGAUUCUCCCGCCGCAGACGAGCGUCACCUAAUUCCAAUUUCCGGCCGUAUCAUGUUAAGUUUCUUAAUCUUCUUCACUAAGUUUCUUUCUCAUUUUUGUGCCCUUCAGUAUUUCCAACUGGUUAUUAAACCAACACCUCAUGAUAAGAGACCAUUGUUUAUAUUUCAGGUCCUUGCAAAAUCUCUCAACUAACAUAAGAGGAAUUCUUACCUCACAAAAAAUCCAAUCCUAGCACUUCCCUUUCAUAAUAUAUUAGACCAUUUAUUAGAAAUAGAUACAUGAUAGAAGAACAUAUCUGAUUCGCCUAUGACAAGGCACUAAGUGCAGUUUUCUCAAGACAAGGCAAAAUCUCUCAACCAGUGCCAGCGGAGAUGGAUGGUGAUCAAACGACCAUUGAUAUUUGCAACAUGUGGAUGCGUAGCUCAUUAAAACAAGGCACUAGGUGGAAUAUAUAUAGGUGUGCGUCACCGGCGAGCGUUGUAAAACUCCUUUUUCUAAGCCAUAUGGAGUUAAGUUUCUCAUAUUUAACCUUCAGUUUCUUUCUCGUGAGCUCUAUGGAAGGGUCACCAAUUAUGCGUUCGACGUCUCCUCGUUCGAUCGAACGGGACACGUGAUUCUCCAGCGGCAGACGAGCGUUGCCUAAUUCCAAUUUUGAGCCCUAUCAUGUUAAGUUUAUCAAUCUUCUUCACUAAGUUUCUUUCUGAUUUUUGCGCCUUCCUUCAGCAUUUCCACGUGGUUAUUAAACCAACACCUCAUGAUCAGAGACCAUUAUGUAUAUUUCAGGUCGGUACUCGUCGUUGCAAAAUCUCUCAACAAAAAUGAACAUUGAUAUUUGCAACAUAUUUAUGCGUAGCUCAUUAAAACGAGGCACUAGGUGGAAUAUAUAUAGGUUUGCAUAACCGGUGAGCGUCGGAAACCUCCUUUUUGAGCCAUAUGGAGUUAAGUUUCUCAUAUUUACCCCUAAGUUUCUUUCCCGUGAGCUCUAUGGAAGGGUCACCAAAUUUGCGUUGGACGACUCCUCGUUCGACCGAACGGUUCACGUGAUUCUCCCGCCGCAGACGAGCGUCACCUAAUUCCAAUUUCGAGCCGUAUCAUGUUAAGUUUCUUAAUCUUCUUCACUAAGUUUCUUUCUCAUUUUUGUGCCCUUCAGUAUUUCGAACUGGUUAUUAAACCAACACCUCAUGAUAAGAGACCAUUGUUUAUAUUUCAGGUCCUUGCAAAAUCUCUCAACUAACAUAAGAGGAAUUCUUACCUCACAAAAAAUCCAAUCCUAGCACUUCCCUUUCAUAAUAUAUUAGACCAUUUAUUAGACAUAGAUACAUGAUAGAAGAACAUAUCUGAUUCGCCUAUGACAAGGCACUAAGUGCAGUUUUCUCAAGACAAGGCAAAAUCUCUCAACCAGUGCCAGCGGAGAUGGAUGGUGAUCAAACGACCAUUGAUAUUUGCAACAUGUGGAUGCGUAAAUAAUUAAAACAAGGCACUAGGUGGAAUAUAUAUAGGUGUGCGUCACUGGCGAGCGUUGUAAAACUCCUUUUUCUAAGCCAUAUGGAGUUAAGUUUCUCAUAUUUAACCUUCAGUUUCUUUCCCGUGAGCUCUAUGGAAGGGUCACCAAUUAUGCGUUCGACGUCUCCUCGUUCGAUCGAACGGUACAUGUGAUUCUCCCGCGGCAGACGAGCGUUGCCUAAUUCCAAUUUUGAGCCCUAUCACGUUAAGUUUAUCAAUCUUCUUCAGUAAGUUUCUUUCUGAUUUUUGCGCCUUCCUUCAGCAUUUCCACAUGGUUAUUAAACUAACACCUCAUGAUAAGAGACCAUUAUGUAUAUUUCAGGUCGGUACUCGUCGUUGCAAAAUCUCUCAACAAAAAUGAACAUUCAUAUAUGCAACAUAUGGAUGCGUAGCUCAUUAAAACGAGGCACUAGGUGGAAUAUAUAUAGGUUUGCAUAACCGGUGAGCGUCGGAAACCUCCUCUUUUUGAGCCAUAUGGAGUUAAGUUUCUCAUAUUUACCCCUAAGUUUCUUUCUCGUGAGCCCUACGGAAGGGUCACCAAAUUUGCGUUGGACGACUCCCGCGGCAGACGAGCGUCACCUAAGUCCAAUUUCGAGCCGUAUCAUGUUAAGUUUCUUAAUCUUCUUCACUAAGUUUCUUUCUCAUUUUUGUGCCCUUCAGUAUUUCCAAAUGGUUAUUAAACCAACACCUCAUGAUAAGAGACCAUUGUUUAUAUUUCAGGUCCUUGCAAAAUCUCUCAACAAACAUAAGAGAAAUUCUUACCUCACAAAAAAAUCCAAUCCCAGCACUUCGCUUUCAUAAUAUAUUAGACCAUUUAUUAGACAUAGAUACAUGAUAGAAGAACAUAUCUGAUUCGCCUAUGACAAGGCACUAAGUGCAGUUUUCUCAAGACAAGGCAAAAUCUCUCAACCAGUGCCAGCGAAGAUGGAUGGUGAUCAAACGACCAUUGAUAUUUGCAACAUGUGGAUGCGUAGCUCAUUAAAACAAGGCACUAGGUGGAAUAUAUAUAGGUGUGCGUCACCGGCGAGCGUUGUAAACCUCCUUUUUCUAAGCCAUAUGGAGUUAAGUUUCUCAUAUUUAACCUUAAGUUUCUUUCUCGUGAGCUCUAUGGAAGGGUCACCAAUUAUGCGUUCGACGUCUCCUCGUUCGAUCGAACGGUACACGUGAUUCUCCCGUGGCAUACGAGCGUUGCCUAAUUCCAAUUUUGAGCCCUAUCAUGUUAAGUUUAUCAAUCUUCUUCACUAAGUUUCUUUCUUAUUUUUGCGCCGUCCUUCAGCAUUUCCACGUGGUUAUUAAACCAACACCUCAUGAUAAGAGACCAUUAUGUAUAUUUUAGGUCGGUACUCGUCGUUGCAAAAUCUCUCAACGAAAAUGAACGUUGAUAUUUGCAACAUAUGGAUGCGUAGCUCAUGAAAACGAGGCACUAGGUUGAAUAUAUAUAGGUUUGCAUAACCGGUGAGCGUCGGAAACCUCCUCUUUUUGAGCCAUAUGGAGUUAAGUUUCUCAUAUUUACCCCUAAGUUUCUUUCCCGUGAGCUCUACGGAAGGGUGACGAAAUAUGCGUUCGUUGACUCUAUCGUGUUAUGUUUGUCAAUCUUACUCACUAAGUUUAUGUCUGAUUUUUGCGCCUAGGCAGGCUGCUCAUUUAAAAGAGGCACUAGGUGGAAUAUAUAUCGGUGUUCGGUGUGCAUCGCCGGCGAGCGUUGUAAACCUCCUUUUUCUGAGCCACAUGGAGUUAAGUUUCUCAUAGUUAGCCUUAAUUUUCUUUCCCGUGAGCUCUACGGAAGGUUCACCAAAUUUACGUUGGACGACUCCUUGUUCGACCAAACGGUACACGUGAUUCUUCCGCGGCAGACGAGCGUUGCCUAAUUCCAAUUUUGAGCCCUAUCAUGUUAAGUUUCUUAAUUUUCUUCACUAAGUUUGUUUCUGAUUUUUGCGCCCUUCAGCAUUUCCACAUGGUUAUUAAACCAACACCUCAUGAUAAGAGACCAUUGUUUAUAUUUCAGGUCCUUGCAAAAUCUCUAAACAAACAUGAGAGGAAUUCUUACCUCACGAAAAAAUCCCAUCCCAGCACUUCCCGUUCAUAAUACAUUAGACCAUUUACUAGACAUAGAUACACGAUAGAAGAACAUAUCUGAUACGCCUAUGACAAGGCACUAGGUGCAAUUUUCUCAAGACAAGGCAAAAUCUCUCAACCAGUGCCAGCGGAGACGGACGGUGAUCAAAUGGCGAUUGAUAUUUGCAGCAUAUGAAUGUGUAUCUCAUUAAAACCAGGCACUAGGUGGAAUAUAUAUAGGUGUGCGUAACAGGUGAGCGUCGGAAACCUCCUCUUUUUGAGCCAUAUGGACUUAAGUAUCUCAUAUUUACCCCUAAGUUUCUCACCCGUGAGCUUUACAGAAGGGUGACCAAAUAUGUGUUCGCCGACUCUAUCAUGUUAAGUUUCUCAAUCUUCUUCACUAAGUUUCUUUCUUAUUUUUGUGCCUAGACAGGCUGCUCAUUUAAAUGAAGCACUAGGUGGAAUAUAUAUAGGUGUUCGGUGUGCGUCCCCGGCGAGCGUUGUAAACCUCCUUUUUCUGAGCCAUAUGAAGUUAAGUUUCUCAUAUUUAGCCUCAAGUUUCUUUCCGGUGAGCUCUACGGAAGGGUCACCAAUUAUGCGUUCGACAUCUCCUCGUUUGAUCGAACAGUACACGUGAUUCUCUCGCGGCAAACGAGCGUUGUCUAAUUACAAUUUCGAGCCCUAUCGUGUUAAGUUUAUCAAUCUUCUUCACUAUGUUUCUUUCUUAUUUUUGUGCCUUCCUUCAGCAUUUCCACAAGGUUAUUAAACAAACACCUCAUGAUAAGAGACCAUUAUGUAUACUUCAGGUCGGUACUCGUCGUUGCAAAAUCACUCAACAAAAAUGACCAUUGAUAUUUGCAACAUAUGGAUGCGUAGCUCAUUAAAACGAAGCACUAGGUGGAAUAUAUAUAGGUGUGCUUAACUGGUGAGCGUCGGAAACCUCCUUUUUUUGAGCCAUAUGGAGUUAAGUUUCCUAUAUUUACCCCUAAGUUUGUUUCCCGUGAGCUCUACGGAAGGGUAACCAAAUAUGUGUUCGCCGACUGUAUCAUGUUAAGUUUCUCAAUCUUCUUCACUAAGUUUCAUUCUGAUUUUUGCGCCUAGACAGGCUGCUUAUUUUAAAGAGGCACUAGGUGGAACAUAUAUAGGUGUUCGGUGUGCGCCACCGGCGAGCGUUGUAAACCUCCUUUUUCUGAGCCAUAUGGAGUUAAGUUUCUCAUAUUUAGCUUUAAGUUUCUUUCCCGUGAGCUCUAUGGAAGGGUCAGCAAUUAUGCGUUCGACGUCUCCUCGUUCGAUCGAACGGUACACGUGAUUCUCCCGCGGCAGACGAGCGUUGCCUAAUUCCAAUUUUGAGCCCUAUCAUGUUAAGUUUAUCAAUCUUCUUCACUAAGUUUCUUUCUGAUUUUUGCGCCUUCCUUCAGCAUUUCCACAUGGUUAUUAAACCAACACCUCAUGAUAAGAGACAAUUAUGUAUAUUUCAGGUCGGUACUCGUCGUUGCAAAAUCUCUCAACAAAAAUGAAGAUUGAUAUUUGCAACAUAUGGAUGCGUAGCUAAUUAAAACGAGGCACUAGGUGGAAUAUAUAUAGGUUUGCAUAACCGGUGAGCGUCGGAAACCUCCUCUUUUUGAGCCAUAUGGAGUUAAGUUUCCCAUAUUUACCCCUAAGUUUCUUUCCCGUGAGCUCUACGGAAGGGUCACCAAAUUUGCGUUGGACGACUCCUCGUUCGACCGAACGGUUCACGUGAUUCUCCCGCGGCAGACGAGCGUCACCUAAUUCCAAUUUCGAGCCGUAUCAUGUUAAGUUUCUUAAUCUUCUUCACUAAGUUUCUUUCUCAUUUUUGUGCCCUUCAGUAUUUCCAAAUGGUUAUUAAACCAACACCUCAUGAUAAGAGACCAUUGUUUAUAUUUCAGGUCCUUGCAAAAUCUCUCAAAAACAUAAGAGGAAUUCGUACCUCAGGAAAAAAAUCCAAUCCCAGCACUUCCCUUUCAUAAUAUAUUAGACCAUUUAUUAGACAUAGAUACAUGAUAGAAGAACAUAUCUGAUUCGCCUAUGACAAGGCACUAAGUGCAGUUUUCUCAAGACAAGGCAAAAUCUCUCAACCAGUGCCAGCGGAGAUGGAUGGUGAUCAAACGACCAUUGAUAUUUGCAGCAUGUGGAUGCGUAGCUUACUAAAACGAGGCACUAGGUGGAAUAUAUAUAGGUGUGCGUCACCGGCGAGCGUUGUAAACCUCCUUUUUCUAAGCCAUAUGGAGUUAUGUUUCUCAUAUUUAACCUUAAGUUUCUUUCCCGUUAGCCCUAUGGAAGGGUCACCAAUUAUGCGUUCGAUGUCUCCUCGUUCGAUCGAACGGUACACGUGAUUCUCCCGCGUCAGACGAGCGUUGCCUAAUUUCAUUUGAGCCCUAUCAUGUUAAGUUUAUCAAUCUUCUUCACUAAGUUUCUUUCUGAUUUUUGCGCCUUCCUUCAGCAUUUCCACGUGGUUAUUAAACCAACACCUAAUGAUAAGAGACCAUUAUGUAUAUUUCAGGUCGGUACUCGUCGUUGCAAAAUCUCUCAACAAAAAUGAACAUUGAUAUUUGCAACAUAUGGAUGCGUAGCUCAUUAAAACGAGGCACUAGGUGGAAUAUAUAUAGGUUUUCAUAACCGGUGAGCGUCGGAAACCUCCUCUUUUUGAGCCAUAUGGAGUUAAGUUUCUCAUAUUUACCCCUAAGUUUCUUUCUCGUGAGCUCUACGGAAGGGUGACGAAAUAUGCGUUCGUUGACUCUAUCGUGUUAUGUUUCUCAAUCUUACUCACUAAGUUUAUGUCUGAUUUUUGCGCCUAGGCAGGCUGCUCAUUUAAAAGAGGCACUAGGUGGAAUAUAUAUAGGUGUUCGGUGUGCAUCGCUGGCGACCGUUGUAAACAUCCUUUUUCUGAGCCACAUGGAGUUCAGUUUCUCAUAGUUAGCCUUAAUUUUCUUUCCCGUGAGCUCUACGGAAGGGUCACCAAAUUUGCGUUGGACGACUCCUUGUUCGACCAAACGGUACACGUGAUUCUGCCGCGGCAGACGAGCGUUGCCUAAUUCCAAUUUUGAGUCCUAUCAUGUUAAGUUUCUUAAUCUUCUUCACUAAGUUUGUUUCUGAUUUUUGCGCCCUUCAGCAUUUCCACAUGGUUAUUAAACCAACACCUCAUGAUACGACACCAUUGUUUAUAAUUCAGGUCCUUGCAAAAUCUCUCAACAAACAUGAGAGGAAUUCUUACCUCAUGAAAAAAUCCAAUCCCAGCACUUCCCUUUCAUAAUAUAUUAGACCAUUUACUAGACAUAGAUACACGAUAGAAGAACAUAUCUGAUACGCCUAUGACAAGGCACUAGGUGCAAUUAUCUCAAGACAAGGCAAAAUCUCUCAACCAGUGCCAGCGGAGACGGACGGUGAUCAAAUGGCGAUUGAUAUUUGCAGCAUAUGGAUGUGUAGCUCAUUAAAACCAGGCACUAGGUGGAAUAUAUAUAGGUGUGCGUAACAGGUGAGCGUCGGAAACCUCCUCUUUUUGAGCCAUAUGGUAUUAAGUUUCUCAUAUUUACCCCUAAGUUUCUCACCCGUGAGCUUUACAGAAGGGUGACCAAAUAUGUGUUCGCCGACUCUAUCAUGUUAAGUUUCUCAAUCUUCUUCACUAAGUUUCUUUCUUGUUUCGCCUAGACAGGCUGCUCAUUUAAAUGAAGCACUAGGUGGAAUAUAUAUAGGUGUUCGGUGUGCGUCCCCGGCGAGCGUUGUAAACCUCCUUUUUCUGAGCCAUAUGGAGUUAAGUUUCUCAUAUUUAGCCUUAAGUUUCUUUCCGGUGAGCUCUACGGAAGGGUCACCAAUUAUGCGUUCGACAUCUCCUCGUUCGAUCGAACGGUACACGUGAUUCUCCCGCGGCAAACGAGCGUUGUCUAAUUCCAAUUUCGAGCCUUAUCAUGUUAAGUUUAUCAAUCUUCUUCACUAAGUUUGUUUCUUAUUUUUGUGCCUUCCUUCAGCAUUUCCACAAGGUUAUUAAACAAACACCUCAUGAGAAGAGACCAUUAUGUAUACUUCAGGUCGGUACUCGUUGUUGCAAAAUCUCUCAACAAAAAUGACCAUUGAUAUUUGCAACAUAUGGAUGCGUAGCUCAUUAAAACGAAGGACUAGGUGGAAUAUAUAUUGGUGUGCGUAACUGGUGAGCGUCGGAAACCUCCCUUUUUUGAGCCAUAUGGAGUUAAGUUUCUUAUAUUUACCCCUAUGUUAGUUUCCCGUGAGCUCUACGGAAGGGUAACCAAAUAUGUGUUCGCCGACUGUAUCAUGUUAAGUUUCUCAAUCUUCUUCACUAAGUUUCAUUCUGAUUUUUGCGCCUAGACAGGCUGCUCAUUUUAAAGAGGCACUAGGUGGAACAUAUAUAGGUGUUCAGUGUGCGCCAUCGGCAAGCGUUGUAAACCUCCUUUUUCUGAGCCAUAUGGAGUUAAGUUUCUCAUAUUUAGCUUUAAGUUUCUUUCCCGUGAGCUCUAUGGAAGGGUCACCAAUUAUGCGUUCGACUUCUCCUCGUUCGAUCGAACGGUACAUGUGAUUCUCCCGCGGCAGACGAGCGUUGCCUAAUUCCAAUUUUGAGCCCUAUCAUGUUAAGUUUAUCAAUCUUCUUCACUAAGUUUCUUUUUGAUUUUUGCGCCUUCCUUCAGCAUUUCCACAUGGUUAUUAAACCAACACCUCAUGAUAAGAGACAAUUAUGUAUAUUUCAGGUCGGUACUCGUUGUUGCAAAAUCUCUGAACAAAAAUGAACAUUGAUAUUUGCAACAUAUGGAUGUGUAGCUAAUUAAAACGAGGCACUAGGUGGAAUAUAUAUAGGUUUGCAUAACCGGUGAGCGUCGGAAACCUCCUCUUUUUGAGCCAUAUGGAGUUAAGUUUCUCAUAUUUACCCCUAAGUUUCUUUCCCGUGAGCUCUACGGAAGGGUCACCUAAUUUGCGUUGGACGACCCCUCAUUCGACCGAACGGUUCACGUGAUUCUCCCGCGGCAGACGAGCGUUACCUAAUUCCAAUUUCGAGCCGUAUCAUGUUAAGUUUCUUAAUCUUCUUCACUAAGUUUCUUUCUGAUUUUUGUGCCCUCCAGUAUUUCCAAAUGGUUAUUAAACCAAAACCUCAUGAUAAGAGACCAUUGUUUAUAUUUCAGGUCCUUGCAAAAUGUCUCAACAAACAUGAGAGGAAUUCUUACCUCACGAAAAAAAUCCAAUCCCAGCACUUCCGUUUCAUAAUAUAUUCGACCAUUUAUUAGACAUAGAUACACGAUAGAAGAACAUAUCUGAUUCGCCUAUGACAAGACACUAAGUGCAGUUUUCUCAAGACAAGGCAAAUCUCUCAACCAGUGCCAGCGGAGACGGAUGGUGAUCAAACGACCAUUGAUAUUUGCAGCAUGUGGAUGUGUAGCUCAUUAAAACGAGGCACUAGGUGGAAUAUAUAUAGGUUUGCAUAACCGGUGAGCGUCGGAAACCUCCUCUUUUUGAGCCAUAUGGAGUCAAGUUUCUUAUAUUUACCCCAAAGUUUCUUUCCCGUGAGCUCUACGGAAGGGUGACGAAACAUGCGUUCGUUGACUCUAUGGUGUUAUGUUUCUCAAUCUUACUCAGUAAGUUUAUGUCUGAUUUUUGCGCCUAGGCAGGCUGCUCAUUUAAAAGAGGCACUUGGUGGAAUAUAUAUAGGUGUUCGGUGUGCAUCGCCGGCAAGCGUUGUAAACAUCCUUUUUCUGAGCCACAUGGAGUUAAGUUUCCAAUAGUUAGCCUUAAUUUUUUUUUCCCGUGAGCUCUACGGAAGGGUCACCAAAUUUGCGUUGGACGACUCCUUGUUCGACCAAACGGUACACGUGAUUCUCCCGCGGCAGACGAGCGUUGCCUAAUUCCAAUUUUGAGCCCUAUCAUGUUAAGUUUCUUAAUCUUCUUCACUAAGUUUGUUUCUGAUUUUUGCGCCCUUCAGCAUUUCCACAUGGUUAUUAAACCAACACCUCAUGAUAAGAGACCAUUGUUUAUAUUUCAGGUCCUUGCAAAAUCUCUCAACAAACAUCAGAGGAAUUCUUACCUCACGAAAAAAUCCAAUCCCAGCACUUCCCUUUCAUAAUAUAUUAGACCAUUUACUAGACAUAGAUACACGAUAGAAGAACAUAUCUGAUACGCCUAUGACAAGGCACUAGGUGCAAUUUUCUCAAGACAAGGCAAAAUCUCUCAACCAGUGCCAGCGGAGACGGACGGUGAUCAAAUGGCGAUUGAUAUUUGCAGCAUAUGGAUGUGUAGCUCAUUAAAACCAGGCAUUAGGUGGAAUAUAUAUAGGUGUGCGUAACAGGUGAGCGUCGGAAACCUCGUCUUUUUGAGCCAUAUGGACUUAAGUUUCUCAUAUUUACCCCUAAGUUUCUCACCCGUGAGCUUUACAGAAGGGUGACCAAAUAUGUGUUCGCCGACUCUAUCAUGUUAAGUUUCUCAAUCUUCUUCACUAAGUUUCUUUCUUAUUUUUGCGCCUAGACAGGCUGCUCAUUUAAAUGAAGCACUAGGUGGAAUAUAUAUAGGUGUUCGGUGUGCGUCCCCGGCGAGCGUUGUAAACCUCCUUUUUCUGAGCCAUAUGGAGUUAAGUUUCUCAUAUUUAGCCUUAAGUUUCUUUCCGGUGAGCUCUAGGGAAGGGUCACCAAUUAUGCGUUCGACAUCUCCUCGUUCGAUCGAACGGUACACGUGAUUCUCCGUGGCAAACGAGCGUUGUCUAAUUCCAAUUUCGAGCCCUAUCAUGUUAAGUUUAUCAAUCUUCUUCACUAAGUUUGUUUCUUAUUUUUGUAUCUUCCUUCAGCAUUUCCACAAGGUUAUUAAACAAACACCUCAUAAUAAGAGACCAUUAUGUAUACUUCAGGUCGGUACUCGUCGUUGCAAAAUCUCUCAACAAAAAUGACCAUUGAUAUUUGCAACAUAUGGAUGCGUAGCUCAUUAAAACGAAGCACUAGGUGGAAUAUAUAUAGUUGUGCGUAACUGGUGAGCGUCGGAAACCUCCUUUUUUUGAGCCAUAUGGAGUUAAGUUUCUUAUAUUUACCCCUAAGUUUGUUUCCCGUGAGCUCUAUGGAAGGGUAACCAAAUAUGUGUUCGCCGACUGUAUCAUGUUAAGUUUCUCAAUCUUCUUCACUAAGUUUCAUUCUGAUUUUUGCGCCUAGACAGGCUGCUCAUUUUAAAGAGGCACUAGGUGGAACAUAUAUAGGUGUUCGGUGUGCGCCAUCGGCGAGCGUUGUAAACCUCCUUUUUCUGAGCCAUAUGGAGUUAAGUUUCUCAUAUUUAGCUUUAAGUUUCUUUCCCGUGAGCUCUAUGGAAGGGUCACCAAUUAUGCGUUCGACGUCUCCUUGUUCGAUCGAACGGUACACGUGAUUCUCCCGCGGCAGACGAGCUUUGCCUAAUUCCAAUUUUGAGCCCUAUCAUGUUAUGUUUAUCAAUCUUCUUCACUAAGUUUCUUUUUGAUUUUUGCGCCUUCCUUCGGCAUUUCCACAUGGUUAUUAAACCAACACCUCAUGAUAAGAGACAAUUAUGUAUAUUUCAGGUCGGUACUCGUCGUUGCAAAAUCUCUCAACAAAAAUGAACAUUGAUAUUUGCAACAUAUGGAUGCGUAGCUAAUUAAUACGAGGCACUAGGUGGAAUAUAUAUAGGUUUGCAUAACCGGUGAGCGUCGGAAACCUCCUCUUUUUGAGCCAUAUGGAGUUAAGUUUCUCAUAUUUACCCCUAAGUUUCUUUCCCGUGAGCUCUACGGAAGGGUCACCAAAUUUGCGUUGGACGACUCCUCAUUCGACCGAACGGUUCACGUGAUUCUCCCGCGGUAGACGAGCGUUACCAAAUUCCAAUUUGGAGCCAUAUCAUGUUAAGUUUCUUAAUCUUCUUCACUAAGUUUCUUUCUGAUUUUUGUGCCCUCCAGUAUUUCCAAAUGGUUAUUAAACCAAAACCUCGUGAUAAGAGACCAUUGUUUAUAUUUCAGGUCCUUGCAAAAUGUCUCAACAAACAUGAGAGGAAUUCUUACCUCACGAAAAAAUCCAAUCCCAGCACUUCCCUUUCAUAAUAUAUUAGACCAUUUAUUAGACAUAGAUACACGAUAGAAGAACAUAUCUGAUUCGCGUAUGACAAGGCACUAAGUGCAGUUUUCUCAAGACAAGGCAAAAUCUCUCAACCAGUGCCAGCGGAGACGGAUGGUGAUCAAACGACCAUUGAUAUUUGCAGCAUUUGGAUGCGUAGCUCAUUAAAACGAGGCACUAGGUGGAAUAUAUAUAGAUGUGCGUAAUCGGUGAGCGUCGGAAACCUCCUCUUUUUGAGCCAUAUGGGGUUAAGUUUCUCAUAUUUACCCCUAAGUUUCUUUCCCGUGAACUCUACAGAAGGGUCACCAAUUAUGCGUUCGACGUCUCCUCGUUCGAUCGAAUGGUAUACAUGAUUGUCCCGCGGCAGAUGAGCGCUGCCUACUUCCAAUUUCGAGCCUUAUCAUGUUAAGUUUAUCAAUCUUAAUCACCAAGUUUCUUUCUGAUUUUUGCAAAUUCCUUCACCAUUUCCACAUGGUUAUUAAACCAACACCUCAUGAUAAGAGACCAUUAUGUAUAUUUCAGGUCGGUACUCGUCGUUGCAAAAUCUCUCAACAAAAAUGACCAUUGAUAUUUGCAACAUAUGGACGCGUAGCUCAUUAAAACGAGGCACUAGGUGGAAUAUAUAUAGGUGUGCGUAACCGGUGAGCAUCGGAAACCUCUUCUUUUUGAGCCAUAUGGAGUUAAGUUUCUCAUAUUUACCCCUAAGUUUCUUUCUAGUGAGCUCUACCGAAGGGUGACGAAAUAUGCGUUCGUCGACUCUAUCGUGUUAUGUUUCUCAAUCUUACUCACUAAGUUUAUGUCUGAUUUUUGCGCCUAGGCAGGCUGCUCAUUUAAAUGAGGCACUAGGUGGAAUAUAUAUAGGUGUUCGGUGUGCAUCACCGGCGAGCGUUGUAAACCUCCUUUUUCUGAGCCACAUAGAGUUAAGUUUCUAAUAGUUAGCCUUAAUUUUCUUUCCCGUGAGCUCUACGGAAGGGUCAGCAAAUUUGCGUUGGACGACUCCUCAUUCGACCGAAUUGUACACGUGAAUCUCCCACGGCAAACGAGCAUUGCCUAAUUCCAAUUUCGAGCUCUAUCAUGUUAAGUUUCUUAAUCUUCUUCACUAAGUUUCUUUCUGAUUUUUGCGCCCUUCAGCAUUUCCACAUCGUUAUUAAACCAACACCUCAUGAUAAGAGACCAUCGUUUAUAUUGCAGAUCCUUGCAAAAUCUCUCAACAAACAUGAGAGGAAUUCUUACCUCACGAAAAAAUCCAAUCCCAGCACUUCCCUUUCAUAAUAUAUUAGACCAUUUAUUAGACAUAGAUACACGAUAGAAGAACAUAUCUGAUUGGCCUAUGACAAGGCACUAGGUCCAAUUUUCUCAAGACAAGGCAAAAUCUCUCAACCAAUGCCAGCGGAGACGGAUGGUGAUCAAAUGACCUUUGAUAUUUGCAGCAUAUGAAUGUGUAGCUCAUUAAAAGGAGGCACUAGGUGGAAUAUAUAUAGGUGUGCGUAAUCGGUGAGCGUCGGAGACCUCCUCCUUUUGAGCCAUAUGGAGUUAAGUUUCUCAUAUUUACCCCUAAGUUUCUUUCCCGUGAGCUCUACGGAAGGGUGACGAAAUAUUCGUUCGCUGACUCUAUCAUGAUAAGUUUCUCAAUCUUACUCACCAAGUUUUUGUCUAAUUUUUGCGCCUAGGCAGGCUGCUCAUUUAAAUGAGGCACUAGGUGGAAUAUAUAUAGGUGUUCGGUGUGCAUCACCGGCGAGCGUUGUAAACCUCCUUUUUCUGAGCCAUAUGGAGUUAAGUUUCUCAUAUUUAGCCUUAAGUUUCUUUCCCGUGAGCUCUACGGAAGGGUCACUGAGAGUGUCCUGGAUUAAGGUGUCCUCGGACAACCGGACUAUAUACUUUCGCCGGACUGUUGGACUAUGAAGAUACAAGAUAGAAGACUUCGUCCCGUGUCCGGAUGGGACUCUCCUUUGCGUGGAAGGCAAGCUUGGCGAUUCGGAUAUGUAGAUUUCAUUCUCUGUAACUGACUCUGUGUAACCCUAGCCCCCUCCGGUGUCUACAUAAACCGGAGGGUUUAGUCCGUAGGACGAGAAGAACAAUCAUAAUCAUAGGCUAGCCUCUAGGGUUAGCCUCCUCGAUCUUGUGGUAGAUCAACCCUUGUAAUACUCAUAUCAUCAAGAUCAAUCAAGUAGGAAGUAGAGUAUUACCUCCAUAGAGAGGGCCCGAACCUGGCUAAACAUCGUGUCCCCCGCCUCCUGUUACCAUUAGCCUUAGACGCAUAGUUCGGGACCCCCUACCCGAGAUCUGCUAGUUUUGACACCGACAUUGGUGCUUUCAUUGAGAGUUCCACUGUGUCGUCACCAUAAGGCUCCAUGGCUCCUUCAAUCGUCUACAGCGAUGUGAUCCAGGGUGAGGUUUUCCUCACCAGAAAAAUCUUCGUAUUCGGCGGCUUCGCACUGCGGGCUAACUCGCUUGGCCAUCUGGAGCAGAUCGAUAGCUACGCCCCUGGCCAUCAGGUCAGGUUUGGAAGUUUGAAUUACAUCGCCGACAUCCGCGGAGACUUGAUCUUCGACGGAUUCAAACCCACGACAGCCGCUCCCUGCAGCCACGAUGAACAUGACUCAAAUAUCUCAUCGGACUACGCUCAGGAGACCGCGCCUGUGACUGCCCUGGCCCUUGAUCUAGAACAGAUCGCGCCGUCCGUGGAUGGGGGCUGGACCCCACCAUGGAGGCCGCAUACUCUAUGGCGUUGGAGCCGAACACAGAUUCAGCCUCUAUCGAGGCCUGUGCCAUUGGACCCUCGGACUCGUCUCCGGAUAUAGUUUCAGAACUGCGUGUGUCCACGCCCGUCGAAUCUUAUCGGGCACCGAUCUUGGAGUUUACCUCCGCGGACAUCUUUCAACACUCGCCCUUGGGCGAUGUGUUAAAUUCAUUAAGAUCUCUCUCCUUGUCAGGAGAUUCUUGGCUGAACUAUGUCCGGCUUGAGUGGGAAACGGACGACAAAGAAUUUCGCUGCCCACCCACCACCCACUUGAUAGGCACUGUCAAUGACUUGACCGACAUGCUUGACUUCGACUCCGACGACAUCGACGGUAUGGACGACGAUGCGGGAGAAGAAGAGGACCGCCCAUAGGGCGCUGGACAGCCACCUUGUCAUUUGACAUUUACAUGGUGGAUACCCCCAAAGAAGACAAUGGCGAGGACAAAAAGGACCCAGUUGAGGAUAAGCCUCCUGAGAAGCAGCCGAAGCGCCGACGUCGGCGGCGCCGUUCUAAACCAUGCCAUGGUAAAAAUAGCAAUACCGGCACAGGAGAUAAUACCCCGGAUAAUCCUGAAAACAAUGAACACCCCGCAGACCCAGCCAUGAAGCAGGACGAGCAGGGAGACGGCAAACACAGUCCGGGGCCGCUGUCCGAUCACAGCGAUGCCAAAGACACCACUUAUCAACCUAUCUCCGAAGAAGAGGACAGUCCGGAUGAUGACACAUUCAUCAUCCCUGAUACACAAGUGGAGCGAGAACGCCUCCACAAGAGACUUAUCGCCACUGCUAGGAGCUUGAAUAAGCAGAAGCAACGGCUUAAAGCCGCACAGGAUAUGCUCGAUGACAAAUAGAACGAAGUUCUCGACACUAAGGAAAAAUACGACGGCAAUCGCCAAACGAAGAGCUAUCCCAAACGUAAACUGCUGCCCGAAUUCGACGAUGAGGCUAUAGCGCCCAUACCGCCGAAUAACCGUACGGACGACCAACAGGACCGACCACCUUGUGGUUGAGACAGAGCAGCUAAUAAUGCCGCACACAAAUCCGCACCCCCGCUCCAUAACGAAAGGGAGGUAGCGACCCAGAACUAGCAACACGAUUUACGUGAGGACUUGGAUAAAAGGGCUGGCAUAACAAGGUCCAUUUAUGGGUCUCGAGAUCGUGACCACCAAAACAAAUAUGCCGGCCGCUCUCCAGUUCGGAACCAACACCGAACACUACAACCGUCGGACUCACUCCACGACAUAACCAAAUACAGGGGCGCUGCGCACCCACUGUACUUCACCGAUGAGGUGCUGGAUCAUGAAUUUCCAGCAGGGUUUAAACCCGUAAACAUUGAGGCAUACGACGAAACGACAGACCCUGCAGUCUGGAUAGAGGACUUUAUUCUUCAUAUCCAUAUGGCACGCGGAGAUGAUCUCCACGCCAUCAAAUACUUACCCCUCAAGCUUAAGGGACCAGCUCGGUACUGGUUGAAAAGCCUCCCUGAAAAUUCUAUCGGAAGCUGGGAGGAGCUCGAGGACGAUUUCAGGGCAAAUUUUCAAGGGACUUAUGUCCGACCUCCCGACGCAGACGAUCUCAGUCAUAUAGCCAACAACCCGGAGAGUCCGCCCGUAAGCUUUGGAAUAGAUUUCUGACCAAGAAAAACCAAAUCGUCAACUGUCCGGAUGCCGAAGCUUUAGCAGCUUUCGAACACAGUAUUCGGGACGAAUGGCUUCCCAGACACCUCGGCCAAGAAAAGCCCAGGACAAUGGCAGCCUUAACCACCCUCAUGACCCGCUUUUGUGCAGGCGAGGAUAGCUGGUUGGCCCGUAGCAGCACGAGCGACCCAGGCACACCCGAAAUCAGGGAUGGCAACGGAAAACCACGACGCAAUAAAAACAAACGUCGCAACAAUGAAGUCAGCCCAGCAAAUACAGCGGUAAACGCCGGAUUCAGGGGCUCCAAACAGGUCAACGGAAAAAGACAUUUAAAGGCAGCCGAGAAGGUCCAUCCAGCUUGACAAAAUUCUCGACAGGCCCAGCCAGAUUCAUGGCACCCCCGAUAAGCCAUCUAACCACACCAAUAGAGAAUGUUGGGUCUUUAAACAGGCCGGCAAGCUCAACGCCAAACACAAGGGGAAGGGGUCGCUAAGUGAAGACGAGGAUGAAUCCCGCCAACCGAACACAGGUGGAUAGAAAAAAUCCAACCGGAGGUUAAAACAGUGAACAUGAUUUACAUCACUCAUAUCCCAAAAAGGGAGCGCAAACACGCACUCCGAGACGUAUACGCUAUAGAGCCCGUCAUCCCCAAAUUCAACCCAUGGUCGGCCUGUCCGAUCACUUUCGAUCGCAGGGAUCAUCCGACUAGUAUUCGUCACGGGGGUUCGGCCACCUUAGUGCUCGACCUGAUAAUCGACGGAUACCACCUCACCCGAGUCCUCAUGGACGGCGGCAGCAGUCUCAAUCUGAUAUAUCAGGACACUGUUCGCAAGAUGGAGAUAGACCCAUCAAGAAUUAUGCAAAGCAACACUACCUUUAAAGGAGUGAUACCAGGUGCCGAGGCCCGCAGCAGUGGCUCCCUUACGUUGGAAGUUGUAUUCGGUUCUCCGGAUAACUUUUGAAGCGUAGAACUAAUCUCCGAUAUUGCUCUGUUCCGUAGCAGUUACCAUGCACUACUUGGAAGAACGGCAUUCGCCCGCUUCAAUGCAGUCCCGCAUUACGCUUAUCUUAAACUUAAGAUGCCCGGUCCACGUGGCGUCAUCACAAUCAGCGGAAACACGGAGCGUUCCCUUCGAAUAGAAGAAUACAUCGCGGCUCUAGUAGCCGAAUCAUGGAGUGACCUCUGCAAAAUAAGCAACUCAUCGGUUUUCGAAACAGCGGACACAGUUAGACGUGUUCGGCGCACACCUAGGUGUAGCAGCUCAGAUAAACCUGAGCUUGAUUAGCGGCUAUACUCCCACAAAAACAAGAAGACUAUACAUGCCUCCCCGUAUAUGUAAAAUAGGGCUUCAAAACCCCCUGUGUGGUGUGUGGGGUGCUACGUCUUGAGCUUGCGUUGGUUUUCCUUGAAGAGGAAAGGGUGAUGCAGCAAUAGUAGCGUAAGUAUUUCCCUCAGUUUUUGAGAACCAAGGUAUCAAUCCAGUAGGAGGCUCCUCAAAAGUCCCACACACCUACACAAACAAACAAAGAACUCGCAACCAACGCAAUAAAGGGGUUGUCAAUCCCUUCAUGGCCACUUGUGAAAGUGAGAUAUGAUAGAGAUAGUAUGAUAAGAUAAAUAUAUUUUUGGUAUUUUAUAAUAUAGAUGCAAAAAGUAAAGAUGCAAAUAAAAGUAGAUUGAAAGCUUAUAUGAUAAAAGAUAGACCCGGGGGCCAUAGGUUUCACUAGUGGCUUCUCUCAAGAUAGCAUAAGUAUUACGGUGGGUGAACAAAUUACUGCCGAGCAAUUGAUAGAAAAGCGAAUAAUUAUGAGAUUAUCUAGGCAUGAUCAUGUAUAUAGGCAUCACGUCCGUGACAAGUAGACCGACUCCUGCCUGCAUCUACUACUAUUACUCCACACAACGGCCGCUAUCCUGCAUGCAUCUAGAGUAUUAAGUUCAUAAGAAUAGAGUAACGCAUUAAGAAAGAUGACAUGAUGUAGAGGGAUAAACUCAAGCAAUAUGAUAUAAACCCCAUCUUUUUAUCCUCGAUGGGAACAAUACAAUAUGUGCCUUGCAACCCUUUCUGUCAACUGGGUAAGGACACCACAAGAUUGAACUCAAAGGUAAGCACUUCUCCCAUUGCAAGAAAGAUCAAUCUAGUAGGCCAAACCAAACUGAUAAUUCGAAGAUACUUGCAAAGGUAACUCAAUCAUACAUAAAAGAAUUCAGAGAAGAUUCAAAUAUUUCUCAUAGAUAAACUUGAUCAUAAACCCACAAUUCAUCGGAUCUCGACAAACACACCGCAAAAAGAGUUUACAUCGAAUAGAUCACCACAAGAGAGGGGGAGAACAUUGUAUUGAGAUCCAAAAAGAGAGAAGAAGCCAUCUAGCUAAUAACUAUGGACCCAAAGGUCUGUGGUAAACUACUCACAACUCAUCGGAGGGGCUAUGGUGUUGAUGUAGAAGCCCUCCGUGGUCGAUUCCCCCUCCGGCGGAGCGCCUACGAAGGCUCCAAGAUGGGAUCUCGCGGAUACAGAAGGUUACGGCGGUGGAAAUUGUGUUUCGGUGGCUCCCUGGAUGUUUUCGGGGUACGUAGGUAUAUAUAGGAGGAAGAAGUACGUCGGUGGCCGCUCGUGGGGCCCAGGAGACAGGGGGCGCGCCCAGGAGGGUUGGGCGCCCCUCCUAUCUCCUGGCCGCCUUGAUUGCUUCUUGACUUGCACUCCAAGUCCUCUGGAUCACGUUCGUUCCAAAAAUCAUUCUCCCGAAGGUUUCAUACCGUUUGGAAUCCGUUUGAUAUUCCUUUUCUUUGAAAUACUGAAAUAAGCAAAAACACAACAAUAUGGGCUGGGCCUCCGGUUAGUAGGUUAGUCCCAAAAAUGAUAUAAAUGUGUAAAAUAAAGCCCAUAAACAUCCAAAAUAGGUAAUAUAAUAGCAUGGAACAAUAAAAAAUUAUAGAUACGUUGGAGACGUAUCAUGGGGCCGCACACAUAUAAAAGGUCCAUAGUUCGGCUUGAUCCUAUUCGGACUCAAAAAAUUAUAUCUUCAUGGUUCUUUAAAAAAAACCAAUUCUACUCACGAUCACACCAGAUCCGGUCACCUGGUUCUUUUUUUAUUUUAGGUGGCCACCACUCUUUACCCCUCAAGGACAGAGGCGCAACGGAGAUAAAGGCGCAGACAUGCAGCAGGGCCCCGUUCUAAGGUUUCUUUUUAGAUUAAGCCCCUACGUAAACCAUUUUUACUAUCUUUUGUUGUUUUCAUAUCCUCUUGGCUCUUAAAAUGACCCACAAGGAUGUCGGCGUUAUCGUCACGCCGAAUAGACCAGUACCUUGAAAUCCAGGGUUUUAUUACCAGGGGCUGUCAUUUAGCCCAGUAUAUUUUGUAAAGACCGAAUACCUUCGGGAGUCUUCGGCGUCGCGAGUUUGACCCUAUAUGCAUCAGCUCCGAAUCAUGACUUUGGUCAAAUGUUGGGUUUGCCCGGCUCCCGCGUUUUGCUACCUUACGUUCCGCACCAUCAGCUAAGGAAGCACGGGGAGAACUACUGCGAUUGUGCCCUGGUUCAUCCGGACGAGCGCCUCAGUAGAGAAAGCCGAAAACUGAAUGUCAUGAUACAGCGAGAGACUGGUCAACCACUCGAUGACUCAACAGAAUCCUCGAGAUUUCUCCGCAUUAACGAAAACCUGUUUUCCGGUCACGUAUGUAAACGCACCAUUUUCGGAUAAAACGAGGACAUAUCAGGGGCUAUGUAGUAGCCCGACCAUCAAACUCCUAUGGCUAAGUGAAAGUGUUAAAGCUUUAUAGUCUGAUUGCCUUGUUCGCCGCACUAUCACCUCCUCAAAUGGACCAAGACGUUGGAUCAAGUGUGACUACGUGCUUUUGUCGAACACCCACGCGUUAUUCGCAAAGGGGUUGAAGCUGACGACUGCAAUCUUUCAGGUUAUAUGCAUAUAUACAUAGACGGCCGCACAGGAGGCACUAAAAUACUUUACGGGCAAAAGUACAAAUAUAGACUUUAUUAUCAAAAAGCAUUGUCUUUACAAUUCAGAUAUAUAUCAUUCGAACAUGAUAGUCUUCGAGCACUGAGCCUCGAUCAGGCUGGCACCCUCUAAGACCUCCUCAAAAUAGUGCUCCGGCAGGUCUUGGCCCCCGGUCGGACCCUGUUUUGCAAUACCGGUGGCCUCCAUCCCCGCCCAGUACUUUUUAAUGCGGGCGAGGGCCAUCCGCGCACCCUCCAUGCAUGCCGACCGCUUGAUAGUGGCGAUAUGCGGCACAGCACGAAUAAAUCGUUUCACCAAACCAAAAUAACUACUCAGGCCUUGUUCCCCCAACCACAAGCAGUCCACGACAGCCUUCAUGGCAAGUCCGGAUAACCUAUGGAGCUCAGCCCAUUCGGCCAUCUACUCGUUUAUCAGCAGCGGAUGCUUUGGCGUGCUGAACUGCGACCAGAACAGUCUUUCCACUUCAUGAUCUUCUUGGUCCUGGCAGAACUGCGUCGCAUCGGUGGCACUCUUUGACAAGUCCAAAUACGCGUCUUGAGAACUCCACAGUGAUCAAGGGGGGCAUACUUCGGAUCGCCGAACUUAGUUCACAAUAAAAACGGCUUCCCAGCCGCGAUCUCGCCGGCUAGCCGGAGCUCCUCCCGAGCUGCUCUGACCUCAGAUCGAGUCUCUUUUGCCGUUUGCAAGGCCUUUAGUAGGUCCUCCGUUUUGUCUUGGCUCUCCGUCUUGAGCAGCUCAUAACGGUUAGCGGCAUCCUUCAGAUCAAGAGCCAUAUUGGCUAUUUUUUCCUCACUUCGGUGAUGAGCAGCCUGUUCGGCUUUCAAUUCACUCACUGCCUUUCCGGCAGCCGCAUCGCUUACUCUGGCUUGUUCCUUAGUACGCGCAAGCUCAGCCCGAAGAGUCUCCACGGCGGCUGCACCAUCUGCAGACAGAGCAUAUUGUAAGUUCCAGUGUCAUACUGUCAUACAUACUUGCUGACCACCCAGAAGACACACCUUGCGCCUCGUCAAGACACUUAUUCACGAGCGUGAUGUCCUCAUCCGCCGCAUCAAGUUGCCGCUUCAAUUCGGCAAAUUCGUCAACCCGCGCAGUUGUUGGGACUGCAGCCGCCUGUGUACAAAAUUGGCAAAAUCCUGUCCUGAGAUCAUUGAUAUUUUUUGGUCCUCUGAUCGGUCCAUUCGGAUAGCAACCAGAGUCUCAGGGGCUACUAUGUACACACAGUGCAACUUGCGUUCUACAAUACACACUAACAAUAAGUUGCCACCUUACGUACCUCGAAGCCUCUUAACAGGCUCAUGAAGGCUUCAUCCUGUCCGCUUUUCGCGGACGAAAUUCUUUUAAUCACCAUACCCAUUAAGGUACGAUGUUCCUCUGAAACAGGCGCUUCCCGCAGAAGACCCAUCAACGUAUCCGGCUGUGCGUCGGACAGUCCGGGGCUUUUGUCUACGGUCUUUUUAGGAGCUGAACACCCCAGACCUCGGGCGGCUGAAGAUUCACCUUCUGGCCUCGUUCUAUUUUGGGGAUCGGGAGAGAUCCUCCGAGACGACACUUCGGGGUCGUCCUCCUUAUGGGGCGGGGAAGUAUGAGGAGACGGCUCGCUCUCCAUCAUCUCCGGAAGAAGAUCCCCCGAGGACGAAGAUUGUUGCGGAAGGCUAUAGGCUGGACUGCCAAACAUACGUUCCAGAUAUUACUAUCAUAAACAGGAGAAGAACGGGGUAGGCUUACAGAGCACCCUUGUUCACUUACAUCUGGGCUAGCGGCUGGUCCCCUUGAGGGCGCUGUUCGGCAACGUUGCUCCCCGAGACAGGGCCCCCUGAUAGGGAUUUCUUCCCUUGCUUGGAGGCCUCCACGUUCAAGUCUUCGGGGGCGGCCCUUUUCUUCCCGCGGAGGUAGGGAGUAUUUGAUUACCCUCUCCGUUUACUCUCCGACACGGGAGUUCCAAUUUCUCCGGAUACAGUACGUAAUGUACCACCUCUAUGGAGGCCACUUUUGACCUCCCCGCUCCCCUCCUUGUCUUCCCCCUAUGGCACUUGAUGUGGUGCACGAGCCAGCAUCCUGGUUAACACCGGAUCCGCUGAGUCUUCGGGAAGAGGCGCCGAACACCUCAUCCUCUCUGCCUUCUGUAUCCAACCCUGGCCGAGGAUGAUUUUCAGGAUAACAUUAUGAUAAAUAUAAUGACAACGUGUUCGGUUACGGGGUGCUCACCGGGGUAUCUGGAUGGUUGCAGUCAAGGCAUGCGUCUUCCGUGGUGUCCGGACACUUCAUUCAUGAUCCAAAGAAUGAUUUAUACAUCCCUUCGAGCGUGAUGCUGAAGAAGUGCUGAACGGUUCGCGGUCCUUCCGUAUUGAACACCCACAUGCGAAGAGGUUGUCGUUGGCAUGGCAGGACCCGUCAAACUAGGAUUACCUAAAUCACCUUUACAAGACCAAUAUCCUUCUCGAUAAGAUCUCGGAUGCGGCUUUGCACCGUCCGCACAUCGUCAGCCGGCCCCCAGUCCAGCCCCUUGUUGACCCAUGAUGCAAGUUAUGGUGGAGGGCCCGAGCGAAAGCAGGAGCAGCCGCACACUUUUUUCCUUGGGGAGCUAUGAUGUAAAACCACUCCCGUUGCCACAGGUCGGAAACCUCUAGGAAGGAACCCUUUGGCAAUAAAGCGUUGGCACAUUUGCUUAUUUUUGCCCCUCCGCACUCCGCGUGUUUCCCAUUGAGCAUCUUCGAUGUUACGUUAAAGGUUUUAAGCCAUAAGUCAAAGUGUGGAACAAUGCAGAGGAAGGCCUCGCACACGAUGAUGAAGGACGAGAUGUGAAGGAAGGAAUCCAGAGCUGGAUCAUGAAAAUCUAGCCCAUAAUAGAACAUGAGCCCUCUAACGAAGGGAUGAAGACUAAGGCCUAGCCCUCGGAGGAAGUGAGAGAUACACACAACACUCUCGUCGGACAUGGGAGUAGGGAUAACCUGCUCUGAGCAGGAAGCCUGUGGGGAAUUUCCGCUGUGACGGAGGAGGCCAUCCACUAGCCUUGAAGGCUGGAUCCGGACAUGGUCGGAAGUUUGGAGCGUUUUGGCUGAAGCCUUGGGUGUUGGCACUCGAGGUGGGAGAAGGAGAGGAUUAAGCGUAGAGGGAAAAGACAGGCCUUGAUCUCUUUAUAAAGAGGAUGAAUACCAAACGUCCUCGCGUGGCCUUUUGGAAACUUACCUAUUCUCAAGGAAUCCUAUCCAUGGAACGGUUGGGUUACCCACGCCCGUAUUGAUGAGAAUCCCACGAUAAUAGGACACGAUCUCUGCUUCUACAAGACGUGCCAAUAAAGCCGCCUCGUGCAACGUGUCGUGGCAGGCUGAUAAAACGGUUCGGAUAAAAAUUGGGCCAUGGUGUGAUGUCACGCUGUGAAUAAACUGUCAGCAGAUUAGAUUCCUGAAAUAUUAUACUCUCUACGAUGGUAUGUGGAAUUUGGUUUUGCAGAUCUGGACAUGAUUCUUGUGUUCAAGAUCUACUUUGGAGUAUUCGGAGAAGGAACCCACCUUGCAAUGCCGAAGACAAUCUGCGCGGGGGACUCAAUCGUCAUUGAAGCCUGGUUCAGGGGCUAUUGAGGGAGUCCUGGAUUAAGGGGUCCUCGGACAGCCGGACUAUAUACUUUGGACGGAUGUGACAGCCUGGAUUUUGCCUUCUCUCUUUUUACCGGACUUGCCUUCUCUCUCUUUCCGGACUUGGUUUUCAUCAUGGUUUUUGCCCUGAUUAGAUUUGGACUUUUGGAUCAAUUCAAAUGAACUUGUCACUUGGGCAUAUCCUUGGCUUUCACCCAAGUGACUUAUCCACCUUAUCCCUCCCACAAAUUCCCAAAAUAAUAAAAUGAAUAUUUUUCCUUUAAGGAAAAUAUUACUUUUUCUCUCUUAAGUUCAUUUCAGAACUUUGUGCUCCAAAGCAACCUCAAUUUUUCUUGCUCAGAAAAAUCUGAGAUAAUUCCUAAAUAUUCUUAGGACCAUGAAACAUCUUCCCAUGCAAAAAUAUUGCAUCACUUUUUGUAAUAUUUUUGCUGUAGAAAAUCUUUUCACUUCUAGGCCUCAAAUGCAUUUUGUACAGCAAGUGCAUUUUUCUGUAAGCUUUUUGCCUUGAUCUUUCUUGAGAUUAAACACCCUCCUAAGAAACCCUAAACCCCAGGAGAUCAGCCCUAAUGUAUAGAAACUUGUCAGCUAAGUGGCGUCACUUCUGGUCGACCUGGGCAUGAGCCAUCAACUCCCCUAGACUAAACGUUGCACGGUCGAGAGCGUAGACAAGGUUUGGCCGCUCCUGGGCAUCGUUUUGACCAUGCCAUCUUGGUGACCACGCAUGGACACGGUGCCUGGCAUGCGUCUCGACAUGCUCUGGCUGGCGCUUUGCUUUCUGUUUCGUGCGUGUGCAUGCUAGCGCUCGCCUCCGACUACCGCAACGUGCCACAACCCUCGACCCAUCACCCAUGACCCCUCCCUGGCGCUCGCCGAUGCCGGAGCCGCCGCAGCAAGACCAGUCUGGUCGCGGCCAAAAUGGCACAGUGCGUGCGUGUGCUUGUCCCCAUCUAAAAACCGCCUCCUGUGCUCGUCCGCGAGUGUGGGCAAGCGCUGGCGUUGACGCUGCACCCCGUCCCCUCGCGUUGGAGCCUCUCGUCGACGUUCGCCGCGUGUCCAGAGUGCUCCAGCGGCGACACGUCCCCCCCUCUUGCUCCGGCUAUAUAAAUCCACCCCGACUCGAAUCCUGGCGACGCACCACUCCACACAACCACCACGAACACAUAGAACGAUCGCAGUUUGGUCGGGCAGGCCUCUGGCCGUCGCCCCGACCCGAGGACUCCGGCGAUCCCUGCAGGCCAGCUGCCGCUCUCCAGGGCCUCUCGAGCUCAAGCAGAGCUGCUUGGGCAGGGCCUUGGUGGCCUGCUGGAGCUGCCUGGACCCUGCCAAGCCCUCGGAGCUGCCUCUAGCCUCCGUCUUCCACCUCUCCGGCGAACCCCGUCCACCACCGAAGCUUGCGAGCUCGACUGUGACUAGCUCCGUCCACCUCUCGCCAAGCCACGGGUACAGGCAGGUGCGCCGCGAGCCCCGCUUCCAAUCUAUCCCUCUAGCCUAGCCCCAAACCCCCUCGUCGCCAGGAUAAGCUCCGGCGAGGCGCCGCGCCUCCUCUGAUCUCGAUCCCCCUCUCUCUNNNNNNNNNNNNNNNNNNNNNNNNNNNNNNNNNNNNNNNNNNNNNNNNNNNNNNNNNNNNNNNNNNNNNNNNNNNNNNNNNNNNNNNNNNNNNNNNNNNNNNNNNNNNNNNNNNNNNNNNNNNNNNNNNNNNNNNNNNNNNNNNNNNNNNNNNNNNNNNNNNNNNNNNNNNNNNNNNNNNNNNNNNNNNNNNNNNNNNNNNNNNNNNNNNNNNNNNNNNNNNNNNNNNNNNNNNNNNNNNNNNNNNUUCAAAUUUAUUCAGAAAUUUGACCAAACUUUGACCAGCCAUAAUUUUUAAACCACAAGUCCAAAUGCAUUGAUUCUUUUUGCAUUGUGUUUGUUACAGAAAGCUCUAGCGGCACACCAAAGGGUGAAUUUUUUUCCUUGCUGUCUAGAAUUUCUGGUGAUUUAUAGAAUGAGUUUUGACAUUUAUUUUUGUGGUUUUAAAAUAUUUUCAGAAGGAGGAUCUUGCCUUGAAGCUAACCAGGAGGAGUGCGACCCUCCUCUGCACUAAGGCAAGCCACAACAUCAUUUGGAUGGUGUUAUUUCAAUAUCUAUGAUUUAAAAUUUGAUAAAUUAAUAUGGUUAAUUGCUAGUUGUUUUCUAAUGCUUGAUAUGCUUGUUUUAGCCUCUGGUUGAAUUCAUAGAAUUGUUUGGCUAAGUAGAGUACGAUUUUGCACUAGAUAUUUUGUUAUGGAAAGUUAUGGUAGCUAUAUUUGCUAGUAAUAGUUUUCAACUAAAUAAUGCACUAAUAAAAAUGUUGUUUGUAGAAAAAAUGACUUAUAACCAGAGAAGUUUCCGAUCUUAGAAGUGUAUCUUAGUUAUAUUGCUUGUUUUGAUCCAUGCUUAAGAAUUGCUUGCUCUGUGUGAUGAGUAGUUGUAUGAUUUCCGGUAUGAUGCCAUGUUAGUAAUAAAAAGUUUUUUUGAAAAUUAAUACUUGAUUAAGUUCAACCUGAAUAUGAUGUUGGUCACAUCAUGGUGCCACUAAAUCGGGUUCUAAUUCAGUGCGAUCACAUUUACCUAAUGGGAAGGUCUUGAUUCGGUCCUUUGUCGUGGCUCUCACCGGUGCCUCCCGCGAGGGAAGGUUAUGGGCGUGCUUACCCUGGCCCGGUAGGCAGACAUAACCUUGUGUGCUCGUUUGUUUUUAUGGUACCUUGUCCCCAUUUGGGACCGUUUUGCCACGACGGUGGCCGUUGGCAUCUUUGGUAGACACGGGGCCACCCAAGACCUAGCCCUGAGAUGGAGAUGGUCGGAGUGGCCGGGGAGAGUUCAUGUCAAAGGGAGGGUUUCGUCGGAUUACUUUGGUCCACCCGAAUGGGAGUACGAAGCCAGGUAUUCUGUAGUGUGGGUAAAGUGCUCUACCUCUGCAGAGUGUAUUUAAUCUAUCGAUACUCGCGCCCUCGGUUAUGGGCAAGACUCGGGAGUAAGUCACAACAUGGAUCAACUUUUAUAACUAAUCUUGCAAACUAGUAAUUAUUCUGAUGCAUUGUUUCGUGGUGAACCUUGAACACUCGAGGUGUUCAUGAGUGAUUGGUUUCAGGUGUGACCCCGGUGUGGUCGCCGUUGGUUACGAGGUAACCGUCUGGUAAGCGAGUCCGCGUGACUCGGUGCUCUGUUUGGUUGUUCUGCAUAGCUUUGCAUUUGUAGUAAUUUCUUGCAUUAAUUUAACUUGAUUAAUUAUCAUGAUAUUGUCUGUCAUCGUGCUUAUGUUUGUUGUGAGCUUGCAAGUACAUUCCAUGUACUGACCUGGCGUGUCAUGUCAGUUUUCAGGCAAGCUGAUUCGCAUCGGAGUGCAUCCCGUGUCUAGGCCGUGUCCACGUCGGUGUCCCUGUGCCAUGGAGUUCCGCUAUGUCGUUCUUCCGCUACCGCAUAGUUUCAUGUGAUCAAGGCCCCAGCCAUGUUCAUUAAAUAAUGUGCAUACUGUCCACCAGCACCGUCUGUGCCGCUUGGCCUCGGAUCUCGAUGUAAUAUCAGACCUUUGUACCACACUAGUAUCAAUAAAGCGGUUAUUUCUGUACCAAGUUGUUGUGUAUUGCCAGAAGACUCGAUCUCUGGGCUGGCAAUGCAGGGUAAACCGGUUGCUCGGAGCCGGGGUGCCACAACGCUUGGUAUCGGAGCCGCGCUGAUUGUGGGACACGCUAGACCGGUAGUGCGUUAGUAAAACGGUAGAUAGUUUUGUUUGAGUGCCGGUAGACAUAGGAAUUGGUUGUUGCAUUGCAUGCAUGACUUAUUGUUGUUAUUACUAACCGUAUGGUUUGUGAGUGUAGAUGGCACCAGUACCAAUCUUGUACCAUCCUGAGCGAGCUCCGUGCACAUUGCUGCACCUGCUUCAGAACGUGUGGCGACGACUCAAUCCAGAGGGUGCUGAUCCAGAGUAUCGAGUGUAUCGCGAGCAUCUGGCCGGUGCAGUGUAUGAGUAUUAUGCUGAGGUCACUCUACACCAGAGUUCCCCAUCCGGCGCUUACACUCGUUCAUCUAAGGGUGGUCUUGCUUCUAUGCCAUCUCAGGCGGUUCAGUUUGCAACUAUCGAGGCUCUUAUAGACUUGCGCUACAAUGAGGUUCGCAUGCACACCCACCCUAGACUUUUCUUCUACCCAUCUAUGCACGAGAAUGGGCGUAUCCACUUUCCUUUGAUUAAUCCGGCCGCGUGCGAUCGUCCCACUAGCCACCUUGCACGCUACAAGACCGCUAGCUAUCUCCUUAACUACAAGUUAGCUCGGGAGCUCUCACGCGCUCGCGCCGCUCUCGCUGCUACUCGUAUAAGGAACCCUCUUCCCGCUGUCAUCCACACUUCUGCUCCUCCCACUUCCGUUCCUACGAUGACCUCGCAGGGUACCGUUAACCCUUUGACGGUGAACCCUCACAGCGCUCCUGCUGCAUGGUCUUCUCUUGUCGCUACUCCUGCCGCUCCUAUGCUUAGAUCCCAUCCCCCGCCUGCCCCUGAGAGAGAGCCCUCAAGGCAGCGCCAACGCACCUCUCUUCCCACUGGAGUCAUGAAGAUCAAGCAACAUGAAUUUCUCGCCCUCACUCAAGGCAGCAUGACCGUCGCCGAGUAUCUGAAUAAAUUCAACCAUCUGGCCCGCAACUCUCUCCACGAUGUGGCCAACGAAGAGCGAAGAUCGACCGAUUUCUUGGAGGCCUACAUCAACAUCUCCGGUGCACUCUCAGCAUGUUUGAUUUCUCAGACUUCCUGACUCUGGUGAACAAGGCCCUAAUCGUCGAGAGGGAACACAAGCUCCUGCACGACAACAAGCGAGUUGCUAAUGACUACAAGCGCAAAUUCGAGCCCAAGAAGGAUAUGCAUCCAGUGCAAAAGGCUCGUACAUGGCAACAGACUCAGGUGGAGUACAAACCCAAUUGGCAGCAAAACGUCAACAAGACUACUACAGAAGUCAAGAAUGUCGUGACCAGCCCGGUGCGCGAUGAUUGCCAGCGCAACAAUUCGUGCUUCAGCUGUGGUCAAACCGGACACUACGCCCGAUAGUGUCCCAAGAACACCAAGCCCGUCGCUCCAUUUCAGCCACAAGUUAACUACAUGGAGCAGUAUACCGCCCCCGAUAUAAUCCAAGGGCAAGUUCAUCACAUUUCCGCAGACGAAGCCCAAGAGGACCCGGAGGUCAUCAUUGGUAUGUUUCUCGUAACCGACAUACCCGCCGUAAAUUUAUUUGACUCUGGGGCUUCCCACUCUUUUAUUUCGCGGAGUUUUGCUUCCCAAAACAAUCUAUCUUGCUCGAUUUUGGGAAAGCACAUGCUGGUACAAUCCCCGGGAUCCAUGCUCAGAAGCAAUCUCGUCUGCCGAAAUUUGGAGAUUGACAUCAAGGGCGUCAAGUUUCCAACAUCAUUCAUAAUCAUUGAUUCCAACAAAUUGGAUGUCAUUCUGGGCAUGAAUUGGUUAAUCCAAUACCAAGUCUGCAUCAGCUGUGCGACCAGAGAAGUUACCCUGAAAAAUAUGGAAGGUCGCACCACAAGUUUUUAUGCCCGCAAGCGCAUCCCCACGAAGGAUAUGGUUUUCGCAGCCAUAGCAGAAGAGGUGGAAUUAAUCCCAGUGGUUAGUGAAUAUCCAGAUGUAUUUACUGAAGAAUUACCCGGCAUGCCACCAGAUCGAGAAUUGGAGUUCGCUAUUGACCUAGUGCCUGGAACCACCCGAUACAUAAGAAAUAUUAUCGGAUGCCCUCCUCAGAAUUGGUGGAAUUGAAGAAGCAACUGGAUGAGAUGCUGCAAAAAGGAUACAUUCGUCCCAGCUCUUCACCAUGGGGAUCACAAGCUAUCUUCGUGGACAAAAAGGAUGGCAGUCUAUGAAUGUGUGUAGACUACCGACAGCUGAAUGACGUCACCACUAAAAACAAGUAUCCACUGCCAAGGAUUGACGAUCUGUUUGAUCAACUCAGUGGGGCCAAACUAUUCUCAAAGAUUGGUUUGAGGACGGGAUAUCAUCAACUCAAGAUUAAGAAGGAAGAUAUUCCUAAGAUCGCGUUCACCACUCGGUACGGUCUUUACGAAUACACAGUUAUAUCCUUCGGCCUCACCAAUGCGCCUGCAUUCUUUAUGCAUAUGAUGAACAAGGUGUUUAUGGACUUCUUGGACAAGUUUGUGGUGGUGUUCAUUGAUGGCAUCCUCAUUUAUUCCAAAAGCAAGGACGAACAUAAGGAACAUCUUCCCACAGUUCUGCAAUGGCUUCGCGAUCAUCAAUUGUAUGCCAAAUUAAGCAAAUGUGAGUUUUGGCUCUCGCAAGUGGGAUUCCUCGGACAUAUCCUCUCGGCAGAAGGAAUCUCGAUGGACCCAAGCAAGGUAAAAGAUGUACUUGACUGGUCCGCACCCACCACCGUCUCAGAAAUCCGGAGUUUCCUUGGACUGGCCUGAUAUUAUCGCCGGUUAAUCGAAGGAUUUUCGAAGUUUGCCAAGACAAUGACUGAGCCUCAAGAAGGACAAGAAGUUCGUAUGGACUAAAGACUGCGAACAUAGCUUCAAUGAGUUAAAAACCAGACUGACAUCAGCACCCGUAUUAACUCUUCCAGAUAUCUACCGCAGUUUUGAUGUUUACUGCGACGCCUCCAGAAAAGGACUGGGGUGUGUACUCAUGCAAGAUGGGAAAGUGGUGGCCUAUGCAUCUCGCCAACUGCGACAACAUGAAGGAAAUUAUCCUACUCAUGAUUUGGAAUUGGCCGCAGUGGUGCACGCUUUCAAAAUCUGGAGACAUUAUCUGAUUGGAAAGAAGUGCCAGAUAUUCACCGACCAUAAAAGUCUCAAGUAUAUAUUCACUCAGCCCGACUUGAACCUUCGACAGCGAAGAUGGCUUGAGUUGGUUAAGGACUAUGACCUCAGAAUAAAUUAUCACCCGGGCAAAGCUAAUGUGGUGGCUGACGCCCUCAGCCGCAAACCCGCCAACCUCAAUGCCCUAAUGGAUUCCUUGCCUCCAGGGCUCUAUGAAGAAAUCAUGCAGCUGAAUCUGGUAAUCACCAACGCCCGUCUUACCAAUAUAUUGGAAGUGCUCCUAUGCUCGAAGAAGAAAUCUGCAGAGCUCAAGCGGAUGAUAAGGUGUUACAGAUAUAUGUUCAGAAGCUGCACCAAGGGCAAGCACCUGAUUUCGCGAUGGAUCAGCAAGGUUCGCUAAGGUUCCAAGGAAGACUUUGCGUACCCAACCAAGACAGUCUGAAGAAGAAAAUAUUGGCGGAAGCACAUGAAGCACCAUACUCAAUUCAUCCCGGUGGUUCCAAGAUGUAUGAGGAUCUUCGUAAGAUAUUUUGGUGGGAUGGAAUGAAGAAAGACAUCCCGUAUUUUGUGGCCUACGGCGAUAUCUGCAAUAUGGUGAAGACGGAACACCAAAAACCUGCUAGACUCCUCCAGCCUCUACCGGUAUCCCAAUGGAAAUGGGGCGAUAUUUGCAUGGAUUUGAUCACCGGAUUACCAAGGUCUCAUCGAGGAAACGACGCGAUAUGGGUCAUAGUGGACACUCUAACCAAGGUGGCACACUUCCUACCUAUCCGGACCACAUACCGUGCAAAUCAACUUGCACAGCUGUAUGUAUCAAGAAUCGUCAGUCUGCAUGGAGUACCCAAGACUAUCACCUCCGAUAGGGGAUCGCUAUUCACAUCCGCAUUUUGGUCCCGACUUCAUCAAGCCUUGGGGACUGCUCUGAAGUAUAGCACGGCUUACCAUCCUCAGACAGAUGGACAGACUGAGCGAGUAAAUCAAAUACUCGAAGAUAUGCUCCGGGUAUGUACAUUGGCCCAAGGAACCAAGUGGGAAGACUGUCUGCCCUACGCCGAGUUUUCCUACAACAACAGUUUCCAAGCCAGCUUAAAGAUGUCACCCUAUGAAGCACUGCAUGGCCGGAAAUGCCGCACCCCAUUAAAUUGGUCUCAAACCGGAGAUAGCCGUAUUUUAGGGAAUGAUUUAAUGCUCGAAGCCGAGAAGCAAGUCAAGGAAAUCCGAGACAGACUUCAACUGGCCAAAUCCCGACAGAAGAGCUACUAUGAUGCCAAACAUCGUCAGAUCAGCUUCGAACCCGGAGAACACGUAUAUCUCCGAGUCACCCUAUAAAAGGAGUCAAGAGGUUUCAGACCCGUGGAAAAUUGGCACCCAGAUAUAUCGGUCCAUUCCCCGUCAUGGCCAGAGUUAGAACAGUCGCCUACGAGUUGGAAUUUCCACCAGAAUUCUCUGAAGUACACAACGUGUUUCACAUCUCGCAGCUAAGAAGAUGCAUCUCACCACCGGAGAAAAGGACUGAUAUGUCAGAGAUAGAAUUGGCUAAGGAUUUGACUUAUGAGGAAAAGCAAAUCAGAAUAUUGGAUCAGACAUAAAGGGUCACUCGCAGCAAAGAGAUAAGAUUUUACAAGGUUCAGUGGGAGCAUCACACCGAAGAAGAAGCAACCUGGGAAAGAGAGGAAUUUUUAAGGACUGUAUAGCCAGAAUGGUUUUCCCAAGCAACCGAAUCUCGAGGACGAGAUUCAUCCUAAGUGGGGGAGGUUUGUGACAGCCUGGAUUUUGCCUUCUCUCUUUUUACCGGACUUGCCUUCUCUCUCUUUCCGGACUUGGUUUUCAUCGUGGUUUUUGCCCUGAUUUGAUUUGGACUUUUGGAUCAAUUCAAAUGGACUUGUCACUUGGGCAUAUCCUUGUCUUUCACCCAAGUGACCUAUCCACCUUAUCCCUCCCACAAGUUCCCAAAAUAAUAAAAUGAAUAUUUUUACUUUAAGGAAAAUAUUCAUUUUUCUCUCUUAAGUUCAUUUCAGAACUUUGUGCUCCAAAGCAACCUCAGUUUUUCUUGCUCAGAAAAAUCUGAGAUAAUUCCUAAAUAUUCUUAGGACCAUGGCACAUCUUCCCAUGCAAAAAUAUUGCAUCACUUUUUGUAAUAUUUUUGCUGUAGAAAAUCUUUUCACUUCUGGGCCAGAAAUGCAUUUUGUCCAGCAAGUGCAUUUUUCCCUAAGCUUUUAGCCCUGAUCUUUCUUGAGCUUAAACAUCCUCCUAAGAAACCCUAAACCCCAGGAGAUCAGCCCUAAUGGCCUUCUAGAAGGUGGCCAAACUUGGCGACCAAGUUUCUAUACAGAAACUUGUCAGCUAAGUGGCGUCACUUCUGGUCGACCUCGGCAUGAGCCAUCAACUCCCCUAGACUAAACACUGCACGGUCAAGAGCGUAGACAAGGUUUGGCCGCUCCUGGGCGUCGUUUUGACCAUGCCAGCUUGGUGACCACGCGUGGACACGGUGCCUGGCAUGCGUCUCGACGCGCUCUGGCUGCCGCUUUGCGUUCUGUUUCGCCCGUGUGCAUGCUAGCGCUCGCCUCCGACUGCCGCAACGUGCCACAACCCUCGACCCAUCACCCAUGACCCCUCCCUGGCGCUCGCCGACGCUGGAGCCGCCACAGCAAGACCGGUCAGGUAGCGGCCAAAACGGCACACUGCAUGCGUGUGCUUGUCCCCAUCUCGAACUGCCUCCUGUGCUCGUCCGCGAGCGUGGGCAAGCGCCGGCGUUGACGCUGCACCCUGUCCCCUCGCGUUGGAGCCUCUCGUCGACGUUCAUCGCGUGUCCAGAGGGCUCCGGCGGCGACACGUCCCCCCCUCUUGCUCCGGCUAUAUAAAGCCACCCCGACUCGAAUCCUGGCCACGCACCACUCCACACAACCACCACGAACACGUAGACCGACCGCAAUUUGGUCGGGGAGGCCUCUGGCCGUCGCCCCAACCCGAGGACUCCGGCGAUCCCCGCAGGCCAGCUGUCGCUCUCCAAGGCCUCUCGAACUCCAGCAGCUGCUUGGGCAGGGCCUUGGUGCUCUGCUGGAGCUGCCUGGACCCCGCCAAGCCCUCGGAGCUGCCUCUAGCCUCCGUCUUUCACCUCUCUGGCGAACCCCGUCCGCCACUGAAGCUUGCGAGCUCAACUGCCACUAGCUCUGUCCACCUCUCGCCAAGCCACGGGUAUAGGCAGGUGUGCCGCGAGCCCCGCUUCCAAUCCAUCCCUCUAGCCUAGCCCCAAACCCCCUCGUCGCCGGCGUAAGCUCCGGCGAGGCGUCGCCCCUCCUCUGAUCUCGAUCCCCCUCUCUCUCUCCUGAUUGGUUUGGCCCAGUGUCAGCCUCACCACUCGCGCCCGAUGCAGUACGAGUGGAGGCGCNNNNNNNNNNNNNNNNNNNNNNNNNNNNNNNNNNNNNNNNNNNNNNNNNNNNNNNNNNNNNNNNNNNNNNNNNNNNNNNNNNNNNNNNNNNNNNNNNNNNNNNNNNNNNNNNNNNNNNNNNNNNNNNNNNNNNNNNNNNNNNNNNNNNNNNNNNNNNNNNNNNNNNNNNNNNNNNNNNNNNNNNNNNNNNNNNNNNNNNNNNNNNNNNNNNNNNNNNNNNNNNNNNNNNNNNNNNNNNNNNNNNNNNNAAAUUUAUUCAGAAAUUUGACCAAACUUUGACCAUCCAUAAUUUCUAAACCACAAUUCCAAAUGCAUUGAUUCUUUUUGCAUUGUCUUUGUUACAGAAAGCUCUAGCAGCACACCAAAGGGUGGAUUUUUCCUUGCCGCGCCCUCGGUUAUGGGCAAGACUCGGGAGUAAGUCACACCAUGGAUCAACUUUUAUAACUAAUCUUGCAAACUAGUAAUUGUUGUGAUGCAUUGUUUCGUGGUGAACCUUGAACACUCGAGGUGUUGAUGAGUGAUUGGUUUCAGGUGUGACCCCGGUGUGGUCACCGUUGGUUACGAGGUAACCGUCUGGUAAGCGAGUCCAUGUGACUCGGUGCUCUGUUUGGUUGUUCUGCAUCACUUUGCAUGUGUAGUAAUUUCUUGCAUUAAUUUAAAUUGAUUAAUUAUCAUGAUAUUGUCUGUCAUCGUGCUUAUGUUUGUUGUGAGCUUGCAAGUACAUUCCAUGUACUGACCUGGCGUGUCAUGCCAGUUUUCAGGCAAGCUGAUUCGCAUCGGAGUGCAUCCCGUGUCUAGGCCAUGUCCAUGUCGGUGUCCCUGUGCCAUGGAGUUCCGCUACGUCGUUCUUCUGCUACCGCGUAGUUUCGUGUGAUCGGGGCCCCAGCCAUGUUCAUUAAAUAAUGUGCAUACUGUCCAGCAACACCCACUACAAAAAAAUACACUUCCGUGAUGAUACGUGUUUGUCACAGUAGGUCGCGUUUUUUGUCAUGCAUGUACAUCCAUGACAAAUUUAUGACAGAAUCAAGAUAGUCAUACCUGUGCUGUCGUAGAAGUGUUCCAUGACAUUACCAAAAUUAUCAUCACGGAAGUGUCCACCUCCAUGACGAUAAAUCGCGUGUCACAGAAGUGCUUUCGUCAAGGGUGACCGACAUGUGGCAUCCACCGUAACGGAAUGCCGUUAAGCUAUCGGGUCGGGUUUUGGAUCCGAUAACCCGUUAACAGCCCCGACCAAUGGGGAUUUUCCACGUGUAAAAUCAUCAUUGGCUGGAGGAUACACGUGUCAAGUCCGCGUUGGCACAGGUGUCACUAAUCCAAUGGGCGAGACGCGCCUAUGAUAUGUUGACACGUGGACCGGCCCAUCAAGUUUAAAUGGGCCGGCCCAACUAAAGGCCCACAAGAUUUUGCAGACCAUAAUGGGCCAGCCCAGCUAAAGGCCCACGAGAUUUUGCGGACCAUAAUGGGCUGGCCCAACUAAAGGCCCACAAGAUUUUGUAGGCCAUAAUGGGCCGGCCCAGGUAAAGGCCCACAAGAUUUUUGUGUGCCAUAAUGGGCCGGCCCAGGUAAAGGCCCACAAGAUUCUUGCGGACCAUAAUGGGCCGGCCCAGCUAAAGUCCCACGAGAUUUCACCGACAUUAAUGGGCCGGCCCAGCUGUAGGACCACAAGAUUUUGAGGACCCUAGUAUGCCGGCCCAUUAACUGGCUGCCAUGUUUUGGGCCAAAUGCCGGCCCAUAUUUGAUCCGGUCCAUUAGUGGCCUGCCACAUUCCGGGCCUAAUAAUGGCCCAUAUGAGAUCCGGCCCGUUAAAAGCCUACCACGUUCUGGGCCAAAUUACGGCCCAAACCAGGUCCGGCCCUUUAAGAGGCUUUGGGCUCAAUUAUGGCCGAUAUAAGAUUCGGCCCCUCAACUGGACGCUAUGCUUUUUGGCCCACUUGCUAAUGGCCCACUUAGUAAUUCGGCCUAAUAUUAGUUUCGGCCUGUUAAGGGCCCGUUUAACAUUUCGGCCCUAUAUUAAUUUCGGCCUGUUAAAAGCCCGUCAUAUAGUUGGGCCUAACUAUGGCCCGGUUUGCAUCCGGCCUGCUCGCAGCCGAUAUCUGAUUGGGCCAAACAAGGACCGAGACAAUUUUGGCAUGUUAAAAGCCCGUGUUUUGAUUCGCACAAUCAUGGGCCGGGGUCCAUUUCGGGCUGCUGCCAGCCCGUGAGCUGUUCGGCACGUUUCAGGCCCAACCUACAUCGUGAUUGCAUGACGGCCCGACUAUGUACCAUAAUUUUACGGUUUGGCCGGUUUACUGCGAAGACAGGAUAUAUAUAUACAGUAAAAUAACUGCAGCAUCGUGAAUAAGAAAAAACCUAGACUAUACAAUAAAGAAAUUACGGCAUAUUACAUCCACUGGGCAUCAAAGUUCGCCACUACGAUAGUAAAGCACAAGCAGACAGUAGAUUACAUACACUGGGCAUCAAAGAUCGCCACCAGUGCAAAUAAACAUGCCGACAAAAUAAUAUACAAAACCGACAGCACUUCAAUAGAGUUCAAGAAAGGUUAGCCCUACUGGGGAGCUGCAGCGCAAGCAGCUGAGCAAGAUGAUGAGACUGCGCUUGUCAACACUUAUAUCUUCCUCACUCUGAAAGAUUAACAAGCAGACAUAUGACAGGUUUUUCACAUAAAAGUAUCAGUGCUGACAAUUCAUCACAUUUCUUACUGAUGAAUAAAGUGACACAGUUUAAAAUUGCAUUAACACAAUAUGGUAUUGUUCAGGUCAAGACAUGGUAGGAAAUGACAUUGUGAAUGAGUUGGCAGCUUCACGACACCAUUGGAUUACAGAUCAAGAACUCAUAAGUAUCAAUGGUUAGUGUGUCGUCAAUUUAUCCCAUUUCAGAUUGGCAAAUAAAGAGACGGUUUAAAUAACAGUAGAAUGAUAUGACAUUGUUCAUAGUUAAGACAUUGCAGAAUAUGACAUUGUGCUGUAGUGGGUAGGUUCACCACACCACUGGAUUAUGGAUGAAGAACAGAAGCAUACAUGCAGUGCAAAAGAAGAUCACUUGCUCUGUAUAGUUUAAUUUACAUGGUAUGAAGAAGGAACUUGGUUGUACAACUGAAAACUUAAAUUGAGAAGGACAAACUUGUGUUUAUGAACUACAUAAUAAACUUUAAACAUGCAAUUUGAUGCAAACACCAAAAAUAAAUAGCUGUUGCAGUAAUGCCUAACCAAAUAUAUACAACAAAGUUUGAAGGCUUGAGAAGCACAAACUUACAUUAUUGGUGAAGACAGGCUCUAUAAAGGCCUUGUCCAUGCUGAUGAGGGGGGGCAAUUCAAGAAGUUUACCACAGAAUCUUCUUCAUAAGCAUUGCCUUUAUUCUACAUUUUGUGAAGAGUAAAUAUAGAUGUGAUAAUAUACAAAAAGAUGGAGAAUAUUUAAGAUAAGAUGAAGAGUGAUGCUACAUAACCAAGUAGCUAUAAAUGUAAGUGCAACGAUACAGGCAAAAGGUACAGCCAAGAGCAAUGCACAGCUAAACUUCUUCAGUACCAACCUUAUGGUAAGAGUAAAUAUAGAUCAGAUGUGUAGAAAAUGGAGGGCAAAGGAAAAUAAGCUGCAGAGUGAUGGUACAUGAACAACCACCUGUCAUUAUAAGUACACUGAUAAAGGACAUCAUCUACUUACAAGAACAAUGCAGAGCUAAAAAAGAACAUUGGCAUUGGAUAUAUUCUACACUAAUAUAACCAUUCAUACAGAUCAGAUAAUUUGGAGCGAACAAUUGAUAAGCAAGCUAUCAUGCAUACUGCUGUCACAGAAUGAACCAGGUAUGAAUGCAAGUACAGUGAUACAGGACAACAGGUACUAACAAGAGCAAAGCAGCGGGCAGCAUAUUUGCGAUAUCCUGUCAUUCUUUUCAAACCAGAAUUCUUCUUCGAGCAGAUUUCCUGCAAAAAAUAUCUGUAAGGCACAUGCGGAAAAGUAGAAGUUCAAAUUGUCAUGUGAUUUCAUAGAUAGUACCUCAUCCUAGGAAUGAGACCAGUGCAUAACAAGGUCUUUUCCAUUCAAUGUCUUCUCAAUUUAGCACAGGAGACUUCACCAGAAAUUCGUUUAUAGACUUGCCAUCAAAGUGUGAUUUCCUCAGGUAACACCGAUACUGGUGCAAUGCUUCCUUGAAAAGCACAAGAUGGCUUUGCUCAUCAUGACUAUCCAGAUUGACCCUCGCCUAGUUACAACAAUGUAAUGUAAAUCAUUGAUGUGUUCAAUCAGUAGAAAACAGGAAAAUAAUAACCAUGAAUAAUAGCACUUACACGUAAGUUGGACAGGAAGAUGUGAAAAUGUUGUUUGUCUUCACUAUAAUCUUCCCAUGAUGGGAAUAUAUGCACGUAGUCCCUAACAACAUUGAAAGCAUUGUCUUUUAAACUGGGAAUAAAUGGAAUGGGGUUCCAAUCUGCAUGAAUUGGUUGUCUCUGCAGUUGGGAUAGGUCUUCUGCCGGUGGACUUGCUGUACUUUUUGCUGGAGUGGGAUUUUUCUGUGGUACGGCUGGUGCUAUGGCAAAUGAAAUCGGUAUACCUUUUGCUGGAGUGCAGGUCCUGUGUGGUGGGGCUAGUGGUGUGGCCAGUGAAGUAUGGGUACAGUCUGCUGGAGUCGGUCCUACGUUUUGUGUCACUGGUUGUACAGCCAAUAUAAGUGGCGUGCUGCCUGAUUUCUCCGGCACCACCACGUUUUUCAAGGACUUUGCUGGUGCUCCUUCAGGUUCGGCAAUCACCCUCUUCCUUUUUGAUGUCUGAUGCACAAGAACAACAUUUGAGUGGAAAAACCUGGUAUGAUGACAGAUGGAAUAUCUAUUGAUAAUGGAUGGGCAUGGCAUCUCGACAUAUAUGAUGAGUAAACUAAGCAGAUGGCGGUGCAACAAAGUAGAAGAAAUGCAAGACAACAUAUGCAAGAUACCCGCAAUCAGUAAAACCUUGCCAAAUUAGAACAUGCACCUUGAUGGGUGAACAGAACAGGCCAUCUGCCUUUGACUCCUCGUGGUUAGAAUAGUCAUUAGGAUCAUAUUCUGAACAAGAAUCAACAGGUGGGGAGCGUAUGAGUUUCAUUGCAUCCAGAAUGGAACUCAAUGCCUUGGUGCCAAUUUUGAAAGUCAUUGCAGUGUUUAGCUUCGAGAGUGCACUGCUGCUAGUGCAACACAAAGCAGCUACACAGAUCAUAGUGUAGAUAUAACGGGGAAAACCGUAAGCAUCAGAGUAAAAUCAGCAAAGUGGAACUUGCUGGAAUAUAUGUGCUAGUACUGCCGGUACGGCUAGAAAGCCUUCGGAUACCAGUUCUCUUCAACUGAAGGUGCGGUACUGUUAAUAUUAGUGUAACUCUCAAAGGCGACACAGCUCCCCGCAUUCCUUGCUAUUCUUAUAGGAUUCAAGUGGGCAGGUGACUACAAAUCCUAUUCCUAUGUUUACAAAAUCCUACGAAUCAAAGAGGCUCAAAGUGUCCAUCACAACCGACCGUAUAGACAUCUACACUGCAAAUGUCCCUGCUCAUCUUCAGUACAAGGAACAUACUACACUACUAUCAUACUCCCUCCGUUCCAAAAUAUAAGUCUUGGUAGAGAUUUCCGCUAUGGAUCACAUACAGAUGUAUCCAGAUACAUUUUAGAGUGUAGAUUCACUCAUUUUGCUCCAUAUGUAGUACAUGGUGGAAUCUAUACAAAGACUUGUAUUUAGGAAUGGAGAGAGUACAUAUUAAAGAAGAACGGAAGAGGAACAUGGUAAAGAAGAGCAAGCAGAUUUUGGAUAAUAAAAUGUUGGUUGCGCAGUGCCCACACAUGAUGAACCAGAGCACAUUCAGAAUGCAACGCCCAGCUGUCUCUCGACCAUUUCAGGCGGUUGGAUGAAGAUCCUACGUCUCCUAACCCAUCUUCUUCCUUGUCUCUGAUUCUUCCCAUACAGAACACCGCACGGGCCGCCGGCCGGACCACCGGCCCCCACCGCCUGUGUUCCUCCGCCACCCCCACCUACCACCCCCGCCCCAACCCCCACCCGCGUCGAGUUUUCUUCGUUCGGCGAGGCCCCACAACCACCCGAGCCCCUUCGUUCGCACCGGCGAACGCCGGCGAGCUAUGAAAAAUUUAGUCUAUUGUGAUUUAACUAGUGUGGAAUAUAAAAGGGGAAAACCAUAAGCAUUGGGAGUAUAGUGUUGAGCGUGCCAUGGCGGAUCUGAAGGUGCAAACCGGACAAAGGCAACUUCGCAACCAAGACAAGAAAUCAGAGUAAAGCAGUGGCGAUCUAUUUUCUUGCUGCGAUAAAUAAGUUGAGCAGAUACGAAAGCCUACUGCCUCUGGUGCGGCGCCGUGUACGCAUCUGCUGAGAAUUUGACGGUGUUGCGGUAGCGAUGGCUGUCGGUGGUGUGGAACCAGAUCUAGGAGGGUAGACGGUGGCGGCGGGGCGCGGUGGACGAGACGGUCGUAGGAGCGGCGCCGGCAAGGUGGACGACGGCGGGGAUGAAGCGAGAGGACGGGAUGCAAGGAUCCCGGUUCUAAGCCGUGGAUGAGAGAGGUCGAUCUCUUGUAAUGGACGGCGGCGUCGGGGUAUCAGCUCCGGCAUGGUGGAGGAGGACGGCGGUGGAUGGGGUGGCGGACGGCGGCGGACGGGGGAGGCUGGGGUGGAGAGGGUGUUUUGGCGCCCACAGAGUACGAAUGGGGAAAAGGGAUGUAGAGAAGAAGGGGGGAACCAUGUAUUCAGGGCGCGCUUGUCUCAAAUGCGAGGAAAUUUACAAACUUUGCCCCCGUUUCAAAUUUCUACUACAUCACAGCAACAUUAGUCGGUUGGGGAUAGGAUGGUAAUCUCGCAUACACCGUAUAUUUGCCGACGAGAGUUUGUUUUUGGCGCCCACCGUGUAUGAAUAUGAAUAGGGGAGGGAGUCAAUUUCGGCCGAGGACACACUGUGUUUUGGUGCCCACCGUGUAUGAAUCCGGGUGAGAGGCGGUUACGUCACAUUUGGGUGAAAUUACAAACCUACCCCUAUCGAAACCUAUAGAAAUCUAGCAGAUAGGCUUUGCGUGGCAGGGAUAGGCAGUAGUAUUUUCCAUCUCGCAGAUUUUGGUUUUCGGCGGUUACUGCGACUUUCCCCUCUUCAUUCAAAUUUUGCAUAGUGCACGUUUACCGUGCCAACUCAAUUCGAAUCCCGUUUGUAUUCUAUUUUUUCACGCGGGAUCCAUUUUCAAUUGGAAUUACAUUCUAUAUACAUCAUUUUUUGAUAUAUACUUUCAAAAGCACAACAAAGAAUUAUGCUCCUUUAUAUGUAUAAUAUGAUUUACAAAUACAACGAUCUCAAAGUCUUAAGGUUGAAUUCGAAAAAAUUUAACCAUAUUAUGUUCUACUAAAAUGUUUUGAUCAGUAAUAUCUACAUAUUAAAUAACAUAGAUGUCACUACAAGAAAUAUGUCAACUUGUGACCACCACUAUUGGUCACUGAAUGGUCACUGUUUUCAAUUUGUGACCUUUUUGUGACCAAAAACAUAAGGUCAAAAGCUGGCCCAUGUGUGUGUGAGAGAGAGGGAGAGUGGAGGAGGACGGAGUGCAUGUGUGACAAAAACACAAGGAGUGUGUGCGCGAUAGGUAUCAGCUUAAAAUGAGGCGAUAGUGUGUGUGUGCAGAUCGAGAGGGCGAGUCUCAAGAAGGGAAGAAAAAUCUACAUAGAUACAAGGAGCGAGAGAGAGACAUGUAUGCGAUAGUGGAAGCACGAGUGUGCGGGUGUAUAAACCUAUCUAGAGGCUAGCUAGUCAAUAAAUGUUUAUGAGAGAAAUACAAGUCAAGGUGCGAAAGCGAGAGUUUUGUGUGUGCGAGAGAGAGAUGGUAGUCGGGUAGGGGAGUGGAAGCAGGAGUUGUGUUUGUGUGUGUCUGUGAGAGAGAGAGAGGGGGGGUUGUCUGAUCGGUAAACAAGUGAAUAAUGUCAGUCUGGGAUGGAGAUGAAAAGGAGACCGCAACAAAUGUUGUGUCUACAGGAGAGAGAGAGAGAGUAAUUUUAGUGGUAUGGGUCAUAUGUAGAGACAUAUAGGGUGUGUGAGAGAAUCCCAUAGAGAGAAAGACAAAGUGAAAGACGAGUGGAGACUGCGUGUGUGGCGGUGAAAAAGAAAGCUUAGGUACCGAGUGAUACCAGAGAACAGUAGAGACGUGAGAGAUAAUGAAAACCAUGUAAUGUAUAAUGAUAGGGAGAGUGUGACACUUCUCAAGGGAGACGUCGAGAGACCAUGUUUGCGAGGAUAAAAGAAACAUGAAGUGAGAGUGCGGGUGAGCUGGAGAAAGGAGAGUGAUAGCUACCUGAAGGAGCAUGCAUGCGAGAGAGAUGGGCGUGAAAGGAAUGAACAAAAAAGGGAUUCAAAUAUUUGAAUUCGAGAUGAUGAUACAUGUAAUCCAUACUCGAACCAAAAUUGAUCUAUCAAACAUGCAUAAUCAUAUGAAUUCACGCACACACUACAAGAAAUAUGUCAACUAGUGACCUUCUGUCAGUGACCCUGGAAGAAUUGGUCAUAGAUCUAUGACCAUUUGAGACCAAUUGGUCAAAAGCUGUUUGGGGGGCUCCAAACCGUAAACAAUUGCGACCAUUUUGGUCAGAAAAGUCGUAAUUUCUUUACACGAAAUGGUCAUAAAGCAAACAGUGCUGGUCCGCUGCCUUAUUUCUAGUUGUUAACGACCAAUAUAGAUGGUCAUAGCCUUGUAGAUUGUGGUUGGUUGUGAUGACUAGGCGCCAUCUCAUCAGUUUUGCCUAUGUGUCAUGUCCAUGUGUCAAUUUUUGCCCUAGGUUGUGAAGCAACCUAUAUUUCUGUUAUUCCAAAAAUUCCCAAAAAAUUCUCAUAAAUGGUUUGGAUCAUAUCUUCAUCAAAUAUGUCAAAAACCUUCCUUGCAUAGUUCAAAAAUAACUCAACAAUAUUCAUUUUCCUAUUGUGUUUAGAGCAGCACUUUGUGAAGGAAGUACCACUUUGGCAUGUCCAAAUAGUAUCCAUUUUCUACAGUGCUUUCCUAUGCCCAAAUAACCAUCCUCCACCAAAUGCCAGCUCAAUCCAUUCAUUAUUUUGAGCCGAGCUUCAACAUUCGUAUUUAUGUCCAGUGUGGUAGUUUGCAAAGCAAGUACCACCUAGGCUCCUCCUUUUGAGCUGAAAAUUUGUGAAGACGGUCUUCUUAGUAACUGAUCAUCCUCAGCCAAAACUCACGCCCAUUAGCCAUGUACAUUUCCCGUACCGCUAAUCAAACACUUGGCUGCUAAUUCAUGUUUGAGCAUCGAUCGGUCUCCUCGUGAGAUUCUUAUGUUGUAAUUUUCUUCCUAGCACCUACCUGGGGAGUGCCCAACCCACUAGACAUGCCUAGGCCGCCCAGAACACAUGGCAACGCCACGGUCACGCGGUGACCACGCAGCGGCAUGCGAGUUUACGCACUCUAGAGUUGGGGCCCUCGGCCACCGCCUAAACCUCGACGUAUCGCCACCAAACCAUGUAUUUAUGAUUAAAUAGGUACUUAUGUAACUAGAAAUGAUUUUUGGAAAAAAUAAAUAGCAAACUAUGAGGCAGCUGCAGUUCAAAUUUGACCCGCUUCCAGCUGAAUCGGCGGAAAUUUGUCUUUUUCACGAGUGGUGGAUCAAAACAUUUUCCACCCAACCAUUUUGUCAAUUGUGCAUUAAAUAUGUCCUAGUAUUUUAGAAAAAUGAUUUGGUCCAAUUUUGCAACAAUUAUUUGGGAGGUCCUUCAUAAAAAAACCUCCUUUUGGGCACUCGAAAAAUGGAAAAUGGUUUUUUCGUCCAAAGAAAAUGAAAACUUCCUUAGGCAACAUUGUUUGCCAUUCCAAUAUGCACCCUUGUGCACAAUAUGAGAUCAUUUAAACAAACUAUGCCAUGAAUGUGGCCAUAAGAUUGAUCAUUUGGCGUGAAAGCCAUUGAUCUCCACACGUGAUAGCUCGUUUCUCAGAACACUCUUUUAAAAUAAUUGCCGUAUUACAAGUUUGUUAUUUUUCCUGAGAACUUGGCCACAUAUACUGACACAGCACGAAGGUUUCCCAAUUUUUUGAUUUUUUUGAAUUUUUUAUGCCCAUUUCAAAAUGCGAUCAAAAUGACGGGAAUGACCGUUCCUAGCUAGUUGUUGAAUCUUGGAAUUUUUUUGGUGUUUCUCUGAUAAAAUAGAUACUUUUGUACCUAAAAAUGAUUUUUGGAAAAAAUAAAAAGCAAACUAUGUGGCUGCUGCAGUUCAAAUUUGACCCGCUUCCAACUGAAUCGGCGGAAAUUUGUCUUUUUCACGAGAGGUGGAUCGAAUCUUUUGACACCCAACCAUUUGGUCAAUUGUGCAAUAAAUAUGGCCUAGUAUUUUAGAAAAAUGAUUUGGUCCAAUUUUGCAACAAUUAUUUGGGAGGUCCUUCACAAAAAAACCUCCUUUUGUGCACUCGAAAAAUGGAAAAUGGUUUUUUCAUCCAAAGAAAAUGAAAACUUCCUUAGGCAACAUUGUUUGCCAUUCCAAUAUGCACCCUUGUGCACAAUAUGAUAUCAUUUAAACAAACUAUUCCAUGAAUGUGGCCAUAAGAUUGAUCAUUUGGCUUGAAAGCCCUUGAUCUCCACACGUGAUAGCUCGUUUCUGAAAACACUUUUUUAAAAUAAUUGCCGUAUUACAAGUUUGUUAUUUCUCCUGGGAACUUGGCCACAUAUAAUGACACAAUGCGAAGGUUUCCCAAUUUUUUGAUUUUUUUGAAUUAUUUAUGCCCGUUUCAAAAUGCGGUUAAAAUGACGGGAAUGACCGUUCCUAGCUAGUUGUUGAAUCUUGGAAUUUUUUUGGUGUUUCUCUGAUAAAAUAGAUGCUUUUGUACCUGAAAAUGAUUUUGGAAAAAAUAAAAAGCAAACUAUGUGGCAGCUGCAGUUCAAAUUUGACCCGCUUCCAACUAAAUCGGCGGAAAUUUGUCUUUUUCACGAGAGGUGGAUCGAAUCUUUUGACACCCAACCAUUUUUUCAAUUGUGCAUUAAAUAUGGCUUAGUAUUUUAUAAAAAUGAUUUGGUCCAAUUUUGCAACAAUUAUUUGGGAGGUCCUUCACAAAAAAACCUCCUUUUGGGCACUCAAAAAAUGGAAAAUGGUUUUUUCGUCCAAAGAAAAUGAAAACUUCCUUAGGCAACAUUGUUUGCUAUUCCAAUAUGCACCGUUGUGCACAAUAUGAGAUCAUUUAAACAAACUAUGCCAUGAAUGUGGCCAUAAGAUUGAUCAUUUGGCUUGAAAGCCAUUGAUCUCCACACGUGAUAACUCGUUCUGAGAACACUUUUUUAAAAUAAUUGCCGUAUUACAAGUUUGUUGUUUUUCCUGGGAACUUGGCCACAUAUAAUGACACAAUGCGAAGGUUUCCCAAUUUUUUAUGCCCGUUUCAAAAUGCGGUCAAAACGGCGGGAAUGACCGUUCCUAGCUAGUUGUUGAAUCUUGGAAUUUUUUUGGUGUUUCUCUGAUAAAAUAGAUACUUUUGUACCUAAAAAUGAUUUUUAGAAAAAAUAAAAAGCAAACUAUGUGGCAGCUGCAGUUCAAAUUUGACCUGCUUCCUCCUGAAUCGGCGGAAAUUUGUCUUUUUCACCAGAGGUGGAUCGAAUCUUCUAACACCCAACCAUUUGGUUAAUUGUGCAUUAAAUAUGUCCUAGUAUUUUAGAAAAUUGAUUUGGUCCAAUUUUGCAACAAAUAUAUUAUAGGUCCUUCACAAAAGAAUUCAUUUUGGAUACUCGAAAGAUAAAAAAUGAUUUAAAAUAACUCAUUUCUCAUAACUUUUUAAAAAAAUAUUUGUCUUAUUUCAAUUUGUGAUUAUUCCUUAAAACUCUAGUCAAAUUUGGUGAAAUAAUGAGAAGUUUUUUUUCAAUUUUUCAGGUCAUAAUAAAAUAGCUAACAUGAUUUAGCACCUUACUUUUAGUCGAUUACGACCAAUUUAAAUGGUCAAAAUAUCAUAUCUGUAUACUGCGUUCUGAUUGGUCCAGGGGCCUCUCACGCGGAUCGCGGAUAAAUCACCGUCGGAUGCUCCGGGAUCCAACGGCCCGCAGCUCACCCUCUCACCCACCCACCGUGAUCUACCCCUAAAAAAAACCCACCGCACACCACUCCUCUCUCUCCACGCGCAGCGAACCCUAACGCUCUCACCCUCUCCCUCCCUCUGGAUCCACCGCCACCGCCCCCAACCCUACUUCCUCCCUCUGGAUCUCGACGCGCCGCCGCCCCCACCCCACUCCCUCCCUCUGGAUCUCGACGCGCCGCCGCCCCGACCUGCUCCUNNNNNNNNNNNNNNNNNNNNNNNNNNNNNNNNNNNNNNNNNNNNNNNNNNNNNNNNNNNNNNNNNNNNNNNNNNNNNNNNNNNNNNNNNNNNNNNNNNNNNNNNNNNNNNNNNNNNNNNNNNNNNNNNNNNNNNNNNNNNNNNNNNNNNNNNNNNNNNNNNNNNNNNNNNNNNNNNNNNNNNNNNNNNNNNNNNNNNNNNNNNNNNNNNNNNNNNNNNNNNNNNNNNNNNNNNNNNNNNNNNNNNNNNNNNNNNNNNNNNNNNNAGAUCCACCGCAGCCCCCUCCCUGCCACCUCCUCCUUCCUCCAGUACCACCUCUCCAACCUCGCCUCUCGCUUCGCCGCCCCGCGCCCCGCGCUCGCCGAGGCGCACCCGCCGGGGCCCCAAUGCGCACCCACACUCGGACCAGCAACGAGUUCAUGCUCGUCUCAGCAGCCCAACCCCACCCAACGCGUCACCGCCGCUAGGGUUUCUCACCCAGCCUUCCCCCGCAGCCGCCCGCGCAGGAGGAAGCAGCCCGAGUCUCCAGCGGCCAUGAGCGACGGCAAGGACACCCUCGACCUCUCUGCCCUCGGCGCCGCCAUCCCGCUCCCACUCCCGCGCGUCGGAUUCGGUAACUGGUCUCUCCGGCGCCGCGUCCGGUUCUUCGCCGCUCGUUUUUGGGUUGUGGGGGUGAGAUUUGUGACGGUUUGCUUGGGUUUUGCAGUUGUUCCACGAGUCCUUCGACGAGGGCUUCCAGGGGAGCUGGAUUGUCUCCGGCAAGGAAGAGUACACAGGUAAAUUCCGUCUCUCUCUCUCCCUCUCUCUCCCCUUUUGUGCUUGUCUUGUCCGAUCUGUGAGAGAUCUGUGGAUGUAGUGGAGUUCUGAAUCUGAUGCGGUGAACUGGUGAUACGCUUCUAUGUGGAAUUCAAUUCCAGUGUGUAGGCGAGGUAGUGAUGAUAAGUUAACCUUCCUGGCGUGAUUUAGACCAUUAGAGAGAGUCCAGCAUUUACCAUGGUAGGUAGUAGCCAUGAUCCAUGUUAGGAUGUGUUUGUAGGGAUGCAUUGUUGUGUACUUAUUGAGAAUGAUUGCAAUGCCUUGGUUUUUUUCUAGAUAUAGAAUACAAUUUUCAGUCACUUGAGAAAUUUCAUAAGAUCAUGUGUGUUGUUCACCUACAAUUUUGUUUAACUGUUCAUGAUUAAAAUUCAGUGGCUCCUCUUCUUUAUACACGUGAAUGUGUAGUUCACCUACAGUUUGUGACACCCCAAAAUUUUGACCUUGUUUUAUUUAUUAUUUUUUUUUGCCAGGAAAUAAAACUUUUCCAUUUGUCAAGAUUUACCCUUUUGUUAUUGUGGAUUUUUACUUCAAGUGGAAAACAUUCAAAAGGUAUUGUUGGACUUGAAUACUCUCUAUGAUAAAACAAUUCUUUAUCAGUGGAUUUAAAUUGCAAGAUUUGUUUUCUCAGACCUUUAUUCUUUUAAAAUGAUUUCUUUGAAUUUGGAGCCUGUUUUGCACUCCAACCAUUUGAUAAAUACCUUUAAAAUUCCCACCAAAAUUUGGGGAUGUCAUGUGAUGUUUCCACAUCACUUUUAUGCAAAAAUACCUUUUGGCCAUUGGAGAUUUUGAGCUCUACACCAACUUUUCCAAUCUGGUCCAGUGGGCACUUUUGCACUACAACCCAUUUAAAUAUUUCUUUAAAAAUUCUUCCAAGUGUUUGGAGAUGUCAGUGGAUACAUACAAUUCAUCUUCAUGCAAAAAACCAGUAAUGUUCUUUGAAAAAUUUGAGUGAAUCACCCUCUUUUGCAUUCUGGUCCAAUUUGGUGAUUUGUAUUGCAACCUUAUUUUAUUAUGCUCUAGUGACCCUGAGCUUUUUCCUACUUGUAGCCCUCCCUUCAAAACCCUUAAGUCCAGGAGAGUGGGCUCAUUGGAGGUUUUUAAGUGCAUGCAAUAAACCCUUUUUCUUUCUGUCCAAAACUGGAGUUUUGCAAACUUGCACUAACAAGUUUCUGGUUUUGCCCAUAUGAUCUUGCCUUCACCAUCCACACCUAAAGAGACCCUGAUCUGGAGAUUUUGGCCACUCCCAGAGUUGCCUAAGUGCACUUGGCAUUCUGUCGAGCACUUGGUGUGCGCAGUCAGUUUUGGGCAUGUUUCCUAGUUUGCACUGUGAACUUGCUCCAAUGACCCAGCAACCUUGUCCACUGAACUCCUAGCUGUCUCUAUCCUAGUCCUGUUAAUUACCAGCCCCACCCUCGCGCGCUAGACCGCCCUGGCAUUUCGUCGAGCAGGAUCCGUGCGUGCUCUGGGCGCGCCCAGAGCGCACGUUUUGCAUGCGCGCGCACUGAGCCGCCGCGCCGCACUGCCGCACUCGACGCGACCCGUCCCUGGCCCCUGCUCCAGCGCUGAACCGCGCACUAGCUCGCCCCCUCUCCACGCCAUCUCUGGCGCCUUGCAGCGCCGCUAGCAGCGCUUUUGGCGGCACGCCGGCGUCGGCAGCAAGCCUCUGCCAUGGUGGGCGCCGCCCAAACCACACCAGCGCGCCAGCUGCCCCCAUGAACAGCUCAGUCUUAUCCCGAAGCUCGUCGGCACGCGCUCGUCGCCGCCACGUCGCCCUGCAGCUACAGCACGGCUGUCGCCGGCGAUCUUAUACUCAGCCGCCGCGGUCCAACCUCGAGCACCAAUUUAAGGGAUCCCCGAGCUCGUUCAAGACCUCAGGCAACCUCAGACUUUCCUCCUAGCGCUCCCCAAGCAGUGGAUCGACCCGUAGUGGCCAUCUUCCUCGUCUCCGGCCAGUGCGGCCGCCGCUAAGCUCCGGUGCGAUACGUCGCGGCCAGCCACUCCCCCGCCCAACCGACGCCACCAGUAGCUUCCCCUUGUCCUUGCGGAGCUGCCCAGCAACCCAACCUCGAUCGGAGACCACCGGAGCCCAAAAACCACUUCACCACCGUAACCCCCUCCGCCGUGGAGCUCGCCGCCGGCGACUCCUUCCACCUCCGACGACCCAGCGACCACCAAGAGGACCGCCUCGGUCUGGCCAGUCCAUCCCUACCCUCAGAUGCCCUCGAGGAGCCGCCGUUCGUCGCCGGCGAUCUCCGGAGUCCCGCUCCCGUCGGGCAGAGAAGAGGAGGGAGAGGGAGGAACGGUCAAACCUGACCAGUGGGCCCUCUGGACCCACUGUCAGUGACCCACGCGUCGUCCCCUCUGUUUAAGUGAAAGCGUAUACCCACGGAGUACGUCUCCCCUACCCCGAAAGCGUAUUCCCCUCAAAGCAUUUUCCUUUUUCUGGUUUUAUUAAAAACAGAGUUUGACUGGCUAUAACUUUUAAAAUAAAACUCCAAAUGAGUUGAUUCCUUUUCCUACCUCUCUCAAAUUUCAUCUAGUUUAUUUUCAGAUUUAUUUCAAAAAUAUUUGAGACAACCUUUUGUACUGUGUUUGAAAUAUUUGUUGUUUGAAUAUUUUUCAAAAUAGGAUUUUGGAGAAAAGGGAAAGCUUCCAAAAAGUGCAUCCCUUGCAUACUCUUGAAGGCAAGCAUUUCUGAACUCUGGCAUAAUAUUUUUGUGUGGUGUUUUCAUAUGGUUACAAUACCACGUGGACGUGGAGUAUGUGUUACCUUUAUGUAACGAUAAAGUCCCACGCGUGAGUGCGCAUUGGAGAUGUUUUGUCGUUAGUAAUGGAUAUGCUGGUGAUAGUGUUCAUCCUCGUGAGCUUCUCAUGCAUACCGGAAGGGAGUUGAGAAAGUCGUGGUCUUGGGUAGACACGAACUUGUCCCUAGUUCCUCGUUGAGACGAGUAUGUCCGGUAUGGCAUGGUAAGGCUUGAUGAGUGGUGAGUUUAUCUGUUAAUAGUAAUAUUGUUGGAGAAUCCCUGGACCUCCUGAGUCGGUCGUAGGUCGAGUCUUGUUUAGUAACUCCCCUAGUUGUUUUGUACUACCGCUUGUCCCUGUCGCGAAUGGGGUAUGGUUCAGUAAGUUGUCAACCCCUUACCAAAGCACACACCGUACAGAGAGGCCAUAGUGGAAGAUACCGGAGGCCUCCGGUAGGCAUGCCACUUGGUCCGGGGGCAUGGGUGUUUCCGGUUGGGACCGAGAGGGGGGCACCCCUUAGAGCGCGCGAAUAUAAAUUUGAUCCCAUGCUACAUCGAGGUUGUAGCCUCCCCACUUAGAGUUUUGCUUGGCAGGUGUCGUGGGUGGUUCCAGACACCGGUGAGUUAAGCUGGUGUGUGCAGGUCAGGCGUGUUUUCAAUUAAAAGGCCGUAGGCGGAAUUAGUCCCGAUGGACUAAAUAAAUCCGUUACUCGUGGGAAAAUAGUACUCCCUCUGCAGAGGAUAUAUCCUAUUGGAUAGCCAUGUUCACAGGUAAGGACCACAGUCUGAGUGGAAUCUAGUAACGGUAUUCGGAUGGAGAACGAAUUAGCUAGAAACUCAAUGACGGUUUUCGGAUGGAGACACGGCUAACUGGAUCAUAGUAAUGGUAUUCGGAUGGAGAACGAAUUAGCUAGAACUCAGUAACGGUCUUCGGAUGGAGAAACGGCUAGACUAGACUUUUGUUUAUGACCUGUGACAUCUGAGGAUCAUCUUUAUUAUGGACUAACCAUUUACAUUAUGUAUUUUAUUGAGUAUCCCUGGGAUGGUUCUACCUCCUGGAUAUUCACUGUGGUUAUUCUUUUAUAAGCCCUUUAUGUGGUGUCGCUCAGACGCCCGACUGCGGUAUGCUUGUUGUGUAUUUAUCUUUUAUAAGCCUUUCUGUGGUGUCGCUCAGACGACCGACUGCGGCAUGCUUGUUGUUUAUUUAUCUUUUAUAAGCCCUUUACGUGGUGUCGCUCAGACGCCCGACUGCGGCAUGCUUGUUGUUCAUUUAUCUUUUAUAAGCCCUUUCUGUGGUGUCGCUCAGACGCCCGACUGCGGCAUCAUUAAUUUAUUUUGCAACCCCUCAAGGAGUCAUUUUAGACACUCGCUUAGUGCAUUUCUUUUACUUCCGUAUUGCACGUCCAUAUUUUUCUCUGCACGCGUGCAUCACAGAUUUUUGUUUACUUCAUGGCAGACUUAUCAUCAUAAAUGCUUCGGAGUAUGAUUAUCUCCUGUUAUAUUAUACCCGUGUUCUUAAUGUUUGCGAGUACAUUCAAACGUACUCACUGGCUUGUCCCUGGCUAUUGUCUUGGCCUGAUUUUCGCGCAUGGAGAUAAGCAUCGCGGUGACGACCUCGGAACCUAUGUAUUGACGAUAGCAGCCUCGCGAAGAUAGGAGUUAUCCUGGUCAGCUGUUCUUGUGGAAAAUGGAGUCCCAUAGAUGCAGAUGUACCCAACCGCUUCCGCCCUCAACCAUUAGAAACCAAAUGUUGUACUCCUAGACCACAAUGGUCUUGUACUACAUAUUUUUGUGCCUUGCUUGGAAUUCUUAUAUCAAGUUGGUGCCUCAUCAGCUAACAGUAAUCCUGGGGCUGGUGAGCACAAAGGCCGUUUUUCUGGGAAAUUACAUCCCAAAAAUCCGGUCGUGACACAGUUUUGUGUGCUGCUCACACUGAGACUUCGCAAACAAGUUUUUAGCUCCCCAAAUAGGUCGCAAAAGUGUCUGCCGAUUGCCAUUACAGGCUGAAUUUGUCGACGGCCUAUCUUUUGUCUAGUGCAUUAGAGGCAUGUCCUCACUGAGAACUGAAAUAGUGAACUGAAAUAGUGCAUGCCAGGUCUCUCCUUGAUUAGUAUGCUAUGCCCAAUCUGUUGUUCAUGUUCGGGCUAGUUUUUUUACUGCCAGAAUAUGUGAUAAAGCAACAAAAAGGCAAGAACAUACAAAGGAUCCUGCGCAUGGAAUGGAUCCUGCUGGGUGCUUAUUCUAUUUAUUUUAUAUGAAUAAACACUUACCGUGCAGCCAUCUAAUAUGAAAUUCUAAUAAUAUGUGAUGCCUGAUUGUUUUUUAGUUGUAUAAGCCAUUCGUGCAUGAAUUCCUUUUCUUAUGUACCAACUCCCUAAUCAUGUUUUGAGUUUUCAGUUCGCUAUCUUAGGAGAACCUGGUGUGCUAUAUGGGGAAGCAAAGCAGCAGCCCACAACUCCGACUUGCGACUCCAGAUGAAGGCACCACGAUGCACCAUGCUGCUCCCUUGGAAGGCUGGCUGAGCGACGCAGCGAUGAAGGCAGUGAACGAGCUGCUGUCGUCAGGCGCCGCCGGCAACCUGAGCAGCCUCUGCUCCUGGGCCGACAAGGUCAGGUUCAGGUACUACUAGUCGGCGCCGCUCCACUUCAUCGAUGUCCCCGACAAUGUCUGCAGCUACUACUACAACAAUACAUAGCAAUUAACCAACACUCUGUUUUGUUGGACUGAAACUGACUGUAGCAUAACGGUUUGUGCGUUGUCUCAGGGGACUGCAAGGACGAGGAGGGCGUCAAGGUCCGCUGCGUCGCUGGUGCCAUCAACAACUACACCUCCCAGCUCCUCACCUAGGGAUCAUCAUCGCCAUCACCAUCUUCUAAAUUUCGGCCAACGUAAUGUUCAGGUACAUCGUACGAACUUCAGCACAUCUCUUUUGGUUGACUGAAUUAGUACUGAAGAUGCCAUGUUUUUUCUGCAUGGAAUACUGCAGAUAACCUGACCGAAGUGCUCUUGUUCCUCUCAAACUUCAUGGGCGACAUCCACAAGGUAGUACUCCUGCCAAACCCCAAGUGCCUGAAUUUUUGCAAGUGUUUCUGUUCCUGGUUGCAACUCAAGCUGACACUUCUUGUUUAUGUAGCCACUGCAUGUGGGGUCCUCCUUUGUAAAAGAAGGGAACACCAUCAAUGUCCACUAGUACAGAAGGAAAUCUGUACUCCACCAUUUAAGGCUAGUUCAGACUUAAGGCUGAACCCUUCUAUGUGUAGUAUGAUUCCAAGGAAACAUAUGGCAAUAAUGCUGGAACUUUUCACAUUGGCGUUGCUAUGUUUGAUCUGGUGGUGCCAAAACAAACUUAUAUGCUUAUGCUGAGCUUACUUUUAAUAUCAUUCUAUUCUGUGUGAUGAGCUUAGUUUUGUACUGUAUCCACCUUCUUGUUUACUUUGUUGAAUCCUGUCUUGUGUACUAAUCAUGAGCUACUAGCAUUUGGCUUCUGUAUGCUAAUUAAACCUGAUAAGUAUGUAUACUUCUUUGAGAUACAAAUUCCACAUUGCAUGUUUAUCUGCUAAUUAAACCUGAUAAGUAUGUAUACUUCUUUGAGAUACAAAUUCCACAUUGCAUGUUUAUGAGGUUCAAUUUCUACAGAUGUUGCCAAAUGAAUGUGUCAACAUGUCUCUCCUUAGGGGUUGUUUUGAACCGCAAAUGAUCUACUGUAUCAAUUUUUUGCUGUUCAAAGAUUGAAAUCCUGGUUCAUUUUCCAAGAUCGAAAUGUUGUUGACCCUGUUCUUCUAUGCUUAAAUGGUAAAAAUGUCGCAUUUUGCUUGUUCUAACCAUUUUUCUUGAUAACUUGCAGAUGCUGGCCUUCAUUCAUGUUUUGUCGUGAGGUCCAGGAUGAACAAGUUGGGAGAAGCAUUGGAGCUAGUUAUACUGUGAUAGUUGUGUUACCUGAUGUGAACAUUUUUUAUUGUAAAAUUGAUGUGAACCAUAUUUUUCUGUAAUAAUGUGUUACCAGGAUGAACCAUCCUUGCUGUGUUACCAGGAUGAACAAGUUUGAUUGUAAUAAUGUGCCAAGUUUGGCUCUUUCUGAUUGUAUUCGUGAUGUGUACCAUAUUUUUCCUGAUUAGUCGUGCUCUGUUUGAAGCAUUUUGUUUUCUCUCUGUUCGGAUUUAAAUAUUGUUAUUUAUUUACUGGAAAUCUGAUAUCUGAAGAAUAUAAUAGUGACAACUGCGACCCACUUGUUAGAACCUGACAACUGGGUCCCAUCUCACUAGUGGGCUCAUCUUUUGGAAAAAAUAAAAUAAAAAAGGCCAUGGCCUAGAAAAUAAAAAGGCCGAAUUCUUGGGCCAGGCCCAUGUAGCUAAUAAAAGCACAGGAAAAAAAUAUAGAAAGGCCGAAUUGUUGGGCUAGGCCCAUGUAAAACACUGAAUUGGACCGGGCUGAUUCUUGUGCCACAUCAGAUUGCCACGUCGGAUGCCUACGUGGCCUGGGGAGGCUGCUAGUGACCAAAAUGCCACAGUAGACAUAUUUUGGUCAUAAACGUCUACGACCAUUCCAGAAGAAAGGUCGCUAUAGUCAGUUAACGACGGCUUUUUGCAACAACUAGCAAGAUGCCCAUGCAUUGCACGGAACAUCAAGAUGCAUUUGUAUGAGUAGUUUAUCUUGUGAGGGAAAAGGAUGAACGAGGGAAGGCCUUAUUUGCAAAUGUGGAGAGGGGUGUGGGUAUCUUUUUGCAAAAUUGCCAUAGUUUCCUUCCCAUCCGUUAGAUAUAGAUCGGACGGCCUAUAUUGCAGGAUGGCAGGCACACGAUCAUCACCGACAAUGCUUUUUAUAAGAGUAGGGAUAAAAAAUAGAGUUGGUGAUGAUGGUGGGCCUGCCAUCCUACAAUGUAGGUCGUCCGAUUUAUAUCUGACGGAUAGGAAGGAAAUUAUGGCAAUUUACCCGCACUCUUCACCACAUUUGCAGAUAAGGCCUUCCCUUGUUCAUCCUUUUCUCCCACAAGAUCUUGAUGUUUCGUGCAACGCACGAGCAUCUUGCUAGUAAGAGUAGAUAUUAGACAUACACCACUUCUCGAAUCUUGAAACCAACAACAUUCCUCCCUUAUCUCAUCAAAACCGCCAAAGGAAUAUAUUUUGAGUGAAACAUAACAUAGUUUUAGUGAUAUACAUAUUUCAAAACUAGACUUUUUUUCUAUCAAAUCGGUGAACAUGUAUUAAUCCACUUUGAUCGUGUGGCAACGCAUUGGCACAUUGCUAGUAGUUAUUAUAAUUUUCUGGACACCAGACAAACGGCGAAGUACAUAUACGAAGAGAAGAGGCGCACACACAUAGUCGGCCUCUCGCUGUCUCGCACACAUGAGUGUUACGUAAAGGCGACGUUAACAAAUAAACCCUAAAACCCUAUGGGCACGAUCGCGGGUACCGGGUACGUGGUGGGGCACCUUUGUAGGAAUAGUCAGCUCGCGUGAUAAUUUGAUCCAUAGGAGUUGAUGAUCGGGACCAUAGGUGAACGACUUGGAGCGCGGUGGCUCGCCAUUUUCCACAGAUCGAGUAGCCACGUUUAAAAUAUCGUUUUUUUAGCGGGGUUAAGAGUUCCGAUUUUCAAUGGCGCGUUAUAAGUAGUAACUAGUUUUUAGAAUGAUUGGUAUGGAGCGAAAAUGGAAUUCAUAGUACUACAUACCUCCUUGGCAUAUGGUUGUAUGGGUUUAUGUUGCGAGAUGUUGAACCUGGUAGUUCUAAGGCAAAUACUAUGGUUUAUAUUUAGAUGCUGGUUUUCAGUAAUGAAAAUCGGAAGGGGAAACUCUUCUUUGAUUAAAGAAAAACUACUACCUCCAUUCUGGUUUACUAGUCCCCAUCAUACUUUGGGUCAAAGUUUGUCCACGAAUUUUACUUGUAAAAUGUGAAUGGAAAACGAGAUUUUGUCAUACCCAAAAUAAAAGGACUGGAGGGAGUGAUUGCUCUGACACGGACGCGACCUCUCAUAGCGCAGGCAUUGAACCAGCGCGCUGACCAAGAGGGCCGCACUCACUGCAGGCCCGGCUGAGCACGCCUCCUCGCCGCGUGCAACCAGCUUAAGACUGCCCCGCCUGCAUUCAUUGAAUCCGCGCGUGUGCCGGAAACACGUCCUUCCGCGAGCCGGCAGGCAUUUUAGAACACAAAAAAUGAUUAAAAUAUAAUUAAUUUACGCAUGGUCUUGACUUGUUGUGCUCGCACUGGUAGCAGGAACUAUUAGAGGUUUUUCUUUAUUUAUAACUCUCCUCGCAUUUUUUGGCAUUGAAGUGAAUCAUGGUUGUGGACAUUAUGUAUGAAUGUGCAGAUAUCUGUGAACAUGAGUUUGAUGUGGAAGUUGAACUUGGAAUGUCGGGCUUGCGCGUGAACUAUACCAUAUCCAAUGCUUAGUAUGUUAUUGUUUGGAAAGUAAUUGAUGUUAUUACAUGACCCGAAAAAAAAACAUUUUGUGCCACAUCAGUAGAUGCACGGACAUCACAACAGGCAUGAUGACUGGAUAAACAUUUGAACCUAGCUAUUAUGAAGGAAGUUUUGUAUUGACAACAGUUUUAGAUAGCAGGAGACGCCUAGCCUGCUCUGCCUCUGCUAGCUUAUUUAUGGCUUCUUCCAUCUCUUCUUUGGCUUGGGUGAAGAGAGCAUCUGAUUGCUCUUUUUGCUUCUUCAGGAACUCAGCUACAUUCUCAAGGGCUGCUGCACGCUUUCUUUCAGCCUUUACUAAUGCCAUGAGGACACGAACAGCUGACGACUCCACCUGGCUUGCGUGUAAUCUAGCAUCAUCUGGGAAUUUGCACCUUGUGUGUAAUCCAACAUCAUUAGGGAACUGGCACCUUGUGUGUAAUCCAGCCUGAUUUUGGAAACAUGAUCUCGAGCUUGACCAUACUUCCCUCCUCGCAGGAACUGCAUCCUGACAUGAAGUUACUUCUUUUUUAGAUCAAUACUCAGAGCAACCUAGAUCCAUUUAGUAGAAGCCAGAUAAACAGAACUUGGAGAAGUGAAUUCAAAGGAAAAAAAUAAAAACAGACUACAAGGUGAGAACUCCCACUUCCCACAUCAAGCUAAAAACGAAAGCAUUAGGACGAUUAAGACACUUCUUAUUACACAUCGGAGAACACCACGCUUAAGAGAAACAGAAACUACAACAUAUACACAUCAAAGAACACGAGGCUCAACGAAAGUAAUUGAAAGCGUGUUACUUACCAAAGCUUGUUUUAUAGGUUUGGUGCAGCUCCUCUUUAACUUGCCACGCUCCUUGAAGAUGUCCCGAAUAUCCCGUGUUUGGUCUUCAUUGCUCCUCUGCAUGUUCGCACUCGUGGUUUUAAAAUAUCCACAUGGCAAGAAAAAUUUACUACUAGUAAUACUCGCGCAUCUUGUGGGAAACAUUAAAUCACUCGUCUGCCAUGUUAGAGCAUCUCCAACAGAAUCGCAACGCGCGGCGCUUUAAAAAGCGUUUACAAUGCUGAGAUCGAGAAGUAGAGACUAGAGAGUAGAGGAUAGUUCUCAGCAUAGAUAGAUAAAAAAAGAUAAUUCAACUACUCCUCGUCGUCCGACUCCUCCUCGGUGAUGUCCUCCUCCGACGUCUGACUGUAGGCAUGAAGAUACCGAUCGUCGUUGGAUUCCCAGGGCGACACUGCUCCUAGCCUCAUGUUGAAUUGAGCGUCCACUUUUCACCUACGCUUGUCCUCGCGAGGCGGCUCGCUCCGCACUCCUCUUAUCCCUGUCCGCCCUCCUUUGCGCAUAGAACUCGUGCUCGUUGAUGAUGUCCUGCGGGAAGUGUUGGCGCCACAUCGCCAUGGAUUCCUCGUCCAUCUCGGCGAUGCUAAGCCGCGGCAGAGGCGCGAGCUCCUGCGCCCGCUCCCGCGUUGGCACGUUGGGGAAGUUCAAUGUUCUAUGAGGCCAUCGGAGGCGCCAUGCCGCCGUGUCGUACGCGCGGGCGGCCUCGUUGGCGGUGUCGAAAUUGCCGAGGCCGAGGCGCAUCCCAUGGAACCAGAUCUCGACGGAGAAGCCGCCGGAGGGGCGCGCGCGGACGCCGCGGUAUCCCCAAGUUUCCCGACGACGCGGCGGCAUGGUGGCGCGGCGGCGGCGAGGCGAAAAAGAGCGGGGAGAGAGCGGUGGCGAGGCAUAGAGCGGGGAGAGAGCGGUGGCAAGGCACAGAGCAGUGGGAGGGCGUUGGAUUUUAUAAAGCGCGCCGGAUGCCGCCCGCCAAAACUAGCGCACGCCCGGCCGCUUUUUCCCGCGCGUGCGCGAUCCUUUCCCGACGUCUCUGCUAUCUCUACUCUCUUCUCUAAUGUUAUAUUUAUUUAAUAUGUAAUAUUUAAUAUUUAUCUCUACUUCUCUACUGUCUACUUUUUUUCUUGCAAUAUAGGCCGUCCGAUUUAUAUCUGAGAGAUAGGAAGGAAACAAAUGGGAAUUUUGCAAAAAGAUACCCAUACCCCUCUCUAGAUUUGCAAAUAAGGCCUUCCCUCGUUCAUCCUUUUCUCCCACAAGAUAAACUACUCAUACAAAUGCAUCUUGAUGCGUGCAACGCAUGGGCAUCUUGCUAGUUCUAAAAACCUUUCCAUCAUUUGCCACACUACUGGUUGCAGAUGAAAAACCUACCCAAGCACAGCGCGAUACAGGAGCGACGCACAAUUACAAGUUGAUAUUCUGUUGGACAAUGGAGGCUAUAACCAAUUACUUUUACGGGAACAAUAGGACCCAGGAAAUUUGAAGGGUAGGUAUGAACAAAAUUGGAACUGCACAUGUACUGCUAUGUGAUUAAAUAGACACAUUACCAAUCGAGGAGGAGAACGAUGGUCGCGGCGGCCUCUGUGAGUCAUGGUCGGCAACGGGAGUCAGUUCAUUGUCCACGACGGUGGUACUUCUGCGCUUGGCGUCGGCUUCCGGGAAGCAGAUCCGAGACCACGGAAGACGAUGCUGGGGAAGAGGCUCCGUGUACGACGACGACGACGGACCGGCUCCAGUGCAGCAUACGAGGUCGUCGAUGAGGCAGAUGCGCUGCGGUGGACGAGUGCGCCGAUGUAAAUGGGGAGGAGCACGAAGGUUGUGGUGUCGUGGAGAAGUCUAUUUUGCGGUGGGGAUAGAAAAUGGGGAGUAUUCAGGUGUACUACCUUGUGUGCCCGGGUGGGGUUGGCUGGGUAGGGUGACCCUGAAGUUACGUAAACAACCCCCUACCCAGCGUCAUCCAUAGGCCUGUUCCGAAGGCUAUGAUGGUAACUUCCCACUGCUCGAAUCAGGGUUGCAGGAGAUUUUCCCGCCGACCUCAAAAUUUUGUGACACUGGACUCCCCGUGUGGCGUGUUGAGUGAUUCGGCUAAGCAACUAGCCAGUAGUUGUAGCAAACUCUGCAUGUUAGGUUUGACCAAAGUCAAACUUCCUAAAGUUUGACCAAGUUUAUAGAAAAAUAUAAACAUUUACCAUAACAAAUAUGUAUGAUGUGAAAGUACAUUCAAUAAUGAAUCUAAUGGUAUUUAUUUGUUAUUGUAUAUGUUAAUAAUUUUUUGUUAUAAGCUUUCUGAGAGUUUACAAAACUUGACUUUGACCAAUGCUAAUACGCGGACUUAAAUAAAAACAGAGGGAGUACACAUUUGUUUUCUUAGUUUGUAGUGAACUAAUCAUUUGUUGAAAUUGUGAAAUAAAUAUAUUAGGCUAUUGACUACGAAUGUAAUGGUCUAUACAAUUCAAUAGUUACAAUCAUUGUCGAAUCCCAAGAUGUAUACAAGGUCUAUAGUACUUCACAACAUGCUCAAACUCACAUAAUCCCAGUCAAAUGAGAAUCUAAAUGCAUUUCAUAGUUAUUACUUUGUAGGAUGCAACAAAAACAACCAUAACUCUACAUCAGCCAUUAUAGAAGCAACAUUUUGACAUAUCCCAAUGUGUGAAUGAAACGUGCAGAGAGAGCUUUUGAAGAUGGAGCAGAUAGGGUGGGAAAGAUUGUAUAUAUGUGGACGAGAGAGUAGGAGACAAACCUAAUGAGACAGAGAGAGAGAGAUAGAGAGAGAAAGAGAGAGGAAGAAGAUAGGUCUAUGACAAAGAUGGAGACAUGUAAUAUACGUGAGACGCGUGUGCAUCCAGAUUCUGUAUACGUGGAAGGAGAAGAGACAACAUGUUUGAUGAGAGAGCUGGAAAAACAUGGACGAGAGGGGAAGGAUCUUGUGGGUUGAGGGAUAGACAAUUUUGUGCGGGGGAGAGAGGGAUUGGUAAUUUUGUGCAAGAGAGAGAGGGGGGGGGAGGAGUCAGUCAGCCGUCGUCACAUCACCCUGCUUCCAAAUGACCCCGCAUUCUCUAGCGUGGUGUGGUCGCCGUCUUCGAUCUGCUCGAUGCCCACUUUGAAGAUUGAGGUGUUGUGCAUGUUGGGGUGCAAAGAAGCACAAGCGAGAGUGGUCGCCGUAUGACCUUGGAUGGGGAUGAAUUGUGUGCUCGGGGGAGGGUGUGUGUGUGUUGUGUUGCGUGUGUGUGUGUCUCUGUGUGUGUGUGUGUGUGUGUGUGAGAGAUAUUGAGAGAAAACAAACCUAAGGAGAGAAAUGGGUAUUCACGAAGAGAUUGUCCGGGCCUUGAGGUGGGCAGGGGCCAGGUGAGGGUGUCAAAAUGUGCGCGUUGAUGCAUGUGUUGCAUGCGAUCGUGCGAGGGACGGACGAAUCGAGAGAGAUGGUUGUUGUGUUACGGAUGCUCCUCUCUCCCUGUCUCUCUCUCUCUCUCACACACACACACACAAGUAAACUAGAAGACCGUUCUCUCAUGUAUACACAACGUAUCGGCAUCUGUCUAUGUCUCACUCACGCAUGAUCAUUUGCACAUUCACACCUCUCUAUGUCUGUAUCACACGCACACCGUCUCCACAUUGCCCUUCCGCCACAACACACAUAUGGACACACACGCGUUCUCUCUCAGUCACACACACAAAAUUAGUAUUAAAAAAACUAGGGCGCACCUAAAACGUCCAAAUCCAAAUAAACACGAACUGGAGCUAAAUUCAAAUAUAUGGAAAUAUUGCAGCGUCAAGAACUUUCCCAGGAAAAAAAGUUGAGUAAUAUUCGAGGAUUGUUUUCACACACAAAAGGUUCGGUGGAUGUCCUUCGAGCGCGACACGGUGACGCACCGUUCGAUCGAUCGCGCGGCCGCGGUUCACGCGCUUGCACAGGAUUCCGUAUCGUGGAUGUGGUACUAACUAAUAAAAGCGCUGCCUAAGUCUAAUGUUUACGUGUACUAGUACGGUUUUCUUUUAAGUUUGACCAACCUUAUAUAAAACCAAAGUAAGCUCCCACACGCGCACUCAUCAAUAUGCCGCCACCACCGUUGCACAUGCUGGCGCCCGCCUGCUCCGGCCAACAAUUUCUCGCCCAUCACCGCCGUGUCGCCGCCAUCCCCGUGCCAUGAAGCUGAAGGCUCGCCCGCUCACGUCGUCUGCAGUCCCUCCUCGCGAUGCCGCCACGCUGCCAAGCACGCGAGCAACUGGUGGAGCCGCGUCUAUGCACGCAGCGUACAAAGAGGAGGACGAGCGCAUGCUCCAGCAUGCCGGCGAGGAGGACCUAGCGUGUCAUUGUCGUCUCCGCCCGCGCGGAGGAGGCGCGCAUGGUGGCUGUCGCAGCGGAAGCCGGUCGCGUGCGCGUCGAGCCCGCAAACUGGGUGCGGACGCGGAAUCUACCUUCGAGACCUUGAAUGCCACAUGGAUCCUGCAAUCUGAAGGAGCAAUUUGGGUCAGUCGACUCAUGUGAGCCGUUUGAUGCAACAUGGAUGGCUAGAAGGGCUUCUUCCACCUCUUCUGCCGUCUUCUUCCUUUGCUUCGUCGAACUUUUUUCACAAAUCAACUGACCCAAAUUAUACUACCAGUACGAACGUAUUAAGUACAGUAGGAACACGAAGAUACGAGAAGUAGUACCAACUGCAAGAAGAACAGUAUUAAGACAUAGUACUAGUACUACUGUACGUACUAAAGAGUUCAAAUAACGAGAAAGAACACAAACAUAGUUCUGCUGGGGCCUCAGCACAACACACCCUUGAAAAUAAACUAAGCAACUUGUCCGCUUGACACUGCAGUAGAACCAGCAUGAGCGACGGCACUGCCACCUACUCGGAGUCCGAGUCCACCUCCUUGACUUCGUCCUCGUCCCUCUUCCUCUUCCUCUUCGUCAACGCUUCUUUGCUUGAACCGGACACUGGGCUCUGCUUCUUCAUCCAACCCUUGUAGAUAUUUAAACAAAGGUAGGCAUCCAUUGCUGCGUAUAGGAUGUGAUCUUCAUCUAACGUCUUCGACUCCCAUGCAUGAUGAAACUCGUGAUGAGGUUUCUUUAGUUUAGCGUACGAAGGAUCAAUCAUGGCUGCUGCCAGGGUCAGCAUUGAAGGUUGAGAGGAGGACACCAGGCUUGCCUUCUGGAGAUCGAAGGGCUGGCCUACAACGAGACCUAUCCGACGCAGGACAUCCCUGUCCUUCUUAAAUCCUACAGUAACGAAUUUCCCUCUUUUGUCCUUGAGGAAGUUCUUAAAAUCCUGGCACUCAACGUCGGCAUGGCAUAUGUGGUAGACCAAGCAAACGUUAUGUACGCAAACCUGGAUCACGGCGGGCUUCUUCCUCUCUUCGUCCUUUAGAUCCUUCUCUCGUCCCAGGACUGUGGUGUACUCAACAUCUAGCCCAGCGACCCACUCAUCCGUUGAACUGUUGAACAUGCGUAGGAAGGGAGCAAGCCAUGCUUUCACCGUCGCGGAUCCACGUGUGUAGAUGACGAUGAACUGAUCACCGGUGAUGGCUCUAACCUGGUACUCAAUGGAGACCAUGGAGAUUUGGGAGGCCAUGGAUUUUGGAGGAGGGUUAGGACAAGUUGAACUGUUGUACCCCGCAAAAAAACUGGGAGCGAACUAAUGUGAAAGGACGGGACGACUGGGAGCGAACUGUUGUAAGGUAGAAGACGGGGACGAGUAGGGCGUGCGAACGGCGUGGGGUUGCUGGCUUGCCCGGUGGAUAAACGGCUGCAAGCCCCCAAAGAAUUCUCGAGAACUAUGCGGGACCCACUAGAUGUCAUGUCUACUAGACCCAUAUCGUAGGCCUGACGGUAUAGCUUCUGCCUGUUCGCACGCCAUGCCGGCGCGUGGAUGUAACUUCACUUAAUUCCGUCAACCGUCGUGCCUCCCACAACCUUCGCCUCCCUCGCGCGGUCGCGCCCUUUGAGACUUCGAAUGGCUAUAAAUGAGCAAUUUUUUUGCCUACUCCGCAUGCAUGAUACUCCCUCUAGUCCUUUUUACUCCCGUCAACCGUUUACAAAGUUUUUGACCAUAUUUAUACUUUUUUUGAACACCACCUUAUAUUAAUUAACCAGCCACACCAGUACACUCGUUCAAUACAAUAUUCACCACACAGGGCGGUACGUUAUUUACAAGAAUACCAUCUAAUCUAUUGUCAAAGCUAUACUUAGCGAUUAAGUGUGCCACCUUAUUGGUCGAACGGCUAAUCUUUGACAAUUGAAGAUUGUUGAUCAACUUCGAGAUGCUCAACGCUUUCAUCUUCAGGUCACGCAUAGCAGACCUGUCAUAGUCCCCCGAUGCAAAAGGCGCUACCACAAAAGCGCAAUCAGUCUCUAAAAUUACAGGACUAUGAAGAGAAAUACCUAUGUAGAGACCGGCAAUGCAAGCCCUAAGCUCCGCUUCCUCCACGCUUUGACAGGCAUCAAUGAAAUCCCACGACCAAAUUUAUACUAAAAAUAUCAAUAUCUACAACAUUGUUUAUAAUGAGUAUAAGAACUACGUUUUAUAAUGAGUGUAAAAAUAUUGAUUUGACAUUGUGAAUGUUUAUAGUACAUUUUUCUAUAAGUCUGGUGAAAGUAGAGGUACAUUGACUUCAGACAAAACUUAAAUGCACAAUGCAGCCUAGUUCCUCCGUCCAGGUGCGUGCCAUGUCCUAUCUUGUCAUCACAACAAGGUUAGCUAUUAGAGUACCACUUCCUCCCUUCUAGUUUAAUGGGCUGGAUUCAAAAAUUUCACCUACUCUUAGCAAGAUAGUAGAGGCGGUGGAAUAGUUUUUGAAGUCUGCAAAAAUACUCAACUAAUGUAGUCGUUCUUCACAAAAAAAUGUGUUUACCAAUGCAUGCAUGAACACUAGUUACUCUAACCCCCCUCUCUUCUUUAAUUCUUUGCCACAUCAGCAUGUUUGCUAUUCCAGUGUGCAUGAUACCAGCUAAGAUACCACCAUUAUGGCCAGCCUUAAUCAUCGCAUGCAAUAAUUUAGUGCACCUUGAAAUAUGAACAUGUGUGGGGCGUGUAUGUUUUUAAUGACUUGAGACUAUACCUAGCCCGCCAUGCAAGAUGACUUAUUAUUCACCGUUCCCCAUACCUGCAGGAAGCCCGUUCGUCUCCAAAUCUUUUCCUCUCCAUGUGUGGAAACAAUAUGCCUGCCAAACUCUCCUUCUCCCUCCGGCGGUCCCACCACUCCACCCCGUGUGAAAAAAUCUGCAUGCAUGACUCUCCUACCCCCACGCUCGUCCAAUCCGUUGUGACCAGCAAUAUUUCCACCCCUUCCCUCCCCUGUAAUUUACUCCAACAAAUAUGCCCACGUAGCUGUUACUUAACUGCAGGUGCAUUGGGUCACUGACAUAUGGGCCCAACAGGGGUCUGGCCCACAUGUCAGUGACGCAACUGGACCUGCAGUUAAGUCAGUGCAGCUCAGUCCAUAUCUUACGUAGGUGUGCCAUAGCUUGCUAUAAAUACUGCGCCUCCCACGAGAUCGCUAUCUCCUCCCCCUCACGUUCAUGUUCAUCGCUAUCCCCUCCCCCUCCCUCUCACGUCGACCACCAUGCAUCGCCCCUCCCAAGCCCUAGGAGCCCCUCGCUGCACCGCGCAGACGGUCACGCGUCGCUGUUCCAUUCCUCGCCGCCACUAGUCGAGGAGGACGCGUCGGUGUUCCGCUCAUCGCCGCUACGCGACACGUCGUCGUUCCGUUCCUCGCCGCCACUAGUCUAGGAGGACGCGUCGGCGUUCAGCUGCUCGCCGCGACGCGACGCGUCGCCGUUCCGUUCCUCGCCAGCACUAGUCGAGGAGGACGCCUCGGUGUUCCGCUCCUCGCCGCGACGCGUCGGCGUUCCCAAUCUCGCCAGCACACGCGUCGGAGGAUGCGUCAGCUCCCCGCUACGAGGAGAACGCCGCGCCGCCCGCCGAGCCCCCCAACCUUGAGAAGAUUUGGAAAGAAAUGGAUGUCGCCUUGUGGGAGGCUUUGCCUCCAGCAGAGCGCACCAAAAUAGAGGCGGAGAAGAAGGCUGAGAAAGAGAAGCGCACCGCGGAACAAGCUGCCUGGGAGGCCUAUGUCGCGUCCGAGAGAGUCAGGCAAUUGGCUCUUUGGCAGAAGGCUCGUGCGAGGGCCGUGAGGGUGGCGGAGGACGCCCGUGCCGACGCCCUGAAUGUAGUCGGGCCCAAGCGCCUCUUCUAUGCUUGGCGGUACGUGGACCGGGUGCACGCUUCCAGCGAGGAGGAGUACCUGUUGGCGCCGGAUCACCACACCGGUGCGAUCGCGCUUGCCCGCCGGCAAGCCGCCUAUCAGCACCUCGCGAGGUGCGAGGCUGAGGAAGAGGCGUUGUGUCGGCGCGCUGGGAAACGGCCGCGCACCAGGGCACUCGUGGCGCGCCGCAAGCGCUCCUGCAAGCGCUGUGGCUUUUAGGAGGAGUAUAAUUUUGGUUUCGUAAGGCGAUCUCAUUAGUUUUGCGACGCAAAUGAUAAAUCCCGAACAUUAGGAAUUUUUAGCGUCCUUAAUUAAGUAUGUAAAAGGGAUAGUUUGGAAACCUUGUGUAUUCAUACGCAUUUUGCAAGUAUGUGCAUAUAGCACAAACUUUACUAUAUACUAUCGCACUACACGUCUCUCUCGAUAUAUGCUUGCAGACUGUGCUACUCCCUCCGUCGAGGUCAAUAAGUCAUCUUUGGUUGUGCACCGUGACCAAGAAGGAGGGAAGACUUAUACAUCUAGAUGGAGGGAGUACUACUAUUACUUCUGUACGUGCAAAUGCACGUUUUAGCAUUACGAUGCGGUUUUUGUAAAAGUAGAAAAACAACACUAGUCAAGCUUGUGAAACGAUUCAAUGCAAAACAAAUGCAAAAAUGCUCGUUUGAUUGUUUGCUUUUAGCUUCCUUCUCUGUGGUUAUUUCUUUGUCGUACUUUGUACGGAGUAUCUCACUGGUUGGAAAGGCAUGCAAAUUCCCAAACCGCUUCCUACACCCUGUAUCGAAUUUUUUGCCUAACAAGUUGUGCCGUGCAAUUGGAAUUCCAACUUGAGUACUACUACUAGUAGGAGUACCAGGGGACAAUUCUUUUAGGCUUCUAGAUUAGUAAUCCCAUAACUACUACCUCCGUCCUGGUUUAUUGGUCCCCAUUGUAAUCUGUGUCAAAUUUUGAACAUAAAUUUAACUAAUGAAAUGUUAGUGCAUGUCACAUGCACUACUCCAUCCGUCUAGGUGAGUAACUCAUCUUAGGCUGUGCACCGUGACCAAGGAGGAGGAGAAAACGAGAAACGUUAAUGUUUAUUUGCUAAUUGAUAGUAUUGCAUGCAAUGAACUAACCACUGCAUGUCGUGUUUGAUAUCUCAAGUCAUUAAAAGCAUGCACACUCUUUAUCUCUUAUUGGUUGAUAUGUCAAGAAACAAGAAACGAGGUAGAAGUUAAUGCACCGCGCCUAAGUGUUUUGGGAUUAUUUGGUUUUCGUAAGAUGACUUACACACCUAGAUGGAGGGAGUAACAUUUUAUCAGUUAAAUCUUGGGUCAAAAUUUAGCACAAAUUACAAUGGUGAGGAAUAAACCAGGACGGAGUAGUAGUUUAGAAGCCCAAAUAAAUGAGUGAGGCGCCUUAUUGUUACUCUCCGCUGUGAGUAGUCUUAUGGGAAAAGCUGGGGAAGCCGCCAAAAGAACUGGCCCUAGGAGUAGUAACUAGGGAUCGAGUGUGCGAGAUGAACCGGAGAAAGUAAAUGCAGAGAGAUGAAAUGCAAAAAAGACGGAGGGAUGUGAUGGCAACCUUAGGCUGCAAACCAAACAGGCCCUAAGUCUCUAUCUCUACUACUCUUCUUUGUUUUUUAUAACAAAUCGAAUAGUGUUGCACCGUCCGCUGCACGCCCGGCUGAACACGCCUCCUCGCCUCCAUCAUCACCAACUGAGUCUUUUAUAGGAGUAGGAGUAGAGAAAAAACCGAGUUGGUGAUGAUGGUGUGCCAUGCAAUGCACAGGCAUCUUGCUAUUUUUUUUGCAUAUAAGUCCAAACACCACGUAGACACAGUCUUUGAGCACGGUUCAUAGUCGUUCCACGCUCGGGCAUUGAAGUUUGUAACUAUUUUAGAUUAGAAUAUACUACUCCUCCGGUGCUAGUAGUAGAGCAGAGUCCUACUCUACUACUCUACUCAAGCAAGUUAGGGCAUAGUACUGUAGGGAGUACCAGUACUGUGAUCACUCAAGCAAGUUGUCUGGCAUCGAUAUGACCCUACGCUGCUGGUAUGUGUCUCGUAAGUCAAGCGGCGUGUUGUAGUCAUCAUCACCUGUCCAUUUCCCACAGCACAUAUUCGCUUCUCCAUUUUUGUCCGCACAUAAUCUCGUCCAAUCUUCCAUCCCCGCUAAGGCGCCUCCCCCCCUCGUUCGAAACCCAAGCACUAACAAUGGCAGAACCGAGCAGCGUCCGCCGAAAGAGUGGCUAGAAUUCGCUCCCCACAGAGGUAAACAAGCUCAUUGUUUCGCGUGUGGACAAUCUCAGUACCAUGCCGCUCGCCGCGUGCUCGUCGGGGCUGUACCGUUUACUCAAAGCCCUCAGGCCGGAGCUUUUUAAGCCAGCUCCUUACUUGCUGGUGCCGCCUGAUCUUCAGAAACAGCGUGUCAUGCAGCAUAACGAUCGUAGGGUGGCGAGCAUCAACCCCCUUGACUAUGAUCCGAUCCCUGUCAGCCUCAACUACAUUAACGGUAUGUACUGGGUCAGCAUGAACACGUCUUGGAUGGUGCUCGUCGACGGUCGCGGCAGCUGGAUGCUCGUGGAGGUCUACAACCGGCGAUUGAUCCCCCUUCCUUCGAUUAACACUGCACUGCUUUGGCACCGUGGCCCAGAAUACUCGGAAUCUUACAGUAGCCAACAUGAUACCAAGUUUGAUUUGCUCAAGGUUGUAAUCUGCCAAGUGCCCACAAGAUUUGCAAAUUAUAAAGACUUCAGGGUAAUUGCAUUCUUCAACCGCGGUCUCGCCUAUCUGACAGGUCACUGCGGCAAGUGGAUAAAUCUGCACGUCCAUCGCAAGAUCAUACAUCCUCCAUGGUUCUCUGAUGCCAUUGAACACAAGGGCUUCAUUUACGCUGUCGACUCCUUCUAUGGCUGGACGUAUUGCUGUCCUACUCCAGUCAUCGCUACAAACGGCUGUUACAGCAGUAUGUUACUUUCCUAUGAUAUCAUGAUGGCUUGCUUAUAUUACUGUCAACAUUUACUGAACAAAUAUUCAAGUUCAUAACAUGCUGUUCUUAAGAUUGACUAAAUCAAGAGCCCUUUUUUAUUUGACUCCAACUUGAUAUGAUGUUGUAGGCCGCCUGGUGUCCCUACCCUUCCUAAUCCCAGAACCUUUCAAAGAAAAGCGGCAUUGCAGUUGCAGGUGGUUCCUGGCUCGAUCAGACAACGGCGAAAGAUUGAUGAUCGUUCGCACGUACCGGACGUGUUGUUUCGCGGAAUACAAUCACAGUCACUACAAGGUCUUUGAGCAGGAUCCCAACUUCUCUGGGCCUUCAGGAAUUUUUGACUGGAGGCUGGUAAGUAGCCUUGGUACACGCUCUCUGUUUGUCGGACUGAAUUAUACGAUUAACCAGGAGAUAACCGACGGCAAGGAUCAUGAUGGCAGCGCGGUUUUGUUCAUCAGGAAAAACUGUGUGUACACAGCGUACCAUGCGUCUCUGCAUGCACCAUACCCUGAUAUGUGCCGCCACACUCUGCAGCCCAAAGUAGGAGAGAGGGUCGCAAGUAUCAGACUUCGACCUGCUGGCUGGAGUUUCCCCCGUCAGGCACCCAUCUGGUUCAAGCCGUCAGCCAAUCUCCAUAGCUUAAUAAAUAGUAAUGUCUAACUGAGCUAGUUAGUUAGAUGCGUACACUUGGUGUAGUAGGAUCUUUAUUUAGUUUGAUGCAUAGACUUGUUCUUUUUGGGUAGCCCUUUUGUAAUGAUGGCUGAUGUUUGGUUUGGAAGAGAGAGCUGCGUCUUCACUCUUCUGGCCUUCUUACUGCUUCUGUUGUACCCCCAGCCCUGGUUGCUGCUGCUGUUGCUGUUUUCAAUGUACAAUCAGUAGUAUAUUUCGUCUGUUGGUUGAAUAAAUGUGUUGUUAGAAUGACAAACACAAUGUUUUGGAAGUCGGUGCAUGGUUCGAUCCUUUAGUGCCCCGUACCGUACGUAGCUCAUACUAUUUUUCGUACGGAACACAUUUUCCACUUGUUGAUAACAUGCAGCCCACUGAUGAAGUCCCAAUAGAGAAGCCCAUAAUUAAUUGGAAGGGAGGCUCUUACAUGAAUCCGGCCCAGGUACAUGCUUAUGGUUCCCUAAACAUAAAUAAGUAAAUAAAUAAAUAAAGCUAAAUGCUCAUGCACCAGUUCUUUGGGAAAAUAGGUAGCCCAGUAUUUCUUUUUGAAGAAUACCCAAGCUAGGCCUAUUUGUUUUCUCCGAAUUACUCGGCUGCAAAUCUUUCAAGACGAGGAGGGAUGCAUUCCGGCCUAGCCAAAGAGUAUGGUCAAUGUCUAUUAAAAGUAAUAUCAAAAGGGGUUGAAAAUUCCAAAAAAAUAUAUAGCAAAUGGGAUAUUAGUUUCUUUUUUUGUUUUUGUUCUUCACUGAUAUCUUAUACGUAUUUCAUUGGAUUUAACAUGACAUAGUACUAAUUUAUUUUUAAAUUUGUUUUAGUAUGGCUAUUAAUUUUUGGAUUAAGAAUAUUUCGUUCGCGAGCAAAAAUUUGCGAAUUUUCAAAAUUUCCCACAUAUUUAGUUAAUUUUUUUACCCUGGUACUGACCAGAAAAUGGCCAGCAAUUCUGAAAAUGGAAAACGGGCUGCAAUAAAUUCCAUAUGAAUUAGAAAAUGAGUAAAAAUUAUAAAAAUAAUAGCAAAUGGGCUGUACACGCCAAAGAUUUCGAGGCUGACUUGUUUACGCAAGGCUUUGUCAGUGAACACACGAUUCUAGCCGCAGUGACUGUUGGAUGUCCAUCCAACGGCCGACGUGCUUCUUCAAUCUCCGAUCUUCCUACUCCAGCCGCCUAAACUAGCGCCGGCGGGACUGCCUGCUCUCUCCUCUUGUGGCCCGCUAUGAUGCCGCGCAGGCUUCCCCGGCCCACCCUACUCCCUCCGCUGGCCGGGCCGCACGCAAUCAACUGUCUCCUUAUUAUGCGAAAAAAAUGAUUCCUCCCACUAACAUCUGGGGAGCACCUGUUGGGAGGCUGACCUGUGGGCCUACUAAGUUGACGCGUACGCAGGGCUUGUCAACUUAGUCAACAAACGAUUCUAGCAGCAGUAACCGUUGGAUUUGAAUCGAACGGUCCUGCUGCUUCUUCAAUCGUUGCUCUUCUUGCACCAGCCGCCCAAACCAGCGCCGGGGAGACCGCCUGCUCCUGCCUCCAGUGGCCGGCUAUGCUGCCAUUGAGGCCUCAUCGCCCCCUACUACUCCCACCGCUAGCCAGGCCCUGCGGCGACGGCAGCCUCACACCGCAGCCGAACCAGUGAACCCUUGUACUCCUCUCCAUGUGGGCAUCCACUGCCGCGUCUUCCCCGGCUCCGCGUCGUCCCCAUCCUAGGCCUCGUCGUCGUCCACCGCCUUGGUGCUCUCGGCGCGGCGUGGUCAAUGUGGUCAACGACAUUCCAUCGGAAGAGUACUGUACGUGGAAAGGCUGACAACUGGGUCCAUGGCCACAGCCCAGUUUUUUGUGAUUUGCCAAGUAAGUCGCUUUGUCAGGCCUGUUGGGCUGCAAAUCUUUCAAGACGAGGAGAGCUUUCAUUCGGCUGGCCGAGAAAAUGGCCCAUCAGUAAUGAGAAAUGGGCUGUACAUUUUUAAAACACAUCAAACCUGCAAUUAGUUUGAAAUAUCUUUUUUUCAUUUCGAGAUUUUAAAUUACAUUAAUUUUUAUGCGUGGAGAAUUUGUUGGAUUUAUAUUGAUAUACAUUUAUUUUGAAAAUCAAUUUGAAUGUGAGUCGAAAUUUCAGGAUUAAAAACAGUUCGGACCGCACCGAAAUAUGCAAAAUUUCGUAUAAUUUUUUAACCGUGGCCACAAUAUGGGCUGUACUGCUAACAAAAAGAAUAUAGGCUCCAAAAAACCUUAUGAAUUAGAAAAUGGGCUGUAAAUUAUUAGAAAUAAAGGCAGAUGGGUUGUAUGCUAUUUUCCACAGAUUUGAGGCUUUCCUUAAAAAAAGGUUGACGCACAAGCAGUGACUGUUGGAUGUCCAUCCCACGGCCGUCGUGCUUCUUCAAUCUCUGAUCUUCCUGCUCCAGCCGCUCAAACAAGCGCCGGUGGGACUGCCUGCUCCCUCCUCCCCGCAGCCGGCUGUGCUGCCGCGCAGGCCUCACCGCCCCACCGUACUCCCAUCACUGGCCUAGCCAUCCCUCUACUCACCCACACCUGCUAUUAUUCUCCGGCGACGACAGACGAACCAGUAAACCCUCGCACAGUCGUACUCUCGUCUGCGUGGGAAACAACUGCCGAGUCUUCCCUGCCUCCAUGUCGUUCCCUUCCUAGGCCUCACCGUCGUCCACCGCCCUGGUGCUCUCGGCACGGCGUGGUCAACGUGGUCAAUGACCGACAUGCAUCUGAAGUGGACUGUAUGUGGAGAGGCCAACAGCUGGGUCCACGGCCGCACGCAAGGAAGUGCCUCCUUAUUACGCGCAAAAUAAUGAUUCCUCCACCUGACAUCAGGGACCCACCGAAAGGGCCUCUGUAUUUCGCGAAAAAAGUUACCGCCGCUGACAGCUCGGACCCACACUACUAGGGAAAAGCCUAGCAGCAUUGCGGGUUUUAGGCCUCUCAGUAGCGCGGGGACCGGCGCUACUAAUAAGGCGCUACAGCUAACGUAUAACAGUAGUGCCUGUUGUCCCACGCUACUGCUAUACAUGAAUAGCUGUAGCGAUCUUUAGAAAAGGGCGCUGCUGAUACUAUCUGCAGCGCUGUUUACAAGGAAGCGCUACUGGUAAGGCGGCGCUACUGCUAAAUUUCUCCCCCUUGCUACUACUAGUUUUAUUAGUUUUUUUCCCUACAUAUUUGUUUGGUAUUUGAAUAGGCUUUAUACAAUAAUCUUUAGCAUAUCAUACACAUAUAAAUGUAAUCAUAGCAUAUACAUACAAUUAGUCUCAUCAAAUCAUGUCAUCAUCAUAAUCAUCAUCCAACACAAAGUGGUCUCUCGUCAUCAUCUCGAAAAUAGCGAUACAAGUCUCGAUUACUUGCAAAUACAUCGUCAUCCAUCUAAACAAUGAUAUACGCGAGAAGAGCUAUCACUUUGAGUACGUGAGUUCGUAUCCCUCUCUCGCAUUAGCGUGAACCUAAACUAACUACUUCCUACCGCUCGGAAACCGGAAACGGGUACACCUGGGCCUGACACUCCGGCCACUCGUCGUAUAUAUACUCCUGGCGUAGCACUUCUUCGCCAUCUAUGAUCUAUGCACCUGCAUCGUCACAUGAGUCGAUGAUAUGCAAUAUAUAUAGUUGAGCAACAGAAAGAGACAGACUUGGCAAAAAUAGAAACAACAUAUCAUAAGCAUAAAUAACAAAGUUCAUCGUACCCAAAAUGCCCUAACUAGAGUGAUUUUCCCUAGUCGAGGAGGAGGACGGUUUAAUUACAUCACAAAUAAAGUUUCACCGUGCAUAACUCAAUGUUUUGUCAUACAGAAAGUAUGGACUAAACGGACACAUUGUCAUCGACAAUCACUCCACCAUGUCGUGCCAUCCAUCCAUGUCAGGGAGAUAGUCCUCGAGCUUAGUGAAAGGCUUCAUGUCGAGACGCUGAGAGGCUAUCCAUGUCCGGACGUCUUCCCGCGACAUUUGUCCUUCUCCGUAGAACAUCCCUGUUUUUCCGACGACCUCCUUCAUGAUGAUUUGGGCAAGUUCGCGCUGGAUGUUAUAGAACUCAUCUCGAAGUCGAUGAUCCUCGAUAUCUCCUAUGUCCUUUGCCCAUUGCAGAAUAUGGGCAUCGCCGGAUCUAGGUGACAUGCGAGGGUUCUGGUGAUCCCUUCUGUACUCCAGCAUGUGGUGUAGGACAUAGAAUCCAUCAUUAAGAGAAUCGUUCGGUUGCUGGAUGCAGCAGAAGUCGGUCUUAUGGCUGAAGGCGACCCUGCCGCCCCUUCUCUUCUUGUCCCUGACCUCUCCACCCCUUGCUUGGUAGUAAAACAUAGCACCGUCGAGAACAUCCUUGAUGUGGGUGUAAUCCUUUUUGUGAAUGUUCUUCGACGAGUCCAAGUAAAGAGCAUGGGAGAAUCGGGGCUAGAGGAUGAUAAGGACGGCGCGCGCGCUGCUGCGCAAAAUAAGUACACCUCAAAUUCAUUUGCCUCCACCGUGCAAAUGAAUGAUUGAAAUUGAAGGAAGGAUAGCAGCGCGGAUGACUUACACGAGAAUCACCUCCUUGUCCUUAUUGGCGAGCAUGAAACUGACGAUGUAAUCCCUCGCGUAUUCACCGUGCUUUGCGCAGACUCCCAAGAAGCCCUCGUGCAUGUAGUACGGGUCGGCGACACAGAUAUGAGGUAUCUGCUCAACCCCGAUGAUGUAGUUCAUGUGCAAGGCAUAAAGGCGGACAAACGUAAAAUCCAGCUUCGUCACGUGAAACAUGUCGAAUAUGUAAUCGAAUCGGAGGAAGAACUUAUCUGCGGGGAAGUAGUCGACGUACUACAUUUGCCGCGGAACGUUAACCACGUAGAGUGGGUAUCCUGGAUCUUUUGAGGCGAUGAGGCCUUUCUCUUCCCGCAGCACAUCGUCAUGAAGUCUCCUUAGAUCGCCGAAUCUGGCCCGUAGCGCUGUUGCAGGUAGGAUUGGUUGACCGGGGAUAUGCCAUUUAUCCGCAUCGGAGAUAUCUAUACGGUCCUGAAGCCGAGGCUGCUGAGGCGGCUGGAUCAUAGAAUCAGCUUUUUUGCCUUUCCUCGCUCUCUUCCUAGAGUUCUUUACUACCGGAAGGUCGUCCAUUAUACGUUGAGACGGCAAUUCAGGCACCGACUCAUGACGCUCAAACCCUGAGGAGGCGCCAGUAUAGACAUACUGUUCAGCGCCAUCGUCAUCCUCAUCCUCAUCCAUGGCGACGUCAUCAGCGACUAAUGGAGCCUCCUCCUUACCCCGUCCGCUAUCACCCAACCCGACACCCGACGCUAAUUGGGUAGGUGGGGUGUUGAUGUUCGUACCUUGCUGAGGCUGCCUGCUCGUGGAUGUGCUCCCGGCCGCCUCCAGACGAAGCAGACUCUUUGGCCACAACAGGACCCACCCAUUGCAAUAAUCACCAAGCCGCCGCGGGGUCUCGUCGUCAUCCCCCACUAGUAUUAGAGGAGGCAAAUUCUCGUGGCCCGAUUUGACACUGGCCACGGAAACCUUGAAGACGUUCAGGGGGAUCGGCCGGCUGUGGAACAAUGGUUCCUUCGGCUCCAUUAUCAUCGCCUUCCCCACGUCCACCUUCUGGUCGCCGAUGGUGUACAAUAUGGUGCACGGGAUUUCGUCGGCCUGCAAAGAAAAGUCUGCGACAUGAGACAUCCGAAAGGCAACGGAAACGGGAGAUUAUACAUUUAUAUUGAAGGGGGCCGGUGUGACAGAUACCGUGAGGGCGUCGAGCUCAGCCAAAGACGAAGCACCGCCGAGCACGUCCGGUGCGGGAGUAGGUGCGGGAGCAGGUGCUGGUGCAACGCUAGUCGAGCUACUCCCCAAGAAGUCAGCAAGGGGAAAGUCCUCUGCAUUUUUUUCUGGAUUUUGUCUUGUCCAAGUGAAAAUGGCUGGAACCAAGGAAGUAGACAAAUCUGCAACCAGCUGUUUUGCGGCAGCUACCGCUGUUGCGACUGUCUGAGAUGAUUUCUUCUCAACCGCAAUCUCAACCUUCUUGUCGAUGUUAUCUUCAGUUAACCUCCGUCUUUCCUUUCUCUCCUCCGUGGUCUCACGGUAGUACUUCUUCCACGUGGCACCGUCUCCGACACCGUGCACGCGUCCAUACGACGGUCGGGUAUCCACCGGUUGUCAUUUCAAUAUGUUCAACGCCCGGUUGAAUGGAGUGUCCCACUUCGGCCUCGCCAAUGCCUCAGACGGCGAGUCGCUUUCGACCGCAAUCGUGUGCUGCUCUCUCUGUAAAAGGCACAAGGAUCGUUUACAAAUAUGACUAACGUGUGUAGUUGAAUUGAUCAGAAACUAAAAUUACCAGCAGUCUCAUGAACUCCGUAAUGACCGGUUUUGUCUCGUAAACCUUCUUCACUGGGUUCCAACGGUCCCGGGCCCUGAGGACGUCACGCUCCUGCGGGACGGUGAACUCCGCCAAGGGGUCUGGGAUGCCCAGACUCGCGGCUUCCGCGUCCUCCUUGGCCCAUUUUGACCUCUUUCCGCCGUAACCACGGCUUCUGAGGUGGUGGCUCCCAAUGUUCCUCUCUUGAAGCCCCUUCAUGUACUUAGACUUUUUUUGGCAGCUUUGGCCUCGCAAGCCUACUUGAAUAUUUGAAACUGCUCUUCCGUGAUUGUCGGAUUACCCUUUACAAUCUCAGAGUAGGGUUCCUUCUUAUCGAUGUUCUUUGCUUUCACUCGAUUUUUCCAGGCGGCCAACGCGUCGCUAAACUUGGUCAUGGCGUGUUUGUUUAUCUUCUUCAUUGCUGGGUCCUCAUCUGGUUAUUCAUAAUCCUUCUCAUUCCGGCCCGGGAAUAAGAAUAUCUGGUGAAACUUCUUUAGGAGGGUGCUCCUCAUAUUUUUUAUCUUCUGUAGUUUCUCAUCGUUGAUGGUGGCGGUUGUCCCUACGAUGCAGCCUAUUUGAUUGCCGUAGCACGAGCGCGCCUCCUCGGGCGCCUUUGGCUCAAAAUUGCCGUCAUCCACCUCCGGGACCACCGGUCUAGUAGUCCCGAGUUUGUUAGGAAGCCGUUGCCUCUUUGCUUUCGGUUCUACACCGGCUCCGCUCCCCGAGGCAGCACCGGUCUCGAUGCCGGUCUGAGUCUCAGCACCGGUCUCAGUCUCAGCACCGGUCUGCGUGUCGGUCUUAGUCCCCAAUGCCACCGGUGGGCCCAGCAACAACAUUGGUUGAUCGUCGGCAAGGCUAAAAAAUUCGUCUGCCGCCCGGUAGACGUCGUCGCAAUCACCAGAACCCUGUCCUUCAUCGUUGCUAGCCAUGUUUCCUAUGAUUAAAUCUAGUCAAUUAAUUCUAGACCUAAUAAAAUGAAUAAUGACAUAAAAAGGCCUAUUGUUUUGCAAGAACGUUGACUCCUUCCUGGUGCGGCAAAUCCCGGGCACUCGAUAUGUCCUAGUUUGUAGCACAAGUCAUGCUGAAAUUCACGAAAUAUUUCGGCAUGACCUUUGCUAAAAAGUGGAAAAAUCGAGAAGCGGAAAUUUCCCGGAACAGAAAUGAAUCAACAUUCCGGCAAAACAUAGGCCACUCAGCUUCAUUCCCUGGAAACAACAAAGGCACUUGGGCAAAAUUGAACCACUUCAAUGAAAAGAUAUAACAUGAGCAAACACUAUUGAGGAAUUUGCAUAUAACAUGGCCACUUCAAUAAAAAGAUAUAAUAAAAAAUAAUGGAAUAUGCAAAUGAACAUCAAUCACAUAUAUCAUAUGAAAACAAUCUUGUUGUUUGUUUACAUAGCAACAAUUAGUUUGACCAAGUUUUUGAAAAGAAAAACAAUUAUGUUUUUUGUUUAUAGCUAAAUGCCAUAGCUACUGUUUUUUAUUUAUAGCUAAAUACUUUUGUUUUUUGUCGAAAGCUAAAAGUCUAGGAACUACAUUUUCUCUAACCCUUCUGACCUCACCAAAAUUUUCACUGCAAGACCUUAGUACCUACACCCAAUUUCUUCAAAAAUAUUCAGGUCCAUAGUCCAAAUAAUUCAAAUUUCAUUUGAAUGAAAUUUGGAACAAAUUCAGGUCCGUAGUCCAAAUAUUUUUUUAUAGCUAAGUGUUUUUUGUUUAUAGCCUCUGCUAAUUUAAAUUUAAAUGCUACUAUUAUUUAUAUACCCUCUAUUAGUUUAAAGCUAAAUGGAAUUACUGUUUAGGCAUUUUCAUAAAAAUUUCCCUAGCUAAUUUUCUAAAAAAAAUUGCUAAAUUUUUCCUAAAUGCUAUAAAAUGCCUACUGCCCUAAAAAAUCUAGGGUUCAUAUGAACAUCAACACAGUAUCAACAUAUAUAUGAAUUGCCCUAGCAGAGAGAGAGAGAGGAGGGUAGGGGACAGGAGAGGCAGAGCCUUACGGUCGGCGGCGAGGGCAGGCUCUGGCUCAGUUGGCGGCGGUGAGGUCGAGGGUGGUGGCGGUGAGCUCGAGGAAGGCGACGGUGAGGUCGACGACGGCCUCGGGCGGCGGCUGUGAGGUCGAGGGGGCGGCCUCGGGCGACGGCGGUGUGGUCGAAGGCGGCGGGCGGCGGUGGUGUGGUCGAAGGCGGCCUCGGGCGGUGGCGGUGUGGUCGAAGGCGGCAGGGCGACGGCGGCGAUGGAGCUGUUGGGGGACAGGGGGGAGUAGAGAGGGGGGGAGGACUUAGCGAAAUUUUGAGCCUGCGGGCUGCCGGGAUUGAGUCAAACUAGCAGUAGCGCGUUUUGCCGAAACGCGCUAUAGCUAAGAUAGCUAUAGCGUGUUCCAGAGAAAAGCGCUAUAGCCAUCCCUUUCUGUUUUGUUUUUCUUUUUCUUUUGUUUUCUUUACAUUUUCUUUUUUCAUUUCUCCUUUUUCUAUUUCUUUCAUUUUCAUUUACUUUUCUACUUAUUUUUCUAUUUAUUUUCUUUUUCAUAGCAGUAGCGCUCUACAGCAUAAACGCGCUGCUACAAUGUUUUUAGCAGUAGCGUGCUUCUGGGAGAACCGCUACUACUAUUCCUAGCCUACCGGCAUUAGUGAGGGAAUUUUAGUAGUAGCGCUUUUCCGUGAAGACGCGCUACUGCUAAAACAAUGGUUGUAGCGUGGUUUUGUAACAAGCGCUACUACUAAGUAGCACUAGCGCGGAGUUUUGACCAACGCUACUGCUAUACCUCUGUGUAUAACGUUUUCCCUAGUAGUGCCACCAGCUAUAUCUUCGCACACAAGGAAGGGCCUCCUUAUUACGCACAAAAAAAUGAAUACUCCCCCUGUUAGCUGGGACCCAGUAUAGUGGCAGGCUGACUUGUGGGCCUACUAAGUUGACAGGGAUGGAGGGCUUUGUCAACUUAGUCAAUAUGCACGAUUCUAGCUCUUGUGACCGUACGAUGUCGAUCCAACGGCCGUAGUGCUUCUUCAACCUCUGGUCUUCUUGCUCCAGCCGCCCAAACCAGCGCCGGUCGUGCCUCGUGCUCCUGCCUUCCGUGGUCGGCUGCGAUGCGGCAGAGACCUCACCGCCCCCUACUACUCCCACCGCUGGCCAGGCCAUCCCUCUACUCACCCACACCCCCAGUUAUUCUUCGGCGACGGCAGCCUCACACCGCAGUGAACCAGUGAACCCUCGUACUCCACUACGCGUCGGCAUCCACUGCCGCGUCUUCCCCGGCUCCGCAUCGUCCCCUUCCUAGGCCUUGCCGUCGUCCACCGCCCUGGUGCUCUCGGGGCGGCGUGGUCAACGUGGUCAAGGAACGGCUUCCAUCGGACGUGGACUGUACGUGGAGAGGCUGACAACUGGGUCCACGGCCGCAGCAAGGAAGUGCCUCCUUAUUACGCGGAAAAUAAUGAUUCCUCCACCUGAUAGCUGGGACCCACCGGACGGGCCACUGUAUUUCAUGAAAAAAACAUUUCCCCCUGACUGCUGGGACCCACCAGCUACAUCUUCGCACGCAAGGAAGUGCGUCCAAAAAAACGAUUCGCCCCCUGACUGCUGGGACCCACCAGCUACAUCUUCGCACGCAAGGAAGUGCCUCACAGUCGGGACCCACCUGGUCGAAGCGUGCGUAGCAUUGUCAUUCUGGUCGCGAACGUGUACGUACAUAUAUACUCGUCGAUGUAGAGGCGCGCACGUGUCAUAGUAGAGGCGCGUACGUGUCGUAGUAGAGGCGCGCACGUAGCAUGGACACGUACGUAUAGCGGCCAGUGUGCAAGAAAGAAAAUACGGCCACAUAUGUGUACAUACGGGCGGGGUCUCGAACGCCUACUCACGCAUACGUACGGCCAGGGCUCGUGUACAUGGCUGGGUCGGAACGGAGAAACAGUGUCGUCGUCAUGUUCAUGGGGAGGCAACGGAAUGAGUCGUGUUCAUUGGGAGGCAACGGAACGCGUGGGAGCCAACCGGGUGGGUCGGAACGGAAUGCGUGGUUGUGUUCAUCGGGAGGGCUUGGACGGAACAGGCGAUGGAAACGAGGCCUGGCGUACCGCAGAACGGAGGAAACGGCCUUGUGUUCGACCGGCCACGUUCGAAACGGGAUCCUGUUCAUCGGGAGGGGUCUGGCGUACCGCAAAACGGAGGAAACGGACCUCCUACGGUCGAAACAGGGGUCCUGUUGAUCGGGAGGGGUGUGGCGUACCGCAAAACAAACGAAACGGACUUGUGUUUGAGCGCUACGGUCAAACCGGGGGUCCUGUUGAUCGGGAGGGGUGUGGCGUACCACAAAACGGACGAAACGGACUUGUGUUGGAGUGCUACGGUCGAAACGGGGGUCCUGUUCAUCGGGAGGGGUGUGGCGNNNNNNNNNNNNNNNNNNNNNNNNNNNNNNNNNNNNNNNNNNNNNNNNNNNNNNNNNNNNNNNNNNNNNNNNNNNNNNNNNNNNNNNNNNNNNNNNNNNNNNNNNNNNNNNNNNNNNNNNNNNNNNNNNNNNNNNNNNNNNNNNNNNNNNNNNNNNNNNNNNNNNNNNNNNNNNNNNNNNNNNNNNNNNNNNNNNNNNNNNNNNNNNNNNNNNNNNNNNNNNNNNNNNNNNNNNNNNNNNNNNNNNNNNNNNNNNNNNNNNNNNNNNNNNNNNNNNNNNNNNNNNNNNNNNNNNNNNNNNNNNNNNNNNNNNNNNNNNNNNNNNNNNNNNNNNNNNNNNNNNNNNNNNNNNNNNNNNNNNNNNNNNNNNNNNNNNNNNNNNNNNNNNNNNNNNNNNNNNNNNNNNNNNNNNNNNNNNNNNNNNGUUCAUCCAGUCGACUGGCUUCAAUUAGCAGCAGUAGCGAGGGAAUCGCUCGAUCGGGUUCAGUUAACAGCCAUCCAUCGAUCGCUCGGGUUCAAUAACGCGUAGCCUGCAGUGCAAUCGCUCGGGUUCAGUUAGAGCCCAACGCCUCGCUCGGGUUCAGUUAGAGCCAACGCCUCGCACACACGCGCGUAUGUGUACGAGAGCAACGCGCAUCGCUCGGCCCCCGACCUCCCACCGUAACCGGGAACUCCCCGAAUUUUCCUCGCCCUCGCUUCUACCACGGUUUUUCCGUCAUCGACGGCCCAAAGAAUGUCAUGCAGCUGCGUCUCCGACCCGCCCAGGACGAAAAGCCCAUUUUCUAUCAUGAUUUUUUAUCAUAGAAGUAGGAGCCCACCACAUCUAUGAUGAUACCGGGUUUUGUCAAAAUUAUCGUCAUAGAAGUGUCAUAUGUAUGACAGAAAAAAAUUCAUUCGGCCCAAAAUGUCACGGAUGUGUCUUUUUUUUGUAGUGACCAUGUGUGCCGCUUGGCCUCGAAUCUCCAUGUAAUAUCAGACCUUUGUACCACGCUAGUAUCAAUAAAGCAGUUAUUUCUGUACCAUGUUGUUGUGUAUUGCCAGAAGACUCGAGCUCUGGGCUGGCAAUGCAGGGUAAACCGGUUGCUCGGAGCCGGGGUGCCACAACGGACUGUUGGACUAUGAAGAUACAAGAUAGAAGACUUCGUCCCGUGUCCGGAUGGGACUCUCCUUUGCGUGGAAGGCAAGCUUGGUGAUUCAGAUAUGUAGAUUUCCUUCUCUGCAACCGACUCUGUGUAACCCUAGCCCCCUCCGGUGUCUAUAUAAACCGGAGGGUUUAGUCUGUAGGACAAGAAGAACAAUCAUAAUCAUAGGCUAGCCUCUAGGGUUAGCCUCCUCGAUCUCGUGGUAGAUCAACUCUUGUAAUACUCCUAUCAUCAAGAUCAAUCAAGCAGGAAGUAGGGCAUUACCACCAUAGAGAGGGCCCGAACCUGGGUAAACAUCGUGUCCCCCGCCUCCUAUUACCACUAGACUUAGACGCACAGUUCAGGACCCCCUACCCGAGAUCCGCCGGUUUUGACACUGACAGUCACCAAAUUUGCGUUGGACGGCUCCUCGUUUGACCGAACGGUACAUGUGAUUCUCCCGCUGCAGACGAGCGUUGCCUAAUUCCAAUUUCGAGCCCUAUCAUGUUAAGUUUCUUAAUCUUCAUCACUAAGUUUCUUUCUUAUUUUUGCGCCCUUCAGCAUUUCCACAUGGUUAUUAAACCAACACCUCAUGAUAAGAGACCAUUGUUUAUAUUUCAGGUCCUUGCAAAAUCUCUCAACAAACAUGAGAGGAAUUCUUACCUCACGAAAAAAUCCAAUCCCAGCACUUCCCUAUUAUAAUAUAUUAGACCAUUUAUUAGAGAUAGAUACACGAUAGAAGAACAUAUCUGAUUCGCCUAUGACAAGGCACUAAGUGCAAUUUUCUCAAGAUAAGGCAAAAUCUCUCAACGACUGCCUGCGGAGACGGAUGGUGAUCAAAUAACCGUUGAUAUUUGCAGCAUAAGGAUGUGUAGCUCAUUAAAACGAGGCACUAGGUGGAAUAUAUAUAGGUGUGUGUAACCAGUGAGGAUCGGAAACCUACUAUUUUUGAGCCAUAUGGAGUUAAGUUUCGCAUAUUUACCCCUAAGUUUCUUUCCCGUGAGCUCUACGGAAGGGUGACGAAAUAUUCGUUCGCUGACUCUAUCGUGUUAAGUUUCUCAAUCUUAGUCACUAAGUUUUUGUCUGAUUUUUGCGCCUAGGCAGGCUGCUCAUUUAAAUGAGGCACUAGGUGGAACAUAUAUAGGUGUUCAGUGUGCAUCACCGGCGAGCGUUGUAAACCUCCUUUUUCAGGGCCAUAUGGAGUUAAGUUUCUCAUACUUAGCGUUAAGUUUCUUUCUCGUGAGCUCUACAGAAGGGUCACCAAAUUUGCGUUGGACGACUCCUCGUUCAACCUAAGGGUACACAUGAUUCUCCCGCGGCAAACGAGCGUUGCCUAAUUCCAUUUUCGAGCCCUAUCAUGUUAAGUUUCUUAAUCUUCUUCACUAAGUUUCUUUCUGAUUUUUGCGCCCUUCAACAUUUCCACAUGGUUAUUAAACCAACACCUCAUGAUAAGAGACCAUUGUUUAUAUUUCAGGUCCUUGCAAAAUCUCUCUACAAACAUGAGAGGAAUUCUUACCUCACGAAAAAAUCCAAUCCCAGCACUUCCCUUUCAUAAUAUAUUAGACCAUUUAUUAGACAUAGAUACACGAUAGAAGAACAUAGCUGAUUCGCCUAUGACAAGGCACUAGGUGCAGUUUUCUCAAGACAAGACAAAAUCUCUCAACCAGUGCCAGCGAAGAUGGAUGGUGAUCGAAUGGUGAUUGAUAUUUGCAUCAUAUGGAUGUGUAGCUCAUUAAAACAAGGCAUUAGGUGGAAUAUAUAUAGGUGUGCAUAACCGUUGAGCGUCGGAAACCUCCUCUUUUUGAGCCAUAUGGAGUUAAGUUUCUCAUAUUUACCCCUAAGUUUCUUUCCCGUGAGCUCUAUGGAAGGGUGACCAAAUAUGUGUUCGCCGACUCUAUCAUGUUAAGUUUCUGAAUCUUCUUCACUAAGUUUCUUUCUGAUUUUUUCGCCUAUACAAGCUGCUCAUUUAAAUGAGGCACUAGGUGGAAUAUAUAUAUAGGUGUUCGGUGUGCGUCCCCGGUGAGCGUUGCAAACCUCCUUUUUCUGAGCCAUAUGGAGUUAAAUUUCUCAUAUUUAGCCUUAAGUUUCUUUCCCGUGAGCUCUACGGAAGGGUAAUGAAUUAUGCGUUCGACGUCUCCUCGUUUGAUCGAACGGAACACGUGAUUCUCCCGCGGCAGACGAGCGUUGUCUAAUUCCAACUUCGAGCCCUAUAAUGUUAAGUUUAUCAAUCUUCUUCACUAAGUUUCAUUAUGAUUUUUGCGCCUUCCUUCAGCAUUUCCACAUGGUUAUUAAACCAACACCUCAUGAUAAGAGACCAUUAUGUAUAUUUCAGGUCGGUACUCACCGUUGCAAAAUCUCACAACAAAAAUGACCAUUGAUAUUUGCAACAUAUGGAUGCAUAGCUCAUUAAAACGAGGCACUAGGUGGAAUAUAUAUAGGUGUGCGUAACCGGUGAACGUCGAAAACCUCUUCCUUUUGAGCCAUAUGGAGUUAAGUUUAUCAUAUUUACCCUAAGUUUCUUUCCAGUGAGCUCUAUGGAAGGGUGACCAAAUAUGUGUUCGCCGACUCUAUCAUGUUAAGUUUGUCAAUCUUCUUCACUAAGUUUCUUUUUGAUUUUUGCGCCUAGAUAGGCUGCUGAUUUAAAUGAGGCACUAGGUGGAAUAUAUGUAGGUGUUCGGUGUGCGUCACCGGCGAGCGUUGUAAACCUCCUUUUUCGGAGCCAUAUGGAGUUAAAUUUCUCAUAUUUAGCAUUAAGUUUGUUUCCCAUGAGCUCUACGGAAGGUUCACCAAUUAUGCGUUUGACGUCUCCUCGUUCGAUCGAACGGUACACGUGAUUCUCCCGCGGCAGACGAGCGUUGCCUAAUUCCAAUUUCGAGCCAUAUCAUGUUAAGUUUAUCAAUCUUCUUCACUAAGUUUUUUCUGAUUUUUGCGCCUUCCUUCAGCAUUUCCACAUGGUUAUUAAACCAACACAUCAUGACAAGAGACCAUUAUGUAUAUUUCAGGUAGGUACUCGUCGUUGCAAAAUCUUUCAACAAAAAUGACCACUGAUAUUUGCAACAUAUGGAUGCGUAGCUCAUUAAAACGAGGCACUAGGUGGAAUAUACAAAGGUUUGCGUAACUGGUGAGUGUCGAAAACCUCCGCUUUUUGAGCCAUAUGGAGUUAAGGUUCUCAUAUUUACCCCUAAGUUUCUUUCCCAUGAGCUCUACGAAAGGGUUACCAAAUUUUUGUUGGACGAUUCCUCGCUCGACUGAAUGGUACACGUGAUUCUCCCGCUGCAGAUGAGCGUUGCCUAAUUCCAAUUUCGAGCCCUAUCAUGUUAAGUUUCUUAAUCUUCUUCACUAAGUUUCUUUCUGAUUUUUGCGCCCUUCAGCAUUUCCACAUGGUUAUUAAACCAACACCUCAUGAUAAGAGACCAUUGUUUAUAUUUCAGGUCCUUGCAAAAUCUCUCAACAAACAUGAGAGGAAUUCUUACCUCACGAAAAAAUCCAAUCCCAGCACUUCCCUAUCAUAAUAUAUUAGACCAUUUAUUAGACAUAGAUACACGAUAGAAGAACAUAUCUGAUUCGCCUAUGACAAGGCACUAAGUGCAAUUUUCUCAAGAUAAGGCAAAAUCUCUCAACGAGUGCCUGCGGAGACGGAUGGUGAUCAAAUAACCGUUGAUAUUUGCAGCAUAUGGAUGUGUAGCUCAUUAAAACGAGGCACUAGGUGGAAUAUAUAUAGGUGUGUGUAACCAGUGAGCAUCGGAAACCUACUAUUUUUGAGCCAUAUGGAGUUAAGUUUCUCAUAUUUACCCCUAAGUUUCUUUCCCGUGAGCUCUACGGAAGGGUGACGAAAUAUUCGUUCGCUGACUCUAUCGUGUUAAGUUUCUCAAUCUUAGUCACCAAGUUUUUGUCUGAUUUUUGCGCCUAGGCAGGCUGCUCAUUUAAAUGAGGCACUAGGUGGAACAUAUAUAGGUGUUCGGUGUGCAUCACCGGCGAGCGUUGUAAACCUCCUUUUUCAGGGCCAUAUGGAGUUAAGUUUCUCAUACUUAGUGUUAAGUUUCUUUCUCGUGAGCUCUACAGAAGGGUCACCAAAUUUGCGUUGGACGACUCCUCGUUCAACCGAAGGGUACACAUGAUUCUCCCGCAGCAAACGAGCGUUGCCUAAUUCCAUUUUCGAGCCCUAUCAUGUUAAGUUUCUUAAUCUUCUUCACUAAGUUUCUUUCUGAUUUUUGCGCCCUUCAACAUUUCCACAUGGUUAUUAAACCAACACCUCAUGAUAAGAGACCAUUGUUUACAUUUCAGGUCCUUGCGAAAUCUCUCUACAACCCUGAGAGGAAUUCUUACCUCAGGAAAAAAAUCCAAUCCCAGCACUUCCCUUUCAUAAUAUAUUUGACCAUUUAUUAGACAUAUAUACACGAUGGAAGAACAUAUCUGAUUCGCCUAUGAGAAGGCACUAGGUGCAAUUUUCGCAAGAAAAGAAAAAAUCUCUCAACCAGUGCCAGCGGAGACGGAUGGUGAUCAAAUGGCGAUUGAUAUUUCCAGCAUAUGGAUGUGUAGCUCAUUAAAACGAGGCAUUAGGUGGAAUAUAUAUAGGUGUGCGUAACCGCUGAGCGUCGGAAACCUCCUCUUUUUGAGCCAUAUGGAGUUAAGAUUCUCAUAUUUUCCCCUAAGUUUCUUUCCGGUGAGCUCUACGGAAGUGUGACCAAAUAUGUGUUCGCCGACUCUAUCAUGUUAAGUUUCUCAAUCUUCUUCACUAAGUUUCUUUCUGAUUUUUGCGCCUAGACAGGCUGCUCAUGGAAAUGAGGCACUAGGGGGAAAAUAUAUAGGUGUUUGGUCUGCGUCCCCGACGAGCAUUGUAAACCUCUUUUUUCUAAGCCAUAUGGAGUUAAGUUUCUUAUAUUUAGCCUUAAGUUUCUUUCCCGUGUGCUCUACGGAAGGGUCACCAAUUAUGCGUUCGACGUGUCCUCGUUCGAUCGAACGGUACACGUGAUUCUCCCGCGGCAAACGAGCGUUGCCUAAUUCCAAUUUUGAGCCCUAUCAUGUUAUAUUUCUUAAUCUUCUUCACUAAGUUUCUUUCUGAUUUUUGCGCCUUCCUUCAGCAUUUCCACAUUGUUAUUAAACAAACACCUCAUGAUAAGUGACCAUUGUGUAUAUUUCAGGUCAGUACUCGUCGUUGCAAAAUCUCUCAACAAAAAUGACCAUUGAUAUUUGCAACAUAUGGAUGCAUAGCUCAUGAAAACAAGGCACUAGGUGGAAUAUAUAUAGGUGUGCGUAACCGGUGAGCGUCGGAAACCUCCUCUUUUUGAGCCAUAUGGAGUUAAGUUUCUCAUAUUUACCCCUAAGUUUCUUUCCCGCGAGCUCUGCGGAAGGGUGACCAAAUAUGUGUUUGCCGACUGUAUCAUGUUAAGUUUCUCAAUCUUCUUCACUAAUUUUCUUUCUGAUUUUUGCGCCUAGACAGGCUGCUCAUUUAAAUGAGGCACUAGGUGGAAUAUCUAUAGGUGUUCGGUGUGCGUCCCCGGCGAGCGUUGUAAACCUCCUUUUUCUGAUCCAUAUGGAGUUAUGUUUCUCAUAUUAGCCUUAAGUUUCUUUCCCGUGAGCUCUAGCGAAGGGUCACCUGUUAUCCCUUCGAUGUCUCCAUGUUUGAUCGAACGGUACACGUGAUUCUCCUGCGGCAGACGAGCGUUGUCUAAUUCCAAUUUCAUGCCCUACCAUGUUAAGUUUAUCAAUCUUCUUCACAAAGGUUCUUUCUAAUUUUUGCGCCUUCCUUCAGCAUUUCCACAUGGUUAUUAAACCAACACCUCAUGAUAAGAGACCAUUAUGUAUAUUUCAGGUCGGUACUCAUCGUUGCAAAAUCUCUCAACAAAAAUGACCGUUGAUAGAUGCAACAUAUGGAUGCGUAGCUCUUUAAAACGAGGCACUAGGUGGAAUAUAUAUAGGUGUGGGUAACCGGUGAGCAUCGGAAACCUCCUCUUUUUGAGCCAUAUGGAGUUAAUUUUCUCAUAUUUACCCCUAAGUUUCUUUCCUGUGAGCUCUACGGAAGGGUGACCAAAUAUGUGUUCGCCGACUCUAUCAUGUUAAGUUUCUCAAUCUUCUUCACUACGUUUCUUUCUGAUUUUUCUGCCUAGACCAGCUGCUCAUUUAAAUGAGGCACUAGGUGGAAUAUAUAGGUGUCUGGUGUGCGUCACUGGCGAGCGUUGUAAACCUCCUUUUUUGAGCCAUAUGGAGUUAAGUUUCUCAUAUUUAGCCUUAAGUUUCUUUCCCGUGAGCUCUACGAAAGGGUCACCAAUUAUGCGUUCGACGUCUCCUCGUUUGAUCAAACGGUACACAUGUUUCUUCCGCGGCAGACGAGCAUUAUCUAAUUCCAAUUUGGAGCCCUAUCAUGUUAAGUUUAUCAAUCUUCUACACCAAGUUUCUUUUUGAUUUUUGGGCCAUCCUUCAGCAAUUCCACAUGGUUAUUAAACCAACACCUCAUGAUAAGAGACCAUUAUGUAUAUUUCAGGUCGGUACUCGUUUUUGCAAAAUCUCUCUAAAAAUGACCAUUGAUAUUUGCAACAUAUGGAUGCGUAACCGGUGAGCGUCGGAAACCUCCUAUUUUUGAGCCAUAUGGAGGUAAGUUUCUCAUAUUUACCCCGAAGUUUCUUUUCCGUGAGCUCUACGGAAGGGUGACCAAAUAUGUGUUCGCCGACUCUAUCAUGUUAAGUUUGUCAAUCUUCUUCACUAAGUUUCUUUCUGAUUUUUCCGCCUAGACAGGCUGCUCAUUUAAAUGAGGCACUAGGUGGAAUAUAUAUAGGUGUUCGGUGUGCGUCACCGGCGAGCGUUGUAAACCUCCUUUUUCUGAGCCAUAUGGAGUUAAGUUUCUCAUAUUUAGCCUUAAAAUUCUUUCCCGUGAGCUCUACGGAAGGGUCACCAAUUAUGUGUUCGACGUCUCCUCGUUCGAUCGAACGGAACACGUGAUUCUCCCGCGGUAGACGACCGUUGCCUAAUUCCAAUUUCGAGCCCUAUCAUGUUAAGUAUAUCAAUCUUCUUCACUAAGUUUCUUUCUGAUUUUUGUGCCUUCCUUCAGCAUUUCCACAUGGUUAUUAAACCAACAACUCAUGAUAAGAGACCAUUGUGUAUAUUUCAGGUCAGUACUCGUCGUUCCAAAAUCUCUCAAAAAAAUGACCAUUGAUAUUUGCAACAUAUUGAUGCGUAGCUCAUUAAAACGAGGCACUAGGUGGAAUAUAUAUAGGUGUGCGUAACCGGUGAGCGUCGGAAACCUCCUCUUUUUGAGCCAUAUGGAGUUAAGUUUCUCAUAUUUACCCCUAAGUUUCUUUCCUAUGAGCUCUACGGAAAGGUGACCAAAUAUGUGUUCGCGGACUCUAUCAUGUUAAGUUUCUCAAUCUUCUUCACUAAGUUUAUUUCUGAGUUUUGCGCCUAGACCGGCUGCUGAUUUAAAUGAGGCACUAGGUGGAAUAUAUAUAGGUGUUCGGUGUGCGUCACUGGUGAGCGUUGUAAACCUCCUUUUACUGAGCCAUAUGGAGUUAAGUUUCUCAUAUUUAGCCUUAAGUUUCUUUUUAGUGAGCUCUACGGAAGGGUCACCAAUUAUGCAUUCGACGUCUCCUCGUUCGAUCGAACGGUACACGUGCUUCUCCCGCGGCAGACGAGUGUUGCCUAAUUCCAAUUUCGAUCCCUAUCAUGUUAAGUUUAUCAAUCUUCUUCACUAAGUUUCUUUCUGAUUUUUGCACCUUCCUUCAGCAUUUCCACGUGGUUGUUAAAUCAACACCUCAUGAUAAGAGACCAUUAUGUAUAUUUCAGGUCGGUACUCGUCGUUGCAAAAUCUCUCAACAAAAAAGAACAUUGAUAUUUGCAACAUAUGGCUGCGUAGCUCAUUAAAACGAGGCACUAGGUGGAAUAUAUAUAGGUUUGCGUCACCGGUGAGCGUCGGAAACCUCCUCUUUUUGAGCCAUAUGGAGUUAAGUUUCUCAUAUUCACCCCUAAGUUUCUUUCCCGUGAGCUCUACGGAAGGGUCACCAAAUUUGCGUUGGAUGACUCCUCGUUCGACCGAACGGUACACGUGAUUCUCCCGCGGCAGACGAGCGUUGCCUAAUUCCAAUUUCUAGCCCUAUCAUGUUAAGUUUCUUAAUCUUCUUCACUAAGUUUCUUUCCGAUUUUUGCGCCCUUCAGCAUUACCACAUGGUUAUUAAACCAACACCUCAUGAUACGAGACCAUUGUUUAUAUUUCAGGUCCUUGCAUAAUCUCUCAAAAAAACAUGAGAGGAAUUCUUACCUCACGAAAAAAUCCAAUCCCAGAACUUCCCUUUCAUAAUAUAUUAGACCAUUUAUUAGACAUAGAUACACGAUAGAAGAACAUAUCUGAUUCACCUAUGAUAAGGCACUAGGUGCAAUUUUCUCAAGACAAGGUAAAAUCUCUCAACCAGUGCCAGCGGAGACGGAUGGUGAUCAAAUGACCAUUGAUAUUUGCAGCAUAUGGAUGCGUAGCUCAUUAAAACGAGGCACUGGGUGGAAUAUAUAUAGGUGUGCGUAACCGGUGAGCGUCGAAAACCUCCUCUUUUUCAGCCAUAUGGAGUUAAGUUUCUCAUAUUUAGCCUUAAGUUUCUUUAUCGUGAGCUCUACGGAAGGGUCACCAAUUAUGCGUUCGACGUUUCCUCGUUCUAUCAAAUGGUACACGUGAUUCUCCCGCGGCAGGCGAGCGUUGCCUAAUUCCAAUUUUGAGCCCUAUCAUGUUAAGUUUCUCAAUCUUCUUCACUAAGUUUCUUUCUGAUUUUUGUGCUUUCCUACAGCAUUUCGACAUGGUUAUUAAACCAACACCUCAUUAUAAGAGACCAUUAUGUAUAUUUCAGGUCGGUACUCGUCGUUGCAAAAUCUCUCAACAAAAAUGACCAUUGAUAUUUGCAACAUAUGGAUGCGUAGCUCAUUAAAACGAGGCACUAGGUGGAAUAUAUAUUGGUUUGCGUAACCGGUGAGCGUCCGAAACCUCCUCUUUUUGAGCCAUAUGGAGUUAAGUUUCUCAUAUUCACCCCUAAGUUUCUUUCCCAUGAGCUCUACGGAAGGGUCUCCAAAUUUGCGUUGGACGACUCCUCGUUCGAUCGAACGGUACACAUGAUUCUCCCGUGGCAUAAGAGCGUUGCCUAAUUCCAAUUUCGAUCCCUAUCAUGUUAAGUUUCUUAAUCUUCUUCACUAAGUUUCUUUCAGAUUUUUGCGCCCUUCAGCAUUUCCACAUGGUUAGUAAACCAACACCUCAUUAUACGAGACCAUUGUUUAUAUUUCAGGUCCAUGCAAAAUCUCUCAAUAAACAUGAGAGGAAUUCUUACCUCACGAAAAAACCCGAUCCCAGCACUUCCCUUUCAUAAUAUAUUAGACCAUUUCUUAGACAUAGAUACACGAUAGAACAUAUCUGAUUCGCCUAUGACAAGGCACUAGGUGCAAUUUUCUAAAGACAAGUCAACAUCUCUCAACAAGUGACAGCGGAGACAGAUGGUGAUCAAAUGACCAUUGAUAUUUGCAGCAUAUGGAUGCGUAGCUCAUUAAAACGAGGCACUAGGUGGAAUAUAUAUAGGUGUGCUUAACCGGUGAGCGUCGAAAACCUCCUCUUUUUGAGCAAUAUGGAGUUAAGUUUAUCAAUCUUCUUCACUAAGUUUCUUUCCCGUGAGCUCUACGGAAGGGUGACCAAAUAUGUGUUCGCCGACUCUAUCAUCUUAAGUUUCACAAUCUUCCUCACUAAGUUUCUUUCUGAUUUUUGCGCCUAGACAGGCUGCUCAUUUAAAUGAGGCACUAGGUGGAAUACAUAUAUGUGUUCGGUGUGUGUACCCGGCGAGCGUUGUAAACCUCCUUUUUCUGAGCCAUAUGGAGUUACGUUUCUCAUAUUUAGCCUUAAGUUUCUUUCCCGUGAGCUCUACGGAAGGGUCACCAAUUAUGUUUUUGACGUCUCCUCAUUUGAUCGAACGGUACACGUGAUUCUCCCGCGGCAGACGAGCAUUGUCUAAUUCAAACUUCGAGCCCUAUCAUGUUAAGUUUAUCAAUCUUCUUCACUAAGGUUCUUUCUGAUUUUUGCGCCUUCCUUCAGCAUUUCCACAUGGUUAUUAAACCAACACCUCAUGAUAAGAGACCAUUAUGUAUAUUUCGGAUCGGUACUCGUCGUUAUAAAAUCUCCCAACAAAAAUGACCAUUCAUAUUGGCAACAUAUGGAUGCGUAGCUCAUUAAAACAAGGCAAUAGGUGGAAUAUAUAUAGGUGUGCGUAAACGGUGAGCGUCGGAAACCUCCUCUUUUUGAGCCAUAUGGAGUUAAGUUUCUCGUAUUUAGCCCUAAGUUUCUUUCUCGUGAGCUCUACGGAAGGGUGACGAAAUAUGCGUUCGCGGACUCUAUCGUGUUAAGUUUCUGUCUGAUUUUUGCGCCUAGGCAGGCUGCUCAUUUAAAUGAGGCACUAGGUGGAAUAUAUAUAGGUGUUCGGUGUGCAUCCCCGGCGAGCGUUGUAAACCUCCGUUUUCUGAGCCAUAUGGAGUUAAGUUUCUCAUAUUUAGCCUUAAGUUUCUUUUCCGUGAGCUCUAUGGAAGGGUCACUAAAUUUGCGUUGGAUGACUCCUCGUUCGACCGAAUGGUACACGUGAUUCUCCCGGGGCAGACGAGCAUUGCCUAAUUCCAAUUUCGAGCCCUAUCAUGUUAAGUUUCUUAAUCUUCUUCACUAAGUUUCUUUCGAUUUUUUGCACCCUUCAGCAUUUCCAGAUGGUUAUUAAACCAACACCUCAUGAUAAGAGGUCACUGUUUAUAUUUUUGGUCCUUGCGAAAUCUCUCAACAAACAUGAGCGGAAUUCUUACCUCACGAAAAAAUCCAAUCCCAGCACUUCCCUUUCAUAAUAUAUUAGACCAUUUAUGAUACAUAGAUACACGAUAGAAGAACAUAUAUGAUUCACCUAUGACAAGGCACUAGGCGCAAUUUUCUCAAGAUAAGGAAAAAUCUCUCAACUAGUGCCAGCGGAGACGGAUGGUGAUCAAAUGACCAUUAAUAUUUGCAGCAUAUGGAUGCGUAGCUCGUUAAAACGAGGCACUUGGUGGAAUAUAUAUAGGUGUGCGUAACCGGUGAGCGUCGGAAACCUCCUCUUUUUGAGCCAUAUGGAGUUAAUUUUCUCAUAUUUACCCCUAAGUUUCUUUCCUGUGAGCUCUACGGAAGGGUGACCAAAUAUGUGUUCACCGACUCUAUCAUGUUAAGUUUCUCAAUCUUCUUCACUAAGUUUCUUUCUGAUUUUUGCGCCUAGACAGGCUGCUCAUUUAAAUGAGGCACUAGUUGGAAUAUAUAUAUGUGUUCGGUGUGUGUCCCCGGCGAGCGUUGUAAACCUCCUUUUUCUGAGCCAUAUGGAGUUAAGUUUCUCAUAUUUAGACUUAUGUUUCUUUCCCGUGAGCUCUACGGAAGGGUCACGAAUUAUGCGUUCGACGUCUCCUCGUUUGAUCGGACGGUACACGUGAUUCUCCCGCGGCAGACGAGCGUUGUCUAAUUCCAAUUUCGAGCCCUAUCUUGUUAAGUCUAUCAAUCUUCUUCACUAAGUUUCUUUCUGAUUUUUGCGCCUUCCUUCAGCAUUUCCACAUGGUUAUUAAACUAACACCUCAUGAUAAGAGACCAUUAUGUACAUUUCAGGUCGGUACUCGUCGUUGCAAAAUCUCUCAACAAAAAUGACCAUUGAUAUUUGCAACAUAUGGAUGCGUGGCUCAUUAAAGCGAGGCAGUAGGUGGAAUAUAUAUAGGUGUGGGUAACCGGUGAGCGUCGGAAACCUGCUCUUUUUGAGCCAUAUGGAGUUAAGUUUCUCAUAUUUACCCCUAAGUUUCUUUCCCGUGAGCUCUACGGAAGGGUGACGAAAUAUGCGUUCGCCGACUCUAUCAUGUUAAGUUUCUCAAUCUUACUGACUAAGUUUCUGUCUAAUUUUUGCGCCUAGGCAGGCUGCUCAUUUAAAUGAGGCACUAGGUGGAAUAUAUAUAGGUGUUCGGUGUGCAUCUCCGGCGAGCGUUGUAAACCUCCUUUUUCUGAGCCAUAUGGAGUUAAGUUUCUCAUAUUUAGCCUUAAGUUUCUUUUCCGUGAGCUCUACGGAAGGGUCACCAAAUAUGCGUUGGGUGACUCUCAUUCGACCGAACGGUACACCAGAUUCUCCCGCGGCAGACGAGCGUUGCCUAAUUCCAAUUUCGAGCCCUAUCAUCUUAAGUUUCUUAAUCUUCUUCACUAAGUUUCUUUCUUUUUUUUUGCGCCCUUCAGCAUUUCCACAUGGUUAUUAAACCAACACCUCAUGUUAAGAGACCAUUGUUUAUAUUUCAGGUCCUUGCAAAAUCUCUCAACAAACAUGAGCAGAAUUCUUACCUCACGAAAAAAAUCCAAUCCCAGCACUUCUCUUUCAUAAUAUAUUAGACCAUUUGUUAGACAUAGAUACACGAUAGAAGAACAUAUCUGAUUCUCCUAUGACAAGGCACUAGGUGCAAUUUUCUCAAGACAAGUCAAAAUCUCUCAAGCAGUGCCAGCCGAGACGGAUGGUGAUCAAAUGGCCAUUGAUAUUUGCAACAUAUGGAUGCGUAGCUCAUUAAAACGAGGCACUAGGUGGAAUAUAUAUAGGUGUGCGUAACAGGUGAGCGUCGGAAACCUCCUCUUUUUGGGCGAUAUUGAGUUAAGUUUCUCAUAUUUACCCCUAAGUUUCUUUCCCGUGAGCUCUACGGAAGGGUGACCAAAUAUGUGUUCGCCGACUCUAUCAUGUUAAGUUUCUCAAUCUUCUUCACUAAGUUUCUUUCUAAUUUUUGCACCUAGACAGGUUGCUCAUUUAAAUGAGGCACUAGGUGGAAUAUAUAUGUGUGUUCGGUGUGUGUCCCCGGUGAGCGUUGUAAACCUCCUUUUUCUGAGCCAUAUGGACUCUACUAGGGAAAACCCUAGUAGUAGCACGAGUUUUGAGGCUAGCAGCAGCGCGGGUGGCCGUGCUACUAAUAAGGCACUACAGCUAACUUAUAGUAGUAGCGCGGUCCGUACCCGCGCUACUACUGUUGACGAUAUCAGCAGCGCUUUUGCCGAACGCGCUACUAUUAGUUAGCUGUAGCGAUUUCGCAGUCCCUCGCUACUACUAUAUCUUUCAUCAUUUUCCCCAGUACCCCUUUCCCUUUCAGAUACUAGAUACUAGGUACUACUACUAGAUAUCAAACUGAUAAACCAUUAUAAGUACUGGGUAGUACUCCCUUCGUUCCAAAUUACUCGUCGUGGUUUUAGUUCAAACAACGACGAGUAAUUUGGAAUGAAGGGAGUACUAGAUAACAAUUUCAUGCAUAGUCAACAUGCAUCCUCAAGCAUUACAAGGUCAUAUCGACGGCGAUCAUCAUAUGUAGUUCUAGAUGAUAUCGACGACGAUCAUCAUAUGUAGUUCUAGAUGAUAUCGACGACGAUCAUCAUAUGUAGUUCUAGAUGAUAUAGCCACACACACACAUAUGUAGUUCUCGGUGAUAUCGAAGACAAUCAUCAUCCUCAAGCCUGGGUGGUUGGUGUUCCUGAUAGUAAUUAGGAUGGCUUGUCCAACACGAAGAUUCUUUCCAUCGAGGAAUUUCUUCCACCCAACCGAGUUUAAGUGUGUGCGACCGUCUAUGUCCACGCGGUAAGUAUAGGUUGUGACGGAGCCCCUUGCAGUAUGGCAUAGUCCAGCUGAGCCUUAUUCAUCAGGCUCGAUACCAUAACUCACAGAUAUGCUCUUUGCCAAUUUCUGAAUAAGAAAAACAUAUUAGUUAAUAAAUAGCCUCGCAAAUAAGUACAUAUGGAUUAUCUACACUAUUAAUAGUUCCUUAGAUUCUACACUAAUAAGCAUGUGAUCAAACUCUACACUAAAUUAUAUCAUCGACUAGAUUCCACACAACAUACCAUAUCGUUGGACAGUACACUAAGUAUUUCAUCGGAUAAUUUGCAUUUGUAAGUAUAACAUACCAUAUCAUGUCGAUCAACCAUGGUAUUUGUCAGGCGGGUCAUGAAUGGCACCCUGACAAAGUCAGCACGUGGCGGAAUUAUGUCCCACAGGUUGGACACCUCCUCCUCGCUCAGCCUUGUUCUUUGAGCUGCGAUGGCUUCAUGAAGUGGGUCCUCAUCAUCUUCAUCGAGUGGGUCCUCAUUAUCUUCAUCAUCUUCAUCAUCUUCAUCAUCUUCAUCAUCUUCGUCAUCUUCAUCAUCUUCCACCAGAGAUAAAUGACAGCCAGCUUGGGUCUUUCUACUCUGAAGGAGAAGCUGAUCAACUCACCACCAGUAAGACGCAUGCGGGCGACGAAACGGGCCCAUCCAUCUCCUCCAAUCUGCGACAUAUUGUGUCCUUUCUCGACCUCCAUAGUGUACGGCCCCCCCAGGAGCCUCAAAUGUCACAGUGUCUCCUGUCACCUUGUUGAAUUUCAACCUCACAUUGCAUGGGAUGAUCUGUGUAAAAUAAGCAAAAUGACACAAUGAAGUAAUGCCAACACUAAAAAUAAAAUAGUUAUUACAUUUCAUCUAAUUUCUUACCACCGCAUGACAAAAACUCGGCUGGAAGUAGAUGCCGAACAGCUUGCCAGUUGCAAGGCUGCUGGCGCACCUUGACUUGCACAGUUGACAUAGUGGGGGUGGUGGUGGCGCCAUUUUUCCUAAAGCAAUAUGAGGAAAGGAUUAACGAUUCACUUCACAGGAAAGAAAAACAGUAGCAUGUGAUAUUUUUGGUUCUUCCGCGAGAAGCAAUUUGAUGGACAAUUAUAUCCUAAGAUCUAGUAACAUAUUAGAUGACAAGGUACCACCUACAUUUUUCCAAAAAGUAACUUAUUACAAAAAAACAAAAGCAACUACCUAUCCAUGUACAGAAAAAAUAACAAUAAAAUGGUGCAUACUAAAUCAACUAAAUGAACUAGCCUACUAAAUCAACUAAAUCAAAAUGUUCUAAAUCAACUAAAUCAACUAAAUCAAAAUGUUGCAUAUGAACUAGCCUACUAAAUCAAAAUGUAGCAGGGAGGAGGGAGAAGGAGGGGCGACUCGAGGAGGGAGAAGACAGUAGGACGGAGGAGGAAGGCGGGGCGAGGAGGGGCCGGCCGGUGGCCAGAGGAGGAAGGCGGAGCGAGGAGGGGCCGGCCAGCGGCGAGUGGAGGGAGGAUGGAUGAGGAGGCCGGUACCGAGUCUAACAAGGAGGAGGAGGUCACGGCGGUGCAGAGGGAGGAGGGGCGACGGGGGAGGACCGACACGGGGGGUUGAGAGGGGAUCCAGUGAGUGUGUGAGUGUGAGUGGAUCGGAUAGAGGAGAGGGGGUGGGAGAUGGAAUGGCUUAGCAUUAGCGCGCUAUAGAGAAAGACGCUACUGCUAAACUACCUAGCAGCAGCGCCUUUCUCAAAGAAGUGCUACUGCUAUGUGUCAGCAUGUAAAAAUAGACUUCAAUAUAUCAAAAAUAUAUUGAUCAUCAACGAUCUUUUUGUGUACAAUCUGAUUUGUCAAUAUGAGUCCUCACCGGUUUAGGAACCGGUGAAGACUCAUAUUGCGGCCACAAAUUCUACACAUCGAGUUCAAUGAAGACCAAGUGCUUGUCAAAGUUUGAGAAGUGACAUAUUUAAGGUCGUAGAAACUCUCUUCACGGAGCGAGGUGGGACUAAAUUUUUGUAGUAAACUUAGCAGUAGCGCUUAUUGGUGAAAUGCGCUGCUACUAUGCUACGUAGCAGCAGCGCUCUUCGUGAUAACGCGCUGCUGCUAGAACUAGCCUCGCGGCGGCCUCGUGGGAAUUAUAUCAGUAGCGCGUCUUUGAGCGGGGGCGCUACUGCUAUAUUUAUUUCAGCAGCGAGUUAAGCUUGAGCUCGCUACUGCUAAGUAGCAGCAGCGCCUUAUUUUAAAGCACGCUGCUGGUAAGAUUCUGUGUAUAGGCUUUUCCCUAGUAGUGGGAGUUAAGUUUCUCAUAUUUAGCCUUAAGUUUCUUUCCCGUGAGCUCUACGAAAGGGUCACCAAUUAUGCGUUCGACGUCUCCUCAUUUAAUCGAAAAGUACAUGUGAUUCUCCCGCGGCAGACGAGCGUUGUCUAAUUCCAAUUUCGAGCCCUAUCAUGUUAAGUUUAUCAAUCUUCUUCACUAAGUUUCUUUCUAACUUUUGCGCCUUCCUUCAGCAUUUCCACAUGAUUAUUAAACCAACACCUCAUGAUAAGAGACCAUUAUUUAUAUUUCAGGUCGGUACUCGUCGUUGCAAAAUCUCUCAAAAAAAAUGACCAUUGAUAUUUGUAACAUAUGGAUGCGUAGCUCAUUAAAACGAGGCACUAGGUGGAAUAUAUACAGGUGUGCGUAAUCGGUGAGCGUCGGAAACCUCCUCUUUUUGAGCCAUAUGGAGUUAAGUUUCUCAUAUUUACCCCUAAGUUUCUUUCCCGUGAACUCUACGGAAGGUUGACCAAAUAUGUGUUCGCCGACUCUAUCAUGUUAAGUUUCUCAAUCUUCUUCACUAAGUUUCUUUCUGAUUUUUGCGCCUAGACAGGCUGCUCAUUAAAUGGGGCACUAGGUGGAAUAUAUAUAGGUGUUCGGUGUGCGUCACCGGCGAGCGUUGUAAACCUCCUUUUUCUGAGCCAUAUGGAGUUAAGUUUCUUUCCCGUGAGCUCUACGGAAGGGUCACCAAUUAUGCGUUUGACGUCUCCUCGUUUGAUUGAACGGUACACGUGAUUCUCCCGCGGCAGACGAGCGUUGGCUAAUUCCAAUUUCGAGCCCUAUCAUGUUAAGUUUAUCAAUCUUCUUCACUAAGUUUCUUUUUGAUUUUUGCGCCUUCCUUCAGCAUUUCCACAUGGUUAUUAAACCAACACCUCAUGAUAAGAGACCAUUAGUAAUUUAAGGUCGGUACUUGUCGUUGCAAAAUCUCUCAACAAAAAUGACCAUUGAUAUUUGCAACAUAUGGAUGCGUAGCUCAUUAAAACGAGGCACUAGGUGGAAUAUAUAUAGGUGUGCAUAACCGGUGAGCGUCGGAAACCUCCUCUUUUUGAGCCAUAUGGAGUUAAGUUUCUCAUAUUUACCCCUAAGUUUCUUUCCCAAGAGCUCUACGGAAGUGUGACCAAAUAUGUGUUCGUCGACUCUAUCAUGUUAAGUUUCUCAAUCUUCUUCACUAAGUUUCUUUCUGAUUUUUGCGCCUAGACAGGCUGCUCAUUUAAAUGAGGCACUAGGUGGAAUAUAUAUAUGUGUACGGUGUGCGUCACCGGCGAGCGUUGGAAACCUCCUUUUUCUGAGCCAUAUGGAGUUAAGUUUCUCAUAUUUAGCCUUAAGUUUCUUUCCCGUGAGCUCUACGGAAGUGUCACCAAUUAUGCGUUUGAUGUCUCCUCGUUCGAUCGAACGGUACAUGUGAUUCUCCCAUGGUAGACGAUCGUUGCCUAAUUCCAAUUUCAAGCCCUAUCAUGUUAAGUUUAUCAAUCUUCUUCACUAAGAUUCCUUCUGAUUUUUGUGCCUUCCUUCAGCAUUUUCCACAUGGUUAUUAAACCAACACCUGAUCAUAAGUGACCAUUAUGUAUAUUUCAGGUCGGUACUCGUCGUUGCAAAAUCUCUCCAGAAAAAUGACCAUUGAUAUUUGCAACAUAUGGAUGCGUAGCUCAUUAAAAUGAGGCACCAGGUGGAAUAUAUAUAGGUUUGCGUAACCGGUGAGAGUCGGAAACCUCCUCUUUUUGAGCCAUAUGGAGUUAGGUUUCUCAUAUUUAGCCUUAAGUUUCUUUCCCGUGAGCUCUACGGAAGGGUCACCAAAUUUGCGUUGGACGACUCCUCGUUCGACCGAACGGUACACGUGAUUCUCCCGCGGCAGACGAGCGUUGCCUAAUUCCAAUUUCGAGCCCUAUGAUGUUAAGUUUCUUAAUCUUCUUCACUAAGUUUCUUUCUAAUUUUUGCGGCCUUCAGCAUUUCCACAUGGUUAUUAAACCAACACCUCAUGAUAAGAGACCAUUGUUUAUAUUUCAGGUCCUUGCAAAAUCGCUCAACAAACAUGAGAGGAAUUCUUACCUCAUGAAAAAAUCCAAUCCCAACACUUCCCUUUCAUAAUAUAUUAGACCAUUUAUUAGACAUAGAUACACGUUAGAAGAACAUGUCUGAUUCGCCUAUGACAAGGCACUAAGGGCAAUUUUCUCAAGACAAGGCAAAAUCUCUCAACCAGUGCCAGCGGAGACGGAUGGUGAUCAAAUGACCAUUGAUAUUUGCAGCAUAUGGGUGCGUAGCUCAUUAAAACGAGGCACUAGGUGGAAUAUAUAUAAGUGUGCGUCACCGAUGAUCGUCGGAAACCACUUCUUUUUGAGCGAUAUGGAGUUAAGUUUCUCAUAUUUAUCCCUACGUUUCUUUCCCGUGAGAUCUACGGAAGGGGGACAAAAUAUGCGUUCACCGACUCUAUCGUGUUAAGUUUCUCAAUCUUACUCACUAAGUUUCUAUCUGAUUUUUGCGCCAAGGCAGGCUGCUCAUUUAAAUGAGGCACUAGGUGGAAUAUAUAUAGGUGUUCGGUGUGCAUCACCGGCAAGCGUUGUAAACCUCCUUUUUGUGAGCCAUAUGGAGUUAAGUUUCUCAUAUUUAGUCUUAAGUUUCUUUCCCGUGAGCUCUAUGGAAGGGUCACCAAAUUUGAGUUGGAUGACUCCUCGUUCGUCCGAAUGGUACACGUGAUUCUCCCACGGGAGACGAGCGUUGCCUAAUUCCAAUUUCGAGCCCAAUGAUGUUAAGUUUCUUAAUCUUCUUCACUAAGUUUCUUUCUGAUUUUUGUGCCCUUCAACAUUUCCACAUGGUUAUUAAACCAACACCUCAUGAUAAGAGACCAUUGUUUAUAUUUCAGGUCCUUGCAAAAUUUCUCAACAAACAAGAGAGGAAUUCUUACCUCACGAAAAAAUCCAAUCCCAACGCUUCCCUUUCAUAAUAUAUUAGACCAUUGAUUAGACAUAGAUACAUGAUAGAAGAACAUAUCUGAUUCGCCUAUGACAAGGCACUAGGUGCAAUUUUCUCAAGACAAGGCAAAAUCUCUCAACCAGUGCCAGCGAAGACGGAUGGUGAUCAAAUAACCAUUGAUAUUUGCAGCAUAUGGAUGCGUAGCUCAUUAAAACGCGGAACUAGGCCCAAUAUAUAUAGGUGUGCGUAACCGGUGAGGGUCGGAAACUUCCUGUUUUUGAGCCAUAUGGAGUUAAGUUUCUCAUAAAUACCCCUAAGUUUCUUUCCCGUGAGCUCUACGGAAGUGUCACGAAAUAUGUGUUCGCCGACUCUAUCAUGUUAAGUUUCUCAAUCAUCUUCACUAAGUUUCUGUCUGAUAUUUGCGCCUAGACAGGCUGCUCAUUUAAAUGAGGCACUAGGUGGAAUAUAUAUAUGUGUUCGGUGUGCGUCACCGGCGAGCGUUGUAAACCUCCUCUUUCUGAGCCAUAUGGAGUUAAGUUUCUCAUAUUUAGCCUUCAGUUUCUUUCCCGUGAGCUCUACGGAAGUGUCACCAAUUAUGUGUUUGACGUCUCCUCGUUCGAUCGAACGGUACUCGUGAUUCUCCCAUGGUAGACGAGCGUUGCCUAAUUCCAAUUUCGAGCCCUAUCAUGUUAAGUUUAUCAAUCUUCUUCACUAAGAUUCUUCCUGAUUUUUGAGCCUUCCUUCAGCAUUUCCACAUGGUUAUUGAACCAACAACUGAUGGUAAGAGACCAUUACUUAUAUUUCAGGUCGGUACUCGUCGUUCCAAAAUCUCUCAACAAAAAUGACCACUGAUAUUUGCAACAUAUGGAUGCGUAGCUCAUUAAAACGAGGCACUAGGUGGAAUAUAUAUCGGUUUGGGUAACUGGUGAGCGUCGGAAACCUCCUCUUUUUGAGCCAUAUGGAGUUAAGUUUUUCAUAUUUACCCCUAAGUUUCUUUCCCGUAAGCUCUACGGAAGGUUCACCAAAUUUGCGUUGGACGACUACUCGUUCGACCGAACGGUACACGUGAUUCUCCCGCGGCAGACGAGCGUUGCCUAAUUCCAAUUUCGAGCCCUAUCAUGUUAAGUUUCUUAAUCUUCUUCACUAAGUUUCUUUCUAAUUUUUGCGCCCUUCAGCAUUUCCACAUGGUUAUUAAACCAACACCUCAUGAUAAGAGACCAUUGUUUAUAUUUCAGGUCCUUGCAAAAUCUCUCAACAAACAUGAGAGGAACUCUUACCUAACGAAAAAUCCAAUCCCAGCACUUCCCUUUCAUAAUAUAUUAGACCUUUAUUACACAUAGAUACACGAUAGAAGAACAGAUCUGAUUCGCCUAUGACAAGGCACUAAGUGCAAUUUCCUCAAGACAAGGCAAAAUCUCUCGACCAGUGCCAGCGGAGACGGAUGAUGAUCAUAUUACCAUUGAUAUUUGCAGCAUAUGGAUGCGUAGCUCAUUAAAACGAGGCACUAGGUGGAAUAUAUAUAGGUGUGCGUCACCGAUGAUCGUCGGAAACCUCUUCUUUUUGAGCGAUAUGGAGUUAAGUUUCUCAUAUUUAACCCUACGUUUCAUUCCCGCACUACAGGAAACAGCUAUUUUGCCGUCUGCCACGGCAGACGGCAAAGGCUCGAACAGCGGACGGCAAAAGGCUCCGGCAAAGUAGGCUACGGUAAACAGGUCCUUUGCCGUCUGCUUUUUAUGGAGGACGGCAAAGAGUCGUUUGCCUACAGCGGCGGACGGCAAAGAGGAGGGACGGCAAAAAUACUGGACGUCCGCCAGCGUUAGUCCGUUAGGCGGCUAACGGCGGCCUUUGCCGUCCCCCAGCGGACGGCAAAUUUGAGCGCCUCUUUGUCGUCCGCCAGUUGACGUCAGCAAUGCGUCAGCGCCCGCUGUUUUUUGCCGUCUGCCACGGCGGAUGGCAAAGGCAAAGUCUUUGCCAUCAGCUUGGCUUUGCCGUCCGCCACGGUAGGCAAAUUUGCCAAAUGGCCCAUCUCUCAGGAAGCACAGGUGGGCGCCACGUGCCCCCUUUGCCGUCUGCCACCGAUGGCAAAGGUGUCUUUGCCGUCCGCGGCGGACGGCAAAGAGCCUGCACUGCCUCUUUUUAUUCUGUUUUUCUUAUAUCCAACAAUUUUCACAGGAAAUAUAUCACAGCAAAUAUAUCACAGGAGCCAGCACAUAUAUAUCCAACAUAAUAAAUAUCCAGCACAUAUAUAUCCAUACAUACAUAGUAGGUUGCACAUCGUUCCAUCAAUCCAUACAUAUUACAAUAUGCAAAGUUUCAUCAUAGCAAGCGAGCAGAAUACAAGAAGUGCAUCAAAGGAAAAAACAAGCAAUCCAUCAUAGAAAGCUGGCUUCCGUGAAGUGAACGAAACCUGCAAAAUGACAAAUAAGAAAGUUAGAAAAAGAAGACUAGAAGAAGAAUUAGACUAGAAGAAAAAGAAUAGAAGAAGAAGAAGAAGACUAGAAGAAGAAGUAUAUGCCAUUUAUUAGCUAACUUAGGUGAACUGGAACAUUUAUGAGCUAAAUUAGUUGAAAUGGAUCGUUUAUGAGCUAACUUAGGUGAAAUGGAUCGUUUAUUAGCUAACCUAGGUGAAAUGGAUCGUUUAUGAGCUAACUUAGGUGAAAUGGAUCGUUUAUUAGCUAACCUAGGUGAAAUGGAUCGUUUAUGAGCUAUCUUAGGUGAAAUGGAUCGUUUAUGAGCUAAGUUAGGUGAAAUGGAUCGUUUAUGANNNNNNNNNNNNNNNNNNNNNNNNNNNNNNNNNNNNNNNNNNNNNNNNNNNNNNNNNNNNNNNNNNNNNNNNNNNNNNNNNNNNNNNNNNNNNNNNNNNNNNNNNNNNNNNNNNNNNNNNNNNNNNNNNNNNNNNNNNNNNNNNNNNNNNNNNNNNNNNNNNNNNNNNNNNNNNNNNNNNNNNNNNGGGUCGUUUAUGAGCUAACCUAGGUGAAAUGGGUCGUUUAUGAGUUAACCUAGGUGAAAUGGGUCGUUUAUGAGCUAAGUUAGGUGAAAUGGAUCGUUUAUGAGCUAACCUAGGUGAAAUGGAUCGUUUAUGAGCUAACCUAGGUGAAAUGGGUCGUUUAUGAGCUAACCUAGGUGAAAUGGGUCGUUUAUGAGUUAACCUAGGUGAAAUGGGUCGUUUAUGAGCUAAUUAUGCAAUUUUUGACAUAAGUUAGCUAAGUACAUAUUUUUUUAGAGCUAACUUAGGUAAAAUGGAUGGUUUAUGAGGUCAGUAAGCUUAUUAAGUCAUUUUGGAGGAAAAGAAGCUAACUCUAGGUCAUUAUGGUAAGCAUAUUUGAGGAAAUAAAGCUAAGUCUAGGUCUUUAUGCAUUUGUUAAGCAAAACACUAGAGAAACUUACCGUGAUCAGGGAGGUGUAGGAGCGGGGUGGCUAGUGCCGCUACCUGGAGAAGGAUCGUGCGAUGCGUUUCUGGAGUUAAGCUGCACCAAAGAUCAUUUCCAAUGUCUCGUUAGCAUUACAACACUCAAAUGUUAAGACUAGCAAGUAAUGUCCAUUCAAAUUAAACUCACCGUGCUCCCAGGAGCAAUCACUGGCAUCGGCGGAGCGGGCCGACCGGACUUCUCGCACACAGACUGCACAUUUGGUUUUCAGAACAGAGUCAUACUAGUUAGUAAUGAGACUCAAAUGUUAAGACUAGCAAGUAAUCUGCAGAACGCUGGCACGGACGGGAGCCGUGUAGCACCACGCUGGUAGACGGUGCCACCCUCCUCCUCAAGAUCAGUCGGCUCCCCGCCAUCAUCAACAUGGCCACUCGGCUCCUCGCGCUGAUCCGGCCAUGUACCCCAUCCGGACGUGUGCUCCUCCGGGGUCUCGUGGGCCGAAGGCCAGUCGACCCGAGGCUCGUGCGCCUAAGACCGGUGGACCGGAGGCUCGUGGGCCGGAGUCCGUGUAGCCUCCUCCUCGGACGAGUCCACCCUAGCAGUCACGUGCUCGGGUGAAACAGCUGGGGGUGGCGGCGAGGAAGGCGCCGUAGCAGUCACCCUACCUCCUCUCCCGCGACCACGUGCCCCACCUCCUCUCUUCCUACCUCGUCCCCUGCUGGGCACCGCGGUCGACGAAGAAGGGCCCGGCGGUUUGGACAUACUGUCCAGCAACGCUCGGCGGAGAGGUGCGUCUGGAAUCGAAGACCUCAGACCACGCGCUGACGAAGAAGGGGCCUUGGCGCGCUCCCGACCAGCGCCCACCAUCUUUCAACACCUGCCAUGACAAAUAGUAAACGAAAUUAGUACAACAUAAAAAAAAGACCGACAUGAAUCAUAAUAUGUGUAUCACUUAAGUGUAUCAUCAUCAGGAACAUCUAAAUGGGUGCUUUGGUUGGUUUCAACUAGCCCUAUAUGUUCGGUUCUUUUGCCCGUUUUGUGCCAUGUCAUCUGUCUGGCCAUCUCUUCGACCAUGAAAAGACGUUGAAGUCUUGGUACGAUUGGCAUAUACCGAAGAACACUAACGGGGAUUUUGGUCUGUGUCUUCUCACCCAUACCGUUGUCUACCACAACAUACCUGGAAGACUUGCAAAUGGGACAAUAGUUCAAGUCCGCAUAGUCAAGCCUAAACAAGACACAUCCUUUCUCACAGGCAUGUAUCUUAUCAUAGGGCAUCUUCAGUGCACGGAGGAUUUUGUUCGACUGGUACAGGUUUGCAGGCAUUACAUGGCCUUUGGGUAGAAAGCGUCCAAAUAGUGUCAUCAUUGCAUCGUAGCAUUCUCUGCCCAAGUUGAACUGAGCCUUCAGAGCCAUUACUUGUGAGAUGGCAUCCAACUGACAAAGCUCAGUGUGCUCAUGGAGCGGACGUUUUGAAGACUCCAACAUUUCAUUGAAGGCCUUUGGAGAUUCCUCCAUCUCCUCGUCCGAAUCCCGAGCAUCAUCAAAGUCUUGCACCAUGUUUUCCAUCCCGGUACCAUGCUCGUCGGUGCGACGACGAUCCACCUCAGCUCGGUCACGUUGGGCAGACUCACCAUGAAAUGUCCACACCGUAUAAUCGGGCGUAAAACCACUCUUCUGCAGGUGUUUGCCCAUUUCAGCCUCUGUCCACUUUUCCCAAUUGCCGCACCGUAAACAGGGGCACCAGGUUUUCGUCUGGCCAUUUGCAAAUGUGGCUCGCACAAACCCCUUGGUUUUUGUGAACCAUUCAGUGCUCCAUUUGUUCUGACCAGUGUGACCGGUGUACAUCCACGCACGAUCACUCAUCUUGACUUUCAGAGCUACUAGACACACAACAAAUAUAUAUAUAUAUAUAAUUCACCAUGUAUGUAUUCAUCAGUUGAUCUACUUUGUCAAUUUUAUUACGUCCAUGCAACCUACACUCUAAUAGGUAAUGAUAGGUCCUAAUCCCACCCGAGUAUGUUUAGAUUGGGUUCAUUUUCCCAUGCUAUGGCCCGGAUCCUACGCAAAAUUUCGGCAGCACCUCCCCGCUGUUCUCCUGAUACACGUCUCUGCAAUAAACAGAGAGGAUGUGUACCCGGAGAACAACAGGGGAGGCACUGACGAAAUUUAUGCGUCGGAUCCGGAGCAAAGCAUAUGGGAAAACGAACCCAAUCUAAACAUACUCGGGCUGUCCAUGGAUAGCGUUGGACAAUUCGAAAGAAUCAAGGUUAUAAAUAUGCAAAUGCAUGCAUAUUUAUAACUAUGACGCUUUCGAACGGGAGACACAUAUUGGUUACGCAUACUGAUGAUUCAAGACACAUAUAUAGCUAGCUAUCAAGUUUCAUCGGAAUAGAUCAAAUAAUUAAUGGGGGAGGAGGACAUGUCAUUUGUGCUCACCCACGAACGAAGGGGCAGAGCUCGUCAAACGCACGGCGAGGUCGUCGAACACCAAACCUCGCAGCGAUGAAACAACUGCACAUUUAAAACUACCCGAUCAACACAAUUAUAUAAGAUGUUUUUCAUAACAAAAUCGAAAAAUAUAUGACCUAACUAAUAAUUCACAAAUAUAUGACCCCGUCGGCCUCUGGAAGGCCAAAGAACACCUUUUCAGGAGGUGUCGGGGGUCGGGGUGCCGUGUCGGUGUCGGGGUCGAGGUGUCGGGUCAGGCUCGGGGUCGGGGUGUCGGGGUGUCGGGGNNNNNNNNNNNNNNNNNNNNNNNNNNNNNNNNNNNNNNNNNNNNNNNNNNNNNNNNNNNNNNNNNNNNNNNNNNNNNNNNNNNNNNNNNNNNNNNNNNNNNNNNNNNNNNNNNNNNNNNNNNNNNNNNNNNNNNNNNNNNNNNNNNNNNNNNNNNNNNNNNNNNNNNNNNNNNNNNNNNNNNNNNNNNNNNNNNNNNNNNNNNNNNNNNNNNNNNNNNNNNNNNNNNNNNNNNNNNNNNNNNNNNNNNNNNNNNNNNNNNNNNNNNNNNNNNNNNNNNNNNNNNNNNNNNNNNNNNNNNNNNNNNNNNNNNNNNNNNNNNNNNNNNNNNNNNNNNNNNNNNNNNNNNNNNNNNNNNNNNNNNNNNNNNNNNNNNNNNNNNNNNNNNNNNNNNNNNNNNNNNNNNNNNNNNNNNNNNNNNNNNNNNNNNNNNNNNNNNNNNNNNNNNNNNNNNNNNNNNNNNNNNNNNNNNNNNNNNNNNNNNNNNNNNNNNNNNNNNNNNNNNNNNNNNNNNNNNNNNNNNNNNNNNNNNNNNNNNNNNNNNNNNNNNNNNNNNNNNNNNNNNNNNNNNNNNNNNNNNNNNNNNNNNNNNNNNNNNNNNNNNNNNNNNNNNNNNNNNNNNNNNNNNNNNNNNNNNNNNNNNNNNNNNNNNNNNNNNNNNNNNNNNNNNNNNNNNNNNNNNNNNNNNNNNNNNNNNNNNNNNNNNNNNNNNNNNNNNNNNNNNNNNNNNNNNNNNNNNNNNNCGGGGUGGGAGGAGAGAACGGCGAGGAGAGAAGAAGUGAGUAACGGGCGGGGGGGUACGGGCCGUUAGGUACUGCCCUCUUUGCCGUCCGCCUAUCUUUGCUGUCCGCCCUUUUUGCCUCUUUGCCGUCUGCUGGCGGACGGCAAAGAGGUGGGCCGUUAAGUUUUUUCCAAACGGGCGGGGGGUGGGGGCCACCUCACUUUUUGCCGUCUGCCAGCGGACGGCAAAGAUUCUUUGCCGUCUGCUGGCUGACGGCAAAAAGCUCGCAGAUGGCAAAGAGCUUCUUUGCCGUCUACCGUUUCUUUGCCGUCUGCUUUUGGGUAGCUGAUGGCAAAGAGCUUCUUUGCCGUCAGCUAGCAGACGACAAAGAGCCGGCAGAUGGCAAAUUAGCUGAUUCCAGUAGUGCCAUGAGCUCUACGGAAGGGAGACAAAAUAUGCGUUCGCCGACUCUAUCGUGUUAAGUUUCUCAAUCUUACUCACUAAGUUUCUAUCUGAUUUUUCCGCCAAGGCUGGCUGCUCAUUUAAAUGAGGCACUAGGUGGAAUAUAUAUAGGUGUUCGGUGUGCAUCACCGGCGAGCGUUGUAAACCUCCUUUUUGUGAGCCAUAUGGAGUUAAGUUUCUCAUAUUUAGUCUUAAGUUUCUUUCCCGUGAGCUCUAUGGAAGGGUCACCAAAUUUGAGUUGGAUGACUCCUCGUUCUUCCGAAUGGUACACGUGAUUCUCCCACGGCAGACGAGCAUUGCCUAAUUCCAAUUUUGAGCCCAAUCAUGUUAAGUUUCUUCAUCUUCUUCACUAAGUUUCUUUCUAAUUUUUGUGCCCUUCAGCAUUUCCACAUCGUUAUUAAACCAACACCUCAUGAUAAGAGACCACUGUUUAUAUUUCAGGUCCUUGCAAAAUUUCUCAACAAACAUGAGAGGAAUUCUUACCUCACGAAAAAAUCCAAACCCAACACUUCCCUUUCAUAAUAUAUUAGACCAUUUAUUAGACAUAGCUACACGAUAGAAGAACAUAUCUGAUUCGCCUAUGACAAGGCACUGGGUGCUAUUUUCUCAAGACAAGGCAGAAUCUCUCAACCAGUGCCCGCGGAGACGGAUGGUGAUCAAAUGACCAUUGAUAUUUGCAGCAUAUGGAUAUGUAGCUCAUGAAAACGAGGAACUAGGCCGAAUAUAUAUAGGUGUGCGUAACCGGUGAGGGUCGGAAACUUCCUAUUUUUGAGCCAUAUGGAGUUAAGUCUCUCAUAAAGACCCCUAAGUUUCUUUCCCGUGAGCUCUACGGACGGGUGACGAAAUAUGUGUUCGCCGACUCUAUCGUGUAAAGAUUCUCAAUCUUGCUCACUAAGUUUCUGUCUGAUUUUUGCGCCUAGGCAGGCUGCUCAUUUAAACGAGGCACUAUGUGGAGUAUAUAUAGGUGUUCGGUGUGCGUCACCGGCGAGCGUUGUAAACCUCCUUUUUGUGAGCCAUAUGGAGUUAAGUUUCUCAUAUUUAGUCUUAAGUUUCUUUCCCAUGAGCUCUAUGGAAGGUUCAUGAAAUUUGAGUUGGAUGACUCCUCGUUCGACCGAAUGGUACACGUGGUUCUCCCGCGGCAGACAAGCGUUGCCUAAUUUCAAUUUCGAGCCCUAUCAUGUUAAGUUUCUUAAUCUUCUUCACUAAGUUUCUUUCUGAUUUUUGUGCCCUUCAGCACUUCCACAUUGUUAUUAAACCAACACCUCACGAUAAGAGAUCGUUGCUUAUAUUUCAGGUCCUUGCAAAAUCUCUCAACAAACAUGAGACGAAUUCUUGCCUCACGAAAAAAUCCAAUCCCAACACUUCCCUUUCAUAAUAUAUUAGACCAUUUCUUAGACAUAGAUACACGAUUGAAGAACAUAUCUGAUUCGCCUAUGACAAGGCACUAGGUGCUAUUUUCUCAAGACAAGGCAGAAUCUCUCAACCAGUGCCAGCGGAGACGGAUGGUGAUCAAUCGACCAUUGAUAUUUGCAGCAUAUGGAUGUGUAGCUCAUUAAAACGAGGAACUAGGCCGAAUAUAUAUAGGUGUGCGUAAUCGGUGAGCGUCGGAAACUUCCUGUUUUUGAGCCAUAUGGAGUUAAGUUUCUCAUAUUUACCCCUAAGUUUCUUUCCCGUGAGCUCUACGGAAGGGUGACGAAAUAUGCGUUUGCCGACUCUAUCGUGUUAAGAUUCUCAAUCUUACUCACUAACUUUCUGUCUGAUUUUUGCGCCUAGGCAGGCUGCUCAUUCAAAUGAGGCACUAGGUGGAAUAUAUAUAGGUGUUCGGUGUGUGUCACCGGCGAGCGUUGUAAACCUCCUUUUUGUGAGCCAUAUGGAGUUAAGUUUCUCAUAUUUAGUCUUAAGUUUCUUUCCCGUGAGCUCUAUGGAAGGUUCACGAAAUUUGAGUUGGAUGACUCCUCGUUCGACCGAAUGGUACACGUGGUUCUCCCGCGGCAGACAAGCGUUGCCUAAUUCCAAUUUCGAGCCCUAUCAUGUUAGGUUUCUUAAUCUUCUUCACUAAGUUUCUUUCUGAUUUUUGUGCCCUUCAGCAUUUCCAUAUGGUUAUUAAACCAACACCUCAUGAUAAGAGACCGCUGCUUAUAUUUCAGGUCCUUGCAAAAUCUCUCAACAAACAUGAGACGAAUUCUUUCCUCACGAAAAAAUCCAAUCCCAACACUUCCCUUUCAUAAUAUAUGAGACCAUUUAUUAGACAUAGAUACACGAUAGAAGAACAUAUCUGAUUCUCCUAUGACAAGGCACUAGGUGCUAUUUUCUCAAGACAAGGCAGAAUCUCUCAACCAGUGCCAGCGGAGACGGAUGGUGAUCAAAUGACCAUUGAUAUUUGCAGCAUAUGGAUGUGUAGCUCAUUAAAACGAGGAACUAGGCCGAAUAUAUAUAGGUGUGCGUAACCGGUGAGGGUCGGAAACUUCCUGUUUUUGAGCCAUAUGGAGUUAAGUUUCUCAUAUUUACCCCUAAGUUUCUUUCCCGUGAGCUCUACGGAAGGGUGAAAAAAUAUGCGUUCGCCGACUCUAUCGUGUUAAGAUUCUCAAUCUUACUCACUAAGUUUCUGUCUGAUUUUUGCCCUACGCAGGCUGCUCAUUUAAAUGAGGCACUAUGUGGAAUAUAUAUAGGUGUUCGGUGUGCGUCACCGGCGAGCGUUGUAAACCUCCUUUUUCUGAGCCAUAUGGAGUUAAGUUUCUCAUAUUUACCCUUAAGUUUCUUUCCCGUGAGCUCUACGGAAGGGUCACCAAUUAUGCGUUCGACGUCUCCUCGUUCGAUCGAACGGUACACAUGAUUCUCCCGCGGCAGACGAGCGUUGCCUAAUUCCAAUUUCGUGCCCUAUCAUGUUAAGUUUAUCCAUCUUCUUCACUAAGUUUCUUUCUGAUUUUUGCGCCUUGCUUCAGCAUUUCCACAUGGUUAUUAAACCAACACCUCAUGAUAAGAGACCAUUGUUUAUAUUUCAGGUCCUUGCAAAAUCUCUCAACAAACAUAAGAGGAAUUCUUACCUAACGAAAAAUCCAAUCCCAGCACUUCCCUUUCAUAAUAUAUUAGACCAUUUAUUAGACAUAGAUACACGAUAGAAGAACAUAUCUGAUUCGCCUAUGACAAGGCACUAAGUGAAAUUUCCUCAAGACAAGGAAAAAUCUCUCAACCAGUGCCAGCGAAGACGGAUGAUGAUCAAAUGACCAUUGAUAUUUGCUGCAUAUGGAUGCGUAGCUCAUUAAAACGAGGCACUAGGUGGAAUAUAUAUAGGUGUCCGUCACCGACGAUCCUCGGAAACCUCUUCUUUUUGAGCGAUAUGGAGUUACGUUUCUCAUAUUUAACCCUACGUUUCUUUCCCGUGAGCUCUACGGAAGGGUGACAAAAUAUGCGUUCGCCGACUCUAUCGUGUUAAGUUUCUCAAUCUUACUCACUAAGUUUCUAUCUGAUUUUUGCGCCAAGGCUGGCUGCUCAUUUAAAUGAGGCACUAGGUGGAAUAUAUAUAGGUGUUCAUUGCGCAUCACCGGCGAGCGUUGUAAACCUCCUUUUUGUGAGCCAUAUGGAGUUAAGUUUCUCAUAUUUACUCUUAAGUUUCUUUCCCGUGAGCUCUAUGGAAGGGUCACCAAAUUUGAGUUGGAUGACUCCUCGUUCGUCUGAAUGGUAAACGUGAUUCUCCCAUGGCAGACGAGCAUUGCCUAAUUCCAAUUUCGAGCCCAAUCAUGUUAAGUUUCUUAAUCUUCUUCACUAAGUUUAUUUCUGAUUUUUGUGCCCUUCAGCAUUUCCACAUGGUUAUUAAACCAACACCUCAUGAUAAGAGACCAUUGUUUAUAUUUCAGGUCCUUGCAAAAUUUCUCAACAAACAUGAGAGGAAUUCUUACCUCACGAAAAAAUCCAAUCCCAACACUUCCCUUUCAUAAUAUAUUAGACCAUUUAUUAGAUAUAGCAACACGAUAGAAGAACAUAUCUGAUUCGCCUAUGACAAGGCACUAGGUGCUAUUUUCCCAAGACAAGGCAGAAUCUCUCAACCAGUGCCAGCGGAGACGGAUGGUGAUCAAAUGACCAUUGAUAUUUGCAGCAUAUGGAUGUGUAGCUCAUUAAAAUGAGGAACUAGGCCGAAUAUAUAUAGGUGUGCGUAACCGGUGAGGGUCGGAAACUUCCUGUUUUUGAGCCAUAUGGAGUUAAGUUUCUCAUAAAUACCCCUAAGUUUCUUUCCCGUGAGCUCUACGGAAGGGUGACGAAAUAUGCGUUCGCCGACUCUAUCGUGUUAAGAUUCUCAAUCUUACUCACUAAGUUUCUGUCUGAUUUUUGGGCCUAGGCAGGCUGCUCAUUUAAAUGAGGCACUAUGUGGAAUAUAUAUAGGUGUUCGGUGUGCGUCACCGGCGAGCGUUGUAAACCUCCUUUUUGUGAGCCAUAUGGAGUUAAGUUUCUCAUAUUUAGUCUUAAGUUUCUUUCCCGUGAGCUCUAUGGAAGGUUCACGAAAUUUGAGUUGGAUGACUCCUUGUUCGACCGAAUGGUACACGUGGUUCUCCCGCGGCAGACAAGUGUUGCCUAAUUCCAAUUUCGAGCCCUAUCAUGUUAAGUUUCUUAAUCUUCUUCACUAAGUUUCUUUCUGAUUUUUGUGCCCUUCAGCAUUUCCACAUAGUUAUUAAACCAACACCUCAUGAUAAGAGUCCGUUGCUUAUAUUUCAGAUCCUUGCAAAAUCUCUCAACAAACAUGAGAUGAAUUCUUGCCUCACGAAAAAAUCCAAUCCCAACACUUCCCUUUCAUAAUAUAUUAGACCAUUUAUUAAACGUAGAUACACGAUUGAAGAACAUAUCUGAUUCGCCUAUGACAAGGCAGUAGGUGCUAUUUUGUCGAGACAAGGCAGAAUCUCUCAACCAGUGCCAGCGGAGACGGAUGGUGAUCAAAUGACCAUUGAUAUUUGCAGCAUAUGGAUGUGUAGCUCAUUAAAACGAGGAACUAGGCCGAAUAUAUAUAGGUGUGCGUAACCGGUGAGGGUCGGAAAGAUCCUGUUUUUGAGCCAUAUGGAGUUAAGUUUCUCAUAUUUACCCCUAAGUUUCUUUCCCGUGAGCUCUACGGAAGGGUGACGAAAUAUGCGUUUGCCGACUCUAUCGUGUUAAGAUUCUCAAUCUUACUCACUAAGUUUCUGUCUGAUUUUUGCGCCUAGGCAGGCUGCUCAUUUAAAUGAGGCACUAUGUGGAAUAUAUAUAGGUGUUCGGUGUGCGUCACCGGCGAGCGUUGUGAACCUCCUUUUUCUGAGCCAUAUGGAGUUAGGUUUCUCAUAUUUACCCUUAAGUUUCUUUACCGUGAGCUCUACGGAAGGGUCACCAAUUAUGCGUUCGACGUCUCCUCGUUCAAUCGAACGGUACACAUGAUUCUCCCGCGGCAGACGAGCGUUGCCUAAUUCGAAUUUCGUUCUGUAUCAUGUUAAGUUUAUCAAUCUUCUUCACUAAGUUUCUUUCUGAUUUUUGCGCCUUGCUUCAGCAUUUCCACAUGGUUAUUAAACCAACACCUCAUGAUAAGAGACCAUUAUGUAUAUUUCAGGUCGGUACUCGUCGUUGCAAAAUCUCUCAACAAAAAUGACCAUUGAUAUUUGCAACAUAUGGAUGUGUAGCUCAUUAAAACGAGGCACUAGGUGGAAUAUAUAUAGGUGUGCGUAACCGGUGAGUGUCGGAAACCUCCUCUUUCUGAGCCAUAUGGAGUUAAGUUUAUCACAUUUCCCCUAAGUUUCUUUCCCCCGAGCUCUAUGUAAGGGUGACGAAAUAUGCGUUCGCCGACUCUAUCGUGUUAAGUUUCUCAAUCUUACUUACUAAGUUUUUGUCUGAUUUUUGCGCCUAAGCUGCUCAUUUAAAUGAGGCACUAGGUGGAAUAUAUAUAGGUGUUCAGUGUGCAUCACCGGCAAGCGUUGUAAACCUCCUUUUUCUGAGCCAUAUGGAGUUAAGUUUCUCAUAUUUAGCCUUCAGUUUCUCUCCCGUGAGCUCUACGGAAGGGUCACCAAAUUUGCGUUGGACGACUCCUCGUUCGACCGAAUAGUACACGUGAUUCUCCCGCGGCAGACGAGAGUUGCCUAAUUCCAAUUCCGAGCCCUAUCAUGGAAAGUUUCUCAAUCUUCUUCACUAAGUUUCUUUCUUAUUUUUGCGCCUAGACAGGCUGCUCAUUUAAAUGAGGCAAUAGGUGGAAUAUAUAUAUGUGUUCGAUAUGCGUCACCGGCGUGCGUUGUAAACCUCCUUUUUCUCAACCAUAUGGAGUUAAGUUUCUCAUAUUAGCCUUAAGUUUCUUUCCCGUGAGCUCUAUGGAAGUGUCACCCAUUAUGUGUUUGACGUCUCCUCGUUCGAUCGAACGGUACACGUGAUUCUCCCACGGUAGACGAGCGUUGCCUAAUUCCAAUUUCGAGCCCUAUCAUGUUAAGUUUAUCUAUCUUCUUCACUAAGAUUCUUUCUGAUUUUUGCGCCUUCCUUCAGCAUUUCCACAUGGUUAACCAACAACUGAUGAUAAGAGACCAUUACGUAUAUUUCAGGUCGGUACUCGUCGUUGCAAAAUCUCUCAACAAAAAUGACCAUUGAUAUUUGCAACAUAUGGAUGCGUAGAUCAUUAAAACGAGGCACUAGGUGGAAUAUAUAUAGGUUUGGGUAAUUGGUGAGCGUCGGAAACCUCCUCUUUUUGAGCCAUAUGGAGUUAAGUUUCUCAUAUUUACCCCUAAGUUUCUUUCCCGUAAGAUCUACGGGGGGGUCACCAAAUUUGCGUUGGAUGACUACUCGUUCGACGGAACGGUACACGUGAUUCUCCUGCGGUAGACGAGCGUUGCAUAAUUCCAAUUUCGAGCCCUAUCAUGUUAAGUUUCUUCAUCUUCUUCACUAAGUUUCUUUCUAAUUUUUGUGCCCUUCAGCAUUUCCACAUGGUUAUUAAACCAACACCUCAUGAUAAGAGACCAUUGUUUAUAUUUCAGGUCCUUGGAAAAUCUCUCAACAAACAUGAGAAGAAUUCUUACCUCACGAAAAAAUCCAAUCCCAGCACUUCCCUUUCAUAACAUAUUAGACCAUUUGUUAGACAUAGAUACACGAUAGAAGAACAUAUCUGAUUCGCCUAUGAGAAGGCACUAAGCGCAAUUUCCUCAAGACAAGGCAAAAUCUCUCAGCCAGUGCCAGCGGAGACGGAUGGUGAUCAAAUGACCAUUGAUAUUUGCAGCAUAUGGAUGUGUAGCUCAUUAAAACGUGGCACUAGGUGGAAUAUAUAUAGGUGUGCGUAACCGAUGAGCGUCGGAAACCUCCUCUUUUUGAGCGAUAUGGAGUUAAGUUUCUCAUAUUUAACCCUAAGUUUCUUUCCUGUGAGAUCUACGGAAGGGUGACGAAAUAUGCGUUCGCCGACUCUAUCGUGUUAAGUUUCUCAAUCUUACUCACUAAUUUUCUGUCUGAUUUUUGCGCCAAGGCAAGCUGCUCAUUUAAAUGAGGCACUAGGUGGAAUAUAUAUAGGUGUUCGGUGUGCAUCACCGGCGAGCGUUUUAAACCUCCUUUUUGUGAGCCAUAUGGAAAUAAGUUUCUCAUAUUUAGUCUUAAGUUUCUUCCCCGUGAGCUCUGUGGAAGGUUCACCAAAUUUGUGUUGGAUGACUCCUCGUUCGACCGAAUGGUACACGUGGUUCUCCCGUGGCAGACAAGCGUUGCCUAAUUCCAAUUUCGAGCCCUAUCAUGUUAAGUUUCUUAAUCUUCUUCACUAAGUUUCUUCCUGAUUUUUGUGGACUUCAGCAUUUCCACUUGGUUAUUAAACCAACACCUCAUGAUAAGAGACCAUUGCUUAUAUUUCAGGUCCUUGCAAAAUCUCUCAACAAACAUGAGACGAAUUCUUACCUCACGAAAAAAUCCAAUCCCAACACUUCCAUUUCAUAAUAUAUUAGACCAUUUAUUAGACAUAGAUACACGAUAGUACAACAUAUCUGAUUCGCCUAUGACAAGGCACUAGGUGCAAUUUUCUCAAGACAAAGCAGAAUCUCUCAACCAGUGCCAGCGCAGACGGAUGGUGAUCAAAUGACCAUUGAUAUUUGCAGCAUAUGGAUGUGUAGCUCAUUCUAACGAGGAACUAGGUCGAAUAUAUAUAGGUGUGCGUAACCGGUGAGGGUCCGAAACUUCCUGUUUUUGAGCCAUAUGGAGUUAAGUUUCUCAUAUUUACCCCUAAGUUUCUUUCCCGUGAGCUCUACGGAAGGGUGACGAAAUAUGCGUUCGCCGACUCUAUCGUGUUAAGAUUCUCAAUCUUACUCACUAAGUUUCUUUCCUGUGAGCUCUACGGAAGGGUCACCAAUUAUGCGUUCGACGUCUCCUCAUUCGAUCGAACGGUACACGUGAUUCUCCCGCGGCAGACGAGCGUUGCCUAAUUCCAAUUCCGUGCCCUAUCAUGUUAAGUUUAUCAAUCUUCUUCACUAAGUUUCUUUCUGAUUUUUGCGCCUUGCUUCAGCAUUUCCACAUGGUUAUUAAACCAACAGCUCAUGAUAAGAGACCAUUAUGUAUAUUUCAGGUCGGUACUCGUCGUUGCAAAAUCUCUCAACAAAAAUGACCAUUGAUAUUUGCAACAUAUGGAUGUGUAGCUCAUUAAAACGAGGCACUGGGUGGAAUAUAUAUAGGUGUGCGUAACUAGUGAGCGUCGGAAACCUCCUCUUUCUGAGCCAUAUGGAGUUAUGUUUCUCACAUUUACCCCUAAGUUUCUUUCGCGCGAGAUCUACGUAAGGGUGACGAAAUAUGCAUUCGCCGACUCUAUCGUGCUAAGUUUCUCAAUCUUACUUACUAAGUUUUUGUCUGAUUUUUGCGCCUAGGCAGGCUGCUCAUUUAAAUGAGGCACUAGGUGGAAUAUAUAUAGGUGUUCGGUGUGCAUCACCGGCGAGCAUUGUAAACCUCCUUUUUCUGAGCCAUAUGGAGUUAAGUUUCUCAUAUUUAGCCUUAAGUUUCUCUCCCGUGAGCUCUACGGAAGGGUCACCAAAUUUGCGUUGGACGACUCCUCGUUCGACCGAACAGUACACGUGAUUCUCCCGCGGCAGACGAGCGUUGCCUAAUUCCAAUUUCGAGCCCUAUCAUGUUAUGUUUCUUAAUCUUCUUCACUAAGUUUCUUUCUGAUUUUUGCCCUUCAGCAUUUCCACAUGGUUAUUAAACCAACACCUCAUGAUAAUGGACCAUUGUUUAUAUUUCAGGUCCUUGCAAUAUCUCUCACCAAACAUGAGAGGAAUUCUUACCUCACGAAAAAAUCCAAUCCCAACACAUCCCUUUCAUAAUAUAUUAGGCCAUUUAUUAGACAUAGAUACACGAUACAAGAACAUAUCUGAUUCUCCUAUGGCAAGGCACUAGACGCAUGGUGAGCAAACGUCCAUUGAUAUUUGCAGCAUAUGGAUGCGUAGCUCAUUAAAACGGGGCACUAGGUAGAAAAUAUAUAGGUGAGCGUCGGAAACCUUUUCUUUUUGAGCCAUAUAGAGUUUAGUUUCUCAUCUUUACCCCUAAGUUUCAUUCCUGUGAGCUCUACAGAAGGGUGACCAAAUAUGUGUUCGUCGACUCUAUCAUGUUAAGUUUCUCAAUCUUCUUCACUAAGUUUUUUUCUGAUUUUUGCGCCUAGAUAGGCUGCUCAUUUAAAUGAGGCACUAGGUGGAAUAUAUAUAGGUGUUCGGUGUGUGUCCACAGCGAGCCUUGUAAACCUCCUUUUUCUGAGCCAUAUGGAGUUAAGUUUCUCAUAUCUAGCCUUAAGUUUCUUUCCCGUGAGCUCUACGGAAGGGUCACCAAUUAUGCGUUAGACGUCUCCUCGUUCGAUCGAACGGUACACGUGAUUCUCCCGCCCCAGACAAGCGUUGCCUAAUUCCAAUUUCGAGCCCUAUCAUGUUAAGUUUAUCAAUCUUCUUCACUAUGUUUCUUUCUGAUUUUUGCGCCUUCCUUCAACAUUUCCACAUGGUUAUUAAACCAACACCUCAUGACAAGAGACCAUUAUGUAUAUCUCAGGUCGGUACUCGUCGUUGCACAAUCUCUCGAUAUAAAUGACCAUUGAUAUUUGCAACAUAUGGAUGCGUAGCUCAUUAAAACGAGGCACUAGGUGGAAUAUAUAUAGGUGUGUGUAACCGGUGAGCGUUGGAAACCUCCUCUUUUUGAGCCAUAUGGAGUUAAGUUUCUCAUAUUUACCCAAAAGUUUCAUUCCCGUGAGCUCUACGGAAGGGUUACCAAAUAUGUGUUCGCCGACUCUAUCAUGUUAAGUUUCUCAAUGUUCUUCACUAAGUUUCUUUCUGAUUUUUGCGCCUAGAUAGGCUGCUCAUUUAAAUGAGGCACUAGGUGGAAUAUCUAUAGGUGUUCGGUGUACGUUCCCGGGGAGCAUUGUAAACCUCCAUUUUCUGAGCCAUAUGGAGUUAAGUUUCUCAUAUUUAGCCUUAAGUUUCUUUCCCAUGAGAUCUACGGAAGGGUCACCAAUUAUGCGUUCGACGUCUCCUCGUUCGAUCAAACCGUACACGUGAUUCUCCCGCGGCAGACGAGCGUUGCCUAAUUCCAAUUUCGUGCCCUAUCAUGUUAAGUUUAUCAAUCUUCUUCACUAAGUUUCUUUCUGAUUUUUGCGCCUUCCUUCAACAUUUCCACAUGAUUAUUAAACCAACACCUCAUGAUAAGAGACCGUUAUGUAUAUUUCAGGUCAGUACUCGUCAUUGCAAAAUCUCUCGACAAAAAUAACCACUGAUAUUUGCAACAUAUGGAUGCGUAGCUCAUUAAAACGAGGCACUAGGUGGAAUAUAUAUAGGUGUGUGUAACCGGUGAGCGUCGGAAACCUCCUCUUUUUGAGCCAUAUGGAGUUAAGUUUCUCAUAUUUACCCCUAAGUUCCUUUCCCGUGAGCUCUACGAAAGGGUGACCAAAUAUGUGUUCGCCGACUCUAUCAUAUUAAGUUUCUCAAUGUUCUUCACUAAGUUUCUUUCUGAUUUUUGCGCCUAGACAGGCUGCUCAUUUAAAUGAGGCACUAGGUGGAAUAUAUAUAGGUGUUCGGUGUGCGUCACCGGCGAGCGUUGUAAACCUCCUUUUUCUGAGCCAUAUAGAGUUAUGUUUCUCAUAUUUAGCCUUAAGUUUCUUUCCCGUGAGCUCUACGGAAGGGUCCCCAAUUAUGCGUUCAACGUCUCCUCGUUCGAUCGAACGGUACACGUGAUUCUUCCGCGGCAGACGAUCAUUGCCUAAUUCCAAUUUCGAGUCGUAUCAUGUUAAGCUUCUCAAUCUUCUUCACUAAGUUUCUUUCUAAUUUUUGCGCCUUCCUUCAACAUUUCCACAUGGUUAUUAAACCAACACCUCAUGAUAAGAGACCGUUAUGUAUAUUUCAGGUCAGUACUCGUCAUUGCAAAAUCUCUCGACAAAAAUAACCACUGAUAUUUGCAUCAUAUGGAUGCGUAGCUCAUUAAAACGAGGCACUAGGUGGAAUAUAUAUAGGUGUGUGUAACCGGUGAGCGUCGGAAACCUCCUCUUUUUGAGCCAUAUGGAGUUAAGUUUCUCAUAUUUACCCCUAAGUUCCUUUCCCGUGAGCUCUACGAAAGGGUGACCAAAUAUGUGUUCGCCGACUCUAUCAUGUUAAGUUUCUCAAUCUUCAUCACUAAGUUUCUUUCUGAUUUUUGCGCCUAGACAGGCUGCUCAUUUAAAUGAGGCACUAGGUGGAAUAUAUAUAGGUGUUCGGUGUGCGUCACCGGCGAGCGUUGUAAACCUCCUUUUUCUGAGCCAUAUAGAGUUAUGUUUCUCAUAUUUAGCCUUAAGUUUCUUUCCCGUGAGCUCUACGGAAGGGUCACCAAUUAUGCGUUAGACGUCUCCUCGUUCGAUCGAACGGUACACGUGAUUCUCCCGCCCCAGACAAGCGUUGCCUAAUUCCAAUUUCGAGCCCUAUCAUGUUAAGUUUAUUAAUCUUCUUCACUAUGUUUCUUUCUGAUUUUUGCGCCUUCCUUCAACAUUUCCACAUGGUUAUUAAACCAACACCUCAUGACAAGAGACCAUUAUGUAUAUCUCAGGUCGGUACUCGUCGUUGCACAAUCUCUCGAUAUAAAUGACCAUUGAUAUUUGCAACAUAUGGAUGCGUAGCUCAUUAAAACGAGGCACUAGGUGGAAUAUAUAUAGGUGUGUGUAACCGGUGAGCGUUGGAAACCUCCUCUUUUUGAGCCAUAUGGAGUUAAGUUUCUCAUAUUUACCCCAAAGUUUCAUUCCCGUGAGCUCUACGGAAGGGUUACCAAAUAUGUGUUCGCCGACUCUAUCAUGUUAAGUUUCUCAAUGUUCUUCACUAAGUUUCUUUCUGAUUUUUGCGCCUAGAUAGGCUGCUCAUUUAAAUGAGGCACUAGGUGGAAUAUCUAUAGGUGUUCGGUGUACGUUCCCGGGGAGCAUUGUAAACCUCCAUUUUCUGAGCCAUAUGGAGUUAAGUUUCUCAUAUUUAGCCUUAAGUUUCUUUCCCAUGAGAUCUACGGAAGGGUCACCAAUUAUGCGUUCGACGUCUCCUCGUUCGAUCAAACCGUACACGUGAUUCUCCCGCGGCAGACGAGCGUUGCCUAAUUCCAAUUUCGUGCCCUAUCAUGUUAAGUUUAUCAAUCUUCUUCACUAAGUUUCUUUCUGAUUUUUGCGCCUUCCUUCAACAUUUCCACAUGAUUAUUAAACCAACACCUCAUGAUAAGAGACCGUUAUGUAUAUUUCAGGUCAGUACUCGUCAUUGCAAAAUCUCUCGACAAAAAUAACCACUGAUAUUUGCAACAUAUGGAUGCGUAGCUCAUUAAAACGAGGCACUAGGUGGAAUAUAUAUAGGUGUGUGUAACCGGUGAGCGUCGGAAACCUCCUCUUUUUGAGCCAUAUGGAGUUAAGUUUCUCAUAUUUACCCCUAAGUUCCUUUCCCGUGAGCUCUACGAAAGGGUGACCAAAUAUGUGUUCGCCGACUCUAUCAUAUUAAGUUUCUCAAUGUUCUUCACUAAGUUUCUUUCUGAUUUUUGCGCCUAGACAGGCUGCUCAUUUAAAUGAGGCACUAGGUGGAAUAUAUAUAGGUGUUCGGUGUGCGUCACCGGCGAGCGUUGUAAACCUCCUUUUUCUGAGCCAUAUAGAGUUAUGUUUCUCAUAUUAAGCCUUAAGUUUCUUUCCCGUGAGCUCUACGGAAGGGUCCCCAAUUAUGCGUUCAACGUCUCCUCGUUCGAUCGAACGGUACACGUGAUUCUUCCGCGGCAGACGAUCAUUGUCUAAUUCCAAUUUCGAGUCGUAUCAUGUUAAGCUUCUCAAUCUUCUUCACUAAGUUUCUUUCUAAUUUUUGCGCCUUCCUUCAACAUUUCCACAUGGUUAAUAAACCAACACCUCAUGAUAAGAGACCAUUAUGUAUAUUUCAGGUCGGUACUCGUCAUUGCAAAAUCUCUCAAUAAAAAUGACCAUUGAUAUUUGCAACAUAUGGAUGUGUAGCUCAUUAAAACGAGGCACUAGGUGGAAUAUAUAUAGGUGUGUGUAACCGGUGAGCGUUAGAAACCUCCUCUUUUUGAGCCAUAUUGAGUUAAUUUUCUCAUAUUUACCGCAAAGUUUCUUUGCCGUGAGCUCUACAGAAGGGUGACCAAAUAUGUGUUCGCCGACUCUAUCAUGUUAAGUUUCUCAAUCUUCUUCACUAAGUUUCUUUCUGAUUUUUGCGCCUAGAUAGCCUGCUCAUUUAAAUGAGGCACUAGGUGGAAUAUCUAUAGGUGUUCGGUGUGCGUCCCCAGGGAGCGUUGUAAACCUCCUUUUUCUGAGCCAUAUGGAGUUAAGUUUCUCAUAUUUAGCCUUCAGUUUCUUUCCCCUGAGAUCUGCGGAAGGGUCACCAAUUAUGCGUUCGACGUCUCCUCGUUCGAUCGAACGGUACACGUGAUUCUCCCGCGGCAGACGAGCUUUGCCUAAUUCCAAUUUCAAGCCCUAUCAUGUUAAGUUUAUCAAUCUUCUUCACUAAGUUUCUUUCUGAUUUUUGUGCCUUCCUUCAACAUUUCCACAUGUUUAUUAAACCAACACCUCAUGAUAAGAGACCAUUAUGUAUAUUUCAGGUCGGUACUCGUCAUUGCAAAAUCUCUCGACGAAAAUGACCAUUGAUAUUUGCAACAUAUGGAUGCGUAGCUCAUUAAUACGGGGCACUAGGUGGAAUAUAUAUAGGUGUGUGUAACCGGUGAGCGUCGGAAACCUCCUCUUUUUGAGCCAUAUGGAUUUAAGUUCCUCAUAUUUACCCCUAAGUUUCUUUCCCGUGAGCUCUAUAGAAGGGUGACCAAAUAUGUGUUCACCGACUCUAUCAUGUUAAGUUUCUCAAUCUUCUUCACUAAGUUUCUUUCUGAUUUUUGCACCUAGAUAGGCUGCUCGUUUAAAUGAGGCACUAGGUGGAAUAUAUAUAGGUGUUCGAUGUGCGUCACCGGCGAGCGUUGUAAACGUCCUUUUUCUGAGCUAUAUGGAGUUAAGUUUCUCAUAUUUAGCCUUAAGUUUCUUUCCCGUGAGCUCUACGGAAGGGUCACCAAUUAUGCGUUCAACAUCUCCUCGUUCGAUCGAACGGUACACGUGAUUCUCCCGCGUCAGACGAGCGUUGCCUAAUUCCAAUUUCGAGCCCUAUCAUGUUAAGUUUAUCAAUCUUCUUCACUAAGUUUCUUUCUGAUUUUUGCGCCUUCCUUCAACAUUUCCACAUGAUUAUUAAACCAACACCUCAUGAUAAGAGACCGUUAUGUAUAUUUCAGGUCAGUACUCGUCAUUGCAAAAUCUCUCGACAAAAACGAGGCACUAGGUGGAAUAUAUAUAGGUGUGUGUAACCGGUGAGCGUCGGAAACCUCCUCUUUUUGAGCCAUAUGGAGUUAAGUUUCUCAUAUUUACCCCUAAGUUCCUUUCCCGUGAGCUCUACGAAAGGGUGACCAAAUAUGUGUUCGCCGACUCUAUCAUGUUAAGUUUCUCAAUCUUCUUCACUAAGUUUCUUUCUGAUUUUUGCGCCUAGACAGGCUGCUCAUUUAAAUGAGGCACUAGGUGGAAUAUAUAUAGGUGUUCGGUGUGCGUCACCGGCGAGCGUUGUAAACCUCCUUUUUCUGAGCCAUAUAGAGUUAUGUUUCUCAUAUUUAGCCUUAAGUUUCUUUCCCGUGAGCUCUACGGAAGGGUCACCAAUUAUGCGUUCAACGUCUCCUCGUUCGAUCGAACGGUACACGUGAUUCUCCCGCGGCAGACGAUCAUUGCCUAAUUCCAAUUUCGAGUCGUAUCAUGUUAAGCUUCUCAAUCUUCUUCACUAAGUUUCUUUCUAAUUUUUGCGCCUUCCUUCAACAUUUCCACAUGGUUAAUAAACCAACACCUCAUGAUAAGAGACCAUUAUGUAUAUUUCAGGUUGGUACUCGUCGUUGCAAAAUCUCUCAACAAAAAUGACCACUGAUAUUUGCAACAUAUGAAUGCGUAGCUCACUAAAACGAGGCACUAGGUGGAAUAUAUAUAUGUGUGUGUAACCGGUGAGCGUCGGAAACCUCCUCUUUUUGAGCCAUAUGGAGUUAAGUUUCUCAUAAUUACCCCUAAGUUUCUUUCCCGUGAGCUCUACGCAAGGGUGAGCAAAUAUUUGUUCGCCGACUCUAUCAUGUUAAGUUUCUCAAUCUUCUUCACUAAGUUUCUUUCUGAUUUUUGCGCCUAGACAGGCUGCUCAUUUAAAUGAGGCACUAGGUGGAAUAUAUAUAGGUGUUCGGUGUGCGUCACCGGCGAGCGUAGUAAACCUCCUUUUUCUGAGCCAUAUGGAAUUAAGUUUCUCAUAUUUAGCCUUAAGUUUCUUUCCCGUGAGCUCUGCGGAAGGGUCACCAAUUAUGCGUUCAACGUCUCCUCGUUCGAUCGAACGGUACACGUGAUUCUCUCGCGUCAGACGAGCGUUGCCUAAUUCCAAUUUCGAGCCGUAUCAUGUUAAGUUUCUCAAUCUUCUUCACUAAGUUUCUUUCUGAUUUUUGUGCCUUCCUUCAACAUUUCCACAUGGUCAUUGAACCAACACCUCAUGAUAAGAGACCAUUAUGUAUAUUUCAGGUUGGUACUCGUCGUUGCAAAAUCUCUCAACAAAAAUGACCACUGAUAUUUGCAACAUAUGAAUGCGUAGCUCACUAAAACGAGGCACUAGGUGGAAUAUAUAUAUGUGUGUGUAACCGGUGAGCGUCGGAAACCUCCUCUUUUUGAGCCAUAUGGAGUUAAGUUUCUCAUAUUUAACCCUAAGUUUCUUUCCCGUGAGCUCUACGGAAGGGUGACCAAAUAUGUGUUCGCCGACUUUAUCAUGUUAAGUUCCUCAAUCUUCUUCACUAAGUUUCUUUCUGAUUUUUGUACCUAGACAGGCUGCUCAUUUAAAUGAGCCACUUGGUGGAAUAUAUAUAGGUGUUCGGUGUGCGUCACCGGCGAGCGUUGUAAACCUCCUUUUUCUGAGCCAUAUGGAGUUAAGUUUAUCAUAUUUAGCCUUAAGUUUCUUUCCCGUGAGCUCUACGGAAGGGUCACCAAUUAUGCGUUCAACGUCUCCUCGUUCGAUCGGAUGGUACACAUGAUUCUCUCGUGACAUACGAGCGUUGGCUAAUUCCAAUUACGAGCCCUACCAUGUUAAGUUUCUCAAUCUUCUUCACUAAGUUUCUUUCUGAUUUUUGCACCUUCCUUCAACAUUUCGACAUGGUUAUUAAACCAACACCUCAUGAUAAGAGACCAUUAUGUAUAUUUCAGGUCGGUACUCGUCGUUGCAAAAUCUCUCAACAAAAAUGACCACUGAUAUUUGCAACAUAUGGAUGCGUAGCUCAUUAAAACGAGGCACUAGGUGGAAUAUAUAUAGGUGUGCGUAACCGGCGAGCGUCGGAAACCUCCUCUUUUUGAGCCAUAUGGAGUUACGUUUCUCAUAUUUAACCCUAAGUUUCUUUCCCGUGAGCUCUACGGAAGGGUGACCAAAUACGUGUUCACCGACUCUAUCAUGUUAAGUUUCUCAAUCUUCUUCACUAAGUUUCUUUCUGAUUUUUGUGCCUAGACAGGCUGCUCAUUUAAAUGAGUCACUAGGUGGAAUAUAUAUAGGUGUUCGGUGUGUGUCACCGGCGAGCAUUGUAAACCUCCUUUUUCUGAGCCAUAUGGACUUAAGUUUCUCAUAUUUAGCCUUAAGUUUCUUUCCCGUGAGCUCUACGGAAGGGUCACCAAUUAUGCGUUCAACGUCUCCUCGUUCGAUCGAACGGUACACGUGAUUCUCCCGCGUCAGACGAGCGUUGCCUAAUUCCAAUUUCGAGCCGUAUCAUGUUAAGUUUCUCAAUCUUCUUCACUAAGUUCCUUUCUGAUUUUUGUGCCUUCCUUCAACAUUUCGACAUGGUUAUUAAACCAACAUCUCAUGAUAAGAGACCACUGAUAUUUGCAACAUAUGGACGCGUAGCUCAUUAAAACGAGGCACUAGGGGGAAUAUAUAUAGGUGUGUGUAACCCGUGAGCAUCGGAAACCUCCUCUUUUUGAGCCAUAUGGAGUUAAGUUUCUCAUAUUUACCCCUAAGUUUCUUUCCCGUGAGCUCUACGCAAGGGUGAGCAAAUAUUUGUUCGCCGACUCUAUCAUGUUAAGUUUCUCAAUCUUCUUCACUAAGUUUCUUUCUGAUUUUUGCGCCUAGACAGGCUGCUCAUUUAAAUGAGGCACUAGGUGGAAUAUAUAUAGGUGUUCGGUGUGCGUCACCGGCGAGCGUUGUAAACCUCCUUUUUCUGAGCCAUAUGGAAUUAAGUUUCUCAUAUUUAGCCUUAAGUUUCUUUCCCGUGAGCUCUACGGAAGGGUCACCAAUUAUGCGUUCAACGUCUCCUCGUUUGAUAGAACGGUACACAUGAUUCUCCCGCGGCAGACGAGCGUUGCCUAAUUCCAAUUACGAGCCCUAUCAUGUUAAGUUUAUCAAUCUUCUUCACUAAGUUUCUUUCUGAUUUUUGCGCCUUCCUUCAGCAUUUCCACAUGGUUAUUAAACCAACACCUCAUGAUAAGAGACCAUUAUGUAUAUUUCAGGUCGGUACUCGUCGUGGCAAAAUCUGUCAAGAAAAAUGACCAUUGAUAUUUGCAACCUAUGGAUGCGUCGCUCAUUAAAACGAGGCACUAGGUGGAAUAUAUAUAGGUGUGCGUAACCGGUGAGCGUCGGAAAUCUCCUAUUUCUGAGCCAUAUGGAGUUAAGUUUCUGAUAUUUAGCCUUAAGUUUCUUUCCCGUGAGAUCUACGGAAGGGUCACCAAAUUUGCGUUGGAUGACUCCUCAUUCGACCAAACGGUACACGCGAUUCUCCCGCGGCAGACGAGCGUUGCCUAAUUCCAAUUUCGAGCCCUAUCAUGUUAAGUUUCUUAAUCUUCUUCACUAAGUUUCUUUCUGAUUUUUGCAACCUUCAGGAUUUCCACAUGGUUAUUAAACCAACACCUCAUGAUAAGAGACCAUUGUUUAUAUUGCAGGUCCUUGCAAAAUCUCUCAACAAACAUGAGAGGAAUUCUUACCUCACGAAAAAAUCCAAUCCCAACACUUCCCUUUCAUAAUAUAUUAGACCAUUUAUUAGACAUAGAUACACGAUAGAAUAACAUAUCUGAUUCGCCUAUGACAAGGCACUAGGUGCAAUUUUCUCAAGACAGGGCAAAAUCUCUCAACCAGUGCCAGCAACGGAUGGUGAUCAAACGACCCUUGAUAUUUGCAGCAUAUGGAUGUGUAGCUCAUUAAAACGAGGCACUAGGUGGAAUAUCUAUAGGUGUGCGUAACCGGUGAGCGUCGGAAACCUCCUGUUUUUGAGUCAUAUGGAGAUAAGUUUCUCAUAUUUACCCCUAAGUUUCUUUCCCGUGAGCUCUAUGGAAGGGUGACGAAAUAUGCAUUCGCCGAAUCUAUCGUGUUAAGUUUCUCAAUCUUACUCACUAAGUUUCUGUCUGAUUUUUGCGCCUAGGCAGGCUGCUCAUUUAAAUGAGGUACUAGGUGGAAUAUAUAUAGGUGUUCGAUGUGCAUCACCGGCGAGCGUUGUAAACCUCCUUUUUUGAGCCAUAUGGAGUUAAGUUUCUCAUAUUUAGCGUUAAGUUUUUUUCCCGUGAGCUCUACAGAAGGGUCACCAAAUUUGCAUUGGACGACUCCUCGUUCGACCGAACGGUACACGUGAUUCUCCCGCGGCAGACGAGCAUUGCCUAAUUCCAAUUUCGAGCCCUAUCAUGUUAAGUUUCUUAAUCUUCUUCACUAAGUGUCUUUCUGAUUUUUGCGCCCUUCAACAUUUCCACAUGGUUAUUAAAACAACACCUCAUGAUAAAAGACCAUUGUUUAUAUUUCAGGUCCUUGCAAAAUCUCUCAACAAACAUGAGAGGAAUUCUUACCUCACAAAGAAAUCCAAUGACAGCACUUCCCUUUCAUAAUAUAUGAGGCCAUUUAUUAGACAUAGCUACAUGAUAGAAGAACAUAUCUGAUUCGCCUAUGACAAGGCACUAGGUGCAAUUUUCUCAAGACAAGGAAAAAUCUCUCAACCAGUUCCAGCGGAGACGGAUAGUGAUCAAAUGACCAUUGAUAUUUGCCACAUAUGGAUGCGUAGCUCAUUAAAACGGGGACCUAAGUGGAAUAUAUAUAGGUGUGCGUAACCGGUGAGCGUCGGAAACCUCCUCUUUUUGAGCCGUAUGGAGUUAAGUUUCUCAAAUUUACCCCUACGUUUCUUUCUCGUGAGCUCUACGGAAGGGUGACCAAAUAUGUGUUCGCCGACUCUAUCAUGUUAAGUUUCUCAAUCUUGUUCACUAUGUUUCUUUCUAAUUUUUGCGCCUAGAUAGGCUGCUCAUUUAAAUGAGGCACUAGGUGGAAUAUAUAUAGGUGUUCGGUGUGGGUCCCCGGCGAGCAUUGUAAACCUCCUUUUUCGGAGCCAUAUGGAGUUAAGUUUCUCAUAUUUAGCGUUAAGUUUCUUUCCCGUGAGCUCUACGGAAUGGUCACCAAUUAUGCGUUCGACGUCUCGUUCGAUCGAACGGUACACGUGAUUCUGCCGCGGCAGACGAGCGUUGCCAAAUUCCAAUUUCGAGCCCUGUCAUGUUAAGUUUAACAAUCUUCUUCACUAAGUUUCUUUUUGAUUUUUGUGCCUUCCUUCAACGUUUCCACAUGGUUAUUAAACAGACACCUCAUGAUAAGAGGCCAUUAUGUAUAUUUCAGGUCGGUACUCAUCAUUGCAAAAUCUCUCGACAAAAAUGACGAUUGAUAUUUGCAACAUAUGGAUGCGUAGCUCAUUAAAACGAGGCACUAGGUGGAAUAAAUAUAGGUGUGUGUAACCGGUGAGCGUCGCAAACCUCCUCUUUUUGAUCCAUAUGGAGUAAAGUUUCUCAUAUUUACCCCUAAGUUUCUGUCACGUAAGCUAUACGGAAGGGUGACCAAAUAUGUGUUCGGCGACUCUAUCAUGUUAAGUUUCUCAAUCUUCUUCACUAAGUUUCUUUCUGAUUUUUGCGCCUAGACAGGCUCCCCAUUUAAAUGAGGCACCAGGUGGAAUAUAUAUAGGUGUUCGUUGUGCGUCACCGGCGGGCGUUGUAAACCUCCUUUUUCUGAGCCAUAUGGAGUUAAGUUUCUUAUAUUUAGCCUUAAGUGUCUCUCCCGUGAGCUCUACGGAAGGGUCACCAAUUAUGCGUUCGACGUCUCCUCGUUCGAUCGAACGGUACACGUGAUUCUCCCGCGGCAGACGAGCGUUGCCUAAUUCCAAUUUCGAGCCCUAUCAUGUUAAGUUUAUCAAUCUUCUUCACUAAGUUUCUUUCUGAUUUUUGCGCCUUCGUUCAGCAUUUCCACAUGGUUAUUAAACCAACACCUCAUGAUAAGAGACCAUUAUGUAUAUUUCAGGUCGGUACUCGUCGUUGCAAAAUCUCUCAACAAAAAUGACCAUAGAUAUUUGCAACAUAUGGAUGCGUAGCUCAUUAAAACGAGGCACUAGGUGGAAUAUAUAUAGGUGUGUGUAACCGGUGAGCGUCGGAAACCUCCUCUUUUUGAGCCACGUGGAGUUAAGUUUCUCAUAUUUACCCCUAGGUUUCUUUCCCUUGAGCUCUACAGAAGGGUGACCAUAUAUGUGUUCACCGACUCUAUCAUGUUAAGUUUCUCAAUCUUCUUCACUAAGUUUCUUUCUGAUUUUUGCGCCUAGACAGGCUGCUCAUUUAAAUGAGGCACUAGGUGUUCGUCACCGGCGAGCGUUGUAGACCUCCUUUUUCUGAGCCAUAUGGAGUUAAGUUUCUCAUAUUUAGCCUUAAGUUUCUUUCCCGUGAGCUCUACGGAAGGGUCACAUAUUAUGCGUUCGACGUCUCCUCGUUCGAUCGAACGGUACACGUGAUUCUCCCGCGGCAGACGAGCUCUGGCACCCCGGCUCAGAGCAACCGGUUUACCAUGCAUUGCCAGCCCAGAGACCUUGUCUUCUGGCAACACACAACAUCUUGGUACAGAAAACAACCGCUUUAUUGAUGCUAGCGGAUCAAAGUUUACAUUACAACAGGUGGCGAGGCCAAGCGGCACACACGGUGCGGCUGAACAAUAUGUACAUUAUUUGGUGAACAUGAAUGGGCCUCGAUCAAAGCAACUACACGGCAGUGGAACAACGUCGUAGCGGAAACUCCAUAGCACAGGCACACCAAUGUGGACACGAUCUAGACUCAGACAACACUCCUUUCCAAUGAGACUUUCCUAAAAUCUGGCAUGACACGCCACGUCAGUACAUUGAAUGUACUUGCAAGCUCACAACAAACAUAAACAUAAUGACAAACAAUAUCAUGACAAUUAACCAAUUCAUAAAAAUGCAACAACAUAACCAUCAUGUUGUGAUCAUUCCCUUGUGAUAACAGUCCCUUGGACUGACUUACCAACCAUCGUACCACCCUCGUCGUCAUGACUAAAGAUCUCGUGAUCCUUCCGGCGAUCACAACCAUGACCAACAUUUGGUCUUCAACGGUGAUCCUUCCGGCGAUCACAACCACGAUCAACACUUCGUCUACACCCAAGAUGAUCUUUACGACAUCAUCAACAGUGCAAAGUUUAUAACAUAGUGUGCAAGAUUUAUUAAAUGUUGACCCAUGGUGUGACCUACUUACGAGCGUGUCCGUAACCGUGGACUCGGCUAUCGAUAGAUUAAUACACUCUGCAGAGGUAGCGCACUGUACCCACACCACGGAAUCCAUGGCCUCGCACACCAUUUCGGGUGGACCAACGGCAUUCCGACGAAACCCCUCUGUCGCCAUGACACUCUCCCGGCCACUCCGACUCACUCCCCACUGGGCUAGUCCUGGAUGGCCCCGUGUCUACCAAAGACACAACGACCACCGUUGUGGCCAAAAUAUAAAUGAUCCCACUCGGGGACCCGGUACCAUAAACUCAACAACGGGCACACAAGGUUAUGUCUGCUUACCGGGCCAGGGUACCACACGCCCAUAACCUUCCCUAGUUGGAGGCACCGACCAGAGGCAUGACAACAGAUAGAAUAAAGGCCGUCCCAUACCGGCAAAUGUGGUUGCACUGGGAAAAGCUCGAUUCAGUGGCACCAUGACCCGGUCAACAAUAUCUUCAAGUUGUGUUAUUAUUAGGUUCAACUUAAAGUGAAAAUAACCGGUGUCACAAUGUCAUGACAUGCAACACUAACAUAUGCAUCACAUAUCAACGGGAAUGACUAAGUCAACUAUAUCCACACUAAGCAUCAACAUCAACACAUCAUGAAACUUCUCUGGUUAAGGUAAAACCUGACUUUAAACAGAAUCUUUCCAACAAAUUUUCCCAUUUUUAUUUAUGCAAGAAAAAUAACUCCACUAAUUAUUUAUAUUCGUAACUAUAUUAUUCUUUCAUCACUCAAAAUAUAUCCUAGUUUCUUUACCAACCAAACUAACUUCAAACUUUCUGUAAAUGAAGCAUAUUUCCUAAAGCAAGCAAUUAACAUAAUAUAAAUAUCAUAAUGAUUUAAAUGCAUGGAUUAUAUCAUUUGUUCAAGUAAGAAAAUCACAAAUAUUGAAAUGGCACCAUGGAAAGGUUGAUGUGGCUUGCCUUAGUGCAGACGAGGUUCACACGCCUCCUGGUGAUCCUCAAGACAAGCCUCACCCUCUGAAAAUAAUUUUAAACACAAGAAGAAAAUAUCAAGAAACCUUCUGAAAUUCACCAGAAAAUCUAGACAGCAGGGAAGAAUCCCAUCUUUGGUGAGCUGCUAGAGUUUUGAACAAAGAACACAAUGCAAAAAGAAUCAAUUCAUUUGGACUUAUGGUUAAAGAGUUUUGGCCGUUUGAAUCUCUCUGGAUAAAAAUGAAUUUGAAUUUAAAUAAAACAGACAGGGGGGUGACGUCGAAGGCGUAAAAGCCUCGGGACACCACCACUCGUACCGCUUCGCAUGCGUACUGAGUGGCUGACUAGCGGGCCCUGCUAGUCAGGUGAGGGGGAGAGAGAGAGAGGGAAAUAGAGAGCGGUGCGGCUUCGCCGGAGCGCACGCCGACGACGAGGGCUCCUUGGCCAAAAUGAGAGGGAGGGAUCGAGAGAGGAGACGGAGGCGCACCUGCCCGUACCCGUAGAGUAGCUAGGGGUGGUCGGACGGCGUCGGAUUCAACCUCUCAAGCGGAGGCAGUGGGCGGAGGUCGCCGGAGACGAAGACGACGGUGAACGGAGGCGACUCUAGGGGCUCCAACCAGCCGGAACGGCACCACCGAACAGUGGCGGAGGCCCUGGAAGGGUUGCCCUGGCCUGGGAGGGGCUGGAGCUGCGGAGAUGACCCGAGGGGAUCGCCGGCGUGCUCGAGCUCGGGGCCGGCGGUCCGCGGCCUGCCCGGCCAGGCUACGGCUAUCUACGCGAUCAUGGAGUGUGUGGGAGUGGUGGAUGGUGCUCUAGGAGGCUGGGGAGGGCUCUAUUUAUAGCCGAGCGUCGAGAGGGGUUCGGGCUCCGCCGGUGGACACCUGGCCACGCUGCCCAGCGACGAACGGCGUCAGUGAGAGGGGGAGAAGAAGACGCAGCUCACUUGGGGACUGUUGGCGAAUGGGGACGAGCACAGUGGCGAGAGGAAGGCGACGAGCACUGUGCGCACUGCACUGUUACGUUGGCCGGACCGUGCCCGUGCUCACUGCGGCGAGCUCCGGCAUCGGUGAGUGCCAGGGGGAGUUAAGAGGGCUCGGACGAAGAUGGUGGCGCGGUUUGGCACGCUCAGGUAGGCGGGGAAGCGAGCACGCGCGAAACAGAGGCUCAGGCGGCGCUCAGUGCGCGUCAGCUGCAUGCUAGCACGCCUGGAGGAACGUGGUCACCACGUGAUCUUUGCCCUCAGGCCGAACUAGGUCCAAAGUUCAUGUCUGGCUUGUUGUUCGUGGUAGUUUUGAAUGUUACCAUGCUUGGGCUGGGUCUCAGGUGCAGUAGAAAUGAUUUCACACGCCAGGUAAGUUUCUGGACAGUAACUUUGGGAGUUUACUGUGGUCAAUCUACUGGGAGUUGGGGGCUGGGCUUUGGAGUUUAGCAAUCAUCUACUAAGGUGAUGAAGCACAAGAAAGGUCAGCCACAGAAGAGCAAGUAAAAUGGUAGUUGCUGUAGAAACUACCAUUUCUGCCCAGAACAGAAAAUAUUUUCUGUAGCCAAAAUAUACCAAAAAGUGAUGAAAUAUUUUUUCUCAGAAAGGUGCCCUAGGGUUCAAAGAAUAAUUGGGAUUUUUCUCAGAUUUUUAUGGGCCAUAAAAAUUGUGGUUGCUUUGGAGCACAUUGAGUUAGCUAGGGUUUAAGAGAGGAAAAUGAAUAUUUUUCAUUAAAGAAAAAUAUUCCAAAUGCUAUUUUGAGAUGAACCAGUGAGGGAAUGAUGGCUAGAGAGGGAAACGAGACACUUGAGUGAAAGCCAAGGGGUACCCCCAAGUGUUUAAGUCCAUAUGAAAAGAUUCAAAACUCCAAAUUUCAAAUUGAGAUCAACUGAGAAUCAGGCAAAGAAGAGAGGGCAAAAACCAGGCUGUCACAAACCUCCCCCACUUAGAAUGAAUCUCGUCCUCGAGAUUCACUUGCUUGGGAAAACCAUUCUGGAUAAUGUGCCUGUAGAAAUUCUUCCCGUUCCCAGGUUGAUUCUGACUCUGUGUGAUGCUCCCACUGGACUUUGUAGAACUUCCUUGCUUUACUACGGGUGACCCUUUCCAUCUCAUCCAAAAUUCUAACCGGCCUCUCUUCGUAUGUUAAAUCCUUUGCCAGCUCUAUUUCCGUCAUAUUAGUCUUUUUCUCAAGCAGCGAUAUGCAUCGCCUCAACUGUGAAACAUGAAACACGUUGUGCACUUCCGACAAUUCAGGGGGUAGUUCCAACUGAUAUGCAACAGUACCUACUCGUGACAUAAUGGGAAAUGGACCAAUAAAUCUGGGUGCCAACUUUCCACGAGUCUGAAAUCUCUUGACUCCUUUCAUAGGCGUGACUCGGAGAUAUACGUGUUCUUCGGGUUCAAAACUGAUCUGUCGGUGCUUUCCAUCAUAAUUUCUCUUCUGUCGAGAUUUGGCCAACUGCAAUCUGUCUCUGAUUUCCUUGACUUGAUUCUCGGCUUCCAGCAUGAGAUCCGUUCCGAAAAUACGGCUAUCUCCAGUUUGGGACCAAUUUAAAGGAGUGCGGCACUUAUGGCCAUACAAAGCCUCAUACAGUGACAUAUUUAAACUGGUCUGGAAGCUAUUGUUGUAAGACAAGUCAGCAUAUGGGAGACAGUCUUCCCAUUUAGGUCCUUGGGCCAAAGCACAGGCUCGAAGCAUAUCUUCGAGUAUUUGGUUUACCCGCUCUAUUUGUCCAUCAGUCUGAGGAUGAUAAGCGGUACUAUAUUUCAGUGCUGUCCCCAAGGCUUGAUGGAAACGUGACCAAAAAGCAGAGGUAAAAAGUGAACCUUGGUCAGAAGUGAUGGUUCGGGGUACUCCAUGCAGACUGACUAUUCUGGAUACAUACAGCUGUGCAAGUUCAUCUACUCGAUAUGUGGUUCUGAUCCGGAUAAAGUGAGCUACCUUGGUUAAAGUGUCCACUAUGACCCAGAUUGCAUCAUUGCCCCGCCGAGUCUUAGGUAACCCUGUGAUGAAAUCCAUCCAGACAUCAUCCCAUUUUGAUUGUGAAACCGACAGUGGUUAAAGAAGUCUGGCUGGCUUCUGAUGCUUCGCCUUCACUUUGUUGCAUAUGUUGCAACAUGCCACAAAGUAGGCAAUGUCUUUCUUCAUUCUAUCCCACCAAAAUAUUUGUCGAAGGUCUUCAUACAUUUUCGUACUUCCAGGGUGAAUAGAAUACGAGGAUUCAUGUGCUUCUGACAGGAUUUUCUGUUUCAAAUCCGCUUGAUUGGGUACACAAAUCCUUCCACAGAAUCAGAGGGUAUCGAAUUGAUCCUUCGAGAAAUCUGAAGUCUGUCCUGCUACCAUAUUCUUGGCCCGUUUCUGUAGAAUGGUGUCAUCGGGCUGGGCCUUGCGGAUCUCUUCCUCAAGUGUGGGGGUAACUUCCCAAAUCUUAGCAAGGCCAGCAUCAACUAUGACCAGGUUGAACUGAGCAAUUUCCUCUUGAAGUUCAGGAGGCAAGGAUUCCACUAUGACAUUUAGGCUGACAGGCUUUCGACUGAGUGCAUCGGCAACCAUGUUGGCCUUACCCGGGUGGUAAUUUAUUCCAAGGUCAUAAUCCUUGACCAACUCAAGCCAUCUUCGUUGAUGGAGAUUUAAAUCUGGCUGAGUAAAUAUGUACUUGAGACUUUUGUGAUCGGUGAAAACUUGGCACCUCUUCCCGAUGAGAUAGUGUCUCCAAAUUUUUAGAGCAUGAACCACCGCGGCCAAUUCCAAUGAGUAGGAUAAUUUCCCUCGUGGAGUCAUAGUUGUCGCGAUGCAUAGGCUACUACCUUGCCGUCUUGCAUAAGUACGCAUCCAAGUCCUGGUCUGGAGGCGUCGCAGUACACAUCAAAACUGCGGUAGAUAUCUGGAAGAGUCAACACCGGUGUGGUUCUCAACCGUAUCUUUAGCUCAUUGAAACUUUUCUCACAGUCCUCAGUCCAUUCAAACUUCUUAUCCUUUUUGAGCAGCUUCGUCAUGGGUUUAGCAAUCUUGGAAAAACCUUCAAUGAAACGACGGUAAUAUCCGGCUAAUCCAAGAAAACUUCGGAUCUGAGACACGGUUGUGGGCGGCAACCAAUCGAGCACAUCCUUUACUUUGCUUGGAUCCAUGGCUAUACCUUCAGCAGAUAGCACAUGCCCAAGAAAUCCAACUUGCUUGAGCAAAAACUCACAUUUACUAAAUUUGGCGUAUAGCUGAUGUUCGCGGAGUCAUUGUAACACUGCUCGCAGGUGUUCUUUGUGAUCUUCUUCACUUCUUGAGUAAAUAAGUAUAUCAUCAAUGAAGACUACCACGAACUUAUCGAGGAAGACCAUGAAUACUUUGUUCAUCAUAUGCAUGAAGAAGGCAGGGGCAUUGGUGAGACCAAAGAACAUAACUGUAUAUUCAUAAAGACCGUAUCGAGUGGUGAAUGCAGUCUUAGGAAUAUCUUCCUUUUUAAUAUUGAGCUGAUGAUAUCCGGUCCAUAAAUCAAUCUUGGAGAAUACCUUGGCCCCAGUAAGGUGAUCAAACAGGUCAUCAAUCCUUGGCAGUGGAUAUUUGUUUUUGAUUAUGACAUCAUUCAGCUGACGGUAAUCCACACACAUGCGGAGGCUGCCAUCCCUUUUAUCCACGGAUAGCAGGUGAUCCCCAUGGUGAAGAGCUGGGACGGAUAUAUCCUUUCUGGAGCAUUUCAUCAAGCUGUUUCUUCAGCUCUACUAAUUCUGACGAGGGCAUCCGGUAGUACUUCUUGUGUAACGGUGCGGUUCCGGACACAAGAUCUAUUGCAAACUCAAGCUCUCGGUCUGGUGGCAUGCCUGGCAGUUCUUCUGGAAAUACGUCAGGAAAUUCACUGACCACAAGAAUUAAUUCCAAUUCAGCCACAGCGGUGAAGACCAUUUCUUUCUUGGGUAUACUUCUGCGAGCAUAGAAUUUUGUAGUCUGUGCCUUCUGACUAGUCAAAGUGACUUCUCGGGUCGCACAAUUUAUACAUACUUGAUAUUGAGUCAGCCAAUUCAUACCCAAGAUAACAUCCAACUUAGCAGACUCAAUAAUUAUCAAAGAAGUGGGAAAAUAGACUCCAUUGAUAUUGACUUCCAAAUUACGGCAGACCAGAUUGCUUAUGAUUGAGGAUCCCGGGGUUUGUAGCAGCAUAUUCUUGCCCAAAAGCGAACAAGGAAAUUUGUUUUGGGCAACAAAACUCCGAGAAAUAAAAGAGUGGGAAGCCCAGAGUCAAAUAAAAUCACUGCAGGUAUGUUAUUAACAGAAAACAUACCAAUUACGACUUCGGGGUUCUCUUGGGCUUCAUCGGCGGAGAGGUGAUGAACGUGCCCAAUGAUGUUUUGCUGGUCCGGGCAUGACUCCAUAAAAUUGACUUGUGGCCUGAAUAUAGCAUUCCCCUUGCUGUUCUUGGGACACUGUCUGGCAUAAUGUCCGAUUUGCCCAUAACUGAAGCAAGAAUGUUGCGAUGGCGCUCCUCGUGCACUAGGUUGGUUACGACAUUCUUGACUUGAGUGGUGGUCUUGUUAACAUUUUGUUGCCAAUUGGGCUUGUAUUCCACCUGAGUCUGCUGCCAGGUACGAGCCUUUUGCACUGGUUGCCCUUCCUUUCUUGGCUCAAACUUGCGCUUGUGAUCGUUAUUAGCAGGCUUAUUUUCCGAUACAAGUUUGUGCUCCCUUUCAGCAAUGAAAGCCUUGUUCACCAGAGUUUGAAAAUCUGGGAAAUCAAACAUACUGAGAGUACACCAGAGUUGCGGGUUUAAUCCACCAAGAAAUCUGUCAAUCUUCCUUUCUUCAGUGGCCAUGUCAUAUAGGGAGUAGCAUGACAGAUGAUUGAAUUUUUGCAAAUAUUCACCCACAGACUGAUUUCCUUGGAGGAGCGCGAGAAAUUUGCGCUUCUUAGUCUUCAUAAUUCCAGUACGGAUAUGAUAUUUACGGAAUUGUUCCUUGAAUUUUGACCAGGUGAUUUCUUCAUCAGCAGGCCACAUUGCUUUUGCAUUUUCCCACCAUAUGGCAGCAGCGCCUUCAAGAUAAUGAGUUGCAAAUGGAACCUUAUCUCCUUCUUCACUACGAGCAAUCUCAAGUUUCUUCUCAAUAGUUCGUAACCAAUCGUCUCCAUCCAAGGGAUCAACAACCUGACUGAAACAGGGAGGCUUGGUCCUUUGAAAGUCUGAUAACUUAGAAUGAUGACCGUUCUGAUUCCCAUUCUGUCCAAUCAUAGCUUGCACACUUUUUAAUAUUUCAAUCAGAUCAUUAUUCCGUCUUUCCUCAAACAUAUGCAUAAUUUGCUCGGUGGAGGGUGGAUUUGGCGGUGGAGGCGGUGGUGGAACGUACGGCUCGGGGGAGUGUCCUGCCUGUCGUGCGGAACGACAAACAGGAGAACCCUCGCGAACAUUGCUACUGCUGCCCCUGCGUCAUCCUAUUGUGAUUUUUCCCAAGGCAACGCAACCGAGAUGAGAAAUAUUCAAAAUAAAUUGGGGAAAGCCAGCAACAAAAGCCCAAGAAAAACCGAAAAGACAAAGGAAUUACGGCGAAUAAAAUAGAGUUCCAACAUAAUUAUACAUAGACUCAUACAUGAAAGAUAAACAACAUUCCAGGUUCAACUACUCUCAUACAUGGAACGAAAUCUCAUGAAUUGUACGACUACAUCCGUACACCAUACUGACGACUGUGAAUACUCAGAAACUCUACUACUCUGCUGGAGCUGCGGGGUCUUCUCCUGAAGGGGACUCGGAUCCUGAACUGACAUGGUUAACUGAGACCUCCGGGUUAAAGGUAGCACGACAACUCUGCCUCGAGGACUCUCCCUCCGGGGCAGGUGUAGGGUGAAGCAUCGGGGUUGCAGGGGUAGCGAGAAGCGAACCCACUCAGCAGGAGCACUGAGAGGACCCACGGUCGCGGUGCCCGACCUACUCGGAGGAGUAACCGGUGAAACAGGGGAACUAGAACUGGCUGGAAUAUAAGGAGUAAAUCCCACGGAUGCUGGAGCAGUAACAGAUCUAGUAGAGGCUAAAGCAGUACGAGCAUGAGUCACCUCUCGAGCCAGCUCAUGGAUCAUAACAUAGCUAGCAGUGAUAUAACGAGAAAGGUGGCUAGCAACACUAUCGGACUCCGGAUCAAUGAUAGGGAAACGGACACGACCAUUAUCGUGCAGAGAAGGAUAGUAGUAGAAACCUGGGUGAUUCUGCAUCUGAACCUCGUUGUAACGAAGCUUGACAAGGACCUCAAAUGCAGCAAACUGGACAACCUGAGAAGCGGUAGAAGCGUAACCGCUCUGAGAGGUACGAGUGUAAGUGCUGGAAUCGGAACUGGUGCGAAGAGUAACCACGACGUGAUACUCAUACACUGAGUCUGCUAGACGCUCCCGGUACACACGAUAGGCUGGGUCGUCACCGAGGGGGUACAGCCGAUGCGACACGUUACGAAGGAGAUGCGGCGACGUGUACGGCAUCAGCUGCAACUGGCACGGAUACGGCACCGGAGCCAUCUAGACUCACAACCAUUAGCAGGUUAGCAUAAAAUAAAACAAGUGUAUGCCAUGCAACAACCAGCUACUGAUGCUACCGACACUCAACUAAAACUCGUAUCUACCGUCCAGUUAACAUGUCGUAGUCUAGCAUGGACUACAGUCAGCGCGGAUCUGAUACCAAGCGUUGUGGCACCCCGGCUCAGAGCAACCGGUUUACCAUUCAUUGCCAGCCCAGAGACCUUGUCUUCUGGCAACACACAACAUCUUGGUACAUAAAACAACCGUUUUAUUGAUGCUAGCGGAUCAAAGUUUACAUUACAACAGGUGGCGAGGCCAAGCGGCACUCACAGUGCGGCUGAACAAUACGUACAUUAUUUAGUGAACAUGAAUGGGCCUCGAUAAAAGCAACUACGCGGCAGCGGAACAACGUCGUAGCGGAAACUCCAUAGCACAGGGACACCGAUGUGGACACGAUCUAGACUCGGACAGCACUCCUUUCCAACGAGACUUUCCUGAAAUCUGGCAUGACACGCCAGGUCAGUACAUUGAAUGUACUUGAAAGCUCACAACAAACAUAAUGAUAAACAAUAUCAUGACAAUUAACCAAUUCAUAAAAAUGCAACAACAUAACCAUCAUGGUGUGAUCAUGCCCUUGUGAUAACAGUCCCUUGGACUGACUUACCAACCAUCGUACCACCCUCGUGGUCAUGACUAAAGAUAUCUCGUGAUCCUUCCGGCGAUCACAACCACGACCACCAUUUGGUCUUCAACGGUGAUCCUUCCGGCGAUCACAACCACGACCAACACUUGGUCUACCCCCAAGAUGAUCUUUACGACAUCAUCAACAGUGCAAGUUUAUAACUUAGUGUGCAAGAUUUAUUAAACGUUGACCCAUGGUGUGACCUACUUAUGAGCGUGUCCGUAACCGUGGACUCGGCUAUCGAUAGAUUAAUACACUCUGCAGAGGUAGCGCACUGUACCCAAACCACGGAACCCAUGGCCUCACACUCCCAUUCAGGUGGACCAACGGCAUUCCGACGAAACCCCUCCAUUGCCAUGACACUCUCCCGGCCACUCUGACUCACUCCCCACUGGGCUAGUCUUGGGUGGCCCCAUGUCUACCAAAGACACAACGACCACCGUCGUGGCCAAAACAUAAACGAUCCCACUCGGGGACCCGGUACCAUAAACUCAACAAUGGGCACACAAGGUUAUGUCUGCUUACAGGGCCAGGUUACCGCACGCCCAUAACCUUCCCUAGUUGGAGGCACCGACCAGAGGCAUGACAACGGAAAGAAUAAAGGCCGUCCCAUACCGACAAAUGUGGUUGCACUGGGAAAAACUCGAUUCAGUGGCACCAUGACCCGGUCAACAAUAUCUUCAAGUUGUGUUAUUAUCAGGUUCAACUUAAAGUGAAAAUAACCGGUGUUACAAUGUCAUGACUUGCAACACUAACAUAUGCAUCACAUAUCAACGGGAAUGACUGAGUCAACUAGAUCCACACUAAGCAUCAACAUCAACACAUGAUGAAACUUCUCUAGUUAAGGUAAAACCUCACUUUAAACAGAAUCUUUCUAGCAAAGUUUACCAUUUUUAUUUAUGCAAGAAAAAUAACUCCACUAAUUAUUUAUAUUCAUAACCAUAUUAUUCUUUCAUCACUCAAAAUAUAUCCUAGUUUCUUUACCAACUAAACUAAUUUCAAACUUUCUGUAAAUCCAGCAUAUUACCUAAAGCAAGCAAUUAACAGAAUAUAAAUAUCAUAAUGAUUUAAAUGCAUGGAUUAUAUCAUUUGUUCAAGUAAGAAAAUCACAAAUAUUGAAAUGGCACCAUGAAAAUGUUGCUGUGGCUUGCCUUAGUGCAGAUUAGGUUCACAAGCCUCCUGGUGAUCCUCAAGACAAGCCUCACCCUCUAAAUAAUUUUAAACACAAGAAGAAAAUAUCAAGACACCUUCUGAAAUUCACCAGAAAAUCUAGACUGCAGGGAAAAUCCCAUCUUUGGUGAGCUGCUAGAGUUUUGAACAAAUAACAUAAUGCAAAAAGAAUUAAUUCAUUUGGACUUAUGGUUAAACAGUUUUGGUCGUUUGAAGCUCUCUGGAUAAAAAUGAAUUUGAAUUUAAAUAAAACAGUCAGGGGGGUGACAUCGAAGGCGUAAAAGCCUCGGGGCGCCACCACUCGUACCGCUUCGCGCGCGUACUGAGUGGCUGACUAGCGGGAAACAGAGAGCGGCGCGGCUUCGCUGGAGCGCACGCCGGCGACGAGGGCUCCUUUGCCAAAACGAGAGGGAGGGAUCGAGAGAGGAGACGGAGGCGCACCUGCCCUUACCCGUAGAGUAUGUAGGGGUGGUCAAACGGCGUCGGAUUCAACCUCUCAAGCAGAGACAGCGGGCGGAGGUCGCCGGAGACGAAGACAACGGCGAACGGAGGUGACUCCAGGGGCUCCAACCAGGCGGAACGGCACCACCGGAGAGUGGCGGAGGCGUUGGAAGGGUUGCCCUGGCCUGGGAGGGGCUGGAGCUGCAGAGAUGACCCGAGGGGAUCGCCGACGAGCUCGAGCUCGGGGACGGCGGCCCGCGGCCUGCCCGGCCGGGCUACGGCUAUCUACUCGACCGUGGAGUGUGUGGGAGUGGUGGAUGGUGCUCGAGGAGGCUGGGGAGGGCUCUAUUUAUAGCCGAGCAUCGAGGGGGUUCGGGUUCCGCUGGUGGACACCUGGCCACAGCGCCCGGCGAUGAACGACGUCACUGAGAGGGGGAGAAGAAGACGCAGCUCACGCGGGGACUGUUGGCAAACGGGGACGAGCAUAAGGACGAGAGGAAGGUGACGAGCACAUUGCGCACCGCACUAUUACGUUGGUCGGACUAUGCCUGUGCUCGCUGCGGCGAGCUCUGGCGUCAGCGAGUGCCAGGGGGGAGUUAAGAGGGCUCGGACGAAGAUGGUGGCACGGUUUGGCAUGCUGAGGCAGGCGGGGCAGCGAGCAGGCGUGAAACAGAGGAUCGGGCGGCGCUCAGAGCGCGUCGGCCGCAUGCCAGCACGCCUGGACAAACGCGGUCACCACGUGAUCUUUGCCCUCAGGCCAAACUAGGUCCAAAGUUCAUGUCUGGCUUGUUGUUCAUGGUAGUUUUGAAUGUUACCAUGCUUGGGUUGGGUCUCAGGUGCAGUAGAAAUGAUUUCACACGCCAGGUAAGUUUCUGGACAGUAACUUUGAGAGUUUACUGUGGUCAAUCUACUGGGAGUUGGGGGCUGGGCUUUGGAGGUUAGCAAUCAUAUACUAAGGUUAUGAAGCACAAGAAAGAUCAUCCACAGAAGAGCAAGUAAAAUGGCAGUUGCUGUAGAAACUACCAUUUCUGCCCAGAACAGAAAAUAUUUUCUGUAGCCAAAAUAUUCCAAAAAGUGAUGAAAUAUUUUUGCUCAGAAAGGUGCCCUAGGGUUCAAAGAAUAAUUGGGAUUUUUCUCAGAUUUUUGGGCCAUAAAAAAUGGGGUUGCUUUGGAGCACAAUGAGUUAGCUAGGGUUCAAGAGAGGGAAAUGAAUAUUUUUCAUUAAAGAAAAAUAUUCCAAAUGCUAUUUUGAGAUGAACCGGAGAGGGAAUGAUGGCUAGAGAGGGAAAUGAGGCACUUGGGUGAACGCCAAGGGGUACCCAAGUGCUUAAGUCCAUAUUAAAAGAUUCAAAACUCCAAAUUUCAAAUUCAAAUCAACUGAGAAUCAGGCUAAGAAGAGAGGGCAAAAACCAGGCUGUCACAUGAGCGUUGCCUAAUUCCAAUUUCGAGCCCUAUCAUGCUAAGUUUAUCAAUCUUCUUCACUAAGUUUCUUUCGGAUUUUUGCGCCUUCCUUCAGCAUUUCCACAUGGUUAUUAAACCAACACCUCAUGAUAAGAGACCAUUACGUAUAUUUCAGGUCGGUACUCGUCGCUGCAAAAUCUCUCAACAAAAAUGACCAUUGAUAUUUGCAGCAUAUGGAUGCGUAGCUCAUUAAAACGAGGCACUAGGUCGAAUAUAUAUAGGUGUGCGUAACCGGUGAGCAUUGGAAACCUCCUCUUUUUGAGCAAUAUGGAGUUAAGUUUCUAUAUUUACCCCUAAGUUUCUUUCCCGUGAGCUCUACGGAAGGGUGACCAAAUAUGUGUUCGCCGACUCUAUCAUGUUAAGUUUCUCAAUCUUCUUCACUAAGUUUCUUUCUGAUUUUUGCGCCUAGACAGGCUGCUCAUUUAAAUGAGGCACUAGGUGGAAUACAUAUAUGUGUUCGGUGUGUGUCCCCGGCGAGCGUUGUAAACCUCGUUUUUCUAAGUCAUAUGGAGUUAAGUUUCUCAUAUUUAGCCUUAAGUUUCAUUCCCGUGAGCUCUAUGGAAGGGUCACCAAUUAUGCGUUCGACGUCUCCUCCUUUGAUCGAACGGUACAUGUGAUUCUCCCGUGGCAGACGAGCGUUGUCUAAUUCCAACUUCGAGCCCUAUCAUGUUAAGUUUAUCAAUCUUCUUCACACACUUUCUUUCUAAUUUUUGCGCCUUCCUUCAGCAUUUCCACAUGGUUAUUAAACCAACACCUCAUGAUAAGAGACCAUUAUGUAUAUUUCAGGUCGGUACUCGUCGUUGCAAAAUCUCCCAACAAAAAUGACCAUUGAUAUUUGCAACAUAUGGAUGUGUAGCUCAUUAAAACGAGGCAAUAGGUGGAAUAUAUAUAGGUGUGCGUAAACGGUGAGCGUCGGAAACCUCCUCUUUUUGAGCCAUAUGGAGUUAAGUUUCUCAUAUUUAGCCCUAAGUUUCUUUCUCGUGAGCUCUACGGAAGGGUGACGAAAUAUGCGUUCGCGGACUCUAUCGUGUUAAGUUUCUAUCUGCUUUUUGCGCCUAGGCAGGCGGCUCAUUUAAAUGAGGCACUAGGUGGAAUAUAUAUAGGUGUUCGGUGUGCAUCCCCGGCGAGCGUUGUAAACCUCCGUUUUCUGAGCCAUAUGGAGUUAAGUUUCUCAUAUUUAGCCUUAAGUUUCUUUUCCGUGAGCUCUAUGGAAGGGUCACUAAAUUUGCGUUGGAUGACUCCUCGUUCGACCGAAUGGUACACGUAAUUCUCCCGCGGCAGACGAGCGUUGCCUAAUUCCAAUUUCGAGCCCUAUCAUGUUAAGUUUCUUAAUCUUCAUCAGUAAGUUUCUUUCUAUUUUUUGCGCCCUUCAGCAUUUCCACAUGGUUAUUAAACCAACACCUCAUGAUAAGAGAACACUGUUUAUAUUUCAGGUCCUUGCAAAAUCUCUCAACAAACAUGAGCGGAAUUCUUACCUCACGAAAAAAUCCAAUCCCAGCACUUCCCUUUCAGAAUAUAUGAGACCAUUUACUAGACAUAGAUACACGAGAGAAGAACAUAUCUAAUUCACCUAUGACAAGGCACUAGGUGCAAUUUUCUCAAGAUAAGGCAAAAUCUCUCAACUAGUACCAGCGGAGACGGAUGGUGAUCAAAUGACCAUUGAUAUUUGCAGCAUAUGGAUGCGUAGCUCAUUAAAACGAGGCACUAGGUGGAAUAUAUAUAGGUGUGCGUAACCGGUGAGCGUCGGAAACCUCCUCUUUUUGAGCCAUAUGGAGUUAAGUUUCUCAUAUUUACCCCUAAGUUUCUUUCCUGUGAGCUCUACGGAAGGGUGACCAAAUAUGUGUUCACGGACUCUAUCAUGUUAAGUUUCUCAAUCUUCUUCACUAAGUUUCUUUCUGAUUUUUGCGCCUAGACAGGCUGCCCAUUUAAAUGAGGCACUAGGUGGAAUAUAUAUAUGUGUUCGGUGUGUGUCCGCGGCGAGCGUUGUAAACCUCCUUUUUCUGAGCCAUAUGGAGUUAAGUUUCUCAAAUUUAGCCUUAUGUUUCUUUCCCGUGAGCUCUACGGAAGGGUCACGAAUUAUGCGUUCGACGUCUCCUUGUUUGAUCGAACGGUACACGAGAUUCUCCCACGGCAGACGAGCGUUAUCUAAUUCCAAUUUUGAGCCCUAUCAUGUUAAGUCUAUCAAUCUUCUUCACUUAGUUUCUUUCUGAUUUUUGCGCCUUCCUUCAGCAUUUCCACAUGGUUAUUAAACCAACACCUCAUGAUAAGAGACCAUUAUGUAUAUUUCAGGUCGGUACUCGUCGUUGCUAAAUCUCUCAACAAAAAUGACCAUUGAUAUUUGCAACAUAUGGAUGCGUGGCUCAUUAAAGCGAGGCACUAGGUGGAAUAUAUAUAGGUGUGGGUAACCGGUGAGCGUCGGAAACCUCCUCUUUUUGAGUCAUAUGGAGUUAAGUUUCUCAUAUUUACCCCUAAGUUUCUUUCCCGUGAGCUCUACGGAAGGGUGACGAAAUAUGCGUUCGCCGACUCUAUCGUGUUAAGUUUCUCAAUCUUACUGACUAAGUUUCGGUCUGAUUUUUGCGCCUAGGCAGGCUGCUCAUUUAAAUGAGGCACUAGGUGGAAUAUAUAUAGGUGUUCGGUGUGCAUCACCGACGAGCGUUGUAAACCUCCUUUUUCUGAGCCAUAUGGAGUUAAGUUUCUCAUAUUUAGCCUUAAGAUUCUUUUCCGUGAGCUCUACGGAAGGGUCACCAAAUUUGCGUUGGAUGACUCUCGUUCGACCGGAUGGUACACGUGAUUCUCCCGCGGCAGAUGAGUGUUGCCUAAUUCCAAUGUCGAGCCCUAUCAUGUUAAGUUUCUUAAUCUUCUUCACUAAGUUUCUUUCUAUUUUUUGCGCCCUUCAGCAUUUCCACAUGGUUAUUAAACCGACACCUCAUGUUAAGAGACCAUUGUUUAUGUUUCAGGUCCUUGCAAAAUCUCUCAACAAACAUGAGCGGAAUUCUUACCUCACGAAAAAAAUCCAAUCCCAGCACUUCCCUUUCAUAAUAUAUUAGACCAUUUAUUAGACAUAGAUACAUGAUAGAAGAACAUAUCUGAUUCGCCUAUGACAAGGCACUAGGUGCAAUUUUCUCAAGACAAGGCAAAAUCUCUCAAGCAGUGCCAGCGGAGACGGAUGGUGAUCAAAUGGCCAUUGAUAUUUGCAGCAUAUGGAUGCGUAGCUCAUUAAAACGAGGCACUAUGUGGAAUACAUAUAGGUGUGCAUAACAGGUGAGCGUCGGAAACCUCCUCUUUUUGAGCCAUAUUGAGUUAAGUUUCUCAUAUUUACCCCUAAGUUUCUUUCCCGUGAGCUCUACGGAAGGGUUACCAAAUAUGUGUUCGGCGACUCUAUCAUGUUAAGUUUCUCAAUCUUAUCACUAAGUUUCUUUCUAAUUUUUGCACCUAGACAGGCUGCUCAUUUAAAUGAGGCACUAGGUGGAAUAUAUAUGUGUGUUCGGUGUGUGUCCCCGGCGAGCGUUGUAAACCUCCUUUUCUUAGCCAUAUGGACACUACUAGGGAAAACCCUAGUAGUAUCGCGGGUUUUGAGGCUAGCAGCAGCGCGGGUGGCCUCGCUACUAAUAAGGCGCUACAACUAAUUUAUAGUAGUAGGGCGGUCCGUACCCGCUCUACUACUGUUGACGAUAUCAGCAGCGCUUUUGCCGAACGCGCUACUAUUAGUUAGUUGUAGCGAUUUCGCAGUCCCUCGCUACUACUAUAUCUUUCAUCAUUUUCCCCAGUACCCCUUUCCCUUUCAGAUACUAGAUACUAGGUACUGCUACUAGAUAUCAAAUUCAUAAACCAUUAUAAGUACAGGGUAGUACUCCCUUCGUUCCAAAUUACUCGUCAUGGUUUUAGUUCAAACAACAACGAGUAACUUGGAACGAAGGGAGUACUAGAUAACAAUUUCAUGCAUAGUCAACAUGCAUUCUCAAGCAGUACAAGGUCAUAUCGACGGCGAUCAUCAUAUGUAGUUCUAGAUGAUAUCGACGACGAUCAUCAUAUGUAGUUCUAGAUGAUAUCGACGACGAUCAUCAUAUGUAGUUCUAGAUGAUAUAGCCACACACACAUAUGUAGUUCUAGAUGAUAUCGAAGACAAUCAUCAUCCUCAAGCCUGGGCGGUUGGUGUUCCUGAUAGUAACUAGGAUGGCUUGUCCAACACGAAGAUUCGUGCCAUCGAGGAAUUUCUUCCACCCAACCAAGUUUAAGUGAUUGCGACCGUCCGUGUCCACGCGGUAAGUACAGGUUGUGACGGAGCCCCUUGCAGUAAGGCGUAGUCCAGCUGAGCCUUCUUCAUCAGGCUCGAUACCAUAACUCACAGAUAUGCUCUUUGCCAAUUUCUGAAUAAGAAAAACAUAUCAAUUAAUAAAUAGCCUCGCAAAUAAGUACAUAUGGAUUAUCUACACUAUUAAUAGUUCCUUAGAUUCUACACUAAUAAGCAUGUGAUCGAACUCUACACUAAAACAUAUCAUCGACUAGAUUCCACACAACAUACCAUAUCAUUGGACUGUACACUAAGUAUUUCAUCGGAUAAUUUGCAUUUGUAAGUAUAACAUACCAUAUCAUGUCGAUCAACCAUGGUAUUUGUCAGGCGGGUCACGAAUGGCACCCCGACAAAGUCAGCACGUGGCGGAAUUAUGUCCCACAGGUUGGACACCUCCUCCUCGCUCAGCCUUGUUCUUUGAGCUACGAUGGCUUCAUGAAGUGCGUCCUCAUCAUCUUCAUCGAGUGGGUCCUCAUUAUCUUCAUCAUCUUCAUCAUCUUCGUCAUCUUCAUCAUCUUCCACCAGAGAUAAAUGACAGCCAGCUUGGGUCUUUCUGCUUUGAAGGAGAAGCUGAUCAACUCACCACCAGUAAGAUGCAUGCGGGCGACGAAACGGGCCCAUCCAUCUCCUCCAAUCUGCGACAUAUUGCGUCCUUUCUCGACCUCCAUAGUCUACGGCCCCCCAGGAGCCUCAAAUGUCACAGUGUCUCCUGUCACCUUGUUGAAUUUCAACCUCACAUUGCAUGGGACGAUCUGUGUAAAAUAAGCAAAAUGACACAAUGAAGUAAUGCCAACACUAAAAAUAAAAUAGUUAUUACAUUUCAUCUAAUUUCUUACCGCCGCAUGACAAAAACUCGGCUGGAAGUAGAUGCCGAACAGCUUGCCAGUUGCAAGGCUGCUGGCGCACCUUGACUGGCACAGUCGACAUAGUGGUGGUGGUGGUGGCGCCAUUUUUCCUAAAGCAAUAUGAGCAAAGGAUUAACGAUCCACUUCACAGGAAAGAAAAACAGUAGCAUGUGAUAUUUUUGGUUCUUCCGCGAGAAGCAAUUUGAUGGACAAUUAUAAUCCUAAGAUCUAGUAACAUAUUAGAUGACAAGGUACCACCUACAUUUUGCCAAAAAGUAACUUAUUACAAAAAAACAAAAGCAACUACCUAUCCAUGUACAGAAAAAAUAACAAUAAAAUGGUGCAUACUAAAUCAACUAAAUGAACUAGCCUACUAAAUCAACUAAAUCAAAAUGUUCUAAAUCAACUAAAUCAACUAAAUCAUAUCAACUAAAUCAAAAUGUUGCAUAUGAACUAGCCUACUAAAUCAAAAUGUAGCAGGGAGGAGGGAGAAGGAGGGGCGACUCGAGGAGGGAGAAGAGAGUAGGACAGAGGAGGAAGGCGGGGCGAGGAGGCACCGGCCGGCGGCCAGUGGAGGGAGGACGGAGGAGGAAGGCGGAGCGAGGAGGGGCCGGCCAGCGGCGAGUGGAGGGAGGAUGGAGGAGGAGACCGGUACCGAGUCUAGCAAGGAGGAGUAGGUGACAGCGGCGCAGAGGGAGGAGGGGCGAUGGGGGAGGACCGGCACGAGGGGUUGAGAGGGGAUCUAGUGAGUGUGUGAGUGUGAGUGGAUCGGAUAGAGGAGAGGGGGUGGGAGAUGGAAUGGCUUAGCAGUAGCGCGCUAUAGAGAAAGACGCUACUGCUAAACUACCUAGCAGCAGCGCCUUUCACAAAGAAGCGCUACUGCUAUGUGUCAGCAUGUAAAAAUAGACUUCAAUAUAUCAAAAAUACAUUGAUCAUCAACGAUCUUUUUGUGUACAAUAUGAUUUGUCAAUAUGAGUCCUCACCGGUUUAGGAACCGGUGAAUACUCAUAUUGCGGCCACAAAUUGUACACAUAGAGUUCAAUGAAGACCAAUUGCUUGUCAAAGUUUGAGAAGUGACAUAUUUAAGGUGGUAGAAACUCUCUUCACGGAGCGAGGUGGGACUAAAUUUUUGUAGUAAACUUAGCAGUAGCGCUUAUUGGUGAAAUGCGCUGCUACGUAGUAGUAGCGCUCUUCGUGAUAACGCGCUGCUGCUAGAACUAGCCUCGCGGCGGCCUCGUGGAAAUUAUAUCAGUAGCGCGUCUUUGAGCGGGGGCGCUACUGCUAUAUUUAUUUCAGCAGCGGGUUAAGCUUGAGCUCGCUACUGCUAAGUAGCAGCAGCGCCUUAUUUUAAAGCGCGCUGCUGGUAAGAUUCUGUGUAUAGGCUUUUCCCUAGUAGUGGGAGUUAAGUUUCUCAUAUAUAGCCUUAAGUUUCUUUCCCGUGAGCUCUACAGAAGGGUCACCAAUUAUGCGUUCGACGUCUCCUCGUUUAAUCGAAAAGUACAUGUGAUUCUCCCACGGCAGACGAGCGUUGUCUAAUUCCAAUUUCGAGCCCUAUCAUGUUAAGUUUAUCAAUCUUCGUCAAUAAGUUUCUUUCUGAUUUUUGUGCCUUCCUUCACCAUUUCCACAUGAUUAUUAAACCAACACCUCAUGAUAAGAGACCAUUAUUUAUAUUUCAGGUUGGUACUCGUCGUUGCAAAAUCUCUCAACAAAAAUGACCGUUGAUAUUUGCAACAUAUGGAUGCGUAGCUCAUUAAAACGAGGCACUAGGUGGAAUAUAUAUAGGUGUGCGUAACCGGUGAGCGUCGGAAACCUCCUCUUUUUGAGACAUAUGGAGUUAAGUUUCUCAUAUUUACCCCUAAGUUUCUUUCCCGUGAACUCUACGAAAGAGUGAACAAAUAUGUGUUCGCCGACUCUAUCAUGUUAAGUUUCUCAAUCUUCUUCACUAAGUUUCUUUCUGAUUUUUGCGCCUAGACAGGCUGCUCAUUUAAAUGAGGCACUAGGUGGAAUAUAUAUAGGUGUUCGGUGCGCGUCACCGGCGAGCGUUGUAAACCUCCUUUUUCUGAGCCAUAUGGAGUUAAGUUUCUCAUAUUUAGCCUUAAGUUUCUUUCCCGUGAGCUCUACGGAAGGGUCACCAAUUAUGCGUUUGACGUCUCCUCGUUCGAUUGAACGGUACACGUGGUUCUCCUGCGGCAGACGAGCGUUGCCUAAUUCCAUUUUCGAGCCCUAUCAUAUUAAGUUUAUCAAUCUUCUUCACUAAUUUUCUUUCUGAUUUUUGCGGAUUCCUUCAGCAUUUCCACAUGGUUAUUAAACCAACACCUCAUGAUAAGAGACCGUUAUGUAUAUUUCACGUCGGUACUCGUCGUUGCAAAAUCUCUCAACAAAAAUGACCAUUGAUAUUUCCAACAUAUGGAUCGUAGCUCAUUAAAACGAGGCACUAGGUGGAAUAUAUAUAGGUGUGCAUAACCGGUGAGCGUCGGAAACCUCCUAUUUUUGAGCCAUAUGGAGUUAAGUUUCUCAUAUUUACCCCUAAGUUUCUUUCCCAAGAGCACCACGGAAGUGUGACCAAAUAUGUGCUCGCCGACUCGAUCAUGUUAAGUUUCUCAAUCUUCUUCACUAACUUUCUUUCUGAUUUUUGCGCCUAGAGAGGCUGCUCAUUUAAAUUAGGCACUAGGUGGAAUAUAUAUAUGUGUACGGUGUGCGUCACCGGCGAGCGUUGUAAACCACCUUUUUCUGAGCCAUAUGGAGUUAAGUUUCUCAUAUUUAGCCUUAAGUUACUUUCCCGUGAGCUCUACGGAAGUGUCACCAAUUAUGCGCUUGAUGUCUCCUCGAUCGAUCGAACGGUACACGUGAUUCUCCCACGGUAGAUGAGCAUUGCCUAAUUCCAAUUCGAGCCCUAUCAUGUUAAGUUUAACAAUCUUCUUCACUAAGAUUCUUUCUGAUUUUUGCGCCUUCCUUCAGCAUUUCCACAUGGUUAUUAAACCAACACCUGAUGAUACGAGACAUUAUUUAUGUAUAUUUCAGGUCGGUACUCGUCAUUGCAGAAUCUCUCAACAAAAAUGACCAUUGAUAUUUGCAACAUAUGGAUGCGUAGCUCAUUAAAACGAGGCACUAGGUGGAAUAUAUAUAGGUGUGCAUAACCGGUGAGCGUCGGAAACCUCCUCUUUUUGAGCCAUAUGGAGUUAAGUUUCUCAUAUUUACCCCUAAGUUUCUUUCCCGUGAGCUCUACAGAAGGGUGACCAAAUAUGUGUUCGCCGACUCUAUCAUGUUAAGUUUCUCAAUCUUCUUCACUAAGUUUCUUUCUGAUUUUUGCGCCUAGACAGGCUGCUCAUUUAAAUGAGGCACUAGGUGGAAUAUAUAUAGGUGAUCGGUGUGUGUCACUGGCGAGCAAUGUAAACCUCCUUUUUCUGAGCCAUAUGGACUUAAGUUUCUCAUAUUUAGCCUUAAGUUUCUUUCCCGUGAGCUCUAGGGAAGGGUCACCAAUUAUGCGUUUGACGUCUCCUCGUUCGAUUGAACGGUACACGUGAUUCUCCCGUGGCAGACGAGCGUUGCCUAAUUCCAAUUUCGAGCCCUAUCAUGUUAAGUUUAUCAAUCUUCUUCACUAAGUUUCUUUCUGAUUUUUGCACCUUGCUUCAGCAUUUCCACAUGGUUAUUAAACAAACACCUCAUGAUAAGAGACCAUUAUGUAUAUUUAAGGUCGGUACUCGUCGUUGCAAAAUCUCUCAACAAAAAUGACCAUUAAUAAUUGCAACAUAUGGAUGCGUAGCUCAUUAAAACGAGGCACUAGGUGGAAUAUAUAUAGGUGUGCAUAACCAGUGAGCGUCGUUAAGCUCCUCUUUUUGAGCCAUAUGGAGUUAAGUUUCUCAUAUUUACCCCUAAGUUUCUUUCCCAAUAGCUCUACGGAAGUGUGACCAAAUAUGUGUUCGCCGACUCUAUCAUGUUAAGUUUCUCAAUCUUCUUCACUAAGUUUCUUUCUGAUUUUUGCGCCUAGACAGGCUGCUCAUUUAAAUGACGCACUAGGUGGAAUAUAUAUAUAGGUGUUCGAUGUGCGUCACCGGUGAGCGUUCUAAACCUCCUUUUUCUGAGCCAUAUGGAGUUAAGUUUCUCAUAUUUAGCCUUAAGUUUCUUUCCCGUGAGCUCUACGGAAGUGUCACCAAUUAUGCGUUUGAUGUCUCCUCGUACGAUCGAACGAUACACGUGAUUCUCCCACGGUAGACGAGCGUUGCCUAAUUCCAAUUUUGAGCCCUAUCAUGUUAAGUUUAUCAAUCUUCUUAACUAAGAUUCUUUCUGAUUUUUGCGCCUUCCUUCAGCAUUUCCACAAGCUUAUUAAAGCAACACCUGAUAGUAAGAGACCAUUAUGUAUAUUUCAGGUCGGUACUCGUCGUUGCAAAAUCUCUCAACAAAAAUGACAAUUGAUAUUUUCAACAAAUGGAUGCGUAGCUCAUUAAAACGAGGCACUAGGUAAAAUAUAUAUAGGUGUGCGUAACCGGUGAGCGUCGGAAACCUCCUCUUUUUGAGCAAUAUGGAGUUAAGUUUCUCAUAUUUACCCCUAAGUUUCUUUCCCGUGAACUCUACGGAAGGGUGACCAAAUAUGUGUUCGCCGACUCUAUCUUGUUAAGUUUCUCAAUCUUCUUCACUAAGUUUCUUUCUGAUUUUUGCGCCUAGACAGGCUGCUCAUUUAAAUGAGGCACUAGGUGGAAUGUAUAUAGGUGUUCGGUGUGCGUCACCGGCGAGCGUUGUAAACCUCCUUUUUCUGAGCCAUAUGGAGUUAAGUUUCUCAUAUUUAGACUUAAGUUUCUUUCCCGUGAGCUCUACGGAAGGGUCACCAAUUAUGCGUUUGACGUCUCCUCGUUCGAUAGAAUGGUACACGUGAUUCUCCCGUGGCAGACGAGCGUUACGUAAUUCCAAUUUCGAGCCCUAUCAUGUUAAGUUUAUCAAUCUUCUUCACUAAGUUUCUUUCUGAUUUUUGCGCCUUCCUUCAGCAUUUCCACAUGGUUAUUAAACCAACACCUCAUGAUAAGAGACCAUUAUGUAUAUUUAAGGUCGGUACUCGUCGUUGCAAAAUCUCUCAACAAAAAUGACCAUUGAUAUUUGCAACAUAUGGACGCAUAGCUCAUUAAAACGAGGCACUAGGUGGAAUAUAUAUAGGUGUGUAUAACCGGUGAGCGUCGGAAACCUCCUCUUUUUGAGCCAUAUGGAGUUAAGUUUCUCAUAUUUACCCCUAAGUUUCUUUCCCAAGGGAUCUACGGAAGUGUGACCAAAUAUGUAUUCGCCGACUCUAACAUGUUAAGUUUCUCAAUCUUCUUCACUAAGUUUCUUUCUGAUUUUUGCGCCUAGACAGGCUGCUCAUUUAAAUGAGGCACUAGGUGGAAUAUAUAUAUGUUUACGGUGUGCAUCACCGGCGAGCGUUGUAAACCUCCUUUUUCCGAGCCAUAUGGAGUUAUGUUUCUCAUAUUUAGCCUUAAGUUUCUUUCCCGUGAGCUCUACGGAAGUGUCACCAAUUAUGCGUUUGAUGUCUCCUCGUUUGAUCGAACGGUACACGUGAUUCUCCCACGGUAGACGAGCGUUGCCUAAUUCCAAUUUCGAGCCCUAUCAUGCUAAGUUUAUCAAUCUUCUUCACUAAGAUUCUUUCUGAUUUUUGCGCCUUCCUUCAGCAUUUCCACAUGGUUAUUAGACCAUUUAUUAGACAUAGAUACACGAUAGAAGAACAUAUCUGAUUCGCCUAUGACAAGGCACUAUGUGCAAUUUUCUCAAGACAAGGCAAAAUCUCUCAACCAGUGCCAGCGGAGACGGAUGGUGAUCAAAUGACCAUUGAUAUAUGCAGCAUAUGGAUGCGUAGCUCAUUAAAACAAGGCACUAGGUGGAAUAUAUAUAGGUGUGCGUAACCGAUGAUCGUCGGAAACCUCUUCUUUUUGAGCGACAUGGAGUUAAGUUUCUCAUAUUUAACCCUACGUUUCUUUCCCGUGAGCUCUACGGAAGGGUGACAAAAUAUGCAUUCGCCGACUCUAUUGUGUUAAGUUUCUCAAUUUUACUCACUAAGUUUCUAUCUGAUUUUUGCGCCAAGGCAGGCUGCUCAUUUAAAUGAGGCACUAGGUGGAAUAUAUAUAGGUCUACGGUGUGCAUCACCGGCGAGCGUUGUAAACCUCCUUUUUGUGAGCCACAUGGAGUUAAGUUUCUCAUAUUUUGUCUUAAGUUUCUUUCCCGUGAGCUCUAUGGAUGGUUCACCAAAUUUGAGUUGGAUGAGUCCUCGUUCGACCGAAUGAUACACGUUGCUCUCCCGCGGCAGACAAGCGUUGCCUAAUUCCAAUUUCGAGCCCUAUCAUGUUAAGUUUAUUAAUCUUCUUCACUAAGUUUCUUUCUGAUUUUUGUGCCCUUCAGCAUUUCCACAUGGUUAUUAAACCAACACCUCAUGAUAAGAGACCAUUGUUUAUAUUUCAGGUCCUUGCAAAAUCUCUCAACAAACAUGAGAGGAAUUCUUACCUCACGAAAAAAUCCAACCCCAACACUUCCCUUUCCUAAUAUAUUAGACCAUUUAUUAGACAUAGCUACACGAUAGAAGAACAUAUCUGAUUCGCCUAUGACAAGGCACUCGGUGCAAUUUUCUCAAGACAAGGCAGAAUCUCUCAACCAGUGCAGGCGGAGAGGGAUGGUGAUCAAAUGACCAUUGAUAUUUGCAGCAUAUGGAUGUGUAGCUCAUUAAAACGAGGAACUAGGCCGAAUAUAUAUAGGUGUGCGUAACCGGUGAGGGUCGGAAACUUCCUGUUUUUGAGCCAUAUGGAGUUAAGUUUCUCAUAUUUACCCCUAAGUUUCUUUCUCGUGAGCUCUACGGAAGGGUGACGAAUUAUGCGUUCGCCGACUCUAUCGUGUUAAGAUUCUCAAUCUUACUCACUAAGUUUCUGUCUGAUUUUUGCGCCUAGGCAGGCUGCUCAUUUAAAUGAGGCACUACGUGGAAUAUAUAUAGGUGUUCAGUGUGCGUCACCGGCGAGCGUUGUAAACCUCGUUUUUCUUAGCCAUAUGGAGUUAAGUUUCUCAUAUUUAGCCUUAAGUUUCUUUCCCGUGAACUCUACGGAAGGGUUACCAAUUAUGCGUUCGACGUCUCCUCGUUCGAUUGAACGGUACACGUGAUUCUCCCGCGGUAGACGAGCGUUGCCUAAUUCCAAUUUCGUGCCCUAUCAUGUUAAGUUUAUCAAUCUUCUGUACUAAGUUUCUUUCUGAUUUUUGGGCCUUGCUUUAGCAUUUCCACAUGGUUAUUAAACCAACACCUCAUGAUAAGAGACCAUUAUGUAUAUUUCAGGUCGGUACUCGUCGUUGCAAAAUCUCUCAACAAAAAUGACCAUUGAUAUUUGCAGCAUAUGGAUGCGUAGCUCAUUAAAACGAGGCACUAGGUAGAAUAUAUAUAGGUGUGUGUAACCGGUGAGCAUCGGAAACCUCCUCUUUUUGAGCCAUAUUGAGUUUAGUUUCUCAUCUUUACCCCUAAGUUUCUUUCCUGUGAGCUCUACAGAAGGGUGACCAAAUAUGUGUUCGUCGACUCUAUCAUGUUAAGUUUCUCAGUCUUCUUCACUACGUUCUUUCUGAUUUUUGCGCCUAGAGAGGCUGCUCAUUUAAAUGAGGCACUAGGUGGGAUAGGUAUAGGUGUUCGGUGUGCGUCACCAGCGAGCGUUGGACCUCCUUUUUCUGAGCCAUAUGGAGUUAAGUUUCUCAUAUUUAGCCUUAAGUUUCUUUCCCGUGAGCUCUAUGGAAGGGUCACCAAUUAUGCGUUCGACGUCUCCUCGUUCAAUCGAACGGUACACGUGAUUCUCCCGCGGUAGACGAGCAUUGCCUAAUUCCAAUUUUGAGCCCUAUCAUGUUAAGUUUAUCAAUCUUCUUCACUAAGUUUCUUUCUGAUUUUUGCGCCUUCCUUCAGUAUUUCCACAUGGUUAUCAAACCAACACCUCAUGAUAAGAGACCAUUGUGUAUAUUUCAGGUCGGUACUCGUCGUUGCAAAAUAUCUCAACAAAAAUGAACAUUGAUAUUUGCAACAUAUGGAUGCGUAGCUCAUUAAAACGAGGCACUAGGUGGAAUAUAUAUAGGUUGCAUAACCGGUGAGCGUCGGAAACCUCCUCUUGUUGAGCCAUAUGGAGUUAAGUUUCUCAUAUUUACCCCAAAGUUUCUUUCCCGUGACCUCUACGGAAGGGUGACAAAAUAUGUGUUCGCCGACUCUAUCAUGUUAAGUUUCUCAAUCUUCUUCACUAAGUUUCUUCCUGAUUUUUGCACCUAGAUAGGCUGCUCAUUUAAAUGAGGCACUAGGUGGAAUAUCUAUAGGUGUUCGGUGUGCGUCCCCGGCGAGCGUUAUAAACCUCCUUUUUCUGAGCCAUAUGGACUUAAGUUUCUCAUAUUUAUCCUUAAGUUUCUUUCCCGUGAGAUCUAUGGAAGGGUCACCAAUUAUGCGUUCGACGUCUCCUCGUUCGAUCGAACAGUACACAUGAUUCUCCCGCGGCAGAUGAGCGUUGCCUAAUUCCAAUUUCGAGCCCUAUCAUGUUAAGUUUAUCAAUCUUCUUUACUAAGUUUCUUUCUGAUUUUUGCGCCUUCCAUCAACAUUUCCACAUGAUUAUUAAACCAACAACUCAUGAUAAGAGACCAUUAUGUAUAUUUCAGGUCGUUACUCGUCAUUGCAAAAUCUCUCGACAAAAAUGACCACUGAUAUUUCCAACAUAUGGAUGCGUAGCUCAUUAAAACGAGGCACUAGGUGGAAUAUAUAUAGGUGUGUGUAACCGGUGAGCGUCGGAAACCUCCCCUUUUUAAGCCAUAUGGAGUUAAGUUUCUCAUAUUUCCCCCUAAGUUUCUUUCCCAUGAGCUCUACGAAAGGGUAACCAAAUUUGUGUUCGCCAACUCUAUCAUGUUAAGUUUCUCAAUCUUCUUCACUAAGUUUCUUUCUGAUUUUUUCGCCUACACAGGCUGCUCAUUUAAAUGAGGCACUAGGUGGAAUAUAAAUACGUGUUCGGUGUGCGUCACCGGCGAGCGUUGUAAACCUCCUUUUUCUGAGCCAUAUGGAGUUAAGUUUCUCAUAUUUAGCCUUAAGUUUCUUUCCCCUGAGCUCUACGGAAGGGUCACCAAUUAUGCGUUCAACGUCUCCUCGUUCGAUCAAACGGUACACGUGAUUCUCCCGCGGCAGACGAGCGUUGCCUAAUUCCAAUUUCGAGCCGUAUCAUGUUAAGUUUCUCAAUCUUCUUCACUAAGUUUCUUUCUGAUUUUUGCGCCUUCCUUCAACAUUUCCACAUGGUUAUUAAACCAACACUCAUGAUAAGAGACCAUUAUGUAUAUUUCAGGUCGGUACUCGUCAUUGCAAAAUCUCUCGAUAAAAAUGACCAUUGAUAUUUGCAACAUAUGGAUGCGUAGCUCAUUAAAACGAGGCACUAGGUGGAAUAUAUACAGGUGUGUGUAACCGGUGAGCGUUGGAAACCUCCUCUUUUUGAGCCAUAUGGAGUUAAGUUUCUCAUAUUUACCCCUAAGUUUCUUUCCCAUGAGCUCUACGGAAGGGUGACCAAAUAUGUGUUCGCCGACUCUAUGAUGUUAAGUUUCUCAAUCUUCUUCACUAAGUUUCUUUCUGAUUUUUGCGGCUAGAUAGGCUGCUCAUUUAAAUGAGGCACUAUGUGGAAUAUCUAUAGGUGUUCGGUGUGCGUCCCCGGGGAACGCUGUAAACCACCUUUUUCUGAGCCAUAUGGAGUUAAGUUUCUCAUAUUUAGCCUUAAGUUUCUUUCCCGUGAGAUCUACGGAAGGGUCACCAAUUAUGCGUUCGACGUCUCCUCGUUCGAUCGAACGGUACACGUGAUUCUCCCGCGGCAGACGAGCGUUGCCAAAUUCCAAUUUCGAGCCCUAUCAUGUUAAGUUUAUGAAUCUUCUUCACUAAGUUUCUUUCUAAUUGUUGCGCCUUCCUUCAACAUUUCCACAUGUUUAUUAAACCAACACCUCAUGAUAAGAGACCAUUAUGUAUAUUUCAGGUCGGUACUCGUCAUUGCAAAAUCUCUCGACAAAAAUGACCAUUGAUAUUUGCAACAUAUGGAUGCGUAGCUCAUUAAAAUGAGGCACUAGAUGGAAUAUAUAUAGGUGUGUGUAACCGGUGAGCAUCGGAAACCUCCUCUUUUGAGCCAUAUGGAGUUAAGUUUCUCAUAUUUACCCCUAAGUUUCUUUCCCGUGAGCUCUACGGAAGGGUGACCAAAUAUGUGUUCACCGACUCUAUCAUGUUAAGUUUCUCAAUCUUCUUCACUAUGUUUCUUUCUGAUUUUUGCGCCUAGACAGGCUGCUCAUUUAAAUGAGGCACUAGGUGGAAUAUAUAUAGGUGUUCGGUGUGCGUCACAGGCGAGCAUUGUAAACCUCCUUUUUCUGAGCCAUAUGGAGUUAAGUUUCUCAUAUUUAGGCUUAAGUUUCUUUCUUGUGAGCUCUACGGAAGGGUCACCGAUUAUGCGUUCAACGUCUCCUCGUUCGAUCGAACGGUACACGUGAUUCUCCCGCGUCGGAUGAAUGUUGCCUAAUUCCAAUUUCGAGCCGUAUCAUGUUAAGUUUCUCAAUCUUCUUCACUAAGUUUCUUUUUGAUUUUCGUGCCUUCCUUCAACAUUUCCACAUGGUUAUUAAACCAACACCUCAUGAUAAGAGACCAUGAUGUAUAUUUCAGGUCGGUACUCGUCGUUGCAAAAUCUCUUGACAAAAAUGACCACUGAUAUUUGCAACAUAUGGAUGCGUAGCUCAUUAAAUCGAGGCACUAGGUGGAAUAUAUAUAGGUGUGUGUAACCGGUGAGCGUCGGAAACCUCCUCUUUUUGAGCCAUAUGGAGUUAAGUUUCUCAUAUUUACCCCUAAGUUUCUUUCCCGUGAGCUCUACGGAAGGGUUACCAAAUAUGUGUUCGCCGACUCUAUCAUGUUAAGUUUCUCAAUCUUCUUCACUAAGUUUCUUUCUGAUUUUUGUGCCUAGACAGGUUGCUCAUUUAAAUGAGGCACUAGGUGGAAUAUAUAUAGGUGUUCGGUGUGCGUCACCAGCGAGCGUUGUAAACCUCCUUUUUCUGAGCCAUAUGGAGUUAAGUUUCUCAUAUUUAGCCUUAAGUUUCUUUCCCCUGAGCUCUACGGAAGGGUCACCAAUUAUGCGUUCAACGUCUCCUCGUUCGAUCAAACGGUACACGUGAUUCUCCCGCGGCAGACGAGCGUUGCCUAAUUCCAAUUUCGAGCCGUAUCAUGUUAAGUUUCUCAAUCUUCUUCACUAAGUUUCUUUCUGAUUUUUGCGCCUUCCUUCAACAUUUCCACAUGGUUAUUAAACCAACACUCAUGAUAAGAGACCAUUAUGUAUAUUUCAGGUCGGUACUCGUCAUUGCAAAAUCUCUCGAUAAAAAUGACCAUUGAUAUUUGCAACAUAUGGAUGCGUAGCUCAUUAAAACGAGGCACUAGGUGGAAUAUAUACAGGUGUGUGUAACCGGUGAGCGUUGGAAACCUCCUCUUUUUGAGCCAUAUGGAGUUAAGUUUCUCAUAUUUACCCCUAAGUUUCUUUCCCAUGAGCUCUACGGAAGGGUGACCAAAUAUGUGUUCGCCGACUCUAUGAUGUUAAGUUUCUCAAUCUUCUUCACUAAGUUUCUUUCUGAUUUUUGCGGCUAGAUAGGCUGCUCAUUUAAAUGAGGCACUAUGUGGAAUAUCUAUAGGUGUUCGGUGUGCGUCCCCGGGGAACGCUGUAAACCACCUUUUUCUGAGCCAUAUGGAGUUAAGUUUCUCAUAUUUAGCCUUAAGUUUCUUUCCCGUGAGAUCUACGGAAGGGUCACCAAUUAUGCGUUCGACGUCUCCUCGUUCGAUCGAACGGUACACGUGAUUCUCCCGCGGCAGACGAGCGUUGCCAAAUUCCAAUUUCGAGCCCUAUCAUGUUAAGUUUAUGAAUCUUCUUCACUAAGUUUCUUUCUNNNNNNNNNNGACAAAAAUGACCACUGAUAUUUGCAACAUAUGGAUGCGUAGCUCAUUAAAUCGAGGCACUAGGUGGAAUAUAUAUAGGUGUGUGUAACCGGUGAGCGUCGGAAACCUCCUCUUUUUGAGCCAUAUGGAGUUAAGUUUCUCAUAUUUACCCCUAAGUUUCUUUCCCGUGAGCUCUACGGAAGGGUUACCAAAUAUGUGUUCGCCGACUCUAUCAUGUUAAGUUUCUCAAUCUUCUUCACUAAGUUUCUUUCUGAUUUUUGUGCCUAGACAGGUUGCUCAUUUAAAUGAGGCACUAGGUGGAAUAUAUAUAGGUGUUCGGUGUGCGUCACCAGCGAGCGUUGUAAACCUCCUUUUUCUGAGCCAUAUGGAGUUAAGUUUCUCAUAUUUAGCCUUAAGUUUCUUUCCCGUGAGCUCUACGGAAGGCUCACCAAUUAUGCAUUCAACGUCUCCUCGUUCGAUCGAACGGUACACGUGAUUCUCCCGCGGCAGACGAGCAUUGCCUAAUGCCAAUUUUGAGCCCUAUCAUGUUAAGUUUAUCAAUCUUCUUCAUUAAGUUUCUUUCUGAUUUUUGCGCCUUCCUUCAGUAUUUCCACAUGGUUAUUAAACCAACACCUCAUGAUAAGAGACCAUUAUGUAUAUUUCAGGUCGGUACUCGUCGUUGCAAAAUAUCUCAACAAAAAUGAACAUUGAUAUUUGCAACAUAUGGAUGCGUAGCUCAUUAAAACGAGGCACUAGGUGGAAUAUAUAUAUGUUUGCAUAACCGGUGAGCGUCGGAAACCUCCUCUUUUUGAGCCAUAUGGAGUUAAGUUUCUCAUAUUUACCCCUAAGUUUCUUUCCCGUGAGCUCUACGGAAGGGUUACCAAAUAUGUGUUCGCCGACUCUAUCAUGUUAAGUUUCUCAAUCUUCUUCACUAAGUUUCUUUCUGAUUUUUGUGCCUAGACAGGUUGCUCAUUUAAAUGAGGCACUAGGUGGAAUAUAUAUAGGUGUUCGGUGUGCGUCACCAGCGAGCGUUGUAAACCUCCUUUUUCUGAGCCAUAUGGAGUUAAGUUUCUCAUAUUUAGCCUUAAGUUUCUUUCCCCUGAGCUCUACGGAAGGGUCACCAAUUAUGCGUUCAACGUCUCCUCGUUCGAUCAAACGGUACACGUGAUUCUCCCGCGGCAGACGAGCGUUGCCUAAUUCCAAUUUCGAGCCGUAUCAUGUUAAGUUUCUCAAUCUUCUUCACUAAGUUUCUUUCUGAUUUUUGCGCCUUCCUUCAACAUUUCCACAUGGUUAUUAAACCAACACUCAUGAUAAGAGACCAUUAUGUAUAUUUCAGGUCGGUACUCGUCAUUGCAAAAUCUCUCGAUAAAAAUGACCAUUGAUAUUUGCAACAUAUGGAUGCGUAGCUCAUUAAAACGAGGCACUAGGUGGAAUAUAUACAGGUGUGUGUAACCGGUGAGCGUUGGAAACCUCCUCUUUUUGAGCCAUAUGGAGUUAAGUUUCUCAUAUUUACCCCUAAGUUUCUUUCCCAUGAGCUCUACGGAAGGGUGACCAAAUAUGUGUUCGCCGACUCUAUGAUGUUAAGUUUCUCAAUCUUCUUCACUAAGUUUCUUUCUGAUUUUUGCGGCUAGAUAGGCUGCUCAUUUAAAUGAGGCACUAUGUGGAAUAUCUAUAGGUGUUCGGUGUGCGUCCCCGGGGAACGCUGUAAACCACCUUUUUCUGAGCCAUAUGGAGUUAAGUUUCUCAUAUUUAGCCUUAAGUUUCUUUCCCGUGAGAUCUACGGAAGGGUCACCAAUUAUGCGUUCGACGUCUCCUCGUUCGAUCGAACGGUACACGUGAUUCUCCCGCGGCAGACGAGCGUUGCCAAAUUCCAAUUUCGAGCCCUAUCAUGUUAAGUUUAUGAAUCUUCUUCACUAAGUUUCUUUCUGAUUGUUGCGCCUUCCUUCAACAUUUCCACAUGUUUAUUAAACCAACACCUCAUGAUAAGAGACCAUUAUGUAUAUUUCAGGUCGGUACUCGUCAUUGCAAAAUCUCUCGACAAAAAUGACCAUUGAUAUUUGCAACAUAUGGAUGCGUAGCUCAUUAAAAUGAGGCACUAGAUGGAAUAUAUAUAGGUGUGUGUAACCGGUGAGCAUCGGAAACCUCCUCUUUUGAGCCAUAUGGAGUUAAGUUUCUCAUAUUUACCCCUAAGUUUCUUUCCCGUGAGCUCUACGGAAGGGUGACCAAAUAUGUGUUCACCGACUCUAUCAUGUUAAGUUUCUCAAUCUUCUUCACUAUGUUUCUUUCUGAUUUUUGCGCCUAGACAGGCUGCUCAUUUAAAUGAGGCACUAGGUGGAAUAUAUAUAGGUGUUCGGUGUGCGUCACAGGCGAGCAUUGUAAACCUCCUUUUUCUGAGCCAUAUGGAGUUAAGUUUCUCAUAUUUAGGCUUAAGUUUCUUUCUUGUGAGCUCUACGGAAGGGUCACCAAUUAUGCGUUCAACGUCUCCUCGUUCGAUCGAACGGUACACGUGAUUCUCCCGCGUCGGAUGAAUGUUGCCUAAUUCCAAUUUCGAGCCGUAUCAUGUUAAGUUUCUCAAUCUUCUUCACUAAGUUUCUUUUUGAUUUUCGUGCCUUCCUUCAACAUUUCCACAUGGUUAUUAAACCAACACCUCAUGAUAAGAGACCAUGAUGUAUAUUUCAGGUCGGUACUCGUCGUUGCAAAAUCUCUCGACAAAAAUGACCACUGAUAUUUGCAACAUAUGGAUGCGUAGCUCAUUAAAUCGAGGCACUAGGUGGAAUAUAUAUAGGUGUGUGUAACCGGUGAGCGUCGGAAACCUCCUCUUUUUGAGCCAUAUGGAGUUAAGUUUCUCAUAUUUACCCCUAAGUUUCUUUCCCGUGAGCUCUACGGAAGGGUUACCAAAUAUGUGUUCGCCGACUCUAUCAUGUUAAGUUUCUCAAUCUUCUUCACUAAGUUUCUUUCUGAUUUUUGUGCCUAGACAGGUUGCUCAUUUAAAUGAGGCACUAGGUGGAAUAUAUAUAGGUGUUCGGUGUGCGUCACCAGCGAGCAUUGUAAACCUCCUUUUUCUGAGCCAUAUGGAGUUAAGUUUCUCAUAUUUAGCCUUAAGUUUCUUUCCCGUGAGCUCUACGGAAGGCUCACCAAUUAUGCGUUCAACGUCUCCUCGUUCGAUCGAACGGUACACGUGAUUCUCCCGCGGCAGACGAGCAUUGCCUAAUGCCAAUUUUGAGCCCUAUCAUGUUAAGUUUAUCAAUCUUCUUCAUUAAGUUUCUUUCUGAUUUUUGCGCCUUCCUUCAGUAUUUCCACAUGGUUAUUAAACCAACACCUCAUGAUAAGAGACCAUUAUGUAUAUUUCAGGUCGGUACUCGUCGUUGCAAAAUAUCUCAACAAAAAUGAACAUUGAUAUUUGCAACAUAUGGAUGCGUAGCUCAUUAAAACGAGGCACUAGGUGGAAUAUAUAUAUGUUUGCAUAACCGGUGAGCGUCGGAAACCUCCUCUUUUUGAGCCAUAUGGAGUUAAGUUUCUCAUAUUUACCCCAAAGUAUCUUUCCCGUGACCUCUACGGAAGGGUGACAAAAUAUGUGUUCGCCGACUCUAUCAUGUUAAGUUUCUCAAUCUUCUUCACUAAGUUUCUUCCUGAUUUUUGCGCCUCGAUAGGCUGCUCGUUUAAAUGAGGCACUACGUGGAAUAUCUAUAGGUGUUCGGUGUGCGUCCCCGGGGAGCGUUAUAAACCUCCUUUUUCUGAGCCAUAUGGAGUUAAGUUUCUCAUAUUUAGCCUUAAGUUUCUUUCCCGUGAGAUGUACGGAAGGGUCACCAAUUAUGCGUUCGACGUCUCCUCGUUCGAUCGAACGGUACACGUGAUUCUCCCGCGGCAGAUGAGCGUUGCCUAAUUCCAAUUUCGAGCCCUAUCAUGUUAAGUUUAUCAAUCUUCUUCACUAAGUUUCUUUCUGAUUUUUGCGCCUUCCUUCAACAUUUCCACAUGAUUAUUAAACCAACACCACAUGAUAAGAGACCAUUAUGUAUAUUUCAGGUCGCUACUCGUCAUGGCAAAAUCUCUCGACAAAAAUGACCACUGAUAUUUCCAACAUAUGGAUGCGUAGCUCAUUAAAACGAGGCACUAGGUGGAAUAUAUAUAGGUGUGUGUAACCGGUAAGCGUCGAAAACCUCCUCUUUUUGAGCCAUAUGGAGUUAAGUUUCUCAUAUUUCCCCCUAAGUUUGUUUCCCAUGAGCUCUACGAAAGGGUAAACAAAUAUGUGUUCGCCGACUCUAUCAUGUUAAGUUUCUCAAUCUUCUUCACUAAGUUUCUUUCUGAUUUUUGCGCCUAGACAGGCUGCUCAUUUAAAUGAGGCACUAGGUGGAAUAUAAAUAGGUGUUCGGUGUGCAUCACCGGCGAGCGUUGUAAACCUCCUUUUUCUGAGCCAUAUGGAGUUAAGUUCCUCAUAUUUAGCCUUAAGUUUCUUUCCCGUGAGCUCUACGGAAGGCUCACCAAUUAUGCGUUCAACGUCUCCUCGUUCGAUCGAACGGUACACGUGAUUCUCCCGCGGCAGACGAGCGUUGCCUAAUUCCAAUUUCGAGCCGUAUCAUCUUAAGUUUCUCAAUCUUCUUCACUAAGUAUCGUUCUGAUUUUUGCGCCUUCCUUCAACAUUUCCACAUGGUUAUUAAACCAACACUCAUUAUAAGAGACCAUUAUGUAUAUUUCAGGUCGGUACUCCUCAUUGCAAAAUCUCUCGAUAAAAAUGACCAUUGAUAUUUGCAACAUAUGGAUGCGUAGCUCAUUAAAACGAGGCACUAAGUGGAAUAUAUACAGGUGUGUGUAACCGGUGAGCGUUGGAAACCUCCUCUUUUUGAGCCAUAUGGAGUUAAGUUUCUCAUAUUUACACCAAAGUUUCUUUCCCGUGAGCUCUACGGAAUGGUGACCAAAUAUGUGUUCGCCGACUCUAUCAUGUUAAGUUUCUGAAUCUUCUUCACUAAGUUUCUUUCUGAUUUUUGCGCCUAGAUAGGCUGCUCAUUUAAAUGAGGCACUAUGUGGAAUAUCUAUAGGUGUUCGGUGUGCAUCCCCGGGGAACGCUAUAAACCACCUUUUUCUGAGCCAUAUGGAGUUAAGUUUCUCAUAUUUAGCCUUAAGUUUCUUUCCCGUGAGAUCUACCGAAGGGUCACCAAUUAUGCGUUCGACGUCUCCUCGUUCGAUCGAACGGUACACGUGAUUCUCCCGCGGCAGACGAGCGUUGCCUAAUUCCAAUUUCGAGCCCUAUCAUGUUAAGUUUAUGAAUCUUCUUCACUAAGUUUCUUUCUGAUUGUUGCGCCUUCCUUCAACAUUUCCACAUGUUUAUUAAACCAAAACCUCAUGAUAAGAGACCAUUAUGUAUAUUUCAGGUCAGUACUCGUCAUUGCAAAAUCUCUCGACAAAAAUGACCAUUGAUAUUUGCAACAUAUGGAUGCGUAGCUCAUUAAAAUGAGGCACUAGGUGGAAUAUAUAUUGGUGUGUGUAACCGGUUAGCGUCGGAAACCUCCUCUUUUUGAGCCAUAUGGAGUUAAGUUUCUCAUAUUUACCCCUAAGUUUCUUUCCCGUGAGCUCUACGGAAGGGUGACCAAAUAUGUGUUCACCGACUCUAUCAUGUUAAGUUUCUCAAUCUUCUUCACUAAGUUUCUUUCUAAUUUUUGCGCCUAGACAGGCUGCUCAUUUAAAUGAGGCACUAGGUGGAAUAUAUAUAGGUGUUCGGUGUGCGUCACCGGCGAGCGUUGUAAACCUCCUUUUUCUGAGCCAUAUGGAGUUAAGUUUCUCAUAUUUAGGCUUAAGUUUCUUUCCUGUGAGCUCUACGGAAGGGUCACCAAUUAUGCGUUCAACGUCUCCUUGUUCGAUCGAACGGUACUCGUGAUUCUCCCGCGUCGGACGAAUGUUGCCUAAUUCCAAUUUCGAGCCGUAUCAUGUUAAGUUUCUCAAUCUUCUUCACUAAGUUUCUUUUUGAUUUUUGUGCCUUCCUUCAACAUUUCCACAUGGUUAUUAAACCAACACCUCAUGAUAAGAGACCAUUAUGUAUAUUUCAGGUCGGUACUCGUCGUUGCAAAAUCUCUCGACAAAAAUGACCACUGAUAUUUGCAACAUAUGGAUGCGUAGCUCAUUAAAACGAGGCACUAGGUGGAAUAUAUAUAGGUGUGUGUAACCGGUGAGCGUCGGAAACCUCCUCUUUUUGAGCCAUAUGGAGUUAAGUUUCUCAUAUUUACCCCUAAGUUUCUUUCCCGUGAGCUCUACGGAAGGGUUACCAAAUAUGUGUUCGCCGACUCUAUCAUGUUAAGUUUCUCAAUCUUCUUCACUAAGUUUCUUUCUGUUUUUUGUGCCAAGACAGGCUGCUCAUUUAAAUGAGGCACUAGGUGGAAUAUAUAUAGGUGUUCGGUGUGCGUCACUAGCGAGCGUUGUAAACCUCCUUUUUCUGAGCCAUAUGGAGUUAAGUUUCUCAUAUUUAGCCUUAAGUUUCGUUCCCGUGAGCUCUACGGAAGCCUCACCAAUUAUGCGUUCAACGUCUCCUGGUUUGAUCAAACGGUACACAUGAUUCUCCCGCAGCAGACGAGCGUUGCCUAAUUCCAAUUACGAGCCCUAUCAUGUUAAGUUUAUCAAUCUUCUUCACUAAGUUUCUUUCUGAUUUUUGCGCCUUCCUUCAGCAUUUCCUCAUGGUUAUUAAACAAACACCUCAUGAUAAGAGACCAUUAUGUAUAUUUCAGGUUGGUACUCGUCGUUGCAAAAUCUCUCAAGAAAAAUGACCAUUGAUAUUUGCAACCUAUGGAUGUGUCGCUCAUUAAAACGAGGCACUAGGUGGAAUAUAUAUAGGUGUGCGUAACCGAUGAGCAUCGAAAACCUCCUAUAUCUGAGCCAUAUGGAGUUAAGUUUCUCAUAUUUAGCCUUAAGUUUCUUUCCCGUGAGAUCUAUGGAAGGGUCACCAAAUUUGCGUUGGAUGACUCCUCGUUCGACCGAACGGUACAUGUGAUUCUCCCGCGGCAGACGAGCGUUGCCUAAUUCCAAUUUCGAGCCCUAUCAUGUUAAGUUUCUUAAUCUUCUUCACUAUGUUCCUUUCUGAUUUUUGCACCCUUCACCAUUUCCACAUGGUUAUUAAACCAACACCUCAUGAUAAGAGACCAUUGUUUAUAUUUCAGGUCCUUGCAAAAUCUCUCAACAAACAUGAGAGGAAUUCUUACCUCACGAAAAAAUCCAAUCCCACCACUUCCCUUUCAUAAUAUAUUAGACCAUUUAUUAGACAUGGAUACACGAUAGAAGAACAUAUCGGAUUCGCCUAUGACAAGGCACUAGGUGUAAUUUUCUCAAGACAAGGCAAAAUCUGUCAACCAGUGCCAGCAGAGACGGAUGGUGAUCAAAUGGCCCUUGAUAUUUCAGCAUAUGGAUAUGUAGCUCAUUAAAACUAGGCACUGGGUGGAAUAUAUAUAGGUGUGCGUAACCGGUGAGCGUCGGAAACCUCCUGUUUUUGAGCCAUAUGGAGUUAAGUUUCUCAUAUUUACCCCUAAGUUUCUUUCCCAAGAGCUCCACGGAAGGGUGACGAAAUAUGCGUUCGCCGAAUCUAUCGUGUUAAGUUUCUCAUAUUUACUCACUCCGUGAUCUCUACGGAAGGGUGACGAAAUAUGCGUUCGCCAAAUCUAUCGUGUUAAGUUUCUCAAUCUUACUCACUAAGUUUGUAUCUGAUUUUUGCGCCUACAUAGGCUGCUCAUUUAAAUGAGGCACUAGGUGGAAUAUAUAUAGGUGUUCAGGGUGCGUCCCCGGCGAGCGUUGUAAACGUCCUUUUCUGAGCCAUAUGGAGUUAAGUUUCUCAUAUUUAGCCUUAAGUUUUUUUCCCGUGAGCUCUACAGAAGGGUCACCAAAUUUGCGUUGGACGACUCCUCGUUCGAUCGAACAGUACACGUGAUUCUGCCGCGGCAGACGAGCGUGGCCUAAUUCCAAUUUCGAACCCUAUCAUGUUAAGUUUCUUAAUCUUCUUCACUAAGUGUCUUUCUGAUUUUUGCGCCCUUCAAAAUUUCCACAUGGUUAUUAAACCAACACCUCAUGAUAAGAGACCAUUAUGUAUAUUUCAGGUCGGUACUCGUCGUUGAAAAAUCUCUCGACAAAAAUGACCAUUGAUAUUUGCAACAUAUGGAUGCGUAGCUCAUUAAAAUGAGGCACUAGGUGGAAUAUAUAUAUAGGUGUGUGUAACCGGUGAGCGUCGCAAACCUCCUCUUUUUGAGCCAUAUGCAGUUAAGUUUCUCAUAUUUACCCCUAAGUUUCUUUCACGUAAGCCCUACGGAAGGGUGACCAAAUAUGUGUUCGGCGACUCUAUCAUGUUAAGUUUCUCAAUCUUCUUCACUAAGUUUCUUUCUGAUUUUUGUGCCUAGACAGGCUGCUCAUUUAAAUGACGCACUAGGUGGAAUAUAUAUAUAUAUAUAGGUGUUCGAUGUGCGUCACCGGCGAGCGUUCUAAACCUCCUUUUUCUGAGCCAUAUGGAGUUAUGUUUCUUAUAUUUAGCCUUAAGUUUCUCUCCCGUGAGCUCUACGGAAGGGUCACCAAUUAUGCGUUCGACGUCUCCUCGUUCGAUCGAAUGGUACAUGUGAUUCUCCCGCGGCAGACGAGCGUUGCCUAAUUCCAAUUUCGAGCCCUAUCAUGUUAAGUUUAACAAUCUUCUUCACUAAGUUUCUUUCUGAUUUUGCGCCUUCCUUCGGUAUUUCCACAUGGUUAUUAAACCAACACCUCAUGAUAACAGACCAUUAUGUAUAUUUUAGAUCGGUACUCGUCAGUGCAAAAUCUCUCAACAAAAAUGACCAUUGAUAUUUGCAACAUAUGGAUGCGUAGCUCAUUAAAACGAGGCACUAGGUGGAAUAUAUAUAGGUGUGCGUAACCGGUGAGCGUCAGAAACCUCUUUUUGAGCCAUAUGGGGUUAACUUUCUCAUAUUUAGCCUUAAGUUUCUUUCCCGUGAGCUCUACGGAAGGGUCACCAAAUUUGCGUUGGAUGACUCCUCGUUCGACCGAACAGUACACGUGAUUCUCCCGCAGCAGACGAGCGUUGCCUAAUUAUAAUUGCGAGCCUUAUCAUGUUAAGUUUCUUAAUCUUCUUCAGUAAGUUUCUUUCUGAUUUUUGCGACCUUCAGCAUUUCCACAUGGUUAUUAAACCAACACUGGAUGAUAAGAUACCAUUGUUUAUAUUUCAGGUCCUUGCAAAAUCUCUCAACAAACAUGAGAGGAAUCCUUACCUCACGAAAAAAUCCAAUCCCAGCACUUCCCUUUCAUAAUAUAUUAGACCAUUUAUUAGACAUAGAUACACGAUAGAAGAACAUAUCUGAUUCGCCUAUGACAAGGCACUAACUGCAACUUUCUCAAGACAAGGCAAAAUCUCUCAACCAGUACCAGCGGAGACGGAUGGUGAUCAAAUGACCAUUGAUAUUUGCAGCAUAUGGAUGCAUAGCUCAUUAAAACGAGGCAAUAGGUGGAAUAUAUAUAGGUGUGUGUAACCCGUGAGCGUCGGAAACCUCCUCUUUUUGAGCCAUAUGGAGUUAAGUUUCUCAUAUUUACCCCUAAGUUUCUUUCCCGUGAGCUCUACGGAAGGGUGAACAAAUAUGUGUUCACCGACUCUAUCAUGUUAAGUUUCUCAAUCUUCUUCACUACGUUUCUUUCUGAUUUUUGCGCCUAGACAGGCUGCUCAUUUAAAUGAAGCACUAGGUGGAAUAUGUAUAGGUGUUCGGUGUGCGUCACCGGCGAGCGUUGCAAAUCUCCUUUUUCUGAGCCAUAUGGAGUUAAGUUUCCCAUAUUUAGCCUUAAGUUUCUUUCCCAUGAGCUCUACGGAAGGGUCACCAAUUAUGCGUUCGACGUCUCCUCGUUUGAUCGAACGGUACACGUGAUUCUCCCGCGGCAGACGAGCGUUGCCUAAUUCCAAUUUCGAGCCAUAUCAUGUUAAGUUUAUCGAUCUUCUUCACUAAGUUUCUUUCUGAUUUUUGCGCCUUCCUUCAGCAUUUCCACAUGGUUAUUAAACCAACACCUCACGAUAAGGGACCAUUAUGUAUAUUUCAGGUCGGUACUCAUUGUUGCAAAAUCUCUCAAUAAAAAUGACCAUUGAUAUUUGCAACAUAUGGAUGCAUAGCUCAUUAAAACAAGGCACUAGGUGGAAUAUAUAUAGGUGUGCGUAACCGGUGAGCGUCGGAAACCUCCUCUUUUUGAGCCAUAUGGAGUUAAGUUUCUCAUAUUUACCCCUAAGUUUCUUUCCCGUGAGCUCUACGGAAGGGUGACGAAAUAUGCGUUCGCCGAAUCUAUCGUGUUAAGUUUCUCAAUCUUACUCACUAAGUUUCUGUCUGAUUUUUGCGCCUAGGCAGGCUGCUCAUUCAAAUGAGGCACUAGGUGGAAUAUAUAUAGGUGUUCGGUGUGCGCCACCGGCGAGCGUUGUAAACCUCCUUUUUCUGAGCCAUAUGGAGUUAAGUUUCUCGUAUUUAGCCUUUAGUUUCUUUUCUAUGAGCUCUACGGAAGGGUCACCAAAUUUGCGUUAGAUGACUCCUCAUUCGACCGAACGGUACACGUGAUUCUCCCGUGGCAGACGAGCAUUGCCUAAUUACAAUUUCGAGCCCUAUCAUGUUAAGUUUCUUAAUCUUCUUCACUAAGUUUCUUUCUGUUUUUUGUGCCCUUUAGCAUUUCCACAUGGUUAUUAAACCAACACCACAUGAUAAGAGACCAUUGUUUAUAUUUCAGGUCGGUACUCGCCGUUGCAAAAUCUCUCAACAAACAUGAGAGGAGAGCGAUGGUGACCAAAGGAGCAUCGCGCCAUCCAUCGGGCGAAGUAUAUUUGAUGUUCACGUGCGAAGUAUUUUCUAGAACGCAUGAAAUACGUUCACACAACGAGGGUUGAGAUAUGAGGGCAUCAGGUCCAUUGCCAAAAUCGCCUCUUUUGAGCUUGAUGUAGUUAAGUUUCCUAAUUAGGCACUAAGUUUGUUCUACGUGAGCUCUAGGAGUACGUGACGGGGGAGGGAUUGUGGGCAAAUGUGCAUCGAGUCAGCCAUAUACCGAAGGAUACACGAGAUUGUUUUGUCAUCAGUACGUCGUCUAUGUAUAGGGUGACAUUCUAUCUUUCAAACUUGUAGACAUAUACAUACGUUGCUCACUACAGGGACCCAUAAUUCUUACCUCACAAAAAAAUCCAAUCCCAGCACUUCCCUUUCAUAAUAUAUUAGACCAUUUAUUUGACAUAGAUACAUGAUAGAAGAACAUAUCUGAUUCGCCUAUGACAAGGCACUAGGUGCAAUUUUCUCAAGACAAGGCAAAAUCUCUCAACCAAUGCCAGCGGAGACGGAUGGUGAUCAAAUGACCAUUGAUAUUUGCGGCAUAUGGAUGUGUAUCUCUUUAAAACGAGGCACUAGGUGGAAUAUAUAUAGGUGUGCGUAACCGGUGAGCGUCGAAAACCUCCUGUUUUUGAGCCAUAUGGAGUUAAGUUUCUCAUAUUUACCCCUAAGUUUCUUUCCUGUGAGCUCUACGGAAGGGUGACCAAAUAUGUGUUCGCCGACUCUGUCAUGUUAAGUUUCUCAAUCUUCUUCACUAAGUUUCUUUCUAAUUUUUGCGCCUAGACAGGCUGCUCAUUUAGAUGAGGCACUAGGUGGAAUAUAUAUAGGUGUUCGGUGUGCGUCACCGGCGAGCGUUGUAAACCUCCUUUUUCUGAGCCAUAUGGAGUUAAGUUUCUCAUAUUUAGCCUUAAGUUUCUUUCCCGUGAACUCUACGUAAUGGUCACAAAUUAUGCGUUCGACGACUCCUCGUUCAAUCGAACGGUACACGUGAUUCUCCCGCGGCAGACGAGCGUUGCCUAACUCCAAUUUCGAGCCCUAGUAUCAAUCUUCUUCACUAAGUUUCUUUCUGAUUUCCGCGCCUUCCUUCAACAUUUCCUCAUGGUUAUUAAACCAACACCUCAUAAUAAGAGACCAUUAUGUAUAUUUCAGGUCGGUGCUCGUCGUUGCAAAAUCUCUCAACAAAAAUGACCAUUGAUAUUUGCAACAUAUGGAUCCGUAGCUCAUUAAAACGAGGCACUAGGUGGAAUAUAUAUAGGUGUGCGUAACCGGUGAGCGUCAGAAACCUCCUCUUUUUGAGCCAUAUGGAGUUAGGUUUCUCAUAUUUACCCCUAAGUUUCUUUCCCAUAAGCUCUACGGAAGGGUGACGAAAUAUACGUUUGCCGACUCUAUCGUGUUAAGAUUCUCAAUCUUACUCACUAAGUUUCUGUCUGAUUUUUGCGCCUAGGCACGCUUCUCAUUUAAAUGAGGCACUAGGUGGAAUAUAUAUAGGUGUUCGGUGUUCGUCACCGGCGAGUGUUGUAAACCUCCUUUUUCUGAGCCAUAUGGAGUUAAGUUUCUCAUAUUUAGCCUUAAGUUUCUUUCCCGUGAGCUCUAUAGAAGGGUCACCAAAUUUGCGUUGGACGACUCCUCGUUCGACCGAACGGUACGCGUGAUUCUCCCGCGGCAGACAAGCAUUGCCUAAUUCCAAUUUCGAGCCCUAUCAUGUUACUAUUCUUAAUCUUCUUCACUAAGUUUCUUUCUGAUUUUUGCGCCCUUCAACAUUUCCACAUGGUUAUUAAACCAACACCUCAUGAUAAGAGACCAUUUUUUAUAUUUCAGGUCGGUACUCGCCAUUGCAAAUUCUCUCAACAAACAUGAGAGGAGAGGGAUGGUGAACAAAGGAGUACCGCACCAUCCAUCGGCCGAAGUAUGUUUGAUGUUCACGUGCGAAGUCUUUUCUAGAACGCAUGAAAUACGUUCACACGACGAGGGUUGAGAUAUGAGGGCAUCAGGUCCAUCGCCAAAAUCACCUCUUUCGAGCUUGAUGUAGUCAAGUUUCCUAAUAAGUCACUAAGUUUGUUCUCCGAGAGCUCUAGGAGUACGUGAUGGGUGAGGGAUUGCGGGCAAAUGUGCAUCGAGUCAGCCAUAUACCGAAGGAUACACGAGAUUUGUUUGUCAUCAGUACGUCGUCUAUGUAUACGGUGACAUUCUAUCUUCCGAGCUUGUAGACAUAUACAUACGUUGCUCACUUCAGGGACCCAGAAUUCUUACCUCACGAAAAAAAUCCAAUCCCAGCACUUCCCUAUCAUAAUAUAUUAGACCAUUUAUUAGACAUAGAUACACGAUAGAAGUACAUAUCUGAUUCGCCUAUGACAAGGCACUAGGUGCAAUUUUCUCAAGACAAGGCAAAAUCUCUCAACCAGUGCUAGCGGAGACGGAUGGUGAUCAAAUGACCAUUGAUAUUUGUAGCAUAUGGAUGCAUAGCUCAUUAAAAUGAGGCAAGAGGUGGAAUAUAUAUAUAGGUGUGCGUAACCGGUGAGCCUCGGAAACCUCCUCUUUUUGAGCCAUACGGAGUUAAGUUUCUCAUAUUUACCCCUAAGUUUCUUUCCCGUGAACUCUACAGAAGGGUGACGAAAUAUGCGUUCCCCGAGUCUAUCGUGUUAAGUUUCUCAAUCUUACUCACUGAGUUUCUGUCUGAUUUUUGCGCCUAGGCAGGCUGCUGAUUUAAAUGAGGCACUAGGUGGAAUAUAUAUAGGUGUUUGGUGUGGGUCACCGGCGAGCGUUGUAAACCUACUUUUUCUGAGCCAUAUGGAGUUGAGUUUCUCAUAUUUAGCCGUAAGUUUCUUUCCCGUGAGCUCUAUGGAAGGGUCACCAAUUAUGCGUUCGACGUCUCCUCGUUCGAUCGAACGGUACACGUGAUUCUCCCGCGGCAGACGAGCUGUGGCACCCCGGCUCAGAGCAACCGGUUUACCAUGCAUUGCCAGCCCAGAGACCUUGUCUUCUGGCAACACACAACAUCUUGGUACAGAAAACAACCGCUUUAUUGAUGCUAGCAGAUCAAAGUUUACAUUACAAUAGGUGGCGAGGCCAAGCGGCACACACGGUGCGGCUGAACAAUAUGUACAUUAUUUAGUGAACAUGAAUGGGCCUCGAUCAAAGCAACUAUACGGCAGUGGAACAACGUCGUAGCGGAAACUCCAUAGCACAAGCACACCGAUGUGGACACGAUCUAGACUCAGACAACACUCCUUUCCAAUGAGACUUUCCUGAAAUCUGGCAUGACACGCCACGUCAGUACACUGAAUGUACUUGCAAGCUCACAACAAACAUAAACAUAAUGACAAACAAUAUCAUGACAAUUAACCAAUUCAUAAAAAUGCAACAACAUAACCAUCAUGUUGUGAUCAUUCCCUUGUGAUAACAGUCCCUUGGACUAACUUACCAACCAUCGUACCACCCUCGUGGUCAUGACUAAAGAUAUCUCGUGAUCCUUCCGGCGAUCACAACCAUGACCAACAUUUGGUCUUCAACGGUGAUCCUUCCGGCGAUCACAACCACGACCAACACUUGGUCUACCCCCAAGAUGAUCUUUACGACAUCAUCAACAGUGAAAAGUUUAUAACUUAGUGUGCAAGAUUUAUUAAACGUUGACCCAUGGUGUGACCUACUUAUGAGCGUGUCCGUAACCGUGGACUCGGCUAUUGAUAGAUUAAUACACUCUGCAGAGGUAGCGCACUGUACCCACACCACAGAACCCAUGGCCUCGCACUCCCAUUCAGGUGGACCAACGGCAUUCCGACGAAACCCCUCCAUUGCCAUGACACUCUCCCGGCCACUCCGACUCACUCUCCACUGGGCUAGUCCUGGGUGGCCCCAUGUCUACCAAAGACACAACGACCACCGUCGUGGCCAAAACAUAAACGAUCCCACUCGGGGACCCGGUAACAUAAACUCAACAAUGGGCACACAAGGUUAUGUCUUCUUACCGGGCCAGGGUACCGCACGCCAUAACCUUCCCUAUUUGGAGGCAUCGACGAGAGGCAUGACAACGGAAAGAAUAAAGGCCGUCCCAUACCGACAAAUGUGGUUGCACUGGGAAAAACUCGAUUCAGUGGCACCAUGACCUGGUCAACAAUAUCUUCAAGUUGCGUUAUUAUCAGGUUCAACUUAAAGUGAAAAUAACCGGUGUCACAAUGUCAUGACAUGCAACACUAACAUAUGCAUCACAUAUCAACGGGAAUGACUGAGUCAACUAUAUCCACACUAAGCAUCAACAUCAACACAUGAUGAAACUUCUCUAGUUAAGGUAAAACCUCACUUUAAACAGAAUCUUUCGAGAAAAUUUUACCAUUUUUAUUUAUGCAAGAAAAAUAACUCCACUAAUUAUUUAUAUUCAGAACCAUAUUAUUCUUUCAUCACUCAAAAUAUAUCCUAGUUUCUUUACCAACUAAACUAAUUUCAAACUUUCUGUAAAUCCAGCAUAUUACCUAAAGCAAGCAAUUAACAGAAUAUAAAUAUCAUAAUGAUUUAAAUGCCUGGAUUAUAUCAUUUGUUCAAGUAAGAAAAUCACAAAUAUUGAAAUGGCACCAUGAAAAUGUUGUUGUGGCUUGCCUUAGUGCAGAUUAGGUUCACAAGCCUCCUGGUGAUCCUCAAGACAAGCCUCACCCUCUGAAAAUAAUUUUAAACACAAGAAGAAAAUAUCAAGACACCUUCUGACAUUCACCAGAAAAUCUAGACAGCAGGGAAAAAUCACAUCUUUGGUGAGCUGCUAGACUUUUGAACAAAUAACAUAAUGCAAAAAGAAUCAAUUCAUUUGGACUUAUGGAUAAACAGUUUUGGCCAUUUGAAGCUCUCUAGAUAAAAAUGAAUUUGAAUUUAAAUAAAACAGUCAGGGGGGUGACAUCGAAGGCGUAAAAGCCUCGGGGCGCCACCACUCGUACCGCUUCGCGCGCGUGCUGAGUGGCUGACUAGCUGGCCCCGCUAGUCAGGUGAGGGGGAGAGAGAGAGAGGGAAACAGAGAGCGGCGCGGCUUCGCCGGAGCGCACACCAGCGACGAGGGCUCCUUGGCCAAAACGAGAGGGAGGGAUCGAGAGAGGAGACGGAGGCACACCUGCCCUUACCCGUAGAGUAUGUAGGGGUGGUCAGACGGCGUCGGAUUCAACCUCUCAAGCAGAGGCAGCGGGCGGAGGUCGCCGGAGACGAAGACGACGGCGAACGGAGGCGACUCCAGGGGCUCCAACCAGGCGGAACGGCACCACCGGAGAGUGGCGGAGGCGUUGGAAGGGUUGCCCUGGCCUGGGAGGGGCUGGAGCUGCGGAGACGACCCGAGGGGAUCGCCGACGAGCUCGAGCUCGGGGACGGUGGCCCGCGGCCUGCCCGGCCGGGCUACGGCUAUCUACUCGAUCGUGGAGUGUGUGGGAGUGGUGGAUGGUGCUCGAGGAGGCUGGGGAGGGCUCUAUUUAUAGCCGAGCGUCGAGGGGGGUUCGGGCUCCGCUGGUGGAAACCUGGCCACGGCCCCCGCCGACGAACGACAUCACUGAGAGGGGGCGAAGAAGACGCAGCUCACGCGGGGACUGUUGGCGAACGGGGACGAGCAUAGGGAUGAGAGGAAGGCAACAAGCACAUUGCGCACCGCACUGUUACGUUGGCCGGACUAUGCCCGUGCUCACUGCGGCGAGCUCCGGCGUCGGCGAGUGCCAGGGGGAGUUAAGAGGACUCGGACGAAGAUGGUGGCGUGGUUUGGCACGCUAAGGCAGGCGGGGCAGCGAGCACGCGCGAAACAGAGGAUCGGGCGGCGCUCAGAGCGCGUCGGCCGCAUGCCAGCACGCCUGGACGAACGCGGUCACCACGUGAUCUUUGCCCUCAGGCCAAACUAGGUCCAAAGUUCAUGUCUGGCUUGUUGUUCAUGGUAGUUUUGAAUAUUACCAUGCUUGGGUUGGGUCUCAGGUGCAGUAGAAAUGAUUUCACACGCCAGGUAAGUUUCUGGACAGUAACUUUGAGAGUUUACUGUGGUCAAUCUACUGGGAGUUGGGGGCUGGGCUUUGGAGGUUAGCAAUCAUCUACUAAGGUUAUGAAGCACAAGAAAGAUCAUCCACAGAAGUGCAAGUAAAAUGGCAGUUGCUGUAGAAACUACCAUUUCUGCCCAGAACAGAAAAUAUUUUCUGUAGCCAAAAUAUUCCAAAAAGUGAUGAAAUAUUUUUGCUCAGAAAGGUGCCCUAGGGUUCAAAGAAUAAUUGGGAUUUUUCUCAGAUUUUUGGGCCAUAAAAAAUGGGGUUGCUUUGGAGCACAUUGAGUUAGCUAGGGUUCAAGAGAGGGAAAUAAAUAUUUUUCAUUAAAGAAAAAUAUUCCAAAUGCUAUUUUGAGAUGAACCAGAGAGGGAAUGAUGGCUAGAGAGGGAAAUGAGGCACUUGGGUGAAAGCCAAGGGCUACCCAAGUGUUUAAGUCCAUAUGAAAAGAUUCAAAACUCCAAAUUUCAAAUUCAUAUCAACUAAGAAUCAGGCAAAGAAGAGAGGGCAAAAACCAGGCUGUCACACGAGCGUUGCCUAAUUCCAAUUUCGAGCAAUAUCAUGCUAAGUUUAUCAAUCUUCUUCACUAAGUUUCUUUCUGAUUUUUGCGCCUUCCUUCAGCAUUUCCACAUGGUUAUUAAACCAACACCUCAUGAUAAGAGACCAUUAUGUAUAUUUCAGGUCGGUACUCGUCGCUGCAAAAUCUCUCAACAAAAAUUACCAUUGAUAUUUGCAACAUAUGGAUGUGUAGCUCAUUAAAACGAGGCACUAGGUGGAAUAUAUAUAGGUGUGCGUAACCGGUGAGCGUCGGAAACCUCCUCUUUUUGAGCCAUAUAGAGUCAAGUUUCUCAUAUUUACCCCUAAGUCUCUUUUUCGUGAGCUCUACGGAAGGGUGACGAAAUAUGCGUUCACCGACUCUAUCGUGUUAAGUUUCUCAAUCUUACUCACUAAGUUUCUGUCUUAUUUUUGCGCCUAGGCAGGCUGGUCAUUUAAAUGAGGCAUUAGGUGGAAUAUAUAUAGGUGUUCGGUGUGCGUCACUGGCGAGCGUUGUGAACCUCCUUUUUCUGAGCCAUAUGGAGUUAAGUUUCUCGUAUUUAGCCAUAAGUUUCUUUUCCGGGAGCUCUACGGAAGUGUCACCAAAUUUGCGUUGGACGACUCCUUGUUCGACCGAACGGUACACGUGAUUCUCCUGCGGCAGACGAGCGUUGCCUAAUUCCAAUUUCGAGCCCUAUCAUGUUAAGUUUCUUAAUCAUGAUUAUUAAACCAACACCUCAUGAUAAGAGACCAUUGUUUAUAUUUCAGGUCGGUACUCGCCGUUGCAAAAUCUCUCAACAAACAUGAGAGGAGAGGGAUGGUGACCAAAGGAGCAUCGCGCCAUCCAUCGGCAGAAGUAUAUUUGAUGUUCACGUGUGAAGUCUUUUCUAGAACGCUUGAAAUACGUUCACACGACGAGGGUUGAGAUAUGAGGGCAUCAUGUCCAUCGCCAAAAUCACCUCUUUCGAGCUUGAUGUAGUUAAGUUUCCUAAUCAGGCAGUAAGUUUGUUCUCCAUGAGCUCUUGGAGUACGUGACGGGGGAGGGAUUGCAGGCAAAUGUGCAUUGAGUCAGCCAUAUAUCGAAGGAUACACGAGAUUUGUUUAUCAUCAGUACGUCGUCUAUGUGUAGGGUGACAUUCUAUCUUUCGAGCUUGUAGACAUAUACAUACGUUGCUCAUUGUAGGGACCCAGAAUUCUUACCUCACGAAAAAAUCCAAUCCCAGCACUUCCCUUUCAUAAUAUAUUAGACCAUUUAUUAGACAUAGAUACACGAUAGAAGAACAUAUCUGAUUCGCCUAUGACAAGGCACUAGGUGCAAUUUUCUCAAGACAAGGCAAAAUCUCUCAACCAGUGCCGGCGGAGACGGAUGGUGAUCAAAUGACCAUUGAUAUUUGCAGUAUAUGGAUGCGUAGCUCAUUAAAACGAGGCACUAGGUGGAAUAUAUAUAUAGGUGUGCGUAACCGGUGAGCGUUGAAAACCUCCUCUUUUUGAGCCAUAUGGAGUUAAGUUUCUCAUAUUUACUCCUGAGUUUCUUUCCCGUGAGCUCUACGGAAGGGUGACCAAAUAUGUGUUCGCCGACUCUAUCAUGUUAAGUUUCUCAAUCUUCUUCACUAGGUUUCUUUCUAAUUUUUGCGCCUAGACAGGCUGCUCAUUUAAAUGAGGCACUAGGUGGAAUAUAUAUAUACGUGUUCGGUGUGCGUCACCGGUGAGCGUUGUAAUCCUCCUUUUUCUGAGCCAUAUGGAGUUAAGUUUCUCAUAUUUAGCCUUAAGUUUCUUUCCCGUGUGCUCUACGGAACGGUCACCAAUUAUGCGUUCGAUGACUCCUCGUUCGAUCGAACGAUACAUGUGAUUCUCCCGCUGUCACAUCCCUAGUUCUGGUAUGAACUAGGCUAGCUAGUCAUGUGUACAUCAUGUUUAAAUUCCAUUUAAAUUUGAAAUGGGGAUCUGUGAAACCCUCAGAAAUCAUUUCUGGAAAUGACCCAGAUAAAAAUUGCUCCAAAAGGGUCCAAGAAAAUUUUCAUGUUGCCUCUGAAAAUAUUGGUCAGAGUUAAAAUUCAAACCAAUAUUUUUAAGGAGCUCAUAGAUAUUUAUUUUGGGCAUUUGGAAUUAAUGCAGUAAUUAUUUUCUUUGGAUAUAUACUGUUAUAUAUAUAUUAUUGUCCUAAAAUUAUGCUAGUUGAUGAGGAGCUCUGGAAUAAUACCACUAGCUCCUACCAAAAUUGGCAUAAGAAAAUAAAUUAGUUUGGUAUUGUUUUUAAAUCAAACAAAUGUCAGAAAAAUAGAAAAGGCAACAGAAAUGGAAAAACUUACCUGGCAUCUACCUGCAGUCCUGGCGCCUCAGCUGGCCCAGCACUGUGUGGCCCAGCUGGGCCAGUCCAUGAGCGUCGUCGUCCUCCAGGCGCCAGUCAGCCAGGCGUGUGGCCGGCGCGUGUGCACGACCGUGCCGCCACGCCACCUGCCUGCCUGUCCUCCCCUCCCCCCACCCCCCGUCGCCUGGAUGCCCCGCGCGACGCCACGCGCCGCCCCGCACCUCUCUCACUCUCUCUCGUUCUCCCUCCUCCCCUGGAUCCCUCUCUCUCGACCCGCCCGAGCGCCUCCGUCACCGCAGCUCGCCGUUGCCGCGCCCACCGCCACGGCCUCGCCUCUCCGACAAGCUCAGAAGCUCCGCCACGUCGCUGGCUACCUCUCCGCCAAGCCACGCGCCUCGGGAGGCCCAGGAGCGCCUCCAUCACCGUAAUCUUCAUCUCCGUCCACCGGAGAUCGUCUUUGCUGCCCCUCCGUCUCCAGUGCGUCCCCGAGCUCGCUGACGACGUCGUCGAGAUCGUUGUGAGCUUCUGCUCCGUUCCUCUCUCUCCGUUUAGCCGUUUGUGUGUCGUAGCUCCAUCCCCCUCCAUGGCCGUAGUUCCUUGCCGCCGUCCAUGUCGCCGCCGUCACCCUGGCCACCGCAGCCCGCAACCGCGUGCGUCACCGUGCUCCUGGUGGCACCAGGAGGCCGUAGAGCCUCUCCGCUCGCUUCCCCGUGCACCACAGCCCUCACCCGCACUUGGCCGUGCUCUGGCCGCCGCCUCGAGCUUGUUUCCGGCGAGCUCCAGCACCCUCGCGCCCUCCCGCUUGCUCCAACCGACGCGGACGAGGCUCAGCUCCUCGCCUGUGGUCUCCGCCGCCCGAAUGGUCGCCGGAGGGUGAAUCCCGUGCCCCUCCGCCGCGUUCGGCCUCGCCGGCGGCUAAACGCCGGUGGGUUUGACUGCUUUGACCUCGCCGGCCCGGCAGGUCGGCCCCGUUGACAGGUGAUUAGCUUAGUGGUAAUCACCACCUAACCUAACCCCUGACACUGACCAGUGGGCCCCAGCCCACUAAUCAUGUAAUUAGGAUAAUUUUAACCCCAUGUUUAACCCGUGACAUUGACGUGUGGACCCCACAAGUCAGGUUUGACCUGCUCGGCACCGUUGAUCUGCUGACGCAAGCAUGAUACAAUGCUGAUGCAGUUACUUAUUUUCUGGUAUUAAUAUAAAUCGGGAAAUUCCAGAAAAUGUUAUAAACUUAAAAAAUUCAUAGAAAUUCAACCGUAGCUCAGAAUGAAAUAAUUUAUAUAUGAAAAAUUAUCAGAAAAAUCCAAUCUAUCCAUCUGUACUAGUUUCAUGCAUGACAAACCAACUUAUACCUACUGUAUAAGUGAAAACGUAUAGAUGGUAUUUAUAAGAGCUUACUUUGGAGUUGCAUUUGAAUCUUUGGUUCAAAUGGACUUCAUCCAAAUGAAUGCUAGUUGCAUUAGCUCAAACAACAUCACAUCUUCAUGCCAUGUUCAUGCAUCAUAUUGUUUCAUAUGCUUGUGUAUUGAUUGUCGACACCGUUCCUUCUCGAUAGGUCCUGCUCCGGAGACCGUUCCAGAGUACCUGUCUGAGGAGCAGUGCCCCCUGUGUUGAUCUACCAGGCAAGCAACCCCCCCCCCUUGUUCAUUCUGAUACAAUCCUACUCUCUCGCUUCUACUCUCUGUUAUUGCAUUAGGACAACAAUGAUUCAAUUGCUACUUUGUGCUGCGGUAGUUGAACCCAUUCCUCUGCAUGACCUGUCAUUGCCACAGUAAAUAGUUGAAACCCACUAGCAUGUGUAGGAGUUGAUUGAAGCCAUUGUUGUGUGUUCCUACCAUGCCAUGCCUGCUAUUGCUUAGAGUGUGUUAGGUCUGAUUCAUUGGGUGUGAAUUGGAGUGCAGUGUUAUGUUCUGAUGCUGAGAGAUAAGUGUGUGAACACGAUUUGGUAAAGGUAGCGGUGAGAGGCCAUGUAGGAGUACAUGGUGGGUUGUCUCACUGGAACCGUCCAUAAGCACUGAGUUCUAUGUAUGUCGUCCAAUGACUAGCUACUACCACGCAUUGGGCUCCGGGCGCUCCAAGCCCUCUCGACUUAUUAACCGACUUGAUCUCUGUCAAGGAGUCGCAACUAGUUUCUGGUGCUUGUAGGCAGUGUUAUUCUUCUACCAAGUGGCACCCGAUGCCGAGAUACAUGACAUGUACGUGGCGGUAAGUGGCGAGAGCGUGUGUGAAGAAGUACACCCCUGCACGGUUAACAUGAUGUAUUCGAAUAGCCGGGUCCGCGGUUAUGGACUUCUUGGAUGCUUACGUGGUACAUAGACAACUUGAAGUGGAUACUCUAAAAUGCUCAAGACAAGUGUGAGUGCUAUGGAUGGCCUUCUCGUAGGAAGACGGGGAUGAAUCCAUAGCGAUGUAUUGUGUGGUGAUUAGUGGACUCGUGUGCGCUGCCUCACCUCAAAGAAGUUUCUCGUAGUCGUAGAACAAGAUAGCCACUGAGUCAAAGCUGGCUUGCUGCAACUAAACCCCACAUUACCUUCUUGAUACAAAUGCAUGUAUGAUAGGAUCUGAUGUAAGUCUUGCUGAGUACCUUUGUACGCACAUUGCUUUAUUUAUGUUUUUGCAGCGGAGACCUCGGUCUUACUAGUUUACGUGGACUUCGACAAGUAGCUUGUACCUCAGCUACGAUCUUGAUCGAAUGUUGUAGAUAGUCAGCCUCUUCAGCCUUUUUCAUUUAUAGAUGUCUAUACUCAGACCUGUAAUGCUUCCGCUUGUUGCUUGUAUGCUCUGAAUGUUGUGUCAUGUGACCCCUAUUUGUAAUAAAUACUAUGAUGGCUCUUUUGAGCUUUUAUCUAUAUGAGUUAUUGAGUUAUGUUGUGAUGCCAUGUUGUACAGCACAUACUUGCAUGUUAUGAGCACGUGUAAUGUGUAUUGCUAUGUGUGGGAUCCGACAACCUAGUUAUUUAUUCUUGGUAGCCUCUCUUAUGGGAAAAUGUCUCCUAGUGCUUCCACUAAGCCAUGGUAGCUUGCUACUGCUCCGGAACACUUAGGCUGGCCGGCAUGUGUCCUUCUUCGUUCCUGUGUCUGUCCCUACGGGGAAAUGUCACGCGGUGUCUACCUGAGUCCUGUUAGCCUACUACAGCCCGGAUUCUCCGGAGUCCUGUUAGCCCAGCUGCUACAGCCCGGAUUCACUCGCUGAUGACCGACAUGUUCGUUGCUGGGUCAUGUAUGCCUGUUCCUGUAAGUUUGUGCCACUUUGAGUUCACAACUAGUCAUGUCGCCCGGGUUCUCUGUCAUAUGGUUGCUAGCGACACAAUCAUAAACGUGAGCCGAAAGACGCAAACAGUCCCGGGCCAGGUAAGGUGGCACCCGUGGAAAUAACGUGCAUGAGGCCGCAAAGUGAUAUGAUGUGUUACAUGCUAGAUUGGUGUGACUGAGGAUCAGGGUCCCGACAACUUUGGUAUCAGAGCCUGACUGCCUGUAGGAUUACCAAGCCAAACUGGUCGAACUUGAGUCUAGAAAUUCUUUAAUUAUGUAAGGAAAUUGUUUGUGGGAAGGAACGUAAGGCUCUUUUUACUCCUUAUACCUCAUGGCCUUCUGAUCUGAGUCAUCGUAUCUUUCCUCCGGGGUUAAGGAACUAGCCUUUCUCUUCUGUCUAUCAGGAUCACGUGUCACUACUCCAUAGUUCCAUAGGAUUGGUUGGUCAGAGUCAUAUCCCAGUUCUCGAGUACUUCCAGUGUAGUCUAUUUAGAAUUAUCUCAGAACCUUGAGUGGUGAUGUUGAGUUGUUGUGCUAUCCCAUUUUUGGCACGAUGUCUCAUUCUAAUCAUUUUACUGCCAUUAUGCUGCCGGAAUUACCCUAGGAGUUCGAGAGAUAAUAUUUCCUUAUCCUACAUCGUACAGUCCAUAGUUGAUGUUGAUUCCGUCCAUGGUUUCGUUUCUCAGGAUGUCAUUAGUUAAGCGAAGUUCUAUUGCCCGUAGCCGGAACUGCGGAGAUGGUAGGGAUGAGGAUCCUCCCGACCAGCCUUCGUUGGCAGAGUUGAUGUUAGAGAUGGAGAGGAACAAGAGGGAGUCUAAUCGCUUGUUGGCACGUAUCGAGGAGAACACCGCACAUUAGUUCAAAGAUUCUGCGACCAUUCAUGACUUUGUUCGCUUGCACCCACCUACCUUUCAUCAUUCUAUUGAGCCACUCGAUGCAGAUGACUGGCUCCGUAUCAUCACUCAUAAGUUGCGUUCCACGAACGUAGCUGAAGAUGACAAGGUCACCUAUGCUACAUACCACCUGGAAGGUCCUGCUAGUCUUUGGUGGCAGAACUAUGAAGCUAUGCUUCCAGCUGGCAAGAUUCCUACCUGGAGAGAUUUCACUGAGGCUUUCUGCGAGCAUCACAUUCCUCAGGCCCUCAUCGAUCGCAAGAGAGAAGAGUUCUGUAGUUUCACCGAGAGUAAGAUGGUUGUUGACGCUUACAGUAGAGAGUUUGAGAACCUCGCCCGCUAUGCUGCAGAAGAGGUGUCUAUAGACGCCAAGAAGCAGGCUAGGAUCCGGAAGGGUCUCAACCCCAAGUUGCGUCGUGAUCUCCACCUGCAUCACUGUGAUACAUUCCAAGCUCUUGUGAACAAGGCCAUUAAUGCAGAGACAGCUCAGCUCACUUACGAGGAGUCUUGUAAGCACACCCGUGGUUUGGGAUCUUCCUCCGGUUCUAGUUCUUAGAAGCACCGGAUUUGGGUUCCGAACUCCGCUCUUCCUGCCGGAUAUUCACCGAGGCCAUCUUAUGUGGCACCUCACCCAGCUCAGUCAAAUGCUCCACCCAGGCCUAUUAGUAGACCGCUUCUCAAUGCGGGUCCACAUCCAACCUCAGGGACUUGCUUCACAUGCGGGAAGCCAGGACACUAUGCACGUGACUGCCCUCAGACUAGAUAUGCUCCACCCCAGCCCGAGAAGUCGGUUGGCUAUGUUAAGCCAUCAAGAAAGAUGAUCAGUGCCAAGCCAGCUCGCACUAAACGUGGAUGUGUGCAUCACGUUUCAGCUAAAGACGCUCAUGAUGAUCCGAAUGUUGUUCUUGGUAUACACUCCUUGUCAAUUGUCAUCCAACAUCGGUUAUGUUCGAUACUGGAGCAUCUCACUCCUUCAUUUCUGAAAGCUAUGCUAUCUUGCACAACAUGUCAUUUUGUGAUAUGCCCUCUCCACUAGUCCUUCAAACUCCUAGAUCCAAGUGGCAAACUUCUAGUGUAAGCCAUGGUAACGAAAUCCUUGUUGACAGACUUGUAUUCCUUGCAUCACUUAUAGCCAUCAAGUCUACAAAUAUUAACAUCAUCUUGGGUAUGGACUGGAUGAAAGCUCAUUAUGCCAAGAUUGAUUGUUACACUAGGUCUGUUCAGCUCACACACCCAUCUGGCAAGAUAGUCACCAUCUCCACUAGAGUUGCAAAGCGUCAGCUCUAUUCUUUUAAUGCUAGCCCUCUUCCAGACUUGGAAGAUAUCCCGGUAGUCCGUGACUUUCCGGAUGUCUUUCCAGAGGAACUUCCAGGUGUUCCACCUGACAGAGAUGUAGAGUUCGUCAUAGAUCUUAUCCCAGGAACCGCUCCAAUCUCUAGGAGACCUUACAAAAUGGCACCCUUAGAACUAGCUGAGCUUAAGAAACAACUUGAUGAGUCCUUGAAAAAGGGUUUCAUCUGUCCUAGUUCUUCUCCUUGGGCUUGCCCCAUCCUCUUCGUCAAGAAGAAGGAUGGUAUGGACCGGAUGGUUGUAGAUUAUCGUCCCAUUAAGUUGGUCACGAUAAAGAACAGAUAUCUGCUCCCCAAGAUCAACGACCUGUAUGAUCAGCUCGCUGGAUCCUCAGUCUUCUCCAAGAUGGAUUUGAGGUUAGGCUACCACCAAAUCAAGAUCAGAAAUUGGGACAUCCCCAAGACGGCCUUUGUCACUCGUUAUGGCCAGUACGAGUACACCGUCAUGUCCUUCGGUCUAACCAACGCCCCAGCCACAUUCUCCCGCUUAAUGAACUUGAUCUUCAUGGAGUACCUAGAUAAGUUCGUCGUGGUUUACCUCGAUGAUAUUCUUAUUUACUCAAAGAACGAGGAAGAGCAUGCCGAACAUCUUAGACUUGUGUUAGUAAAACUCAGAGAACACCGCCUUUAUGCCAAGUUCUCCAAGUGUGAAUUUUGGUAGCCAGAAGUGACCUACCUAGGCCACGUGAUCUCUGGUAAGGGCAUUGCUGUCAAUCCCGAGAGAGUUAAGGCCGUUCUUGAUUGGACUCCACCUAAAACAAUUAAACAAGUUAGGAGUUUCCUUGGUCUAGCCAGCUAUUGUCGCUGCUUUGUUGAAAAUUUCUCUAAAGUGGCCAAACCCCGCACGGAACUUCUUAAGAAAGAUAAAAAGUUUGAGUGGUCCCCACAGUGUGAGUACAGUUUUCAGGAACUGAAAAGACGCCUGACUUCUGCUCCCAUACUUGUGCCACCGGAUUUCACUAAGAACUUUGUUAUCUACUGAGAUGCCUCACGACAGGGACUAGGCUGCAUUCUUAUGCAGGAUCGUCAUGUGAUUGCCUAUGCAUCUCGACAGUUGCAUCCACAUGAGGAGAAUUAUCCUACACAUGAUCUAGAGCUUGCAGCCGUAGUCUAUGCACUCAAGACCUAGCAACAUUACCUUCUUGGUAAAUGUUGCGAGAGCUACACCGAUCACCAGAGUCUCAAGUAUAUUUUCACCCAACCAGAUUUGAACCGUAGGCAAAGAUGUUGGUUGGAAGUGAUCUCAGAUUAUGAUCUAGGGAUUACUUACACUCCAGGCAAAGCCAACGUCAUGGCUGAUGCGCUAAGUCGUAAAUCCUAUUGCAACAAUCUCAUGUUGCAGCAGGGUCAACCACAUCUCCAUGAGGAAUUCUAUAAGCUUAACCUUCACAUUGCUCCUCACGGAUUCCUUUCUACCUUGGUGGCGAAACCUGAUCUUGAGGAUCGGAUUGUCGCUGCUCAAAAGCAAGACACAUGAAUUUCCCGGAUCAAGAGAAACAUUAAGAAGGGAGUUGGUGGAUGUUUUUCUAUGGAUGAUCGAGCUGUUGUUUUCUUUGAGAAUCGCUUGGUGGUUCCCAAGAAUCUACAUCUGCGAAAAUUGAUUCUUAAGGAGGCGCAUGAAUCCCCUCUCACGAUUCAUCCCGGUAGUACUAAGAUGUAUCAGGACCUAGGCCAGAGGUUCUGGUGGACUAGGAUGAAGAGAGAAAUUGCCCAGUUCAUUUCUAACUGUGACGUUUGUCGUCGCGUUAAGGCAGAGCAUCAGAGACCUGCUGGCACCCUUCAGCCUUUAGCUAUUACUGAGUGGAAAUGGGAUAAAGUUGGUAUGGACUUCAUCACCGGCUUUCCCAGGACCAAGAGAGGGAAUAAUGCUAUCUUCAUAGUCAUUGAUCGUCUCUCCAAAGUGGCGCACUUCCUACCUGUUCGAGAGAGUAUCACUGCUGGUCAGCUCGCUGACUUAUAUAUUUCUCGAAUAGUGUCACUUCAUGGUGUUCCACUAGAGAUCAACUCAGACCAUGGCAGUCUUUUCACUUCUCAUUUCUGGGAGAGUUUCCAACCUGCCAUGGGAACCCAUCUUUCCUUUAGUACCGCUUUCCACCCUCAGUCGAGUGGUCAGGUGGAAAGGGUCAACCAAAUUCUUGAAGACAUGCUUAGAGCUUGCGUUAUCUCAUUCGGUAUGGAUUGGGAGAAAUGUCUUGCUUUUGCCGAGUUUUGUUAUAACAACAGCUAUCAAUCCAGUCUCAAGAAAGCUCCUUUUGAGAUUCUCUAUGGACGAAGAUGUCGAACACCUUUGAACUAGUCAGAAACCGGUGAAAGACAAUUCUUUGGACCGCACAUGAUCCAGGAGGCAGAAGAGCAAGUUCGCAUCAUUCAUGAGAAUUUGAAAACAGCCCAGUCUCGUCAAAAGAGUCAGUAUGAUCGUCGUCAUAAGGAUGUGACUUAUGAAGUUGGCGACAAAGCUUACACUACUAGGAAAAGGCUUACUAAUGGCGCACCUAAUUUGGCCAUUAAUGGCGCAUUAGUGGUGCGCCAUUAGUAGCAUGCCAUUAGUAUAUUUUACUAAUGGCGCACCACUGGUGCGCCAUUAGUAUCUGGUAUACUAAUGGCGCACCCCAGAUGCGCCAUUAGUAUAUACAACAGUGCGCCAUUAGUAUGCCUCCCAGGGGGCCAUCUAUACCCAGGUGCUUUGGCAUACUAAUGGCGCACAACAACUGGAUGCGCCAUUAGUAACUUCGGCAUACUAAUGGCGCACUGUUUAGUGAUGCGCCAUUAGUAUCCUCUGGCAUACUAAUGGCGCACUAUGAUGUGAUGCGCCAUUAGUAUGAAUAUUAGGUUUUUUUAUUUUUUUAUUUUCUGUUUUUUGCACAGGUUACAAAAUGUAUAAUUGGAGAAAAUAUAGACAGCACACAUCAACAACAGAUUCAUCGAAUACAAUAGAAGAUUAGUCUCUGAAUACAAUUCAUCAUUUUAGUCUCCGAAUACAAUUCAUCAUAUUAGUCUCCGAAUUGAAAAGACCGAACAAAGAUAGAACAUUAUAUUACAAGUCUCGAGACCGCGAGUUUGUCUUCACAUUACAAGUCGAUAUCGGUCAUCUAAACUACCAUCACAUAGAAGAGAGCUGCGGUCAUCACGAUGAGCAUCAUCACGAUGAAACUCGUCUUCAUCCGGUUCCUCCAACGCUCCCUCCCCUCUCCCGCUAGAUAGCGGGCGUAUCUAGAUUCGGCCUCGGCCCUAGUGGCGUACCCUUUGUAACUGUUACCGCUGAAUCGGUGAACCUGUCUCCGACACUCCUCCCAGUCGUCGUAGACUCCAGGAACCUUACCCUUGUACACGACAUACCACGGCAUCGCUAUGCAGUAGCCAAACGAAACGUUAGUACCAAUUCACAGACAAUACAUAAGCAAUAUAUAAGUAUGCAACAGAACGAUCGGAAGAGAAAAGCAAGACAUUAAUAGCAUCGAUUACAUCUAAGUUGAAGGACUCUCGAAACCAAAGAGACAUACUACAAGUUCAUUAAAGUUUAAUUACAACAUGAGCCAAUUGAUGUUUCAGAACUAGACACAGCAUCACUGCUUUCGACUCGACUAAAGGGACCGGAGCGUGGAUGAAGCCGCCGUCUAUCGUGGGAGUCAUGAAACAACGGGCGUUGUCAGCCUGCAUUUGUAGGAUUGUGUCGAUGUCACUGUUGGACGGUUGAUUUCUGAGGUAGAACUGCCCCGAGGUACGAAGGACAUCUUGAUGGAUGAUUUCCGCAAACUCCGACUGGAUGCGAAAGAAUUCUUGUCUGAUGUCCGCGUCCUGGAUUGCCGACACGCUCGCGGCCCAAUCUUUGAGUCUACUCGGUAGCAGUAGUUGAUGAUGGUCCCGUACAAUCGCCUGCAUGUGAUGGAUGGCGUAGUAGGCACCCUUCUGACCGCCAGGCGACUGCUUGACGCAGCAGAACGUCGUAUUGUGGGAGAACACGUGCUUGCCGUACUUACGAAUAGGCCUGGUGAAGGUGCCUCCAGAUUUGACGUAGCCGGGGAGAACAUCAUCAAGAACCUUCUUGACAUUUGUGUAGUCUACGUUCGACUGACGGUCCGGGUCGAAAUACGUGGCCAUGGAAUAUUUGGGGCUUAGGAGGAUGAGCGUGCAAUGUGUGUCACUGCAGAAAACACGGAAUGUUAAAAGAAAAACGAUCGAAAUCUAAGAAUUCAUAUGUUACGGGGCGGUUGAGGGGAGGACUUACUCGGGAAAGUAAGGCACGAGGAAGUUGUCCUUAUCUUGGUUUGCCAGAAUGACGCCUUCGAGGUAAGAACUCGCGACUUGUCAGUCCCCAGCGCUGCCCAAGAUCUUGGCACGCAUGUAGAAGGGGUCGACUAUCACGAUGUCCGGGGUCUUGUCGCGAAUGAUCCGCAUCUCCAUACUUAGUGAAAAUAGCCGAACGAAGGUGUAGUGCAGCGGAUGAAGGUUCAACAUAGCGUGGAUGUCAUCAAACCGCAGGACGAUCGUACCCUCGAUGGAGUUAUCCACAAAGCCCUUGCCCUCUGGCACCUUGGCCGCGAAAACCGGGUAUGCCACAUCCUUCUCUCAGAGACGCCGCUUCUCCAAAGAAAGAACACUGUCAUGCAGACUCCGCAUAGCACCGGUUGCAGCAUCGAGCAUAUUUCUCGGUAGCAUUGGCCUACCUGCCACAUGCACCCUCCUCGAGAUAUCCGCAGUUGAAGGUGGCCCGUCCUGAGCACGGAUCGUACUCGGUGCCGGCUGGCCCGCACCCUUGUUAGUCUUUCUUUUGCGUGCCUUCUUCUUGAUCUCCUGUAAUGGGACCGAGUUCUGCUCACAGACCGCCUUCUUGAGUGUGUUGGGGCUGAUCAUAUUUCGCACCUCGCCUAUCUAAGGCUCGGUGAAGUCGGCAGCUGGAGGCGUCUCCUGAGAGCUGAACUGCAGACGACGCCUGUUGCAACUUGGCUUCUCCGCGGUACCAGCUAGACCGCACACGUCUUUUGUUGGGUUGGGUUCUUGAGAAGGAGGCCCCAUGAAGUCGCCACCGUCCCCAUGAUCGGCAAAGUACUGAUCGACGUUGGCAAAUGUAUCGUCGUCGACGUCGUUCUGAUCCUGUGCCAUAUGCAUGUUUGGAUCCAGUGGCAUAGGGAUGUCCGGCACCGUUGCGGCGGUCUUGCCAUGGGGCCGACUUGGCGCCGGCACGACUGGCGGUGUUGUCUUUGGGGUGGUGUCCCCCGCCCCCAAACGAAUCUGGCUCUUCGGCCAAAGCAGGGGCCAGCUCAGGCAGGCGCUGAGGUUCAUCACGUCAUCAUCGUCGGCCCCGAUGGGUCGAAUCGGAGGUAACACCUCGUCGCAGCCUGGCAGCACCCGAACCAGUUGAACCCUAAACAAGUUGGGUGGCAUCUGGGUAUCGUGGAACAAGGGGUUGCCCGGUUGAACGAUUUUGCCCUUGGCGACAUCGACCAACUCGUUGUUCACGAAGUGCAGGAGAGUGCACGGAACGUCGGCGGCGCCCUGCGAAAACAUGUAGGGCGUUAGGGAUGCCCAGUCAAAGGCAAGGAGAUGAAGUCCUCAGCCGAGAGAGGCUUAAUUAGUUACUAUGAUGAUGGCGUCGAGCUCGGCUAAUGUCGAGGCACCGCCAACGGUGGGCGUGCAGUUGACGGAGGGGCCGCUUGCUGCAGAGGUGCCAGCCGGCGUACACCCGGGUGCAUUAAGCUCCCGUGCCGGUGUCGGAGACACCAAUGCCGGCUCCGCCGGAGACACCAAUGGCCCCGCCAUCGCGUUCUGCGAGUUGCUGGCCGUGAAGCUAGGAAUCGGGGGCGGCCCCUGUUGGCCACCCGCAAUCCACGCACUAAUCCCCUGGAUCAAGGUAGGCACAAUGGCGGUGAUCGUCGCUCCAAGUUGUUGUUGCACUUGCUCUUGGACAAUCUCCGGAAUCCGCGCCACCUGUGCCCUGAGUUCUUGAACCUCGCGCGCCUGGCUUUCCGGGCUGGUCUUUUUCUCCUUUCGCCCAGCAGUGUCAUAGUAUGACGACCAUUUUGUCGAAAAGCCUUUGCCGGCCACACGACCAGCUGACGUCGGCUUACUGAGCUUAUCCUUGUUCUUCAUUACAUUCAACGCCCUAUUUAGAGUGGUGUCCCAAGGGUUGCUCUUAGUCGACCCCGCGCUACUGCUUUCAGUCGCCUGCGGAAGGAAUGUGAACCAUUUAGAAAUUUGGCUUCAUUAAUUAGAAUGCAACCAUAUGGAGCUAAUUACGAGGGGGCGUAUUCCUUACCAGAACAAGCUCAAGCGCCCUGGUCUUCGGAUCCGUGGUAAGCUCCUUUGUUUUCGGGUCCUUCUUGUACCGGGCCCUGACAAAGUUCCUGGUCUGCUUGUCACCGUAUUUAUCGAAGAGGGGCGGUAGGCCUUGCUCGGCACGGUCCGCCUCCUCCUUGUCCCAUCUAGGCUCCGCCACUCUAUAACCGCCGGGACCGAGUGUGUGUUCCCCUAAGUUCAGCUCCCGCAUUUCUUUCCCCCACUUACUUGAUUCGGAGUUUGCGGUGCUCGAGCAAUUGAUCUUGAAGUCGUUGUAGUCGUCUUCGGUGAUCGAAGGAUUUUUCUCCUUGAUCUUCUCAUAACUCUCACCUUUCUCGAUCAUUCUCUUCACAUUGCUUUUCCAAGUAGACAGGGCCUUGCUCAUCUUCGUGAGGGCAGCAUUGUUCACUUUAUUCCCUUUGAGGCUUGUGUUUUCAAAUUCAGCAGGGAACUUGUAUCGUUCGUGCAGCUUCGUGAAGAGGAGGUUGCGCAAAUUCCCUCGGUCAGGAUGCCUCAGGUUCUCGGUGUUGAUCGAGACGGUGCUCCGGAGAAUGCACCCGAGCUGAAGCGAGUACCCCUUGACUAUUCGUUCGGGUGCCGUUGGAUUCCCGUCGGAGUCCACUUCAGUAACUUCCUCCUUGAGGGUGCGGAGCACGGUCGGGCGCCGGGCCUUCCGUUGCCUCUUCGGUUGGCUGCCAUCUGUGCGUGCGCCGCCUUCAUCAGUGGUGGCAUCCUCGGCGGCACCAUCAGUGGUGGCAUCAGUGGGGUCAUCCUCGGCGGUACCAUCAGUGGUCUCAGGAUCGGUGGGGAAGGCGGCGUCCUCAUACAAGUGAGGUUGUUCCUCCAUCUCCUGGGACAGCUUCCAGAAUGGCUUGACGCUCGAACCCCCGGCCUCAUCGUUGUUGGCCAUGUUUCUCUCUAAAUAGGAACAAAGUUUGGUCAAAAAGUUGGUUAUUGUCAAGGAACAAGAUCAUGGUCUCAUCAUUUAGGGUUUGUCGACACCGAGGCAUCCUAAAAGCUAAGCUUUUAUCAUUGAGGGUUUUUCGACGCCGAGGCACCCUAAAAGCCUAAGCUUUCAUCAUUUCGGUUUUUAUCGACACCGAGGCACCCUAAAAGCCAUGCAUUAGUCACAAGUACGCCGGGGCACUUGAUCCUACUUAAUUAACUACUAAGAUACCCCGGCCCAUGCAUUAGUCACAAGUACCCCAUAUGUCCUAUAUUUAGCAAAGUCAUGCUAAAAUUCACGGAAAAUUUCAGCAUGACCUUUGCUGAAAAUAGGACAUAUGGAGUACCCGAAUUUGCCGGAACGGAAGUUAAUCGACAUUCCGGCAAACUCAAGGGCCUCUCGGGUGGACAAGGCAAAAAAGGCCUCCAUCACAACAUGGAAAAUACAUUGGCAUGUGAAGAGGUGAAACAAUAUAUGCAUCUCCAAGCAGUAUCAUAUUUGUAAUGACUGAAAAUAUUUACUUCAGGAAAUAUUUACUACUGUAGUUUCUGUUACAAACAAAAAAAAGACUGAAGUUUGUCCUAGCUAUAUUUCAGGAUGAUUUUUCAGUUGCUCAUGCUUUUUACAAAUUGUAGCUACUGUUUUUUAUACCUAAACAAAAUUGCCCUAGCUAUAUUUGCUACUGUUUUUGUAAUUUGCUACUGCUUUUUUUUAUUUGCUACUGUUUUUUUAUACAUACACCACCAAAGUCCAAAGAGUAACCACUUAUUAGCUACCAGGAGUAAGUAACUAACUAAAUACACUUCUAUAACAAAAUAAAUCAGAAACUUAGUUUUCAGUGUAAUGAAACUAAUUUGGCGUUGUAGGUCUUGAUAUAUUUUUCUUAUGGACUUGGUCAAAUUUGAAUAAGGACAAAGCUAGAACUUCAAUUAAUUUGGAAUGGAGAGAGUAAUCCACAAUAGAUAAACUGAAGCAUACUAAAUGAAGACAAGCUCUUGGAUGCUACACCUUAGUUUUAGAAUAGACAAACAGACACGUUCUAACUUCUAAUGGAAAACAUGGUUAGAUAGAUGAUUAGAAAUUGCACAUGAAAGAACAGGGGUAAAUAUUGUUAACAGAAGACAGCCAAACAAAUAUAUUGCUCUUUAUGAGGUUAUGAGGUUACAGAGUACAAACUUAACUUGAGAAUGACAGUGUUCAAAAUAGUCAAUGAAAAAUUCAUCGGUACUGAACAUAAUUAACAGAAGUUAUUUUGAUGGUAUAUAAGAAUAUUUAUGGAACAAACAACAUGAAGAUAGCUGCAAUCUUAAACAAAAAUCAAAGCACACUUGUCUGUAAAAAGCUAACAAACUAUGUGAUGCUUCCAGCUAAUAUGUUCAUAGAACAGGAGCAUGAGAAAAAAUAACAGAAACUAUAUGAUUUAACUGGUUUCAAAACAUGAAGUCCUAAAAGCUCUUGUUUUUGACUUUGCAUCCACUGAUAAAGAAGAAUCAGAGUAGUGAGCAAGACUGUAAAUGUUCUAAAAAUUAAAAGAAAAGAGAGAUUGCAUGUUCAUCUUAGCUGCAGUCCUGAUCGUGAGAAGUACAUCCUAUACGUUUUACCAAGGGAACAGUAGGGAUAACAGAAAGUCACUGUUGUCACUGUCCUAGUGAAGAAUUUUGUGCUAUCUACCUUCUUGGUUUACCCCCUAGUGCUUCGAUACAUAUGCAAUUACACAACUGAACAAUAGUAUGCUGGUUUUACUUACAUGAACAGUAGCUUAGUACUGAUAGAAAAAGAAGAGUUUCUUCUACUAGAGGAUCUUUGUUUGAUGGACUCGUUUGCUGAAUAUUUGACUGCAGUAUAGUGUAACUUUUCAAAUUUCACAUGAUAGUUGGUAAUGAGAAACAUCUCGUUGGGAAAGAUAAAAUUGGGUGCACAAGGCAUGCUCUGGUUCUAAAGUGAUAGUUUAGUGAUACUGCUUGUAGGAAAAAUUUGCAAUAUGCCAUCUCAUUUGGAAGGAAUUUAAGUCUUGAUAGCCUAUAUCUAAAUCAAGAAAGGGAGGGAAAGGGUCAGUGUUAUCUGGCAUUGAUGGCAUGCCAAUUUACAUCUAAUUUUUACUGUCUAGCUUUGAUGAUAUCUGAUCUCAUAAGGUAGUCUAAGAAUGAGGGGAGCAGUACUAGAUAUAAUCAGAAUGCAAAAAAGUGAUGUCAGGGAUACUCUACAUACACAGCGAGAGCACGUCGUUGAAACAAAACCAGAGCAUAGCAGCUACAGUCAUAAAACCAGCAGCACAUUUAGGAUCAUCUUGCAUUCAGAAGAAAAUUCAGGUAGGAAAAGAGAUACUGAAGCAACACACAGGGAACUGAAAAUUAGUACUGUCAUACAGCUGAUGAUAUAGCAAAAUCAUGGUUUUAUAUAAAACAAUCCUUCAUGAAUCUAACACAACUCUGUUUCUGUACUACAAUAGCACAUGUACGCACUCUUUCACUCUACAAUAGCAUGGUUUUAUUAGGAGCAGAGAGGGAGAGGUGGGAAAUGGAGGCGGGGGUGAUUUGGAUGGGGUACCUGCGGGCGUAGAAGACGGGGGCAUCGUCGGGGACGAAGACGUCGACGCUGUGGAUGUUGGUGGUGGUGCGACGAGGUCCGGGAGGCGACGAGGUCCGGGUGGUGGUGGUGCUCCGAGGAGACGAGGAGAGCGGCGCCGAGGAGACGAGGACGACGGGGCGGCGGGGCGGCGGCGUCAGAAGAGGAGAGGGCGGCGUCGCGGCGUCGCGGCGGAGACGAGGACGACGGGGCGGCGUCGAGGCGGCGGGGCAGCGGCGUCGGGAGAGGAGAGGGGAAGGGGAUCGAGGGCGAGGGCGAGGGAGAGAGAGGGGAUAGGUUAUCCAACAGGUACAUCCAUACUAAUGGCGCACCUCACCCUGGUGUGCCAUAAGUACAUCCAUACUAAUGGCGCACCUCACCCUGGUGCGCCAUUAGUAUUUUUUUUGAUUUCUGCUCGAGCCAACAGGUUAUCUUCCACCUUACCUGAUCCACACCAAGUUCCCUCUACUAGCUCGACUGGUCAGCAGCCAGUUCUCACACCAGGAGGUCCUGGGUUCGAUUCCCAGGCUCCACAAUUUUUUUUAUGCAUUUAAAAUGUUGUUUGAUAUUUAUUUGUGUUUAAAUAUGUUCAAACUUGUUUAAAUCAUAACAGUAAUAUUUUUUUAUAAGACAGUAAUAAUUUUUUUAAAAAUAUCAUCAAACAGUAAUGCCGGUGGAGCGGGGGAGGGUGCGCGGGGUGCGGCGGGCCGGUGGACCGGGGGGUGCUCGGCGGCGAGGGGGACCGGAUCUGGCGAGGUGGGAUAGCUAGCGAUCGAGAUGGAGGGGGAUCGAGAUCGAGUGUCCAUGAAAUUUAAAAAUAUUCAUGAUAGUUCAAAAAGUGCCCAUGAAAUACAAUCAAGAAAUGAAGGCUACGAUUUAAAUACAAUCGAUCUUAGCUAGCUAUCUGUUCACAAUCUUCUUGCCCUUCUUUUUUGCAAAUGGAGUUCUUCUGUGGAACGGACGUCCUUUAGGUAGGGUGGUCCUGCUUCUUCUUGUGGUGUAUGCUGCUACUUCAUCAUCGUCGUCAUGUUCGAUUCUCGGGUCGCCGUACUUGUCGAAGUCUUGCUCAUUGGCUACUCCAUCCAUUCCGAUGAUCUUCCUUUUGCCUCUCCUCACGACAACACGACUGGGCUUUGACGGGUCGGUAAUGAAGAAGCAUUGGUCCACUUGGGAAGCCAGUACCCAUGGCUCAUUUUUCGCGGUGACGUUUGCGCCUGCGGUCUUGGAUUUGGCUUCGGGUAUAACCAUGGUGGUGAAAUACCGGUCUUCUUUUAGGACGCUCUUGGCCCAUCUGACACGGAACAUCGGGACCUUCUCUCCAGCGUAGCUCAGCUCCCAGAUCUCCUCGAUCCUUCCGUAGUAUCUGUCCUUGUCGUUACCGGUGUAGGAUUCCAUCGUUACCCCGGAGUUCUGAUAGCCAUCGCUCUUCAUGUCCUUGGCCUCGGUGUAGAAUGUGUAGCCGUUGAUAUCGUACGCCUCAUAGGUCAUCAGGUUGUGCUCGGCGCCCUGUGACAAGGCGAAUAUGAGUUGUUCUUCCGCGGAAGAAUCCUCAUGUAAAGGGUACGACAGAAGCUUCUGCUUGAACCAACGCGUGAAACAUGAGUUGUGCUCUUUGAGUAUAUCUCCGUCCGUCCUCUGUUGGCCUCGGUCAUUGUACGUCUUCUUAAUAAAGGUUUUGUGCUCUACCACCCAAGGAUCGACCACGUCUAUGUGUUGUAGCGCGACUAGGUUUGCUCUUUCAAAGUCGGCGAGUCGACCCUCGAAGUCGACAUGCAUUUCGCGGCGACCCUCACGGUGACCCCAUCCAGCGAGCCUGCCGAGGUGCCUGUUGACGGGCAGACCAACGGGGUUCUCGAUGCCUAGAUAAUUCAUGCAGUAGGAGAUGCACUCUUCGGUCAGAAAGCCCCUGGCUAUGCUUCCCUCUGGACGUGACAUGUUGCGAACGUAUCCUUUGAUGACACCAUUCAUCCUUUCGAACGGCAUCAUGCUGUGCAGGAACGUCGGCCCGAGUUGGAUGAUAUCGUCCACGAUAUGGACUAGCAGAUGCACCAUAACGUCGAAGAAUGCGGGCGGGAAGUACAUCUCAAGCUCGCAUAGUAUCACCACGAUCUCUUCCUGUAGCCUUCUAAGUUGCCUCACGCCAACAGACUUCCGAGAGAUGACGUCGAAAAAGUUGCAUAGGCCAAAUAGCGUUUCACGGACGUGCGCGUCCAUGAUCCCACGGAUUGCAACUGGAAGUAUCUGCGUCAUCAGCACGUGACAGUCGUGAGACUUCAUCCCGCUGAACUUCAGCUUCGCUAGGUCUAGGUAUCUGCUUAUCUUCCCCGCGUAACCGUAAGGAAGUUUUACUCCUACGAGGCAGGUGAAAAACUGCUCGAUCUCCUCCUGACUUAGAGUGAAGCACGCGGGAGGGUAGUCAUUUCCGGUCUUCUUGGCCUUUUUGCCUUUGCGACGACUUUCCGUGUCCUGCUUCGCCUCAUCAUCAUCAUCAUCAUCAUCAUAUAUAGCGUGAAGCUCCUGCCUGAUGCCCAUUGAUAUCAAGUCUGCCCUUGCUUUCGGCCCAUCUUUGGUCCUCUCUGGCAUGUUGAGCAGGGUACCAAGCAGACUCUCGCACACGUUCUUCGUGAUAUGCAUGACAUCAAGGCUGUGAGGCACACGGUGGAUCUUCCAGUACGGCAAGUCCCAGAAAACAGACCUCGUUUUCCAUACCUUCAGCAGCGGCUCUGGCGCCUUUCGCUUCUUUCCCGGCUCUGGCGCCUUUUGCUUCUUUCCCGGCAGUGGGCAGUCUUUCCAAUUUUUCAACAGCUCGUCUAUUUCCUCGCCGCUCCUCGUACGCGGGCGUCCUCGGGGUUCGGUUUCACCAUCGAAUAGAUCCUUGCGUUUUCUCCACGGGUCAUCGUCGCGAAGCCACCUUCGAUGUCCCAUGAACACGGUUUUCGAAGACCCGGGAUCUCUAUCUAGCUAGCGAUACGUUGUGUCAUCCAUGCACCUGACGCAUCCAGAAAAUCCGUGGACCACCUGCCCCGCGACAUAUCCGUAACCGAGAUAGUCGUGCACCGUCGUGAGCAGCGCGGCUCUCAUAGGGAAAUAUUCUUUCUCUGCGGCGUCCCACGUAUUGGCUGGCGUUUUCCACAUCGUGUCAAGCUCCUCUUUCAGCAGCCCCAGAUACAGAUUGAUGUCGUUCCCUGGUUGUUUCGGUCCUUCGAUUAGCAUACUCAUGUGAAUGUACUUCCUCUUCAUGCACAACCAGGGGGGAAGGUUGUACAUCCACACAAACACAGGCCAGGUGCUAUGUGUGCUUCUCUGGCUGCCAAACGGAUUGACUCCAUCGGUGCUCGCGCCCAGCACGAUGUUCCUUGGAUCGUUCCCAAAUUCUAGGUCUUCGAAGUUCAACGCUUGCCACUGGCUCGCAUCCUUAGGGUGACUCAGCAUCUUGUCUUUUUUAUCUAUCUCCGGAUCAUUUGCGUCAUCUUCUCGCUUCUUCUCCUCCCUAUCCGCGUGCCAACGCAGGAGCUUUGCUACCUUAGGGUCCGCGAAAUACCGCUGCAGACGAGGAGUGAUCGGAAAGUACCACACCGCUUUUCGAGGAGCUUUCUUCCUCUUCUUGUAUCGAGUGACGCCGCACACCGGACAUAUGGUAGACUCCGCGUGCUCGUCCCGAUAAAUGAUGCAAUUGUUCAUGCACACAUGGUAUUUCACGUGCGGUAAAUCCAGAGGACACACGAUUUUCUUCGCCUCCUCCAAACUGGUCGGGCACUUGUUCCCCUUGGGAAGACGUUCAUGCCAGAAUGACAUGUUCUCGUCGAAGCAUGCGUCGGUCAUUUUGUGUUUUACCUUCAUCUCCAGAGCCAUGAGCGUUACUUUCAGGCGGGUAUCCUCGGGCCUGCAUCCUUCAUACAAUGGAGUAACCGCGUCUAACUCAAGUUGAUCCAUCUUGGCUUUCUCUCGGGCGGCAGCUCUUGCGUUAUCCGUCUGCUUGAGAAGCAGCUCUUGAAUAUGAGGGUCCUGCACCCAGCCCAUCGAUGGUCUAGCGUCGUCUGCUCCGCCGGCAUCAUCAUCUUCAUGAUCAUGCCCGUCGUCUGCUCCGGCAUCUUCCUCAUCAUCAUGUCCUGCAUCUUCUACAUGAUGACUGUGUACAGCAUCACCGUCGUGAUCAUCUCCUGGGGAUUCUUCGUCUUCUCGCCCGCCCGAGCCGCGGUGGUUGUCUUGCUGCCCUUCCUCAUUUCUUGCCCGGCCCCCAUGGACGACUUCGUAGUCAUCUUCAUCACCUUGCCACCGAUAGCCAUCCAUGAAACCACGCAAGAGCAGGUGGUCCCGCACCUGCCAGGAUUCCGGGUCCGCAAUAAGGCUCUUCAGCUUGCAUCUUCGACACGGACAUCUUAUCUCCAUCUCGUUCUUUUGAAGCAUCUCGGCCUUCGCGGACCUCAAAAACCUAUUCACGAUGCCUUCGGUCAUCAUGCGGGCCAUGGUCGCCUGCGGGGUAGAGCAAAACAAUAUUUUAGAACCAAGAAAAAAUUUGGCAUGACUUUCCCUAAAAAUAGGUCCAAAAAGAAUGCUUAAUGCCAAAAUUCUCGCCGAAACGGAAAUGAAUCAACAUUUCGGCAAAAUAUUGGCAACUACCGCAUUUCAAAUACCGGUACACCUCCAAACACAAACACAUAUGCAACACCACAAACAUAUGCAACACCACGAACAUACAUAGAUCUAGCUAGGCCAUAAAAAGUGCAUGUGCACAUUGUUGUAGGGAGAACAACAUAAAUAUAGCUUCCCCCCUUACUUACCUAUCAAAACAAGGUAAUUUAACCACUUAAAUUGAAUGAAUCUAUGAUGGAAAUGAGGUGAAAAAGAGGAGGCACCCGAGACAAGGAGGAGGUGGAGAAAAUGAAGUGGGGAGAAAGUGAGUGUGGGUAGGAGAGGCUGUCCAAAAUAUCUUGUUGCUGCCCACUUACUAAUGGCGCACCAACUCUAACUGCGCCAUUAGUAAUCCAGGUUACUAAUGGCGCACCUUCUGGUGGUGCGCCAUUAGUAUGUUUGGACAGGCGCACUAGUUAAAAAAAAUUGAUACUAAUGGCGCACCCUGGGACAGGUGCGCCAUUACUAGUUACAACUAGUAAUGGCGCACUAUGUCUGGAUGCGCCAUUAGUAUGUUUGGACACGCGCACUAGUUAAAAAAAAUUGAUACUAAUGGCGCACUGUGUCUAGAUGCGCCAUUAGUAUGUUUGGACAGGCGCACUAGUUAAAAAAAAUUGAUACUAAUGGUGCACCCUGUGCCUGAUGCGCCAUUAGUAGUUUCAACUCUAAUGGCGUAUCAGAAGGUGGUGCGCCAUUAGUAUAUACUAAUGGCGCACUGCUUGUCUGGUGCGCCAUUAGUGUCAAUCCCAUCUAUAGCCCUUUUUCUAGUAGUGUUACCUUCGAGUUACUCCUUUGAAGGGUACCCAUCGUUUAGGUAUCAAGGGCAAGUUGGCUCCUCGUUACAUUGGUCCUUUUCUCAUUCUCGCUAAACGAGGAGAGGUUGCCUACCAGUUGGAACUACCCCCAUAGCUUUCUCGAGUUCAUGACGUCUUCCACGUCUCUCAACUCAGGCGUUGCUUCUCGGAUCCCAUCCAUGAAGUGGACCACGAAACGCUUGAUCUCCAAGAUAACCUCACAUAUCGAGAGUACCCAGUUCGCAUUCUUGAUCAAGCAGAGCGUGUCACCCGACGUCAGAACAUCAAGUUUCUCAAGGUUCAGUGGUCUCAUCAUUCUGAGAGAGAAGCAACAUGGGAGCGAGAAGGUCGUCUUCGACUGGAGUACCCCACUUUCCUUCCGUCGACCCCUAAAUCUCGGGACGAGAUUCUUUCAAGUGGGGGCGAUUUGUCACUCCCUAGUUAUGGUAUGACCUAGCAUAGCUAGUCAUGUGUGCAUCAUGUUUAAAUUCCAUUUAAAUUUGAAAUGGGGAUCUGUGAAACCCUCAGAAAUCAUUUCUGGAAAUGACCCAGAUAAAAAUUUCUCCAAAAGGGUCCAAGAAAAUGUUCAUGUUGCUCUCUGAAAAUAUUGGUCAGAGUUAAAAUUCAAACCAAUAUUUUUAAGGAGCUCAUAGAUAUUUAUUUUGGGCAUUUGGAAUUAAUGCAGUAAUUAUUUGCUUUGGAUAUAUAUUGUUAUACAUAUAAAAUAUUGACCAAAAAUUAUGCUAGUUGAUGAGGAGCUCUGGAAUAAUACCACUAGCUCCUACAAAAAUUCGUAUAAGAAAAUAAAUUAGUUUGGUAUUGUUUUUAAAUCAAACAAAUGUCAGAAAAAUAGAAAAGGAAACAGAAAUGGAAAAACUUACCUGGCAUCUACCUGCAGCCCUGGCGCCUCAGCUGGCCCAGCACUGUGCGGCCCAGCUGGGCCAGGCCACCAGCGCAGUCGUCCUCCUGGCGCCAGUCGGCCAGGCGUGUGGCCGGCACGCGCGCACNNNNNNNNNNNNNNNNNNNNNNNNNNNNNNNNNNNNNNNNNNNNNNNNNNNNNNNNNNNNNNNNNNNNNNNNNNNNNNNNNNNNNNNNNNNNNNNNNNNNNNNNNNNNNNNNNNNNNNNNNNNNNNNNNNNNNNNNNNNNNNNNNNNNNNNNNNNNNNNNNNNNNNNNNNNNNNNNNNNNNNNNNNNNNNNNNNNNNNNNNNNNNNNNNNNNNNNNNNNNNNNNNNNNNNNNNNNNNNNNNNNNNNNNNNNNNNNNNNNNNNNNNNNNNNNNNNNNNNNNNNNNNNNNNNNNNNNNNNNNNNNNNNNNNNNNNNNNNNNNNNNNNNNNNNNNNNNNNNNNNNNNNNNNNNNNNNNNNNNNNNNNNNNNNNNNNNNNNNNNNNNNNNNNNNNNNNNNNNNNNNNNNNNNNNNNNNNNNNNNNNNNNNNNNNNNNNNNNNNNNNNNNNNNNNNNNNNNNNNNNNNNNNNNNNNNNNNNNNNNNNNNNNNNNUGCCGCCCCGCACAUCUCUCACUCUCUCUCGUUCUCCCUCCUCGCCUGGAUCCCUCUCUCUCGACCCGCCCGAGCGCCACAAUCGUUGCAGCUCGCCGUUGCCACGCCUACCGCCACGGCCUCGCCUCUCCGACAAGCUCAGAAGCUCUGCCACCUCGCCGGCUACCUCUCCGCCAAGCCACGCGCCUCGGGAAGCCCUGGAGCGCCUCCAUCGCCGUCGUCUUCAUCUUCGGCGGCCGGAGAUCUUCUUCGCUGCCCCGCCGUCUCCAGUGCGUCCCCGAGCUCGCUGACGACGCCGUCAAGAUCGUUGUGAGCUUAUGCUCCGUUCCUCUCUCUCUGUUUAGCCGUUUUGCGUGUUGUAGCUCCAUCCCCUCCACGGCCAUAGUUCCUCGCCGCCGUACAUGUCACCGCCGUCGCCCUGGCCACCGCAGCCCGCAAUCGCGUGCGACACCGUGCUCCUGGUGACGCCAGGAGGCCGUAGAGCCUCUCUGCUCACUUCCCCGUGCACCGCAGCCCUCACCCGCACUUGGCCGUGCUCCGGCCGCCGCCUCGAGCUCGUUUCCGGCGAGCUCCGGCACCCUCACGCCCUCUAGCUUGCUCCAACCGACGCGGACGAGGCUCAGCUCCUCGCCCGUGGUCUCCGCCGCCCGAAUGGUUGCCGGAGGGCGAAUCCCGUGCCCCUCCGCCGCGUUCAGCCUCGCCGGCGGAUAAACGCCGGCGGGUUUGACCGCUUUGACCUCGACGGCCUGGCAGGUGGGCCCCGUUGUCAGGUGAUUAGCUUAGUGCUAAUCACCCCCUAACCUAACCCCUGACACUGACCAGUGGGCCCCAGCCCACUAAUCCUGUAAUUAGGAUAAGUUAAACCCCCUGUUUAACCUGUGACAUUGACAUGUGGACCCCACACGUCAGGUUUGACCUAGUCUGCACCGUUGAUCUGCUGACGCAGGCAUGACGCAAUGCUGAUGCAGUUACUUAUUUUCUGGUAUUAAAAUAAAUCAAGAAAUUCCAGAAAAUGUUAUAAACUUCAAAAAUUCAUAGAAAUUCAACUGUAGCUCAGAAUGAAAUAAUUUAUAUAUGAAAAAUUAUCCAAAAAAUCCAAUCUAUCCAUCUGUACUAGUUUCAUGCAUGACAAACCAACUUAUACCUACUGUAUAAGUGAAAACAUAUAGAUGGCAUUUAUAAGAGCUUACUUUGGAGUUGCAUUUGAAUCUUUGGUUCAAAUGGACUUCAACCAAAUAAAUGCUAGUUGCAUUAGCUCAAACAACAUCACAUCUUCAUGCCAUGUUCAUGCAUCAUAUUGUUGCAUAUGCUUGUGUAUUGAUUGUCGACACCGUUCCUUCUCGAUAGGUCCUGCUCCGGAGACCAUUCCAGAGUACCUGCCUGAGGAGUAGUGCCCCCUCUGUUGAUCUACCAGGCAAGCCACCCCCCCCCCCUUGUUCAUUCAGAUACAAUCCUACUCUCUCGCUCCUGCUCUUUGUUAUUGCAUUAGGACAACUACGAUUCAAUUGCCACUUUGUGCUGCGGUAGUUGAACCCAUUCCUCUGCAUGACCUGUCAUUGCCACAGUAAAUAGUUGAAACCCACUAGCAUGUGUAGGAGUUGAUUGAAGCCAUUGUUGUGUGUUCCUACCAUGCCAUGCCUGCUAUUGCUUAGAGUGUGUCAGGUCUGAUUCAUUGGGUAUGAAUUGGAGUGCAGUGUUAUGUUCUGAUGCUGAGAGAUAAGUGUGUGAACACGAUUUGGUAAUGGUAGCGGUGAGAGGCCAUGUAGGAGUACAUGGUGGGUUGUCUCACUGGAACCGUCCAUAAGCACUGAGUUCUGUGUAUGUCGUCCAAUGACUAGCUACUACCACGCAUUGGGCUCCGGGCGCUCCAAGCCCUCUCGACUUAUUAACCGACUUGAUCUCUGUCGAGGAGUCGCAACUAGUUUCUGGUGCUUGUAGGCAGUGUUAUUCUUCUACCAAGUGGCACCCGACAGGGUGGGCUUGGGACAGACUAGGCACAAGUGGCACGAUGUACUAAGUGGCACCCGGUUGGUGGGCUUGGGAACCCUGCUCACAUCGUUUGGGGCCAUGAUGGAAACCUCGGUCGGACUCCCUUGCUGAUAGAACCCAAAUAGGCGAUAAACCUGGACUAGAGUCUUGUGUGGUUAGUCAGGUCAUGGCUGACACCCUCGCUAGGCUUCAGCUUGAAGGUUGCCGAGAUACAUGACGUGUACGUGGCGGUAAGUGGCGAGAGCGUGUAUGAAGAAGUACACCCCUGCACGGUUAACAUGAUCUAUUCGAAUAGCCGGGUCCACAGUUAUGGACUUCUUGAAUGCUUACGUGGUACAUAGACAACUUGAAGUGGAUACUCUAAAAUGCUCAAGACAAGUGUGAGUGCUAUGGAUGGCCUUCUCGUAGUAAGACGGGGAUGAAUCCAUAGUGAUGUAUUGUGUGGUGAUUAGUUGACUCGUGUGCGCUGCGUCACCUCAAAGAAGUUUCUCGUAGUCGUAGAACAGGAUAGCUACUGAGUCAAAGCUGGCUUGCUGCAACUAAACCCCACAUUACCUUCUUGAUACAAAUGCAUGUAUGAUAGGAUCUGAUGUAAUUCUUGUUGAGUACCUUUGUACUCACGUUGCUUUAUUUAUGUUUUUGCAGCGGAGACCUCGGUCUUACUAGUUUACGUGGACUUCGACAAGUAGCUUGUACCUCAGCUAUGAUCUUGAUCGAAUGUUGUAGAUAGUCAGGCUCUUCAGCCUUUUUCAUUUAUAGAUGUCUGUACUCAGACAUGUAAUGCUUCCGCUUGUUGCUUGUAUGCUCUGAAUGUUGGGUCAUGCGACCCCUAUUUGUAAUAAACUAGCACAUAUGCCCGUGCAUUGCAACGGAAGAAAAAAUAAUAUGCAGUUAAAGUUAGUGAGAAUUAUAUGUGGAAGCAAAACCCUGUGUUCACGUGAAAAAGGAACAUUUAACUUUUCGAUUUCGCCGGGUGUGAAGUAAUCAGUCCGCUAUUUUUUCAUUCAUUUAUCGAGGGCAUUUAAGAGUUUGGUUAUGUCGUUGUACGUCAGAGAAGGCCUAUGAAUUGUUCAAUCUACAUUUCCAUUCAACCGAGGAGGUUUUAAGGUAUGAAGUACCUGAAUAUUAUAGAAAGCAUAUACCAUUUUUAAUGAACAGGUUUUUGAAAAUUAUGUACGCUUUAAGAAAAACGCGAACAAAAUUGAAACAGUAACAUCUUUUAAAAUUCACAAACGUUUUUUGAAAACACCAAUUUUUUUUUAUAAGAACAUCGACAUUAUUUGAAUUUGUGAACAUUUUUUUAAAACAGAAACAUGUGUUGAUAAGUCAUAACAUUUUUCAAAAAUGUUUAUCUUUUAUACACAUACAUUAUUUUGAAUUGUGAAAAAUUCACUAAACCAAGAAUAUUUUUCGAAUUUGGAGCAGUUUUUAAAUGCCAUAUAUUUUUAGAAAUCUCGAACAAUUUUGAAAAACAAUAAAUUAUUUUGAAAAAAUGGGAACUUUUUUGAAGUUCCGAAUAUUUUUCAAAACAGCAACAAAAUUUUAGAAUUCUGAACAUUUCCAAAAUAUAAUUUGUUUUUUAAAAUUCUGAACAUUUGGAGAAUUUUUAAUUUAUUAAAUAAAUUCUAUAAAAAAUAAACUUGGAAGGAAAAAAGAGAUAGGCGAAAGAGAAUAAAAAUAGAAGUAAAGCAUAUAAACAAAGAAAAUGGGCCAGCCCAUAACUUGUUGUUGUGUGCAAAGCUCUGUUUAUUUUCGCUCUGGGCGGAAAAUAGAAUUUUCUCAGAUGCGCUUGCAAAAAAAAAAUGAAGGCUGGCUUCGCUGGGCCACAACACGUGGCCCAAGUAUGAAAUUCUAGAAAAGCCUUAUAUUUUUAGCAGGAACGCAUAAUAAUUUUGUACCACCUCGGAUAGAAUUUUUUUUUCGACGGUGAACGGAUGAAAAAAUUGGCGAAAUGCACAUUGCUUUAUUAGUAGUAGCACAUAUGCCCGUGCAUUGCAACGGGAGAGAUAUUUAUUACGAGAAGUAACGGGAGAGAAAUGAUGUUUCCUCCGAAAAUAGUCUCCGCAACGGUGGCCGACUGAGGUAGGAGCUGCAAUUUUCUCGCAUGUCAUGUUUGGUGUACGAGAUCUUGAUCGUGGUGGGGUUGGUCGGGGUCUCCUAUCACGGUGUAACUGCAUGUAUUACUUAUUGCAGCACAUAAAUCAAAGACCUGACGACGUGCUGCUAGCUAUUCGAAGAAACAUGUCCUAAUAACCAAUGGCCAGCGCGAAUAUUUAAGAACAUAAAGAAGCGUCAGUUUUGAGUCAUUUUUUAUUUUUCGAACUUAUUAUAAAAAAAUAAGAAUAAAUUUGCAUAUAUUCUUUGAAACAUGAAUUUGUUUUUAAAUUCCAAACAACUUUUUGAAAAUGCUGAAUAUUUCCGAAAAAGAUGAACAAAAUUUUAAAUUGGAAUAUAUUUUGAAAUUCAAAAAAUAAUUCUGAAAACAUUAACCUUUUGUAAUAACCUGAACAUUUUUUGAAUUAGUGAGCACUUUUUUAAAAUUGUAAAAUGUGUUGAACAGUCAGAACAAUUUUCAAAAUGUUUUUUCAAUUAAUAAAAUGAUUUUAAUUUGAUAAACAUUUUGCUAAAACAAAAAAAUCAAUUUUGAAACAUUUUGUCAAAUGAAAAAAGAAAUAUUGGAAAUUAUGAAUAAUUGUGGAAAAAAUUCAAAAAUUGGAAGCAUUUGUUUAUUUUGAAAAACAAGUUAAGAAAGAAAAAAGUUCUGAACAUUUUCCAAACAAAAACUGUUUUGGAAUUUGGAACAUUUAUCGAAAACUGAAACAAAAUAUUUAAAUUCUGAGGUUUUUUGAAAAUUUUAAAUGUACUAAAAAAAGGAAAAAAAUGAAACUAAACUUGGAAGGAAAAAAAGUAAAAAAGAUAUAGGAAAAAAAGAUAAAUAAACAGAAAAAAUACAACAUACAAGAUAAAACUAAAAUGGGCCGGCCCAUUAUUGGGCUAUCUAUUCGAAGCUUUGGGUAUUUGACGCUCCGUGCGGCAAAUAGGGUUCUGCCAACUGUGUGUGCUGGAAAAUAAGAGGUCUGGCUUCGGUGGGCCUCAGCGCGCAGCCCAGGUACGGAAUCCUGGAUAAACGAUUUUUCUUUUGUAGCAGAUGAACGCACACAAAUUUAGUACCACCUCGGGUAAAAUUAAAAACAAACUUUUCAUCGGUGAACGGAUGAAAAAAUUGGAGAAACACACCUUGCUUUAUUAGUAGGUAUAGAUACUAUGAUGGCUCUUCUGAGCUUUUAUCUAUAUGAGUUAUUGAGUUAUGUUGUGACGCCAUGUUGUACAACACAUACUUGCAUGUUAUGCGUACGUGUAAUGUGUAUUGCUAUGUGUGGGAUCCGACAACCUAGUUGUUUAUUCUUGGUAGCCUCUGUUAUGGGAAAAUGACUCCUAGUGCUUUCACUGAGCCAUGGUAGCUUACUACUGCUCCGGAACACUUAGGCUGGCCGGCAUGUGUCCUUCUUCGUUCCUAUGUCUGUCCCUAUGGGGAAAUGUCACACGGUGUCUACCAGAGUCCUGUUAGCCUGCUACAGCCCGGAUUCUCCGGAGUCCUGUUAGCCCAGCUGCUACAGCCCGGAUUCACUAGCUGAUGACUGACACGUUCGUUGCUGGGUCAUGUAUGCCUGUUCCUGUAAGUUUGUGCCACUUUGAGUUCACAACUAGUCAUGUCGGCCCAGGUUCUCUGUCAUAUGGUUGCUAGCGACACAAUCAUAUACGUGCGCCAAAAGGCGCAAACGGUCCCGGGCCAGGUAAGGUGGCACCCGUGGAAAUAACGUGCGUGAGGCCGCAAAGUGAUAUGAUGUUUUACAUGCUAGAUCGGUGUGACUUAGGAUCGGGGUCCCGACAGCUUUGGUAUCAGAGCCUGACUGCCUGUAGGAUUACAGAGCCAAACUGGUCGAACUUGAGUCUAGAAAUUCUUUAAUUAUGUAAGGAAAUUGUUUGUGGGAAGGAACGUAAGGCUCUUUUUACUCCUUAUACCUCAUGGCCUUCUGAUAUGAGUCAUCCUAUAUUUCCUCCGGGGUUAAGGAACUAGGCUUUCUCUUCUGUCUAACAGGAUCACGUGUUACUACUCUGUAGUUCCAUUGGAUUGGUUGGUCAGAGUCAUAUCCCAGUUCUCGAGUACUUCCGGUGUAGUCUGUUUAGAAUUAUCUCAGAACCUUGAGUGGUGAUGUUGAGUUGUUGUGCUAUCCCAUUUUUGGCAGGAUGUCUCAUUCUGAGCAUUUCACUGUAAUUAUGCUAUCGGAAUUGCCCUAGGAGUUCGAGAGAUACUAUUUCCUUGUCCUACAUCCUAUAGUCCAUAGUUGAUGUUGAUUCCGUCCUUGGUUUCGUUUCUCAGGAUGUCAUCAGUUAAGAGAAGUUUUGUUGCCCGUAGCCGGAACCGCAGAGAUGGUAGGGAUGAGGAUCCUCCCGACCAGCCUUCGUUGGCAGAGUUGAUGUUACAGAUGGAGAGGAAAAAGAGGGAGUCUAAUCGCUUGUUGGCACGUAUCGAGGAGAACACCGCACAUCAGUUCAAAGAGUCUGCGACCAUUCAUGACUUUGUUUGCUUGCACCCACCUACCUUUCAUCAUUCUAUUGAGCCACUCGAUGCAGAUGACUGGCUCCGUAGCAUCACUCAUAAGCAGCGUUCCGCAAACGUAGCUGAAGAUGACAAGGUCACCUAUGCUGCAUACCACCUGGAAGGUCCUGCUAGUCUUUGGUGGCAGAACUAUGAGGCUAUGCUUCCAGCUAGCCGGAUUCCUACCUGGAGAGAUUUCACUGAGGCUUUCCGCGAGCAUCACAUUCCUCAGGCCCUCAUUGAUCGCAAGAGAGAAGAGUUCUGUAGUUUCACCCAGAGUAAGAUGGCUGUUGACGCUUACAGUAGAGAGUUUGAGAACCUCGCCCGCUAUGCUGCAGAAGAGGUGUCUACGGACGCCAAGAAGCAGGCUAGGAUCCGGAAGGGUCUCAACCCAAGUUGCGUCGUGAUCUCCACCUGCAUCACUAUGAUACAUUCCAAGCUCUUGUGAACAAGGCCAUUAAUGCAGAGACAGCUCAGCUCACUUACGAGGAGUCUGUAAGCACACCCGUGGUUUGGGAUCUUCCUCUGGUUCUAGUUCUUAGAAGCGCCGGAUUUGGGUAUUCACCGAGGCCAUCUUAUGUGGCGCCUCAUCCAUCUCAGUCAAAUGCUCCACCCAGGCCUAUUAGUAGACCGCUUCUCAGUGCGAGUCCACGUCCAACCUCAGGGACUUGCUUCACAUGCCGGAAGCCAGGACACUAUGCAUGUGACUGCCCUCAGAUUAGUUAUGCUCCACCCCAGCCCGAGAAGUCGGUUGGCUAUGUUAAGCCAUCAAGCAAGAUGAUCAGUGCCAAGCCAGCUCGCACUAAACGUGGAUGUGUGCGUCACGUUUCAGCUAAAGACGCUCAUGAUGAUCCGAAUGUUGUUCUUGGUACACUCCCUGUCAAUUGUCAUCCAGCAUCGGUUAUGUUCGAUACUGGAGCAUCUCACUCCUUCAUUUCUGAAAGCUAUGCUAUCUUGCACAACAUGUCAUUUUGUGAUAUGCCCUCUCCACUAGUCAUUCAAACUCCUCGAUGCAAGUGGCAAACUUCUAGUGUAAGCCAUGGUAACGAAAUCCUUGUAGACAGACUUGUAUUCCUUGCAUCACUUAUAGCCAUCAAGUCUAGAGAUAUUAAUAUCAUCUUGGGUAUGGACUGGAUGAAAGCUCAUUAUGCCAAGAUUGAUUGUUACACUAGGUCUGUUCAGCUCACACACCCAUCUGGCAAGAUAGUCACCGUCUCCACUAGAGUUGCAAAGUGUCAGCUCUAUUAUUUUAAUGCUAGCCCUCUUCCAGACCUGGAAGAUAUCCCGGUAGUCCGCGACUUUCCGGAUGUCUUUCCAGAGGAACUGCCAGGUGUUCCACCUGACAGAGAUGUAGAGUUUGUCAUAGAUCUUAUCCCAGGAACCGCUCCAAUCUCUAGCAGACCUUACAAAAUGGCACCCUUAGAACUAGCUGAGCUUAAGAAACAACUUGAUGAGUCCUUGAAAAAGGGUUUCAUCUUUCCUAGUUCUUCUCCUUGGGCUUGCCCCGUCCUCUUCGUCAAGAAGAAGGAUGGUACGGACCGGAUGGUUGUAGAUUAUCGUCCCAUUAAUUUGGUCACGAUAAAGAAUAAAUAUCUGCUCCCCAAGAUCAACGACCUAUAUGAUCAGCUCGCUAGAUCCUCAGUCUUCUCCAAGAUGGAUUUGAGGUUAGGCUACCACCAAAUCAAUAUCAGAAAUUGGGACAUCCCCAAGAUGGCCUUUAUCACUCGUUAUGGCCAGUACGAGUACACUGUCAUGUCCUUCAGUCAACCAACGCCCUAGCCACAUUCUCCCGCUUAAUGAACUCGAUCUUCAUGGAGUACCUAGAUAAGUUCGUCGUGGUUUACCUCGAUGAUAUUCUUAUUUACUCAAAGAACGAGGAAGAGCAUGCCGAACAUCUUAGACUUGUGUUAGAAAAACUCAGAGAACACCGCCUUUAUGCCAAGUUCUCCAAGUAUGAAUUUUGGUUGCCAGAAAUGACCUACCUAGGCCACAUGAUCUCUGGUAAGGGCAUUGCUGUCAAUCCCGAGAGAGUUAAGGCCGUUCUUGAUUGGACUCCACCUGAAAUAGUUAAACAAGUUAGGAGUUUCCUUGGUCUAGCCAGCUAUUGUCGCCGCUUUGUUGAAAAUUUCUCUAAAGUGCCCAAACCCCUCACGGAACUUCUUAAGAAAGAUAAAAAGUUUGAGUGGUCCCCACAGUGUGAGUACAGUUUUCAGGAACUGAAAAGACGCCUGACUUCUGCUCCCAUACUUGUGCCACCGGAUUUCACUAAGGACUUUGUUAUCUACUGCGACGCCUCACGACAGGGACUAGGUUGCAUUCUUAUGCAGGAUCGUCAUGUGAUUGCCUAUGCAUAUCGGCAGUUGCAUCCACAUGAGGAGAAUUAUCCUACACAUGAUCUAGAGCUUGCAGCCGUAGUCUAUGCACUCAAGACCUGGCAACAUUACCUUCUUGGUAAACGUUGCGAGAGCUACACCGAUCACCAGAGUCUCAAGUAUAUUUUCACCCAACCAGAUUUGAACCUUAGGCAAAGACGUUGGUUGGAAGUGAUCUCAGAUUAUGAUCUAGGGAUUACUUACACUCCAGGCAAAGCCAACGUCAUCGCUGAUGCGCUAAGUCGUAAAUCCUAUUGCAACAAUCUCAUGUUGCAGCAGGGCCAACCACAUCUCCAUGAGGAAUUCUAUAAGCUGAACCUUCACAUUGCUCCUCACGGAUUCCUUUCUACCUUGGUGGCGAAACCUGAUCUUGAGGAUCGGAUUGUCGCUGCUCAAAAGCAAGACACAAGAAUUUCCCGGAUCAAGAGAAACAUUAAGAAGGGAGUUGGUGGAUGUUUUUCUAUGGAUGAUCGAGGUGUUGUUUUCUUUGAGAACCGCUUGGUGGUUCCCAAGAAUCAACAUCUGCGAAAAUUGAUUCUUAAGGAGGCGCAUGAAUCCCCUCUCAUGAUUCAUCCCGGUAGUACUAAGAUGUAUCAGGACCUAGGUCAGAGGUUCUGGUGGACUAGGAUGAAGAGAGAAAUUGCCCAGUUCAUUGCUAACUGUGACGUUUGUCAUCGCGUUAAGGCAGAGCAUCAGAGACCUGCUGGCACCCUUCAGCCUUUAGCUAUUCCUGAGUGGAAAUGGGAUAAAGUUGGUAUGGACUUCAUCACCGGCUUUCCCAGGACCAAGAGAGGGAAUAAUGCUAUCUUCAUAGUCAUUGAUCGUCUCUCCAAAGUGGCGCACUUCCUACCUGUUCGAGAGAGUAUCACUGCUAGUCAGCUCGCUGACUUAUAUAUUUCUCAAAUAGUGUCACUUCAUGGUGUUCCACUAGAGAUCAACUCAGACCAUGGCAGUCUUUUCACUUCAUGGUGUCCUUCUUCGUUCCUAUGUCUGUCCUUACCGGAAAAUGUCACACGGUGUCUACCAAAGUCCUGUUAGCCUGCUACAGCCCGGAUUCUCCGGAGUCCUAUUAGCCUAGCUGCUACAGCCCCGAGUCACUCGCUGAUGACCGACACGUUCGUUGUUGGGUCAUGUAUGCAUGUUCCUGUAAGUUUGUGCCACUUUGAGUUCACAACUAGUCAUGUCGGCCCGGGUUCUCUGUCAUAUGGUUGCUAGCGACACGAUCAUAUACGUGAGCCAAAAGGCGCAAACGGUACUGGGCCAGGUAAGGUGGCACCCGUGGGAAUAACGUGUGUGUGGCCGCAAAGUGAUAUGAUGUGUUACAUGCUAGAUUAGUGUGACUUAGGAUCGGGGUCCCAACACCCGCGGCAGAUGAGCGUUACCUAAUUCCAAUUUCGAGCCCUCUCAUUUUAAGUUUAUCAAUCUUCUUCACUAAGUUUCUUUCUGAUUUUUGCGCCUUCCUUCAGCAUUUCCACAUGGUUAUUAAACCAACACCUCAUGAUAAGAGACCAUUAUGUAUAUAUCAGGUCGGUACUCGUCGUUUCAAAAUCUCUCAACAAAAAUGACCAUUGAUAUUUGCAACAUAUUGAUGCGUAGCUCAUUAAAACGAGGCACUAGGUGGAAUAUAUAUAGGUGUGCGUAACUGCUGAGCGUCGGAAACCUCCUCUUUUUGAGCCAUAAGGAGUUAAGUUUCUCACAUUUACCCCUAAGUUUCUUUCCCAUGAGCUCUACGGAAGGGUGACGAAAUAUGCAUUCGCCGACCCUAGGCAGGCUGCUCAUUUAAAUGAGGCACUAGGUGGAAUAUAUAUAGGUGUUCGGUGUGCGUCACCGGCGAGCGUUGUAACCAUCCUUUUUCUGAGCCAUAUGGUGUUAAGUUUCUCAUAUUAGCCUUAAGUUUCUUUCCCGUGAGCUCUACGGAAGGGUCACCAAAUUUGCAUUGGAUGACUCCUCGUUCGACCGAACGGUACACAUGAUUCUCCCGCGGCAGACGGGCGUUGCCUAAUUCAAAUUUCGAGCCCUAUCAUGUUAAGUUUCUUAAUCUUCUUUACUAAGUUUCUUUCUGAUUUUUGCGCCCUUCAGCAUUUCCACAUGGUUAUUAAACCAACACCUCAUGAUAAGAGACCAUUGUUUAUAUUUCAGGUCAGUACUCGCUGUUGCAAAAUCUCUCAAGAAACAUGAGAGGAGAGGGAUGGUGACCAAAUGACCAUCCAUCGGCCGAAGUAUAUUUGAUGUUCACGUGCGAAGUCUUUUCUAGAACGCAUGAAAUAUGUUCACACGACGAGAGUCGAGAUAUGAGGACAUCAGGUCCAUCUCCAAAAUCACCUCUUUCGAGCUUGAUGUAGUUAAGUUUCCUAAUAAGGCACUAAGUUUGUUCUCCGUGAGCUCUAGG